rnacentral:lncRNA from 1 species
UUAUAAAGUUUGACUUCUGUUCAAGCUAAUAUGUGAAGUAAAUAAAAACCGAUGGAGUAAGGAAUUUUUGCAUAUGCAUAUAUUAUAUAAUGACUUACAUCCAUGAAUUACUUUGUAAAUUUUCAAAGCAAGUAGUAGUCGUAGAUGACAAUUGAAUAACUCUUCGUUCAAACUUUUUUCUUUAAAAAAUCUUCAUCCAAACUCUUGUAGCUUGUUGGUAGUCGUCACUUUACUUGGCCACGGCGGCCUCCUUGCCGUCGGCAGCUGCGGUGGCGGGGACCUUGGCCUUGCCAUCGUCCACUUUGCCGAAGGCGGAGACGGGGAAGGUCCUCCUGAGCCCGGUGGGCGUCUUGAAGGUGAUCUUGGAGGGGUCAUCCUUGUCGAUGUACAUAUCACAGAGGGUGAUCCAGAUGAGGAGUUCCUUGCUCUUGACCCCGGUCAUGCGCUUCAUCUUGCGGUCCUCGACGAAGGCCGUCACCUCGGUGGCGUACGAGACCUGCCUCCCGAUCUGCUUGAAGGUGUGCGUGAGCGCCUUCUUCUGGCGAAGCCAGACGAAGCCGGUGGCGCGGUUGUAACCCACCUCCUCGAUGUCGGCCAGCGGCAGCAGGCCCAGCGGCAAGUUGGUCUCGGCCAGCAGCUCCACCGCCUUCUCCGCGCACAGCGCCGCGCCGUGGUACACCUCCGCGCCCUCCCUCUGAGCCUCGAUUGCCUGCGCCAUCUCGACUGGUUGAAUGAAUCAAAUCUCUCCAAGUAAACUCAGAUUCAACUCGACGGUCUGGAGUUGCUGGGGCCUUUUUGGGUCUUGGGGGAUUUCGUUUGCUGUUGUGGGAUUGGGGGUUGGAGAGGGGUGGAUUUUAUAGGUGGAAAGCAGAUGGAUACGGUCGUCCGAGCUGGGGAGGAGGGAGGUUGGGAGAGGGGAUUUAAGACAAUGGCUUAUUAAUGCGUGGGGAAGAAGACGGUUGGGUCUCUGGCUCUCCGACGCACGCACGCGGGCGUGCCGUUGCUGGAUUCCUUGCUAUUUUUUCUUAACUGUUCCCCUGCAUAAUGAAUCAUGUAGGUUUAUGUCGCCUUGGGUAACAGCAUCUCAACUCGCCUCCCCCCGUCCCCACACCCCUACACACAGCCCCCCACGUGCCUUUUUUUUAGUGUCGACAGCGCAAAAUUAGCCCAGUCGCAUUCCCAACUCCUCGUUCAGCACAGGUUUGGGUUAAAAUAACAGCCAACGAACCCGAGCCGAACCCAGCCCCCCGAAGGUGCGUGGAAGCGUCGGUGGAAGCGAAAAGCCAAGCGGGCCCGCUCUGUCGGCGGCAACGGGGCCAUUCCUGCCGUUUUCUCCCCUUCCCUCAUCCCUUUCCCUCCAUUUCCCCGCGUCCUCCCGCCAUUCUUCUCCCGCUCCCGCCAUCCGUCCGCCAUGCCGCCGAAGAAGUACACCUUCCCUCGCCUCGCCACCGCUGCCGAUUCCAGCCAGCCGAAGCAGAUGAAGUCGAGGAAGCCGAUACCUAUGCCGGCUGGCGUUUCAGAUGCCAAGUGGAGGGUGGAUGUCCAGAGUCGGGAGGCAACCACAAAAAACCUGCUAAGGAGGCUCGACGCAAAGAGGAUCAGGGACGCAGCGGCGGCGGCGGCGGCCACGGUAGAUCAGGAAGAGGCGUCCUGCGUGGGGAUGAUGAAUCCGCCCGGCCGCAACCCGCAGGCCGUAUGGAGGGGUCGCCCGGGCGUUGCGUCGGCCACCCUCUCGCCAACGUUGCUGCCCUCGGGGUACGUACCCUCGCCUGGCUACUCCGACGGCGACGCGCAUGGCGGCUUCAAUCCCAACACCACCUUGCCGCAUGGCGCGUGUCGUGGGUAUAAGCCUGACAGUAGAUGUGUAGGGUACGAAAGGAUGGGCAGAGCCUUAGCUACGACGAGGUUGUAUGAGUUCAGGCCCCUCUGCAGUGGAGGUAAUAGCCCUACGUCUCAGUGCUCAGGGAGCUUGUUGUCGAGUGGAAUAUAGAAUACAGUGAAUUGCUAACCCCUGCGCCAGUGGGAGAGGGUGGCUUAUAUAGAGUGCGUUGCCCUCCACAACGGUUCGAUGCACAGGGGUGGAGUAGUGGCGAAUAAAUGCCUACGUUACAGGUCGUACGUCUUAAAUGUUAAUAAAGGCACAUAGAAACGUAUGACCGUUUCCCUCCACGGGGGUUACGAUGCACAGAGUGGAAUCCAGUCGGUUAGUUUGAUAAACUCCGAAUGCUAAUCUCCGACUGGACGGUCGAGGAUCUGUUACCGACUGGAUGAAGGGAACUCCUUAGUUCAGUCGGAACUGGCUAAGGGCCUUGUCCCUUAUGAGGGGUAGUCCUUGGGUUGGACCUUCAGGGCAGGCCUAUGACCCUACCCUAGGACUAUAACCCCAUCAUUAGUCCCCGAAUGGACUGGGGUUGGAACGACGAAGCGAUGCUUGAAGUUUGGAUCCGACUGGAAUGAAUGUGACUUUGGCGUUGCUUGCCUCGAUCCAUUUUAUCUUUUCUGACCAACGAUCCGAGUGGAAGUAUUGGUGGAACAAACUGUUGGAAACCGAGUGCUUCCAGGGUAUCUCCUGACAUGGCUAGUCAACUAACAGCGGCGGAUUUUCCGGGAUCCUCAAAUUUCGGUUACCGCGCGCUCAGCGGGGAUGACGACAUCGCGCUCGAGUAGCGCCUGACGCCUCGAUUUCCGCUCCUUCAUCUUCUCCACUGAUAUCGCCGCGGUUGGUCGGGGGAUAAGGUUUCGGGGCCACCUGCGAGUGACGCAGUCGAAACCUUACUUAAACCUCAGCGGCGAGGGUUUUCUCGUUACGCUCGCCGGAUCUCUUGCCUUUGAUUGCUCCGCUCCUCUCGCCUCCUCCUGCGCACCCAAGCUCCUUCCUUUUCCUUCUACUCCGCGGACCCGCAGCUUCCGCCAUGACCAACGGACAGACUAGCAAGUUGGAGGCGAACAAGAAGAAGGGGAAGGCGGCGGCUCCUGCUCAACAGCGGCAGCGAGCGUUGCCGGCGGGGUGGAUCCAGGGGGACUUCCUCCCCUCCACGGUGACGGAGGGGGAUCUGCUGGAGCUGGUGGAGCACCGGAUGAUCGUGCACAAGUCGUGGAGGUUGCCGGCGGAGAAUGAGAUCGAGCCGGCGCCCCGGGAGGGGGAGCGCGUCCUGCUGCUCAGCCACGUAUACCGAGGUUUCUCCCUGCCCCCGCAUCCUUUCUUCAAAGGCAUAAUGAACCACUUCGGGGCGCAGCUUCACCACUUUCCCCCGAAUGCUAUAGCUCAUCUCUCUGCUUUCAUAGUCUUGUGCGAGUGCUUCAUCGGCUGUCCCCCCCCCCAUUGGGGGCUUUUCAAACAUAUUUUCUCUGCUAGAUCCCAAACUAUCAAACGACUUACCAGUCGGAUGAUAAGACACACCUUCUCCAGCUCUGCGGAGGCUUAGGUUUCCAGAAGAAGAGUAGAAGUAGUUAUCCUGCUCUUCAGCUGAGUGAGUCGGUUAGGAACUGGCAGUCGACAUGGUUCUACUGCCAGGACGUUGCUUGCCCGAAUGCCACGACAGGGUUGCCUCCUUUGAGCUUAGAUCGACCCGCUCCGCCUAAGCAGCUUGUGCUCACGAAGGCGGAGAAGAUCGACAUCCAGCCUCUGGUCGACGCACUCGUAGAUGUCGUCAAGAGGGGAGUCACCGGCAUAGAUUUGCUGGAGGUUUUCCUCGGUCGGCGCAUCCAACCACUACAGGCUCGCGACCACGCCAUGUGGCACUACACGGGGCCCGAAGACUCCACUCGGACCAACGUCUUGGGCGUGACAGAGGAGAAGGUGGCGUCGUGGGUGCUCCAGAUCACAGGCGCCUGCGUGAACCCCAGAGGGUCCCGGCGAGUGAGGGCUUUCUGCGCGAACAACCCUCCUCCGAACGAGGUGAGUACCACUUGUCGAGUGCACGUAACUGUCUUAGUUUUAUCGCUUUCUUGAAUCUCUGUCUGACGCCUGAUGUCGCCGACUGUAUUUUAUGCAGAAGUGGACCAACUGGUUUUCCCCUGUCUCAAACAGGAACCCGGCCGAGGAGGAGGAGGAGGGCAGCCAGGAGGGCAGCGUGGAGAGCGUCGAGUACGUCUCUGACAGUGGGGAAACGGAGGAAGAGUCUAGUGAAGAGGAGGGGGACGACGAAGAGCAGGACUUGCCACCCCCGCCGCCAGAGCAUCGAACCAAGCGCCGACAUGAACCUGCAGCUCUCUCGGCCCUUCCAGCAUCCUCGAGUGCUCCGCCAACUGCUCCUACGGUUCCAAGUGCCCCGUCAACUGUUCCCGGGGGUCCGAGUGCCCGCAGCACCAAGAGGACCAGGGACGCUGCUACUGAACUUGCGGGUCAGCCUUCCAAGGUGGCCAAACCGAGCGGAUCUAAACCUCGGAAGGCUUUGCCGCGGAUGAGGGUCACCGUUCCCUUCACCUCGACGUAAGUAUAUUGUUCUUCUAACUUCUUCUGAUAUUCGAUUGGACUCCUGUUUAUUGGUCGAAUGAAUUUCACUCGACAGGGUUGCUACCUCUGCCACCUCUCCGGCACGCUAGGGGGAUGACCCCAUGGACAUGGACAACGUCGUCUCGUCCCAGCCAGGUGCGUCGCAGCGAUUCCGAGAGUUUACAUCAUCGCAUCACGAAUUCUGCUUCGGUCUUGCCCCUUUCUUUUUCUGAGAUCUCACGCCGUUCGGUCUGGCUUUCCUCAGGGGUGAUUUAUGUGGAUGAGGGUGACUAAGGGAGAUCUGAGCAAGCUGCGGUGCCUGUCCUUGAGGCUGUUCCGCCAGUUACUACUCUCGCUGCGGACGUGCCGCCGACUGAAGCGAUGCCGUCGACUGAAGCGGCGCUGGUUGCUGCUGAACCGACUGGAGCAAGCCUUGGGAUGCCCAAGGAGCCUACAACGAUGCCAGGCCCGUCGAAUGUCGAGUAUAACGUCUAGCGCCUCCCAGAGGAUCAGGUGGGAGCGGCCAAGGGGGCCAUGGUGCAGGCGGAGCUGAUGGCGGGUGAAGCCAAGAAGGCGUACGACUCCAUCGCAUCCCUGUACCAGCGGAGCUUGGAGCUGCGGGACGAUAUCCGAGUAAGUGGGCUAGUAAGUAUUUACUUUUCUCUUGUAACCCACUGGGUGUGCUCGGAUACCGUAUGAUUUUUGCAAUGGGUUCACUCUUAGUGAACCCAGUGGGUGUAGUCCCCGAGACUUCUGUCGAGUGCUUGCACCGGCAGUUGUCUUUAUACAUAUUGUCUUUGACGUGAUCAGAUCCAUAAUUAAUCUGGUCGAAUGCUAACAGUUGGUGCACUCGGAGUGCACCUACUGUAAGAGUCCCCGAGAGUAAUUUUACUCAGGUCGGGUAGUAUUAGCCUCGUAGGCGUAGGUGUUGUCAGGUAGCUCAAUAGGGCGAACCUGUUUGAGUUUGAAGCCAGUGGGGUCACUCUCAGUGAACCCACUGGGUGUAGUCCCCGAGACCGCUGUCGACUGCUUGUGUCGGCACGGGUCUGAAGAACUUAGACUUUUUAUUGUCGGAAUUGUCUGAUCGUCUCUUGGCGCUGGCUGGCAGAAAACUUGCGAGAUGGGGACAGCGUACGAGACUCUUAGGGCUCAAAAGGUUCAGUUUGCUGGUGAGCUGGAUGCGGCACUGGUUGCAAUGGCUGGCAUGAAGGAUGUUCUGGUGGAACGAGAGAAGUCGUUGGAGCAGGCCCGUGAAGCAAACAAGGCACUGACUGCUGAAGUUGAGAAUAUGAAGGCGCAUAGGUCUGAGCUGAUGGGGCAAAUGAAUGUGCUAAACAAGCGGUGUAUAGUGCAGGAAAAAUACGUCAGUGAUUGGGCCCGGCAGAUGAUAACGCGUCUGGGUGGUAAGUCCUGUUUUUCCGAGUGCUUGUGGUAUGUGCGUUACACUCGGCGCUUAUUGUUUGCUUGUCCUGUGUUUGCAUAUUUUUGCAUGGACGCUGAGGCUGAAGUAGCUGACGUGGAGUGGUCGAUUCGCGAGAACAUUCCACUCGGCGAGGACGCUAAUCGAGAUAUGCUCCGAGCGCACAUUCGCCUGGGCAAAGUUGGGCCUUUCAUCGGUCGACUGAGAGAAGUCGUCGGCCGGAUCGACCAGGAGAUUUGGCCUAAAGACGAGUCUCGGUAUGAGAUGGAAGGCUUGAUGACUCGGCUGGAGGAGGUCCCAAACCGAGUGCAGUCAUGGAAGAAAUCUGCGGCUCGCUGUGGUGCAGACGUUGCGCUGUCCCUGGUCCUAGUGCAUUGCAAGGAGGUGCGCGAAGAGAAGCUGAAAGCGUUGAAGGUCGCCAACACGAAGAAACUUCGAUUCGAAGACUUCAUGGAAACCUUCCUUGAGAGUGCCACCCGCAUCGCCGACGGGAUCGACCUGGACACAUUCGUGGAGCCCUCGAGUCCUGGCGCCAAUCCGGACGACGCUUAAGAAAACUUUUACCUCGGUAUGCCGAGUGUUGGUUGUAAGAAACCUUGGCCACUUCUGUUGGCCUUCACAUUCUUGGUUCGGUGCGGGUAAGCUUGAUCCGCACCGAGUCAACUAUCCUUAGGUGAACUUCGAAUUUAAAUCAAAUCUUUUGCUCUUCUGUUGCCAAAGAGUUGUUGACACCAUUUUGGCUCGAGUUUUUGUUUGGCUUUUCUUGUUGAAGCCAAUGGCAAACAUGCGGAGCAUGUAAUUGUCAGUUUCCUUGACAUCUGUGUGAGCCUCUCUGAGGGUCUGCCAAGUCGCCGAGUGGAUCUGUAGGAUACAGUCGAGGGUAAUAGAGUACUAAGGCGAUUCAUGAUCGCAGCUAAGUCUUCGAGUGCGACGGAUAUGCCGCACUCGGAGCGAGUUGUUACUCAUGUAAUUGUCAGUGGUCUUGACAUCCACAUGAGCCUCAAUGAGGGUCUGCUGAGUCCCCGAGUGGAUCUGUAGGAUACACUCGAAGGUAAUAGAGUACUUAGGCGAUUCAUGAUCGCGGCGAAGUCUUCGAGUGCGACGGACAUGCUGCACUCGGAGCGAGUUGUUACUCAUGUAAUUGUCUGUUGUCUUGACAUCCACAUGAGCCUCAAUGAGGGUCUGCUACUCAUGUAAUUGUCAGUAGUCUUGACAUCCACAUGAGCCUCAAUGAGGGUCUGCUGAGUCCCCCAGUGUAUCUGUAGGAUACAAUCGCGGGAAGCUUUCCAAUUUCAGCGAUUCUUGAUCGCAGUUAAGUCUUCGAGUGUGACGAGUAGUGCACGCUCGGAGAAAGUUAUUACUUAGGCGAUUCUUGAUCGCAGCUAAGUCCUCGAGUGCGACGUUUAGUGCACACUCGGAUAAAGUUAGUACUUAGGUGAUUCUUGAUCGCAGCUAAGUCCCCGAGUGCGAUGUUUAGUGCACACUCGGAGAAAGUUAUUACUUAGGCGAUUCUUGAUUGCAUCUAAGUCCCCGAGUGCGACGUUUAGUGCACACUCGAAGAAAGUUAGUAGUUAGGCGAUUCUGGAUCGCAGCUAAGUUUUUUUUUGAGACCGGAGUCUGCGACCGCGGAAGAAUUUUGGAUCUGCAAAAUCUCAAUCUGCUUUAUAUUAUUUCACCAAUACUUGUUCUUUACAUUGCUUCAGUCGACGGUCACGUGUAGAAGCGCUUCAGGAGAUCAUCGUUCCAUGCUCGCGGCUCGUCUGUCUCCCUGUCGAUGUUGUAGAGUAUGUAUGCUCCGUUGUACAGCACCUUGGAGAUGAUGAAGGGUCCUUCCCAGGCAGGAGCGAACUUGUGAGGUCUUUGCUGAUCCACUCGGAGCACCAGGUCGCCUGCUUGGAACGUGCGACUCCUGACGUGUCGUGCGUGAAAACGCCGUAGAUCUUGUUGAUAAAUGGUUGAGAGAGUCAGUGCCAUCUCACGCUCCUCCUCUAGAAGGUCCACUCCGUCUUGCCUUGCUUGUUCUGCUUCAGCUUCGGAGAAGAGUUCGACUCGUGGAGCAUUUUGAAGCAAGUCACUCGGAAGGACUGCUUCUGCUCCGUAAACGAGGAAGAACGGUGAUCGCCCUGUAGAUCUGUUCGGGGUUGUGCGAAGACCCCAAAGUACUGAAGGUAGCUCGGUGACCCAUGCGCCAGCGGCAUGUCCCACCUCUCGCAGGAGUCGGGGGAUUCAAACCUUGCAGAAUAAGUCCAUUAGGCCGCUCUGCUUGUCCAUUGGAUUGAGGAUGCGCCACGGAUGCAAAAUCCACUCGGAUACCUUGGCUUGCAGAGAAACCUUUGAAUCUGUCCGAGUCAAAGUUUGUCCCGUUGUCCGUGAUUAUGCUGUGAGGUACACCGAAUCGGGAGAUGAUGUCCCUCACAAACUUGAUGGCUGUUAGGGCGUCGAGCUUCUUGAUGGGCUUGGCUUCAAUCCAUUUUGUGAACUUGUCGACUGCCACCAACAAAUGUGUGUAUCCUCCUUGGCCUGUCCUGAAUGGGCCGACUAUAUCUAAUCCCCAUACUGCAAACGGCCUCAUAAGAGGGAUUGUCUUCAACGCAGAUGUUGGCUUGUGGGACUUGUUGGAGCAGAACUGACAGCCUUCACAUCGGUCGACCAUAUCUUUAGCCAUUUCAUUUGCCUGCAACCAGAAGAAACCAGCUCUAAAUGCUUUGGCGGCGAUCACUCUCGAAGAGGCGUGAUGACCGCAGGUUCCCGAGUGAAUAUCUUCCAGGAUUAACUGUCCCUCCUCUGGGGAGAUGCAUCGUUGAAGAACGCCUGAAACGCUUUCCUUGUACAACUGGCCAUCAAUGACAGUGAACGACUUCGACCUGCGGACUAUCUGCCUGGCCUGGACUUCGUCUUCUGGUAAUUCCUACCUCAGGAUAUAUGCAAUGAUCGGCACAGUCCAAUCGGGGAUGACAGCAAGAAUCUCCAUGAUCAGAUCAACCACAGCAGGUACGUCGACUUCAGUCAGAUCUGUCGAACUCUUUGGUUGUACUGGUUCCUCUGUGAAAGGAUCUUCUUUGACUGAGGGAAGGUGGAGGUGCUCGAGGCAGACGUCACUCGGGACUGGUUUCCGAGUGGAUCCGAGUUUUGCCAACUCAUCAGCUGCUUGGUUCUUCAGUCGCGGAACAUGGUGGAGUUCUAGACCUUCAAACUUCUUCUCGAGCUUCCUCACUGCAUUGCAGUAUGUGGUCAUGGUGGGGUUCCUGACGUCCCACUCUUUCAUCACUUGAUUAACCACCAAAUCCGAAUCGCCAUAGACCAUCAGGCGACGGACGCCGAGUGCGAUGGCCAUACGCAGUCCAUAAAGGAGAGCUUCAUACUCUGCCUCAUUGUUGGAGGAAUCAAAGUGUAUCUGCAGCACAUACUUGAGUUUACGAUCGCAACGCCAGCGCCGGAGCCAUUCAACAUCUUGGACCCAUCGAAGAACAUUGUCCAAUGAGCCGAGUAGAUGUGGGUCGGUUGCUGCUGUUCUACCCAUUCUGCUAUGAAGUCAGCCAGGGCUUGAGACUUUAUAGCUUUAUUUGCCUCGAACUUGAUAUCGCAGUACAACAUCUCCAUUGCCCACUUCGCCACUCGGCCUGAUGCAUCCCGAUUGUGGAGGAUUUCCGCCAACGGAGCAUCAGAAACGACAGACACCGAGUGGUCUUGGAAAUAAUGGGCUACCUUCUUCGUAGUCAUGUAAAUCCUGUAGAUAAGUUUUUGAUAGUGGGGAUACCUCUGCUUGGAAGGAGUCAGGACUUCGGAGACAUAAUACACUGGCCGCUGAACUUUGUAUGCUUUGCCUUCUUCUUCUCGUUCGGCUGUAAGAACAGUGCUGACGACUUGAUUUGUAGCCGCGAUAUACAGAAGAAGGGGCUCUUUAAUGAGCGGAGCAGUAAGAAUUGGCUGGGUGGAAAGUAGGACUUUGAGGUCGUCGAAUGCGACUUGGGCUUCGUCUGUCCACUCGAAAGUAUCUGAUUUCUUCAUGAGUCGGUACAGAAGAAGUGCUUUCUCGCCGAGUCGACUGAUGAACCUGCUCAAAGCCGCUAGGCAACCUGUGUGCCGUUGAACAUCGUGUAUUCUGAGCGGCCUCUCCAUUCGGACGAUGGUCCCGAUCUUUUCGGGGUUGACAUGGAUCCCUCGUUCGGAAACGAAGAAACCGAGUAACUUUCCGUUGGGAACGCCGAAUGAACAUUUGGCGGGGUUGAGCUUGAUAUCGUACCUACGAAGGUUGGCGAAUGUUUCUGCCAAGUCAGUUAGCAGGUCAGAACCUUUGCGUGACUUGACUACGAUAUCAUCCAUAUACGCCUCCACAUUCCGACCGAUCUGGUCGAGGAGGCAAUUUUGGAUCAUGCGCAUAAAGGUAGCUCCUGCAUUCUUCAAACCGAAUGGCAUAGUGAUGUAGCAGAAGCACCCGAAUGGGGUGAUGAAGGCUGUUUUUAGUUCAUCGGGGCCAUACAGACGGAUCUGAUGAUAGCCCGAGUAGGCAUCAAGAAAUGACAAACGCUCGCAACCGCAGUCGAAUCGACAAUUUGAUCGAUGCGGGGGAGCGGAAAAUGGUCUUUCGGGCAGACCUUAUUGAGGUGCUUGAAGUCGAUGCACAUUCGGAGCGACUUGUCCUUCUUGGGAACCAUGACAACAUUGGCGAGCCACUCGGAGUGGUGAACCUCGCGAAUGAAGUUGGCUGCCAAAAGCUUGGCUACCUCUUCUCCGAUUGCCUUCCUCAUAUGCGCGGCGGACCGAGGCAGACGUUCUCGGAUAGGCCGAGCGGUGGGAUCCACAUGCAGUCGGUGCUUAGCUUACUCCCUGGGUACACCUGGCAUGUCAGAGGGUUUCCAUGCGAAGAUGUCCCAGUUCUCACGGACGAAUUGGGUGAGCUCGGCUUCCUAUUUAGGAUCGAGAGUGGUGGAGAUGUUCGUCGGGGCAGCAGUGUCGUCCGUCGUGUGGAUGCCGACCUUCUUCGUCUCUCCCGCCGACUGGAAUGCAGACUCCGAAGCUGGCUUCUUCGAACGCAUCAAGUCAGCAGGGUCGACUAUUUUCUUGUACUCGUCAAGCUCGAGGACGGCCAUCUGCUGGUCGGCGAUUCUUGAUCCCUGCUGCAGACACUCUUCGGCCCGCUGUCGAUUGCCCGUGAUUGUGAUCACACCUUUUGGGCCUGGCAUCUUCAGCUUCAGGUAUACAUAACACGGACGGGCCAUGAAACGCACAUACGCUGAGCGGCCCAGAAUUGCGUGGUAAGCGCUCUGGAAGUCCACCACUUCGAACGUCAGCUUUUCCUUGCGGAAGUUCUUGUCGGAGCCGAAAACGACGUCCAAUGCGAUCUGGCCGAGUGACUUGGCCUUCCGUCCAGGGACGACUCCAUGGAACUGCAUGCUUCUCUCGCUGAGUUUGGACAUCGGAAUGCCCAUCCCCUUGAGAGUGUCGGCGUACAUGAUGUUCAAGCCACUGCCACCGUCCAUGAGGACUUUGCGCAGUCAGACUCCUUCCACCACUGGAUCGACGACCAAAGCCUGUCUCCUUGGGGUGGGUACGUGCGCCGGAUGAUCCGACUGGUCAAAGGUGAUUGCAGUCUUAGACCAUUUGAGGAACUUGGGGUUGGUAGGGGUGGCCAUGUUCACCUCCCUGUUCACCAGCUUCAAUCGACUCUUGCUCUCAACGUCAGCAAAAAUCAUCAGUGUUGCAUGGACUUGGGGGAACGGAUCCUCCUUAUCUUCCUCAUCCUGUUCAUUGUCCUUUUCACUCGGUUGCCCUUCGCCGAACCCCUGGAUCAGGAGGCGACACUGUCGAGUGGUAUGCUUCGGAUAUAUGGGGUUGCCCUCUUCAUCCAUCUUCGUAUGAACCGGACAUGGCUGGUCCAGGAUGGGAUUAUUGAACUGCUUCUUCUUGGGGGUGAACUAAACCUUCCCUUUGCCCUUGAACUUGGCAUUGGUUACGGCUGCAGCUUCUGCCUGCGGAGUGGACGGAGCUUUCUGCUUCUGCUUUCGAGUGUUACUCCCAUCUCCAUCGGCGACUGUUUUGUGCUUGCCGCUUCGGAUGCGGUCCUCUUCUUCGCCAUUUGCAUAGCGUGCUGCUAUCUCCGUCAUCUUGCACAUGGAGAUGUCACCUGUUCAGCCGAACUUCAGGUACAGAUCCCUGUACCGCACGCUUGCCUUGAAGGCGCAGACUGCUUGAUGCUCUGUGACAUUCUCCACCGUGUGGUAGAGUGUUGUCCAACGCUGAAUGAAAUCAUGCAGGGGCUCAUUCUGCUUCUGGACGCAGUGCUGGAGCUCCACGAGGCCAGCAGGGCGCUUGCACGUCCCUUCGAAGGUCCUGAUGGACACUCGGGCCAGAUCUGCCCAGCUGUAGAUGCUUGAGGGGGCCAACUGGUUCAGCCACGCUCGCGCCGAGCCGUCGAGCAUCAGAGGGAGGUGCUUCAUGGCGACAUGGUCGUCUCCUCCUCCGAUCUGGACUACCACUCGGUAAUCAUCAAGCCACAUUUCUGGCUUGGAAUCUCCUGUAAAGUUGCUAAUUCCCGUCGCCAAUCGAAAGUUGGGAGGGAUGUCAGCCGAACGGAUGGAUCGACUAAAACACUCGGGACCAGAAACGAUGGUCCUGCUUCCACUCGGAUGGUCAAUAUCGUAACCCUCACGGUGGGCUCGGCCCCUGUCGACCCUCCGUUGGGCGAUAUGCCCUCUCGCGUCGGGCCUUGGGUCGUAAGUGUCACCGACUGAACGUCGAUCAUCAUGAUGUCGGGGCCCGUAGGGUCCACCCCGCGGAGGGGUGCGUGAACGGCGAGGAUCUUCGGGAUUUAUGGAACGGCUGCCUCCCCUGUGUCGCUGACGAGAGCUAGGGCUGUGAACUGACCGAUGCGUAUUCGCAUGAACAGAACUAUUGUGGAUCCUGUUGUGCGACUGGGAGACAACCGAAUUUUUCUGCUGCGCCGUGUGCAACAGGGCACGGAUUUGCUCGAUCCCCCUGCCAGCUUCUGAAUCAGUCGGCUGAAGGGAAUCGGCUAUCUUGGCAGCCGCAGCCAAGUUGAGGAGGGGUGUGCGGAACAACUCCACGUUGCUCCGCCAAGUGUGCCGACUGGCAGAACGGCGAGGCGGACGACGCGCGCCGGACGUUUCGCCGAUCUCGUGCUCGUUCCGGCCAGCUUGACGGGGAUCUUCAUGGGAGUUGGCCAUGUGUACUUCUGCUGCAGGCCCGCGACCCGCGUACUCGGAAGGAAACUCAGUCGGAACCGAGUCCGAGCGUUGGGACGACGGGGCAACCACAACCGACUCUAGAACCGCCACUUGUGAAGACGUGUUCUGGCGUGCCUGGGCGUGUUGCACCCAACACUAGAGCCGCGGACGGCGGGACCGCUUGUUGCAGCGUGUGACGGCGGUGUAGGUCGACACCGGAGCCGACUGCCGGGGAAGAAGAAUGCCACGGGCACCGGCAAGGAAGUGCGUAGCCCCGCGCCGGGGAAGCGCCUCGACGUCGAGAGGGGCGUCCCGAAGCCAUGCCGAAUCGUCGAUGAUGAAGGAGAGAGCGCCGAAGAAGAUCUCGUGACCCAUGCUCGAAUCUCCACCGGACGAUGACGAAAUGAUGUAGUCGCAAACUCGCCGGAAGUCGCUUAGAUGCCUGCCCCACGGUGGGCGCCAACUGUCGUGGGUAUAAGCCUGACAGUAGAUGUGUAGGGUACGAAAGGAUGGGCAGAACCUUAGCUAAGACGAGGUUGUAUGAGUUCAGGCCCCUCUGCGGUGGAGGUAAUAGCCCUACGUCUCAGUGCUCAGGGAGCUUGUUGUCGAGUGGAAUAUAGAAUACAGUGAAUUGCUAACCCCUGCACCAGUGGGAGAGGGUGGCUUAUAUAGAGUGCACUGCCCUCCACAACGGUUCGGUGCACAGGGGUGGAGUAGUGGUGAAUAAAUGCCUACGUUACAGGUAACAUAUGUCUUAAAUGUUAAUAAAGGCACAUAGAAACGUAUGACCAUUUCCCUCCACGGGGGUUACGAUGCACAGAGUGGAAUCCAGUCGGUUAGUUUGAUAAACUCUGAAUGUUAAUCUCCGAUUGGACGAUCGAGGAUCUGUUACCGACUGGAUGAAGGGAACUCCUUAGUUCAGUCGGAACUGGCUAAGGGCCUUGUCCCUUAUGAGGGGCAGAACUUGGGUUGGACCUUCAGGGCAGGCCUAUGACCCUACCCUAGGACUAUAACCCCAUCAGUGCGCCACAACGUUCCUCCCCCACCGGUUUUGGUCACGACCCACGCACUCCCUAACCCGCGUUCAGCGCCGGCCUCAACACCCAGUACAGCUACACGCCACCGGCGUACUCGUGAGCAGCCUUGCUUGCGCCGUCUGUGAGUCAUGGUGUCCUUCCAUUCGCGCCCACUUCGUCGUUGUAGUUUAACUACACCGAUGCCAACAUCGACGAGAUCAUCACGAGUGGCUCCGUCGCCGCCGCGUCGCACCUGGAGUUCGGCGGGCAGGAUGAAACAAUGGACACCACCGACGACAUUGACGACAACCUCGACGACGCGAAGGAGGAGGAGGGAGAGGGAGUGGCAGUGGAGGUGGACUCGAAACCAGUGCCGAAGAAGAAGGGAAGGACGAGAAAGCACGCGGCCAAUGCAUGGCCAGUCGGACCACGCGUGAAGUGGAUGUCAAAGAAAGACGAGUGCCUUGGCGAAGCAUGGAAGACCGUAAGCAUGGACCCGAUCACCAGCGUGAAUCAGAACACCGCGAGGUACUCGGGGAGAAUCAAAAUGGUGUUUGACGAAGCAAGCUGGUCGACCCCGACUUCACCUUCAUCCACAUGGACCGCGGCGAUAAGGCCAUGGCGAACCGCAGGUCGACAAUCCAGAUGGCCUGCAACAGGUGGCAUGGGAUCAUCGAGGAGGUCCCUGCUCGCCCGAAAAGAGGCGCCAAUGUCGAGGGUCAGGUAUGGACAAAGUUCGCCGGCCCUAGUUCGCCGCGUCGUCGUGUACUUUUCUGACAUGUUUUGUUUGCGGUUUUGUGCAGAUCAUUCGGACGUUCGCCAUGUAUCGCGGCGACAAUGAGGACCAAGAGUUUAGGUUCCUUCAUGUGUUUUCCAGGAUUGGGUCAUGUGAGAAGUGGAGGAAAGUUUGGCUCACUCUCGACAAGGCCAAGGAGACCUCCAACCCGGACGAGCCUGCCUACCUGCGACAGAAGGGCGUUGAGAUGGCACCAAAAAACCAGGCCGGCGAGGGACGUGGCGCCCGCUGUCGAACGGCUGCAAGCUUUGAUCGAGCAAUGCAUAUCCAACGCCAAGACGAAUGCUGCCAAGAGGGAGGAGAAAUCCGGUGCGCGGCGGUCGGUAUUGAUGGCGAACCAGCACGUCAAUCUUAACCUUCUCAGGACCAACGUCGCCGCGAAGAAGAGGAACACCGACCUGGCGUUCUUGAUAGGGGCACACAGGUCGACGAUGGACAAGUAGGUUGUUGGAAAUAUGGCCUAGAGGCAAUAAUAAAUUAUUUAUUAUUAUAUUUACUUGUUCAUGAUAAUUGUUUAUUAUCCAUGCUAGAAUUGUAUUGAUUGGAAACUCAAAUACAUGUGUGGGUACAUAGACAACACACUGUCCCUAGUGACCCUCUAAGGACUAGUUGGUUGAUCAAAGAUGGUCAAGGUUUCCUAACCAUAGACAUGAGAUGUCGUUUGAUAAUGGGAUCACAUCAUUGGAAGAAUGAUGUGAUGGACAAGACCCAACUAUGAACGUAGCAUAUGAUCGUGUUAGUUUAUUGCUACUGUUUUCUGCAUGUCAAGUAUGUGUUUCUUAUAAGGAGUCUGUUGGGUUGGCGUGAAUCGAGAAUGGAUUUUGUCACUUCGUAUGACGGAGAGGUAUCUCUAGGGCCCACUCGGUAAUAUAACAUCACAAUGAGCUUGCAAGCAAUGUGACUAAAUAGUUAGUCACGGGAUCUUGUAUUACAGAAUGAGUAAAGAGACUUGUCGGUAGUGAGAUUGAACUAGAUAUAGAGAUCCCGACGAUCGAAUCUCGGGCAAGUAACAUACAGAUGGACAAAUGGAAUAGUGUACGGGAUUAACUGACACUAGUAAAAAACGGGGUUAAAGUCCCGGUUGGUAAGGGCCUAUAGUCCCGGUUCUCCAACUCGGACUAUUAACUUGGGACUAAAGACCCUCCCUUAGUUCCGGUUUGCCACGAACCGGGACUAACGGCCCUCCACGUGGCUGCUAGGCCUCGAGGACCUUUAAUCCCUGUUGGUGUUACCAACCGCGACUAAAAGUUUUUUUCGAUUUUUUUUAAAAUACUAAAUUCAUUUUUUUAAAUUUUUACGAUUUUCAAAGCUUUGAAUUAUUUGACAAUUUAAUCUCUAAUCACCCCUACACCCUUCGGUGUUACCAACCGUGACUAAAAGUUUUUUUUCGAUUUUUUUAAAAACUAAAUUAAUUUUUUUUACUUUUUAUGAUUUUCAAAGCUUUGAAUUAUUUGACAAUUUAAUCUCUAAUCACCCCUACUCACUCCUCCAGCGUGGAUCACUCAUUUAAAAUCGUCUAACUUCCCGGCCAGUCACUCACUCCACUCAUUUCAAACUUUGAAAUAUUUGACAAUUUAAUCUCUAAUCACCCCUACUCACUCCUCGAGCGUGGAUCACUCAUUUAAAAUCGUCUAACUUCCCGGCCAGUCACUCACUCCACUCAUUUCGAAUCAUCUAACUUCCCGGCCGGUCACCCAUCCUCUCAAAAAUCGAGCCCAAGCACGCUUAACUUUCCGGUUCUAUCCUCACUAGUUUCCAAGUCUCCACUUGUUGUUUACUUGAGAAUAGUAAGCUAUCAAUCCUAUUAACCCUUAUGUCUUAAUGUCACAUGAUUUAAUUUUUUGAAUUCCAAACAAUUAUUAAAAUAAACAACAAUGAUUAAUAAACAACAAUAAUUAGUUUUAAAACUAAAAAAACUUCAAAAAAGGCAAAAAAUUCAAAAACACUCAAAUAAUUCUUAAAAAGCAUAAAAAACAAAAAAUCCAAAAUAACUUAAAAAGUUCAAAAUAAAAUGAGUAAUAAUAAUAAUAUUGAAUUUCUAUGAAAAUCAAAUAAGUCAUAAUAAUAUUUUAUUAAUUUUUGCCAUUUAUUCAUUUAAUAUGGCAUAAUUAAUAACUUUAGAUCUAUAAAUCAAAACUCGACAAAUAAUAUAUCCCUUAUUAUCACAAAAAAUGUGAGGAAUCCAUGUAUGACACCUUUUUUAAAUAAAAUUAGUAAUGACUAACAUAGCAAUAAAGUAAUAUUAACUAAUUAUAAAACAAAUUAUUGUCAAACAACACAAAUAAAGUUAAUUAUAUUAAAGUGCCAAGUUUCAACCUUUUCAGUGUUCAUUUGUAUUGCUUUUUAAUUCCAGGAUCAUUUAGCUAAAAAACUAGUAAUUGCAUGAAAAGUAGAAAAUGAAGUUAGAAAGGGUUGAAAUUUGAAGAUGUGGCUUAGAAUGGUGCAUAAUGAAUGCAAAAAAAAUAUGGAGUUGAAAUAAGUUAAAAAAUGAAAUGUCUUUGUAACAGAUGAGUUUUCGUCCGAAACCCUCAUACUUCGAAGGAGAUGGUCCAGUUUGUGCACGAAGUGCAUCUAGUUUUUAUUGUAACCCUCUAAACUUUGUACCACAUGCUAUGUGGUCGAAAUGAUGAUACCAUGCCAAGUUUCAACCUUUUAAGUGUCCAUUUGUAUUUCUUUUUAAUUUCAGGAUCAUUUAGCUAAAUGCAUGAAAUGUAGCAAAUGAAGUUAGAAAGGGUUGAAAUUUGAAGAUGUGGCUUAGAAUGGUGCAUAGUAAAUGCACAAAAAGUCUGGAGUUGAAAUAAGUUUAAAAAAUUAAAUGUCUUUGUAACAGAUGAGUUUUCUUCUGAAACCCUCAUACUUCGAAGGAGAUGGUCCAGUUUGUACACGAAGUGCAUCCGGUUUUUGCUGUAACCCUCUCAAAUUUUAGCACAUACUAUGUGGUCGAAAUGAUGAUACCAUGCCAGGUUUCAACCUUUUUAGUGUUCAUUUGUAUUGCAUUUUAAUCCCAAGGUCAUUUAGCUAAAAACAUUAAAUGCAUGAAAAGUAGCAAAUGAAGUUAGAAAGGCUUGAAAUUUGAAGAUAUGGCUUAAAAUGGUGCACAGUAAAUGCACAGAAAGUCUAGAGCUGAAAUAAGCUCAAAAAUGAAAUGCCUUUGUAACACUUGAGUUUUUGUCUCAAACCCUCAUACUUCGAAUGAGAUGGUCGAGUUUGUACACGAAGUGCAUCCAGUAUGUGGUCGAACUGAUGAUACGAUGCCAAAUUUCAACCUUUCCAGAGUUCAUUUGUAGCGACAUCAAUUAAAAACAACAAUUAAAUGUUCAAAACAACUAUAUAAGCAAAACACUAAUGUUUUAAUUGAAAUCCUAAUUUAAAUUAUUCUAAAAAUAACCAAAUAGAUCUUACUGUGACAACAAUCUAACAUGUGACUAGGAGUAAAAAGAAUUAAACUAAAAAGUAUUUUUGAACUCAAUUUAUUUACAAUCUAGGUUUUGAAGCAAAUUUGAACAAUUCAAAUUUAAACCAUUCAAAUUUGAAAACUAAGGGGCAAACAGAAACUAGACAAAUUUUUGAAUCUAAUGUAAACAGAAUCACUCAAAAACAUCAAAUAUCCUAAAAGAUAUAAGGAAUUUAAAACAGAAAGUAAAAAUAGACGACAAAUAGAAAAACAGAAAAGAAACUUCCGAAACCCUUUAGUUGGGGUUGGUAUCUCCAACCGGGAGUAAAGGUUAAACCCCCUUUAGUCCCGGUUCGUAUCACCAACCGGGACUAAAGGUCUAUCUCUAGUCCCGGUUGGUGAUACCAACCGGGACUAAAGGGGCCCGUAGGGGCCUCAGUGUGACACCAGCGUGCCACCACCACUUUAAUCCCGGUUGGUAACACCAACCGGGACUAGAGUUCACAAAUGAACUGGGACUAAAGCCUAGCCGUUGGAAUCAGGAAUAGAGGUCACAUUAGUCCUGAUCCAAAAUCCAACCGGGACUAAUGCUCCAAACGAAAGGUCCUUUUUCUACUAGUGUGAAUCCUUGACAUAGAGGUUCUACCGAUAAAGAUCUUCGUAGAAUAUGUAGGAACCAAUAUGGGCAUCCAGGUCCCACUAUUGUUUAUUGACCGGAGAGUGUCUCGGUCAUGUGUGCAUAGUUCUCGAACCCGCAGGGUCUGCACACUUAAGGUUCGGUAACGUUUUGGUAAAGUUGACUUAUGUAUGUUGGUGACCAAAGGUUGUUCGAAGUUCCAGAUGAGAUCCGGAUGUCACGAGGAGUUCCGUAAUGGUCCGUAGACGAAGAUUGAUAUCUAGGAAGAGGGUAGUUGGGCUCCGGACUGGUUUCAGGCAUUUUCGGUAGUGUACUGGGAAUGGCAAUGUUGGAAAUAUGCCCUAGAGGCAAUAAUAAAUUAGUUAUUAUUAUAUUUCUUUGUUCAUGAUAAUCAUUUAUUAUCCAUGAUAUAAUUGUAUUGAUUAGAAACACAAAUACAUGUGUGGAUACAUAGACAAAACACCGUCCCUAGUAAUCCUCUAGUUGACUAGCUCAUUGAUUAAAGAUGUUCAAGGUUUCCUGACCAUAAACAAGUGUCGUCACUUGAUAACGGGAUCACAUCAUUGGGAGAAUGGUGUGAUGGACAAGACCCAAACUAUAAACGUAGUAUAUGAUCGUGUCAGUUUAUUGCUACUAUUUUCUGCAUGUCAAUGUAUUUGUUCCUAUGACCAUGAGAUCAUGCAACUCCCGGACACCGGAGGAAUACCUUGUGUGUAUCAAACAUCGCAAUGUAACUGGGUGACUAUAAAGGUGCUCUACAGGUAUCUCCAAAGGUGUCUGUUGGGUUGGCGUGGAUCAAGACUGGUAUCUGUCACUCCGUGUGACGGAGAGGUAUCUCGAGGCCCACUCGGUAAUACAACAUCACAACAAGCCUUGCAAGCAAUGUGACUAAGGAGUUAGUUACAGGAUUUUGUAUUACGGAACAAGUAAAGAGACCUGCAGGUAAGGAUAUUGAACUAGGUAUGGUGAUACCUACGAUCGAAUCUUGGGCAAGUAACAUACCGAAGGACAAAGGGAAUAGUAUACGGGAUUGUAUGAAUCCUUGACAUAGAGGUUCAACCGAUAGAGAUCUUCGUAGAAUAUGUAGGAGCCAAUAUGGACAUCCAGGUCCUGCUGUUGGUUAUUGACCAUAGAGUGUCUCAGGUCAUGUGUGCAUAUUUCUCGAACCCGCAGGGUCUGCACACUUAAGGGUCAGUGACGUUUCAGUAUAGUUUAGUUAUAUGUGUUGGUGACCGAAGUUUUGUUCCGUGUCCCGGAUGAGAUCCAAAUGUCAUGAGGAGUUCUGGAAUGGUCCGGAAACGAAGAUUGAUAUAUAGGAAGUUGGUAUUUGGAUUCCAGAAGGUUUUCGGGCAUUGCCGGCAGUGUACCGGGAGUGACGAAUGGGUUUCGGGGGCCCACUGGGUGGGCCCACCACGCCCCAAGGGGUCCACAUGGGUUUAUUGGAUGCGCAAUAAGGUAUAAUGGGCUGACAAAGUCAUCCAAGGAAAGCCCAUGAGGAAAAAGUGGAAAAUCCAGAAGAGGUGGGAAAUUAAGGAAGGAGUCCUAAUCCAAGUGGGAUUGGAGGAGGACUCCUCCCUCCUCCAGUUCGGCCGACACAAGGGAGACUCCCUUGGCGCGCGAAGGCUGCCUUAUCCCUCCUCCUAUAUAUACUAGAGGUUUAGGGCUUUUGAGACACAACUUUGCCAUGUGCUGCCCACUCCUCUAGUUCGUAGUUCUUUCUCUAGAUCGGUUUUCUGCGGAGCUCGGGCGGAGCCCUGUGAUACGUCUCCAAUGUAUCUAUAAUUUUUGAUGGCUCCAUGCUAUUAUAUUGUCAAACUUUGGAUGUUUUGUAGGCAUUUUAUAUCUUUUUUGGGACUAACUUAUUAACUCAGUGCCAAGUGCCAGUUUCUGUUUUUUUCGUGUUUUGACCUUUUUCAGAGGAGAAUAUCAAACAGAGUCCAAACGGAAUAAAACCUCCGAAAAGAUUUUUCCGGAACAGAAGAUACGCAGGAAGCUUGAGAACCAAGGCAAAAGCUCCCGAGGGAGGCCACAAGCCCCCUAUUUGCGGCCUGGGGGGGGCGCCCAGCAGGCUUGUGGACCCCCCGUGGCUCCUUUGCCCUACUUCUUCCGCCUAUAAAUCCCAAAAAAAUCUGAAACCACAGGAGAGAGCCACGAAAAUACUUUUCCGCCGCCGCAAACUUCUGUCUCCGCAAGAUCCCAUCUGGGGCAUGUUCUGGUGUCCUGCCGGAUGGGGGAUUCGGACACGGAGGGCUUCUUCCUCAACACCAUUUCCACUGUGAUGAUGCGUGAGUAGUUCACCACAAACCUUCGGGUCCAUAUCUAGUAGCUAGAUGGCUUCUUCUCUCUAUUGGAUCUUCAAUACAAAGUUCUCCAUGAUCUUCAUGGAGAUCUAUCCGAUGUAAUCCUCUUUUGCGGUGUGUUUGUCGAGAUCUGAUGAAUUGUGGAUUUAUGAUCAAAUUAUCUAUGAAUCUUAUUUGAGUUUCCUCUCAUCUCUUAUAUGCAUGAUUCCAUAUCCUUUUAAUUCUCUUCGAGUUGUGGGUUUUGUUUGGCCAACUUGAUCUAUGAUUCUUGCAAUGGGAGAAGUGCUUGGUUUUGGGUUCAUACCGUGCGGUGUCCUCACCCAGUGACAGAAGGGGUAGUGAGGCACACAUCAUGUUGUUGCCAUCAAGGGUAAAAAGAUGGUGUUUAUAUCUAUUGCAUGAAUUUAUCCCUCUACAUCUUGUCAUCUUGCUUAAGGCGUUACUCUGUUUGUUAUGAACUCAAUACACUAGAUGCAUGCUGGAUAGCGGUCGAUGUGUGGAGUAAUAGUAGUAGAUGCAGAAAGUAUCGCUCUACUUGUCUCGGACGUGAUGCCUAUAUGCAUGAUAAUUUCCUUAGAUAUUGUCGUGACUUUGCGCGGUUCUAUAAAUUGCUCGACAGUAAUUCGUUCACCCACCGUAAUAUUUGCUAUCAUGAGAGAAGCCUCUAGUUAACACUAUGUCCCCCGGGUCUACUUCCCAUCAUAUUUUCAGCUCUACACUUUUACUUUGUUGCACUUUCCGCCUUCAGAUCCCAUCUUGGAGUUAACCGUGAAGGGAUUGACAACCCCUUUAUAGUGUUGGGUGCAAGUUUGCUGUUUUUGCGCAGGUACUUUGGAGACUUGCCUUGAUACUCCUACUGGAUUGAUACCUUGGUUCUCAAACUAAGGGAAAUACUUCCUGCUACUGUGCUGCAUCACCCUUUCCUCUUCAAGGGAAAAACCAACGCAAGCUCAAGAGGUAGCAAGAAGAAUUUCUGGCGCCAUUGCCGAGGAGGAGGAUCAAGUCAAGAAUAGUCUCCCGUCAACGUGCCAAUUUCUCGCGCCGUUGCCGAGGAGCAUCAAGUCAAGAAUAGUCUUCCUCCAACGUGUCAAUUUCUGGCACCGGGGAUUAUUCUAAGUGAAGCUUAUCCAAGUAAUUCUCGCAAACUCAGCUCUUGCAUUUACUUUUUUUGCCUCUCGUUUUCCUCUCCCCCACUUCUGAAAAACAAAAAUUUACAAAAAUAUUUGGCUUUUUGGUUCGCCUUUUCUUUCGCUUGCUUUCUGUUCGCUUGUGUGCUUGUCUGCUUGCUGAAGCCACCAUGACUGAAAUACCAAACUUUGUGACUUCUCGAAUACUAAUAAUAAUGUUUUUAUUAGUACUCCGAUUGCUCCUUCCACUAGUGCGGAAUCAUAUGAAAUCAAUGCUGCUUUGCUGAAUCUUGUUAUGAAAGAGCAAUUCUCUGGCCUUCCUAGUGAAGAUGCCGCAUCCCAUCUUAAUACCUUCAUUGAGUUAUGCGAUAUGCAAAACAAGAAAGAUGUGGACAAUGAUGUGAUUAAAUUGAAGCAAUUUCCGUUCUCAUUGCGAGAUCGAGCAAAAACUUGGUUUUCAACUUUGCCCCAAAAUAGCAUUGAUUCUUGGAAGAAGUGCAAAGAUGCUUAUAUAUCCAAGUAUUUUCCACCGGCUAAGAUUAUCUCUCUCCGUAAUGAUAUAAUGAACUUUAAGCAACUAGAUCAUGAACAUGUUGCACAAUCUUGGGAGAGAAUGAAAUUGAUGAUUAGAAAUUGUCCCGCUCAUGGCUUGAGUCUUUGGAUGAUUAUACAAAUUUUCUAUGCUGGUUUGAAUUUUGCUUCUAGAAAUAUCCUUGAUUCCUCUUUUGGUGGAACUUUCAUGGAAAUCACAUUAGGAGAAGCCACAAAACUCCUAGACAAUAUCAUGACAAACUAUUCUCAAUGGCACACUGAAAGGUCACCUACUAGUAAAAAAGUGCAUGAUAUAGAAGAAAUUAACUAGUUGUGUGCUAAGAUGGAUGAGUUAAUGAAUUUUUUUGCUAGUAAAGGUGCUCCUUUAGAUCAAAUGAUAUGCCGUUGUCUUCCUUGAUUGAGAGUAGCAAUGAGAGCUUGGAUGUUAAUUUUGUUGGUAGGAAUAAUUUUGGCCACAACAAUGCUUUUAGAGGUAACUAUAUUCCUAGGCCUUUUCCUAGUAAUCCCUCUAAUAACUUUGGCAAUUCCUACAACAAUGAUCAUGGAAAUUACAAUAAAUUACCCUAUGAUUUAUAGAGUAAUAUUAAAGAGUUUAUCAACUCGCAAAAGAUUUUCAAUGCGUCCAUAGAAGAAAAACUACUCAAAAUUGAUGGCUUGGCUAGGACCGUUGAUAGAAUGUCUCUUGAUAUUGAUGCUUUGAGAGUGAGAUGUGCUCCUCCCAAGAUCAAUAUGGAUGAAACUUUGAAAGCUAUGCGUGAGACUAAAGAAAGAACUGCCCAAAUUCGUGCUAGACAUGAAUGGCCUAAAAAUAUGUGUUCUCGUGAUGAGAAUCACGAAGAUCUUUGUGACACCCUCGUAGUUGAGCUAUAGUAACCGCACCCUAAUGAUGCUAGGUCAUCAUAUUUAACUGAGCUAGAUUGUCACUUAAUAAAAAUCAAAGCAGUUAUCAUAUUUAGUUUAAAGACAAACGAAUAAAAUUUUCAAAUGUUUGAGUUGUAGGAGAUAAAAAUGGUUAAUAUAUUUUCUAAACUAGAAUGUAGAAAAAUAUAAAAAUAAAUAAAUAAGCAAAAAGGUAAAACAAAACUGAAAAUGAAAUACAAAAAACAAAACAAAAAAAACAAAACAAGACCUUCACUCCACUGGGCCGAACCCAAUCAGCCCACCUAAACUACCCGAGCCCACUUCCAGCGGGAGGUAUAAAAGCCCCCAUGGAAACCCUAACCGGGCCGCUCCCUCCCCUCCACACUUCCUGCCGCCGCCACUACCGAGUAUCGAACGAGGGAACCUCCCCUCGUCCCCCCACGUCCAACCUCUCCCACUCGGACGUCCCACCCCACCUACCACGCCCACACCCCACCAGAUCCCCUCACUUACCGCACCAUCCCUCUCUCCCCUUCGCGCCCUCCCAACGAGAGCCCACCACCGAGCGCUCGCCCCUUCCCUCGUGGCUCACCACUGAGCCCGUGUGCUCGCCCCCUGAAUCGCUCGCCCCGGCUUCCAUCUAUCCCGCGACGCCCCCUGCCUUCCCCGUCCCGGCGCCCUCCUGGCGGCCCCCAUCCGGGCGCCACACCUUCGGCCGCCGGCCGCCGGCCCUCCUCCGCCUCACCAGCGCCACCGGCCUCUACCAAAGCCCCAACAAGCACUGCCCACCGGCCUCCUCCAUCGUUCCCGUGCUCCACAACGGCGUCGACCAGCCCCCUCCCUGUCGCCCCGGCACCACCGCCACCACCUCCCCGCCCCCUGCUCUCCAACGGUGGUGAGCACCACCGGGGCUCCACCCUCUCUCCCUCUAGAGCUCCCGUAGAUCACCGUAGCUAGCCCCCAUCGUAACCGAUCUCUGCUCGCCGCCACGGUCGAUGUAGAUGGUCUCAAAAUGCCAAAUGAUGGACGAAACUGCGUUCCCGAGCCAUGCCGUUGUUUCUGGCUCUCGUCGGGGCAACUCCGGUGCGCCACUGCGGGGGAAAACACCGGCCACCACAUGCUGGGUCGCUGACUCGUGGGUCCGCACCGUCAGUAAUUAACUUAGUGAUAAUCUGCGAUUAAUUAAAAUGCUAAUAGUCACCGACGACCGGGUCCCAAAAUCAGAUAUGAAAAGAGUCACAAACACACAAAAACCAGGAACUGGCACUUGGCACUGAGUUAAUAAGUUAGUUCCAAAAAAGAUAUAAAAGGUACAUAAAACAUCCAAAUAUGACAAGAUAAUAGCAUGAAAUCAUCAAAAAUUAUAGAUACGUUUGAGACGUAUCAGGCAUCGAUCGAAUGCAUGUUGAGAAAUACCAUCCUUGCCCCUCGAUGAUUUGUGAAAUCAUCGUCAACCUUAUUGCCUUCCCUCCAACACAAACUUGUUCAUGUUUUGUGUUGUCCCUUAAGUUCCUUGUUGUUCAGCUUAUGUUAUUUUCUACUUGGAGUAUUACCAUCUUUAUGUCAAGGAUGUCGUGAGAAUUGCACACGUCUUGAGAAUUCUUGAUAUAGUAAUACUUCUCGCCAUCAACAUCCAUUUCUUGGUCCCGUGUUGUUUCUAACCGGCGUACCGACAAGUGAACUUUGAUGUGUGAUUCCAAUACUUCUGUCAACCCUACUGCUUUGGGGUUAACAACUGAUUGUUUCAUUCUUAUUGUGUUGGGUAUUGACUCAUCAUUUUUGACAUUGGUUGUGCUACUUCGUCCGUAUUUCCGAGUGCGCCAUUCGACCAAUGUUUAAUUGUUUUUCUUCCCUCGAGCAUACGACAUUAUAUCAUUUGAUUUAACAAAUGCUAUCUCCUUGAUAUUAUAACUUUGAAAAUUCAUCCCUGUCAAGAUGUUGGGGGAUUGUUGUUGAGUCCAUCAGCCACACCCUCAACUUCUCCAUGUUCCACGGUGAAGCUCUUGGAAGAAUUAUCCUUGUGCCUAGAUCAUGAAGAAUAUGUUGGAUAGAAGAAGUGUAUUUCCCAUAGUUCACGUGCACUCUUUCCGCCGAGAAUAUGUGAAAGUUUUGUUCUGCUUUCUCUGGGAUCAUACCAAAUCAUUCACGCAUGUGCGAAGUGUUAUAUGUUUUGAAGAUUUAUUAUCUUCACCUGAUAUAAAUUCUCUUAGCACGCCAAUCCACUGACUGGUUUGAUCAAGGAAAAGAAGUUUCUUCAUAAGAGCUAAUCGAGGCUUACACAAGGGCCUUGAUAUCCUCGGUGAGGGUUCUCAAAUCAGAACUCAGUUGCAUUUUGGCGUAGGAAUUCUUUGUGGGCACGGAUGUCUUGACAUUGUGUUCGUAUGUCUUACAAUCAUAUGUCUUAUAAUCGAACUCAUGAUUCAAGAAUUUCUUGUGUAGCUCAUAUCAUGAGAAUCUUGUAUCUUUAUCCUUCUUCUCAGGCAUCUUGAGUCUGAGAUGUCCUGACACCAAUCAGAUUUGAAUAUCGGGCAUAUAUGACGGUCGGAACAUUUUCCCAAUAAUUAUUACUUUGGUAUUUAUGUAACCGGUACGGUGAUGUCUUGUCUGGAACACCGGGCCGAAGGACCUAUUGUUAUAAAUUCUCUUAUAUGUAAGAUUCUCCAUCUUUCAUGCGGAAACUAUAUGACUUAGUUUUAUAAGUUGUUCCUCAUGAAUCCUCUUUGUGUACCUAUAAGUCCAACCUUACCUGAUGACCAUGUCGAUGCUAUCUCGAAGCCCGAAUGUGGUACUUCAAUUGUCAACAGGAACAUUGGUAGCGCAAAGCUAAAUUGUCCCUGAUCGAUUAUCGAACCCGUAUGGUAUGGGUAAAAAUCAUGAUUCUUUUUGCCUCUUUAUCAAAAUGGAUAUGUAUUGGAUGACCUAUCAUGUAUACCAUACUCUAUGUUUUCCCCGGGAAUGGUAUAUUUUAGUAGUUGUGUAUGUGAACACAUUUUCCUUCCUAUUGGUUUGUUUGACCUUCCUUGUGGCAUAACUUAUCUAAGCAGUGUUAGUUCCCUGCUUAGGUAAAAAUCUCGGUAUACAACUCUGUCAGUAAAAGCCUGUUACUAUUGUGGAUAACAUUCAGGUAGCCCCCGGUGGACGAGAACUUUGCCUAUUGGCCCGCCUCGUUUCAACGAGCAGGAAAAUGGUUCUAUUCGUCCCCCGCCCUUGGUACCGACGUGGUUGCCAACAUAACUGACAAGCUAACCUCUGACAUGUCUUGCUACCAAGAUGGUAUAAUAUGUCACUCCUCUGCCUACUCUCGGCCCACAUGGUGGACCCAUAACCCAAAGUUCCACAGGAUUGAAACCUGGCAAUCAUGUACCUCUUUGACUCCAAAGUAUCCUCUGCACUUGGCUUCGUAUGAAAUUCCGGAGCCACGUUUUGUAAUCAAGGGCAAGUUAGAUCCUUGCUAUAUUGGUCCUUUCACUGUUCUCGAAAAGCGUGGAAAAGUGGCUUAUCAAUUGGAACUACCGGUGAACCUUUCUCAGGUUCACGAUGUCUUCCAUGUGUCCCAGCUCCGACGCUGCUUCAAGGAUCAUAUUUGAGCAGUGGAUCAUGAUAUGCUUGAGCUUCAAGAAGACCUUUCUUAUAAAGGACAUCCGGUCCGUAUUCUCGACCAAGCUGAACGUAAGACUCGUCGCAAAGUCACCAAGUUCAUCAAAGUGAUAUUGUCAAAUCAUUUUGAAGAUGAGGCCACUUGGGAACGUGAGGAUCAUCUUCAUGAUGAAUACCCCGAGCUCUUUCCUUCUACCUCUUAAUUCUCGGGACGAGAAUUCUUGUAAAUAGGGGAGAGUUGUGACACCCCGGUAGUUGAGCUACAGUAAGCACACCCUAAUGAUGCUAGGUCAUCAUAUUUAACUGAGCUAGAUUGUCACUUAAUAAAAAUCAAAGCAGUUAUCAUAUUUAAUUUAAGGACAAACGAAUAAAAUUUUCAAGUGUAAAAAAAAUGAUUGAGUUGUAGCAGAUAAAUAAUGGUUAAUAUAUUUUCAAAACUAGAAUGCAGAAAAAUAUAAAAAUAAAGAAAUAAGCAAAAGGGUAAAAUAAAACUAAAAUGAAAUACAAAAAAAACAAUAAAACAAAACAAGACCUUCACCCCACUGGGCCGAACCCAAUCAUCCCACCUAAACUACCCGAGCCCACUCCCACCGGGGGUAUAAAACCCCCAUGGAAACCUUAAGCGGGCCGCUCCCUCCCCUCCACACUUCGUGCCGCCGCCACUACCGAGUACCGAACGAGGGAACGUCCCCUCAUCCCCCCCACGUCCCACCUCUCCCACUCGGACGUCCCACCCCACCUACCACGCCCAGACCCCACCAGAUCCCCUCACUUACCGCACCAUCCCUCUCUCCCCUUCACUCCCUCCCCAUGAGAGCCCACCACCGAGCGCUCGCCCCUGCCCUCGUGGCUCACCACCGAGCCCUUGCGCUCGCCCCCUGAAUCACUCGCCCCGACUUCCAUGUACCCCGCGGCGCCCCCUGCCUUCUCCAUCCCGGGCCCUCCCGGCGGUCCCCAUCCGGGCGCCACACCUCUGGCCGCCAGCCGGUGGCCCUCCUCCGCCUCACCAGCGCCACCGACUGCCCCCACCAGCCUCCAUUGGCCUCUACCGAAGCCCCAGCGAGCACCCCCCACCAGCCUCCUCCACCGUUCCCGUGCCCCAUAACGGCGCCGACCAGCCCCCCCCCCUGUCGCCCCAGGCACCACCGCCACCACCUCGCUGCUCCUUGCUCUCCAAUGGUGGUGAGCACCACUGGGGCUCCACCCUCUCUCCCUCUAGAGCUCAUGUAGAUCAUUGUAGCUAGCUCCCACCGUAACUGAUCUCUGCUCGCCGCCAUGGUCGAUGUAGAUGGUCUCUGCACGCCAAAUGAUGGACGAAGCUGCGUUUCCGAGCCGCGCUGUUGUUUCUGGCUCUCGUCGGGGCAACUCUGGUGCGCCACUGCGGGGGAAAACGCCGGCCACCGCAUGCUAGGUCGCUGACUCGUGGGUCCGCACCGUCAGUAAUUAACUUAGUGAUAAUGUGCGAUUAAUUAAAAUGCUAAUAGUCACCGACGACCGGGUCCCACCUUGUUAAAUAAUCAGUAAUUAAGAAUAAUCCUAAUUAAACUAUAGUCACUGACGCAUGGGGGCUGUCCACUAUUCGAGUGGAUAAGCCCGGCCCAGUCAGCAUGCUGACUCAGCAGGCUGGCCCACCUGUCAGCCUGUGUUGACUGGUCCACUGACCAGUCAAUUGGGGCCCCUAGGUCAGCCUCUGCCGCCUCUUUGGGUGCACUGGACCGGGUGCACCCAACAAAUUCCUUUUUUUAUUAAUUUAAAUUUGUUAAUUUCAUAAUAUUGUUUAAUCUUUGAAAAUUAAUAUAAAAUAAAUCGUAGCUCGGAUGGAAAAACUUUAUACAUCAAAGUUGAUCAGCAGAACGAGACGAACCCGGAUACGCGGUCUAUUCGUGUGCCACGCGUCUCUAGCAGAGCAAACAUGGAACUUUUCCACCGUUUUUCAUCUGACCGGUAGAAACCAAAGACCCGGGAAAUAUCAUCUGAUAUUUUCCCGAUCCGUCUAUGACGGAUGUUACUUCGUUAGGUCACCCUAGCUCGAUGUAAUACCUUGUCAUGCUUUGUUGUUCGUUUGCUUGCUCUCUUAUUUAUUGUGUUUCCCCUUCGUUAUUUCCUUUCUGGUAGACCCUGAGAACGGCGAUGAUCCGGUGAUCGACUACUCUCCGGUCGAGGAACCGUUUUGUCUGCAGAGCAACCAGGCAAGCAAACCCCCCUUGAUCAUUCCUAUAUCGCCUAUGUCUUUCUCCCUACUGCUUGCAUUAGUAUUUUGCUACUGUUGUAGUUAGCUCCUAUUUCUGAUGCAUAUCCUGUUUUUGAUGAGCUGCUACUUUCAGCAUUGUACUUUUAAUCUGCUUAGUAUAGGUGGAGCAGUCAUCCCUUCUGACCCCGUAGUCUAGUUGCCCCGCUUGUUUUUUUUCAAAUCUCGAUCCCAGAUCGACGAGCCAUACCCGACACAGCACAUACACCCCCCUUAGUUGUACGACGCUACAGAGAUACUAUCGGGGUACCAAUGGUGACACCUCGCUAGGUACUCCUGAUGAUAUCUCUGUAGUACUGCUAGUCGGUCGUGGUUAUUGACGGUGAUUCCUCUUUCACCAUUCUCGACGAUGCCUCUGUCAUGCAACCCCUCAUGUGUGGGACCCCCAAGGGUGAUUCCUCUAAGCCCACCUUGACGGAUACAUCGUUCGGAAUCCAACGAGGGUGAUACCUCGGAUUCCCCUCGAUGUUACAACCACACAGUUACUCGACCAUGUUACUGGGAUCAUUGGUGGUUAGUUGUUAGACGGGUGGAUUCCCGCGAGAUUGUGUCGAUGGCCUAAUUAAAAUGAUAAUGGAUUUGGGUAUUCGAUCUGGGUUGGUUGGAGACCUUUUCGCACUAACCGGCUAUGCGGGAAGAAUUAUGGGUACUCGACGUCGCGGUAUCAGCCAAAGCUUUUCAGAUGUCAGCAAUGUAGCGGCGCGCGCCCGAGUGGUCCCGAGAUGCAUCACGCUUGUGAUUAAGGGAUGCUAGGACUGACGUCGGCCGCCCACGCAUCGUGCAGGAGCGCGAAGGGGAACUUGGCCCACGAACCCUUUGUGCUUAGGAGUUAGACCGGCGGGCUGGCCUCUGUGUUGAGUCUUAGGUGGGGCUACAGAUGUGUUGAUAUUCCGAGGCCGGGCAUGACCCAGAAAAGUGUGUCCAGCCAGAGUGUUAUCGAGCAUGACGGGACAUGUGGUGCACCCCUGCAGGGAUGAAAAUUAACUAUUCGGAUAGCUUUGUCCACGGUUAUUGGACGACUUGGAGUUGUGCCCUGAUCUUAUACAACUACAAUUGUUACUUAAGUGGAAUUAGUUGCCUCGGGAUUUCUUCCUCGCAGGGAGUCGAGGGAGGAUCUCUAGGCGUGACCUGACUUUAAUACUGCUGCAACAAUAUGACUAUUCAUUAUGUUACACCUGUUCUACUCUCGUCUAUUGCUGCAAGACCCUGAAGAUGCUAGUCUUUGAUAGGACCAGGCCUUCUCUCUUUAUUCUUGCAUUGCUGCAGUCAGUCCACAUAUAACCACCCCCUUCUUUGAUACUGAUGCAUACUUAGAAUUGUUCUGAUAUAAGUCUUGCGAGUACUUUGGAUGAGUACUCACCGUUGCUUUGCUCCCUCUUGUCCCCUUGAUCUGUUGCUGCGACCAGAUGAUGGAGCCCAGGAGAUGGAGUUUCCUGCCGACGCCUGCCGCCCCGUUGGUGUCUUCUUCGUGAAGGCCGGUGAAGAUAGGAGUAGUUAGGAGGUUCCCAGGCAGGAGGCCUCGCCUCGUUCGAUCAUGUUUCUUUUGUGCUUGCCUUCUCUAAGGCACCCCAUGUGUAUGUCUGUACUCAGAUAUUGUUGCUUCCGUUGACUCGCGUGCUUAUCAAGGUUCUAUAUUCUAGCCCUCGAGGCCCCUGGCUUGUAAUAUGAAGGUUGUAUAAUUUUAUUUGUGUCUAGAGUUGUGUUGUGAUAUCUUCCCGUGAGUCCUUGGGUUUGAUCGUACGCAUUUGCGUGUAUGAUUAGCGUACGAUUAAACCGAGGGCGUCACAAUCUUAAAGUGCUUGGUGUGACUCCCAUUGAAUCCUUGUUUUCUAAUGUCAAACCUAAUGAUGAUGGGGCUGGAUAUGAAUCCACUUUGGUUGAGAAAUACCCCAAUGAUUCAGAGUCUAACUAUCUCGAUGCUAAAAGCAUUGAAAGUGGAGAGAGGAUAUCAAAACUUUGAGUAGUAAUGAAAUUACUACUUUGGAUUUCAAGGAAUUCAAUUAUGAUAGUUGUUCUUUGAUUGAAUGUAUUUCCUUGAUGCAAUCCAUGCUAAACUCUCCACACGCUUAUAGCCAAAACAAUGCCUUUACCGAUCAUAUCGUCGAUGCUAUGAUGAAAUCUCUUGAAGAGAAACUUGAGUUGGAAGUUUCUAUCCCUACAAAACUUCAUGAUGAGUGGGAACCUACUAUCAAAAUCAAGAUCAAAAACUAUGAAUGCAAUGCUUUGUGUGAUUUGGGUGCUAGUGUUUCCGCUAUUCCAAAGUCUUUAUGUGAUGUUCUAGGCUUCAAUGAGAUUGAUGAGUGCUCUCUUAAUUUGCAUCUUGCGGAUUCUACUGUUAAGAAACCUAUGGGAAGGAUCAAUGAUGUUCUUAUUAUUGCAAAUAGGAACUAUGUAUCCAUAAAUUUCAUUGUGCUUGAUAUUGAUUGCAAUCCGACAUGUCCCAUCAUUCAUGGUAGACCUUUCCUUAGGACUAUUGGUGCUGUCAUCGAUAUGAAGGAAGGGAAUAUUAUAUUUCAAUUUCCAUUAAAGAAGGGCAUGGAACAUUUUCCUAGAAAGAAAAUAAGAUUGCUUUAUGAAUCCAUGACGAGGGCUACUUAUGGUUUGAGCACCAAAGACGAUGAUACGUGAUUAUAUCGCCUUAUGCCUAGCUAGGGGCGUUAAACAAUAGUGCUUGUUGGAAGGCAACCCAAUGAAUUUAUCUUUGAUUUUUUUGCUUUGUUGUGUCCACACCAUCAUAAUUCUGUUAUGAUUGUGUUUUUUAUGUUUCUUUUUGUGUUUGUGCCAAGUAAAACCUUUAUGACUAGUUUUGAUGAUGGUUGUUUGAUCGUGCUGAAAAAGACUGGUCUGUUUUUGACAGAUUCUGUUUUUGUUGUGUUGAUUGCUUAUUUUGAUGAAACUAUGGAUUGUAUCGGGGGUACUUGAUACGUCUCCAUCGUAUCUACUUUUCCAAACUCUUUUGCCCUUGUUUUGGACUCUAAUUUGCAUGAUUUGAAUGGAACUAACCUGGACUGACGCUGUUUUCAGCAGAACUGCCUUGGUGUUAUUUUUGUGCAGAAAUCAAAGUUCUCCAAACGUCCUGAAAAUUUACGGGGAGCAGUUUUGGAAAAUAUCGAAAAUAUCUGUGCCAAGUUCCACCUCCGGGGGUGGGCCAGUGGGCCACAAGCCCCUGCUCCGCCACCACCCCCCUGGUGGUUGUGGGCAGGCUUGUGGGGCCCACAGGCACCUGCCGCCCCCAACUCCAGCUCAAUAAGUUGCCUUUCGUCCCAGAAAAAAAUAAAAAGGGAAGUUUUCGUCGCAUUUUUGAUACAGAGGCGCCACAACCUCCUGUUCUUCAUCUGGAGGUCAGAUCUGGAGUCCGUCUUGGGCUCCGGAAAGGGGAAAUCGUCGCCAGCGUCAUCAACAACCUUCUUCCCUCUCCAAUUCCAUGAAGCUCUUCGUCGUUCGUGAGUAAUCUAUUCAUAGGCUCGCUGGGCGGUGAUGAGUAGGAUGAGAUCUAUCAUGUAAUCGAGUUAGUUUUGACGGGGAUUGAUCCCUAGUAUCCACUAUGUUCUGAGAUUGAUGUUGCUACUACUUUGCCAUGCUUAAUGCUUGUCACUAGGGCCGAGUGCCAUGAUUUCAGAUCUGAAAUUAUUAUGUUGUCACCAAUAUAUGUGUGUUUUAGAUCCGAUCUUGCAAGUUGUAGUUACCUACUAUGUGUUAUGAUCCGGCAACCCCGGAGUGACAAUAACCGGAACCACUCCCAAUGAUGACCAUAGUUUGAGGAGUUCAUGUGUUCACCAAGUGCUAAUGCGUUGGUCCGGUUCUUUAUUAAAAGGAGAACCUUAAUAUCCCGUAGUUUCCUUUUGGACCCUGCUGCCACAGGAGGGAUGGACAAUAGAUGUCAUGCAAGUUCUUUUCCCUAAGCACGUAUGACGACACACGGAAUGCAUGCCCUACAACACAUUGACGAACGGGAGCUAGCCACAUAUCUCUCCGUGUUAUAGCUGUUGCAUGAUGAAUAUCAUCCAAACAAAUCACCGACCCAUUGCCUACGAGUUUGUCCUACUGCUGUUACUUGUUUUGCUCUGUUGCUACUACUACUAUUGCUACGGCUGUUUCUUGUCUUGCUCUGCUGCUACUGUUGCUACUACUGUCGCUUGCUACUGUUGCUACUUGCUACUGCUGUCACUACUCCUCUUCCUUGCCACUGCUAUUGCUCAUUACACUGCUACUACCUUCUACACUGUUGGUUCACCUACCGUUGACGGGAAUUGACAACUUCCGUCAACGCGGCAACGAAGGCGCCAUUGAUACAAUUGUUAGGAAUAGUCUGCUGUCAACAGAUCGUUUCUGACACCGUUGUUAUCAUACUACUUUGCUGUUACUACUGUGCUUGCAGAUACUAAUCUUUCAGGUGUGGUUGAAUCCGACAAAUUCAGCUGCUAAUACUCGAGAGUAUUCUCUCACCUCCUUUAGGCGAUCUACAAAUUUGGGUCGAAUACUCUACCCUCGAAAACUUCUGCGAACCCACGCGCUGGUGGGCCAUCAACAACAUUCUUCCAGUUCCAUUGCCGGAGAGUGCUAGCAGCAUUCUUCUGGUGCCGUUGCAGGAGAAGGUUCGUUGUUAUAAGCAUUCAUCUAGCUAACACUAGAGAUUGCAGGAUCAACACUUUUCUGGCGCCAUUGCCGGGGAAGCACAACUGACGUCAUCAUUUUUCUGGCGCCGUUGCCGGGGAGGUAUUGCUAUAUUCUCUGAGUCACUUGAGAUUUAUAUCUUCUGAUCACUAUGAAGAAUCUGAAGGAUCCGAAGACCAAAGUCUUGCCCUCAACUACGAGGGGAGGUAAGGAAUUGCCAUAUAGCUCUGCACUUGAUUCACCUUCAGUUAUGAGUAAGUUUGCGACAUCACCUCCUGCUAGAAAUCUUGAUAUGUCACCUGUGCUUGAUGAUGCUUGUGAUACUACUGCUAGAGAUGCUAUGCUUGAUACUAUGCCUGAUGAUGCUAUGCUUGAUACUAUGCCUGAUGAUACUAUGCUUGAUACUCCUAGAGAUGCUAUGCUUCAUACCGCUAGAGAUGCUAUGCUUGAUACUGUUUUUCCUGAUGAUGCUAGAGAUGCUAUUUUGCGUGAUGAUGCUAUGCUUGAUACUGCUAGAGAUACUCCUUUGCCUGAUGUCCCACUAGGAGUGUUCCUUGAUGCUCAUAUUGCUAGAGUUUCUGCCAAUGCUCGUGAUGCUUCAGAAACUACCGAUACUAUUGAGAUAGAACCUGCUUUUUCUCCUGCUAGAUCUAGCUCUCCUAGAUAUGAAUUGCCUGAUAUACCUCAGGGUUACAUUAUGCAGGGAGAGAUAUCUGAGGAUUUUCUUGCGUGUAAGGAUGCCUAUGACGCUGAGAAAUUAUAUCUCAAGUGGAAGGAAAAAUCUCGGGAAGCUAGGAUGAAAAAUGACCCGAAGUUUGCCACUUCGCCUAUCUUCGUCACCGAUAAGGAUUAUGAAUUCUCUGUCGACCCUGAGAUAAUCUCUCUAGUCGAAUCUGAUCCUUUUCACGGUUAUGAGUCUGAGACGGUCAUAGCCCAUCUUGCCAAACUAUCCGAAAUAGCCAACCUUUUCACUAAUGAGGAGAAGAUCCGCCACUACUAUAUCUUUAAGUUGUUUCCUUUCUCUCGAAAGGAUGACGCUAAAGCCUGGUGCACCUCUCUUGCUCCUGGAUGUGUGCGUAGUCCCCAGGAUAUGGUCUAUUACUUUUGUGAGAAAUAUUUCCCAGCCCAUAAGAAGCAAGCUGCCUUGCAGGAAAUAUACAACUUUGCUCAACUCCAAGAAGAGAGUCUUCCACAAGCUUGGGGGAGGCUCGUACAGCUACAGAAUGCUUUGCCUGAUCACCCUCUUAAGAAGAACGAGAUACUUGAUAUCCUCUAUAACGGACUUACCGAUGCCUCUAGAGACCACCUAGAUAGUUGUGCCGGUUGUGUUUUUAGGGAACGAACUGUAGAACAAGCUGAGACUCUACUGAAUCACCUCUUGAUCAACGAUAAUGCUUGGACUAUUCCCGAACAACCUCCUAAGCCAACUCCUAAGAAAAGAGGUAUUCUAUUCCUCAGUCCCGAAGAUAUGCUAGAAGCCAAGAAAUCUAUGCAAGAGAAAGGCAUUAGAUCUGAAGAUGUCAAAAAUCUACCACCCAUCAAAGAGAUCCAUGGUCUCAAUAACCCGAUACAGGUAGUAGAAGUGAAUUCUCUGCGUAGGUUUGACGAGAGUGAUAUUCCUUUUGAUAAACCUGCUAGCCUAUGCUUUGAUGAAUUUGACAACUUUGUUGCCAAACAACAGAGUUUCAAUGAUUAUGUUAGCAGACAUUUGGAACAAAGUGCUCGUAUGCUUAGCCAUUUAAGUGCUUGUGUAGACAGAAAUGUCAAUGCUCUGAAGCUUCUGAGUAAACAUGCCUCUAUGAUUACUACUCAGUUAGAACAAGUACUUAAAGCUCAGAAUGACCUGCUCAAUGAAUUAAAUGACAACUCUGUCAGAGUCAUUACUAGAGGAGGCAAAAUGACUCAAGAACCUUUGUAUCCUGAAGUUCAUCCUAAGAGAAUUGAUCAAGAUUCUCAAGGAAUCAAUGCUGAUACACCUAGUCAUCCUAAGGAGAAGAAGAAGGAUGAUAGAAACCUACAUGCCAGUUCACCAAAUACUGUCACACCUGAAGAACCUAAUCAUAUUUCUACGUCUGAUGCAGAAACACAAUCAGGUGAUGAACAUGAACCUGGUGACAAUGUGGACAGCGAUGUUCAUAAUAAUGCUCAACCUAGCUAUGAUGAGGAUGUGGAGAUUGAACCUACGGUUAAUCCUGAUAAUCCACAACCUAAGAGAUACGAAAAGAAUGACUUCACUGCUAGGAAACAUGGUAAAGAAAGAGAGCCAUGGGUUCAGAGACCUAUGCCCUUUCCUCCUAAGCCAUCCAAGAAAAAGGAUGAUGAGGAUUUUGAGCGCUUCGUUGAGAUGAUAAGACCCGUCUUUCUGCACAUGCGGUUAACUGAUAUGCUCAAGAUGUCUCCGUAUGCCAAGUAUAUGAAAGAUAUCGUGACUAAUAGACGGAAGAUACCAAAUCUUGAGAUCUCCACCAUGCUUGCCAAUUACACUUUCAAAGGUGGAACUCCUAAGAAACUUGGUGAUCCCGGAGUGCCCACUAUACCUUGCUCCAUUAAAGGAAACUAUGUAAGAACUGCCUUAUGUGACCUUGGAGCCGGUGUUAGUGUUAUGCCUCUCUCUCUUUAUCGUAGACUUGAAUUGGAUAAGUUGACACCCGCUGAUAUUUCUCUGCAAAUGGCCGACAAAUCAACUACUUUCCCUAUCGGCGUUUGCGAGGAUGUGCCAAUUGUGUUUGCUAACACCACUAUCUUAACAGACUUUGUUAUCUUGGAUAUUCCCGAGGACGAUGCCAUGGCUAUCAUCCUCGGAAGACCCUUUUUAAACACUACAGGGGCUGCUAUAGAUUUCAACAAAGGCAAUAUCACUUUCCAUGUCAACGGUAAUGAGCACAGAGUGCACUUUCUGAAGAAACGAUAUCCAGUACAUUGCAUCAAUGCUAUCGAAAAGACUUCAUCGAUUCUCAUUGGGAGCUUUGAAUGCCCUAUUCCUCGUGUCAAGAUGAAGUAUGAUUUGCUUGUUGGGGAGAUACAUAUCCCCAUUGAGGUGACUUAGUGGCUAUUCGAAAAUUCUCCAUUCUCUCUUGCGAUUCGAGAAAGUUUUGUCAUAAGGACUUGAUCAACCCCAUUGACGGAUUUCUUUCGAUGACCAUGAAACGGAUGAAUCAAGGAGUCACAUACCUCUGUUUUGAGUUUUCCUUUUCUGUUUCUUAGAAGAAAAAUGAUAGAAUUAGUUUAGUUUUUCCUAUUUUCUCUUUUAGCGUCCCGAAGAAAAAUACCUCGAAAAUAAAAGUUCUCCGAUGGUCCUGAAAAUUUAGUAUGAUUUUUUCUGGAUUUUUUGAAAAUUUCUGGGCCUGAGAGCUGGUCAGGGGGCCUGACCAGUGGGCCACAAGCCCCCCCCCACCGCCACCUACCCCCUUAUGGCGGGGUGCAAGCUUGUGGGGCCCGCAGGCACCCCCUCCACUCAUUCCAGCUCUCAACCUCUUCUUCCACCUCUAGAAAAAAUUGUUUCGCAGCUCAAACCCGUGUUCUUGCUCAUUUGGCUGUGAUUUUCGAUCUCCUUGCUCAAAGCACCAUUCUCCGAACUGUUUUGGGGAAAUUACUCCUUGGUAAGUGACUCCUCCAUUGGUCCAAUUAGUUUUUGCUCUAGUGCUUUAUCCUUCGCGAAUUAUUGCUACCUUGGUGACCCUGUUCUUAAGCUUGAAAGGUUGAUUUUAGCUGGUCCCAAGUAUUUUUAGCGUGCGAUAAAGUCUCUAGGCACUAGUAGGAGUAGUUGCUACAAGGUGUGGUGGGUCUUUAUUCACUUUUCUCUUGAACUUCAAAAAUUUCAGCAAAAGUAAAUUAUGUUCAGGAGGAAGUUUCAUGGUGGUUCCUCAAGUAAGAAGGGUCCUCGUCUCUCCUUUUAGGAGCCCGAACCUUUUCAACUAAGGGAUACCCAGGUACAACCAUGUGAAUGGCCUUCCGAUGAGUUCAUGAUCGAAGCAGGCUUGAAGGAUGAGUUUGAUGCACUUGUCCGCAAUGCCGGGUUAGAAGAAUUCCUCUCAGAUAAAUGUGAACAGUAUGCUCUGCUCGCUGCCUCUUUCGUGCGUAGAUUUAAAUUUUUAGCUGGCCGUGAAUCAUCCAUACUGUUUGAUGUGUACGAAAAAUCCUAUACCGUGGAUCUGGAGGAUUUCAAUAGGAUAUGCAAGAUACCCGAUGGGGUUAGUGCUAAUGAUCCUCCUAAGUCUUCGGUCAGACACUUUGUCUCCAGUAUAACUGUUGGAGAAACCAGAGAUAUCACGCAUGCCACCAUAGGAAGCAUCCAUUUCCCUACCUUGCAUUACCUUGCCCUCUUCAUAGGUAGGUGCAUUAACGGCAAGGGUGCACAUUGUCACCUAUGCGCUUCCGACCUUAGUAUCCUUAAGAGCGCAGUAACAGGUGACAGGAGCUUCAAUAUGGGAGCUGUUAUAGCAAGGAGGCUGAAUAAAAACGCCAGUGAGGGGGAUUUAUUUGGUGGAGUUUAUGCUACACGCUUGGCAAAUUUUCUUGGGGUAUCCAUCCGUCCAGAAGACCCUCCUCUCCGUAUAGCCUACCUUGAUCGUGUCGCUCUAACACGCUACCUGUUCCUUGAGAGAGAUCAUGGAUCCCUCCUACACCGCUUGAUAUUUAACCGGCAUCGUGUUUUCCAUAUUACCCUUCCUGCUCCUGCUUUCUUUGACUUUCAGGUUAAACGAAGAUACUACAUAACCAUAGGAGAGGCUGAGGAGUAUGAGAGGGAGGCGACGGGUGCUCGACUUCGUGAGGCAGCUAUUCAGGCAGUGGCUGCAGCACUCCCGUAUAACACCCAUUAUGACUUCGGGUUUCGCCAGGAUCAUCCAUGGGAGUAGACCAAGCUAGGCCAAAAGCCUAAGCUUGGGGGAGUACGUGUUCUCACUGACUUUACAUUCAUGCUUAUGCUUUCAUUUCGUUAGCCGGUGUUUAAACUUUUCCACUGUAUUAUCCAUGCUAGUUUCUUUUCGUUUUCUUGUUUUCUUGUUUUGUGUCCUUUUGAGAAAACCCAAAAAGAUUUUUCUUUCUUCUUUUGCUUGUUGGGAGUUUUCCCGUGUAAAUAGCUUUCUUUUUCUUUGUGUCAAGGUAGAAGAUAUUGUUUACAAUGCUUAGUGGUUCUUGCAUGCUUACUUGUUUAGCUUUCAAAGAGCCAUAUUAUUUUGUCUUCUCCUUUGUGUCUGCCUGCAGAUUCAGCUUAGUCCAAUGCGCUUAUUAUUGUUCACAUCGUUCGAUCGUGCAAAUGAAAGGCAACAAUGAUGAUAUAUGAUGAAGUGACUGAGACUGAAAAGCUGGUAUGAACUCUAUCUAUUUUGUUUUUGUAAAUAUGACUAGCUUGUCGACCCAGAUUUAGCUCUGUUGUGAGAAAACCGUGUUUGCAAUGACAACUUAGAGAUCAUAGUUUCUGAUGCCAUGCUUAUUUAGCUAAGAGCUUAUAAUGGUUUGCCGUGAAUGCCAACAUAGAUUUUGAGAUGACUAUGAUGUAGUAUGAUAGGAUGGUAUUCUCCUUUGAAUGUUUCAAGUGGCUUGACUUGGCGCAUGUUCAUGCAUGUAGUUGAAACAAAAUCAACAUGGCCUCUGUGAUGUUCGUAUUCAUGGUGAUUUAUAUCCUAUUCAUGCUUGCAUUCAAUGUUAGUAAAACUCAUUGCAUCUUGAUGACUGUUGUCGCUCUCUAGUUGGUCGCUUCCCAGUCUUUUGCUAGCCUUCACUUGUACUAAGCGGGAAUGCUGCUUGUGCAUCCACUUCCAUAAACCCAAAAGUUUUUCCAUGAGAGUCCACCAUACCUACCUAUUUGCGGUAUUUACCUGCCAUUCCAAGUAAAUUUUCACGUGCCAUUCUCUAAACCUUCAAGAAAUAAUCUGUUUUGCUUGCCCGAACCGCUCAUGUGGUGACAGAGGGCUAUUGGUAUCUUCCAUGCUAGGAGUGUUAUCCUCGACAUGUGUUUAUUCACAGUCAUUUCACGAGAAAGGGGCCGGUAUUUGGGAUGCCCAGUUCCACGCUUAAAUCGAAAACAUAACAGUAAAACAAGACUCCCCCCGGAUUGAUGUUAGUAUGGACGGUACCCGAGGAUUCGACUACCCAUGGAGUGUGAUUGAUUGGUGGCGGGGGAGUUAAAACUUUAAUUUUCUGUUUGGGAACCGCCUAUAGCAUGAGUAGCAUGGAAGAUAUUGAGAACUCUUGGUCAUUGCGUUGACAAUGAAAGCAUGCCACCCAAAAUUAUUAUCUCUAUUUUCAAAGCUUGAGCUUUGGCACCUCUGCAAAUCAAUGCUUCCCUCUGCGAAGGGCCUGUGUAACAUCCCAAUUUUCCUAAUUGGGAGUGUUUUACAUUGUAGCUAAGCAUCUAUGCAUAUUGAUUGAAAUAAAUUUAGCACGUGAAUUUCCUUCGUCUUUUGAUUUGCAUUUCCAUUUUUCCUCGCACGAGAAAUGCCCGGAGAAAUACUCUCUUGCACGCAAGAGAGAGAGAGCGGAGGAAAAUGACCCUCCAAAGUGCGGGCAAAUUUCUAAAAUGUUGGAGCCAAGAAAAUCCAAGGAUCAUUUGCAAAAAUAAUUGCAAAAAGAAAUAAAGAAAAUUUGGGCAUUUCUGAAAAAAAACAUUUUUUUAAAGUUUUUAUUUUUGCUUUGGAAAAAUGUUAUUCGGGUAGAGAGUAUUUUUCUGAUUUUUUUGGUAUAUAAUACCCUAUAUUAAUAUUUUGAUUUAUUUCCUUUUAUUUAGAUUUUGUUUUCUGUUUCGGAAAAAGUUAGAAAUUAGGAAAGUAUUCUUUUUUUAGAAACCGCCGCCGAGCGCUUUUUAGGCCUGGGCAGCAAUCCCCCGCCGCUAGGGAUGGAUUCCCUAGAUCCCGGCCGACCGCCCCUUGCCUCCCCGCCUCUCUCUCACUGCCCAGUGGGGCCCCCUGGCCGAGCCUCCCUCCCGUCGGUCAUCCCUCUCCCUCUCCUUCCUUACUCCAUGCCCGAGACCGAGCUGAGCACGGGAUUCCUCCCCGAUUCUCUCCCCUCCGUCCUUAUCUCUCCCCUCCCCAGGCCUAUAAAUACCCCCGUCCCCGCCGCAGCCCCGUUCCCACCCUCGCCGCCACCCCGCCCCGUCCCCUCGCCGCCCGAGCCCCCUCGCGGGAGCAGCAGCUCCUGCUGCCCACUUCGGCCGCCUCCUGGAGCGCCACCCCAGUGCCCUCUCCGCUCCGCCCGACGUCCCCCACCCUCGCCGUAGGACCACCGCCGCCGCCCCGUCCCCUCCAACGCCCCCGGAGCUCCCCCCCUCGCCGGCCAUCCUCUCCCUCGCCGGAGCUACCCCAUAGCCACGGUAGCUCUCUCUNNNNNNNNNNNNNNNNNNNNNNNNNNNNNNNNNNNNNNNNNNNNNNNNNNNNNNNNNNNNNNNNNNNNNNNNNNNNNNNNNNNNNNNNNNNNNNNNNNNNNNNNNNNNNNNNNNNNNNNNNNNNNNNNNNNNNNNNNNNNNNNNNNNNNNNNNNNNNNNNNNNNNNNNNNNNNNNNNNNNNNNNNNNNNNNNNNNNNNNNNNNNNNNNNNNNNNNNNNNNNNNNNNNNNNNNNNNNNNNNNNNNNNNNNNNNNNNNNNNNNNNNNNNNNNNNNNNNNNNNNNNNNNNNNNNNNNNNNNNNNNNNAGCGACAUGCCCUUGGAGUCGGAUGGACUCGUGUACCUGAUGCUUCCGCUAGUCUUCGUUAGAUAUCUCAUGAGAUGGCCUUCAGCCACUUUAUUGUAAUCCUUUAUUGUAAUAAAGUACUUGAGAUUUCGAUUAAUAAAGCUGUGUGAUUGAACUCUUGAAUAUAUACAUUAUGUACUGUGUGUGUACCACCAUGAUCUUGGAAUGGUACGGAAACACCACAGACUUGACUCGUCUUGAGUCGGGUCGCUACAGAAAUGGUAUUCAGAGCACACGCUGACCUUAGGACGUAACCUCUAGGAAUGGAAAAGCCUUAGGAAGAAAACUAUUUUCUCUUAUGUCUAUAAAUCUUCUAUUUCCUCUUCUGAUCAUUUCUGACUUCUCUCCGAUUUUCCAAAGUUUAGACGGCGACCUUCAUCCCUGUUAAGUUGACGGAGUUUUGCGAGCCCGACACCACUAUGCCGUUCGGAAAGGAGCUGGUGCAGAUCACCAAGGAUUUGAGGAUUGCUCUGCCGACAACACAGGGAAGCCAACUUCGUCUUACCCGGAGGAUUCACGCUACAGGAUCGAGGUGCACACUCCCGGAAGGAUAUUCCAGCCGCGCACUGAGCCGAUGGAUUUCUAGUUCAUCGCACCCAACUGGAUUCUCGGAAGGGACAUGGCGAUCCAUUGUGCACUCGGACGUAUCAAGGAAGAAUACAAAGGCUGCCCUAUUUCUCCAGAUCUAUUCACCGUAUCCUGGAGAAACGAAGACGGAGAAAUCAUCUCAAGCCAGACCAAGGACGCUCUCUUGUCUUAUGCCCAGCCUUGGAGAAGUACAGCGGGACUCUGGAGCAUCAUGUGAUCAAGGACACCAGGAAGAUCAAGCAACUGUCACUCCGCGAGCUUGAACUUGAAGAAGCAGCCCGGGAAGCCCACUAUGAACAUGAACUGGAGGUGAAGGACUUUCUGGAGCGGAUCGAGAAACUGAAGACUCGAGUUGCAUACCUGGAGGAGGAACUGGACAUGGGCGAGAACCUUCAUCCCGAAGGAGACGUAACCCCUUGAUUAGCAACAACGAGGACUAUGAAGAAAGCUCCACCGAAGGACCCAUCACCAUGCUUUUCUGAGGAGGACCAUUAGACUAGACCACCAAAUUUACUUUAUCGUUAUACGUUUAGGCCGAUGUUUAGGAUUAUCGAAUUUUGUAUCCCCGUGUGAACCUUUGUGAUGAUAUUGAAUAAAAUGUGUGGUGUGAUACUUGUGUGUUGCAUUCAUAUGGGUAGUGUAAUUACUCUUAGACCAUUGUUCUAUGCCAAUCUCACCCCUCCACAAACAUCAGAUGCCCCCGAGACGUGCCCCUGAGUCCAACUUCCCGCCGAAACUCACCCAGUUGAUCCAGCAACAAAACACCCUGAUGCAACUGAUCAUCCAGAACCAGAACAAUAACAACAACCAUCACCCACCCCAGGCCGACAACCUCACCGGUUUCUUGAGGUUGAACCCUCCAACUUUCUCCAGCAGCAUUGAACCCAUUGUGGCAGAUGAUUGGCUCCACAAGAUGGAGCGUGAACUUAUCACUGCUGGUUGUACUGAAGCUGAGAAGGUGCGUUUUGCCGGGCAUCAACUUGAAGGCCCUGCAGUUGCUUGGUGGGAGAACUACACCACCACUUAUCCCAUUGCUGGAGUCACUUUGGAGCAAUUCAAGCAAGCUUUCCGCACAACGCAUGUCUCAGCUGGUGCAAUGAGUCUGAAGAAGCGUGAGUUUCACAACUUACACCAGGGGAAUCGCUCUGUGGCCCAGUACGUCGAUGAAUUCAGCAUGCUCGCCCGUUAUGCGCCUGGAGAUGUGGCCGACGAUGCAGCCAAACAGGAAAAGUUCUUGGAAGGACUCAAUGAUGAGCUGAGCAUUCAGUUGACUGUAGUCACCUUCAACAACUACCAGGAGCUGGUUGAUAAGGCCCCCAUCUUGGAGGGGAAACACCAGCAGAUGGAGAACCGCAAGCGAAAGUAUGGGGUUGGAAAGUUCAACUCCGGCACUCAGCAGAAGCCUCGCUACACCCCUUAUUCAGGGAAUACCGGGACUGGAUCCGGUAAGUUUGGAGGACACGUUCAGCAUAAUCACCCAGUGCACAACCAUGGAGGCCACAACCAUGGAGGAAAUGGGAACCACCGCAACAACAGCAACUUCAAGAAUGGCGGUACAGGCACUCAGCAGCAUUCAGCUCCAGCUCAGAAGGACCUGACUCACAUCACAUGCUUCAAGUGUCAGAAGACGGGACACUAUGCCACCGAAUGUCCCCAGAAGAAGCAGGGAAUGGAAACGGCAACGGCAACUCUGUAGCAAAGAAGCCCAAUCCUUUUCCUCGAGCUCAGGUGAACCACAUUGAUGUUGAAGAGGUCUAUGAUCACCCCGAUACUGUGGUUGGUAAGUUUUUGCUAAAUUCACGUCUAGUAUUGGUACUUUUUGAUUCUGGUGCAACACAUUCCUUCAUAUCAAGGGUAGUUGUGGAAAAGUAUAGUUUGCUAACUAGAACCCUCAGCCAGCCUAUUAAGGUCAGUUCCCCAGGAGGCAUGAUGACAGCCGGGAUAGGAUGCCAUGCUUUGAGUCUCAACAUUGGGAACCAUAAUUUUUGCACCGACCUCAUCGUAUUAGAGUCCCAGGGAUUGGAUGUAAUCCUAGGCAUGGAUUGGUUGGCCAAGUUUGAAGGGAAUAUUGAUUGUGCCCUUAAGUCUAUUUUUCUCACCACCCCCGAGCAGAAGCGGAUUAAGUACGUGUCUCAACGCCCGACACGGAGUAAGCGAGUAAACUCUCUCAUGGGAGUAGUCCAGGAGGAAGUACCGAUUGUACAGGAGUACCCAGAUAUAUUUCCGGAGGAAUUGCCGGGCAUGCCACCCGAUAGAGAGAUUGAGUUCUUGAUUGAGCUAUUACCCGGAACAGCCCCGAUAUCCAAGAGACCCUAUCGGAUGCCCGCAAAUGACUUGAUAGAAAUCAAGAAACAAAUUAAGGAGUUAUUGGACAAAGGGUAUAUUCGCCCAAGUUCUUCACCUUGGGGAGCCCCAGUGCUCUUGGUUGAAAAGAAGGACAAGUCCUUGAGAAUGGUUGUCGAUUAUCGUGCAUUGAACGAUGUGACCAUCAAGAACAAGUACCCCUUGCCGAUGAUCAAUGAUCUGUUCGAUCAGUUAGUUGGAGCUCGCGUAUUCUCAAAGAUCGAUCUUCGAUCCGGGUAUCAUCAGUUGAAAAUUCGUCAACAGGAUAUACCCAAGACAGCCUUCACCACUCGGUACGGCUUGUAUGAGUACACGGUCAUGUCAUUUGGACUGACUAAUGCUCCGGCAUAUUUUAUGAAUCUGAUGAACAAGGUAUUUAUGGAAUACUUGGACAAGUUUUUCGUGGUGUUCAUCGAUGACAUACUGAUAUUCUCCAAGAACGAAGAGGAACACAAGGAACAUCUGCGUCUAGUUCUAGAGAAGCUUCGAAAGCAUAAUCUAUAUGCAAAGUUUAGCAAAUGUGAGUUUUGGUUGAAGGAAGUCGGAUUCCUCGGACACAUCAUCUCAGGAGAAGGAAUAGCAGUGGACCCUGCCAAGGUCGCAGCAGUCACCGAAUGGGUAGCACCCACUCCAGUCAAGGAGAUCCGCAGUUUCCUCGGACUUGCCGGAUAUUACCGGAGGUUCAUUGAGAAUUUCUCAAAGAUUGCCAAGCCCAUGACAGAGUUGUUGAAGAAGGAAUCCAAGUAUAUUUGGACUGAGGAAUGUGAAACCAGUUUUCAAGAGCUGAAGAAACGUCUUGUUACAGCCCCAAUGCUCAUAUUGCCGAACAUUCGGAAGGAUUUCCAGGUUUACUGUGACGCUUCUCGUCAAGGACUCGGAGGAGUGCUCAUGCAAGAAGGCAAAGUUUUAGCCUAUGCAUCCAGACAGCUCAGACCUCAUGAGUUGAAUUAUGCCACACAUGACUUGGAACUAGCAGCCGUAGUGCAUGCUCUCAAGACCUGGAGACAUUUCCUGAUUGGAAAUAGUUGUGAUGUUUACACUGAUCACAAGAGCCUGAAAUAUAUCUUCACGCAGAAGGAGUUGAACCUCAGACAGAGGCGAUGGCUAGAGUUGAUCAAGGACUAUGACAUGAGAUUGCAUUAUCACCCAGGCAAGGCAAAUGUUGUAGCCGAUGCGUUGAGCCGCAAGAGUUAUGUGAACACACUCACAGCGGGAGGAUUACCCCAGGAGUUAGUCGAUGACCUCCGAGAGCUCAAAUUGGAGAUAGUUCCAAGAGGAUUUGUUGCCACUCUAGAAAUUCAGUCUACUUUGACAGAAAAGAUCCGCGAAGCACAGAAAUCAGAAAAGGAGAUAGCUGAGAUUAAGCAGAAAAUGGAAGAGGGGAAGGCUAAAGGUUUUCGUGAGGAUGAACACGGAACUUUAUGGUUUGAGGAUCACAUCUACGUGCCCAAUGAUCCCGGACUCAGGAAGUUGAUACUUCAGGAGGCCCAAGAUGUAUCUGGAUCUGAAAGAAAGUUUCUGGUGGACAGGAUUGAAGAAAGACAUUGCCGAGUUCGUAGCGAUAUGCGAUGUUUCUCAGCGAGUAAAAGCCGAGCAUCAGAAGCCAGCAGGUUUGCUCCAACCUCUGCCGAUACCCGAGUGGAAAUGGGAAAAGCUUGGUAUGGACUUCAUCACAGGAUUACCUCGGACCCGUUCUGGCUAUGAUUCUAUUUGGGUUGUGGUCGAUCGUUUGACCAAGGUAGGUCACUUCAUCCCGGUGAAGACUACUUACACGAGUGCCAAGCUGGCCAAGAUAUAUAUGACGAGGAUCGUAUAUCUGCACGGAGUACCGAAGAGCAUUGUGUCAGAUAGAGGGACUCAGUUCACAUCAAAAUUUUGGCACCAACUGCAUGAAACCUUGGGAACGAGAUUGGAGUUCAGUACAGCUUUUCACCCGCAGACAGAUGGACAGACCGAGAGAGUUAAUCAGAUUUUGGAGGACAUAUUGAGAGCUUGCGCACUAGACUAUGGGUCUAGUUGGGAUGACAAUUUACCUUAUGCCGAGUUCUCAUACAACAACAGCUACCAGACCAGUCUGAAGAUGGCCCCUUUGAAGCUCUAUACGGAAGGAGGUGCAGAACACCGUUGAUGUGGGAUGGAGUUGGAGACCGACAACUUUUUGGUCCCGACCUUAUCCGAGAUUCUGAAGAGAAGGUCAAGCUAAUUCGUGACCUACUCAAGAUAGCUCAGUCCAGACAGAAGAGUUAUGCUGACAGCAAACGCAAGGAAGUAACGUACGAAGUAGGAGACCGAGCAUAUCUUCGGGUGUCUCCACUUCGAGGAAUCAAGAGAUUCGGUGUGAAAGGAAAAUUAGCACCUCGUUUCAUUGGCCCCUACAAAAUUCUUGAACGUAGAGGCGAAGUUGCAUACAAACUGGAACUGCCGGAAGGAUUGUCCGGAGUUCAUGAUGUCUUCCAUGUUUCCCAGUUGAAGAAAUGCCACGCUGAGAUGGCCGAUGUUCUGUUGAGAGAUACAGUGCCCCUAGUGGCCAUACAGCUUGACAGUGAUCUGACGUAUGAGGAGAAACCCGUCAGGAUUCUCGAGACUGCCAACAGAGGUACCCACAGCAAGGUCAUCAAGUUCUGCAAGGUGUUGUGGAGCCACCACACCGAGGAAGAAGCCACCUGGGAACGAGAAGAGGCUCUUCGUCGAGACCACCCGCACCUAUUUUCUAGCCAACCCGAAUCUCGAGGGCGAGAUUCAUCUUAAGGUGGGUAGGUUUGUAACAUCCCAAUUUUCCUAAUUGGGAAUGUUUUACAUUGUAGCUAAGCAUCUAUGCAUAUUGAUUGAAAUAAAUUUAGCACGUGAAUUUCCUUCGUCUUUUGAUUUGCAUUUCCAUUUUUCCUCGCACGAGAAAUGCCCGGAGAAAUACUCUCUUGCACGCAAGAGAGAGAGCGGAGGAAAAUGACCCUCCAAAGUGCGGGAAAAUUUCUGAAAUGUUGGAGCGAAGAAAAUCCAAGGAUCAUUUGCAAAAAUGAUUGCAAAAAGAAAUAAAGCAAAUUUGGGAAUUUCUGAAAAAAACAUUUUUUUAAAGUUUUUAUUUUUGCUUUGGAAAAAUGUUAUUCGGGUAGAGAAUAUUUUUCUGAUUUUUUUGGUAUAUAAUACCCUAUAUUAAUAUUUUGAUUUAUUUCCUUUUAUUUAGCUUUUGUUUUCUGUUUCGGAAAAAGAUAGAAAUUAGGAAAGUAUUCUUUUUUUAGAAACCGCCGCCGAGCGCUCUUUAGGCCUGGGCCGCAAUCCCCCGCCGCCAGGGAUGGAUUCCCUAGAUCCCGGCCGACCGCCCCUUCCCUCCCCGCCUCUCUCUCACUGCCCAGUGGGGCCCCCUGGCCGAGCCUCCCUUCCGUCGGUCAUCCCUCUCCCUCUCCUUCCUUACUCCAUGCCCGAGACCGAGCUGUGCACGGGAUUCCUCCCCGAUUCUCUCCCCUCCUUCCUUAUCUCUCCCCUCCCCAGGCCUAUAAAUACCCCCGUUCCCACCCUCGCCGCCACCCCGCCCCAUCCCCUCGCCGCCCGAGCCCCCUCGCGGGAGCAGCAGCUCCUGCUGCCCACUUCGGCCGCCUCCUGGAGCGCCACCCCAGCGCCCUCUCCGCUCCUCCCGACGUCCCCCACCCCCGCAGGAGGACCACCGCCGCCGCCCCGUCCCCUCCAACGCCCCCGGAGCUCCCCCCCUCGCCGGCCAUCCUCUCCCUCGCCGGAGCUACCCCACAGCCACGGUAGCUCUCUCUNNNNNNNNNNNNNNNNNNNNNNNNNNNNNNNNNNNNNNNNNNNNNNNNNNNNNNNNNNNNNNNNNNNNNNNNNNNNNNNNNNNNNNNNNNNNNNNNNNNNNNNNNNNNNNNNNNNNNNNNNNNNNNNNNNNNNNNNNNNNNNNNNNNNNNNNNNNNNNNNNNNNNNNNNNNNNNNNNNNNNNNNNNNNNNNNNNNNNNNNNNNNNNNNNNNNNNNNNNNNNNNNNNNNNNNNNNNNNNNNNNNNNNNNNNNNNNNNNNNNNNNNNNNNNNNNNNNNNNNNNNNNNNNNNNNNNNNNNNNNNNNNNNNNNNNNNNNNNNNNNNNNNNNNNNNNNNNNNNNNNNNNNNNNNNNNNNNNNNNNNNNNNNNNNNNNNNNNNNNNNNNNNNNNNNNNNNNNNNNNNNNNNNAGCGACAUGCCCUUGGAGUUGGAUGCACUCGUCUACCUGAUGCUUCUGCUAGUCUUCGUUAGAUAUCUCAUGAGAUGGCCUUCAGCCACUUUAUUGUAAUCCUUUAUUGUAAUAAAGUACUUUUUAUGAGAUUUCGAUUAAUAAAGCUGUGUGAUUGAACUCUUGAAUAUAUACAUUAUGUACUGUGUGUGUACCACCAUGAUCUGGGGAUGGUACGGAAACACCAGAGACUUGACUCGUCUUGACUCGGGUCGCUACAGCCUGUCUAUUUAUUUUCCAGUCGAGUCAUCCUCCUCUCAUAUAAGCACCAAUUAGAGAGCACCUCUGUCAUUUUUAUGCUUUGCUUUUGAUUGAUAUUGAGUAUGACUAUGACUGGAUCUUCGUUGCAAUGAAUUACAAUGUUUAGUCAGCCCUUGAUCUUUGAAAGUGCUCUGGAUUUAUGUUUUGCGGUCUCAUAAAGAGCUAGCGGGAUACCACCUACUCAUAUUGCUUCAUGCUUGUUUUGAUUGAAGUGUUGGUAUUUGAAACUCAUUAUUAUUUGCUCGUCAGCUGAUUAUGCCAUUGAUAUUAGUUUACCGUGAGAGCUUUGUGUCAUUUGCUUAUGUGGUUAACUUGUGAUCUUGCUGAAAUUCUUGUCAUGAGUUAGACAUAGUUGCAACAACAAGAUCAAACAGAGUUUUGUCAAAGUUUCUCUUUCUCUCUCAGUUUGUCAACUGAGUUGCUUGAGGACAAGCAAGGUUUUAAGCUUGGGAGAGUUGAUACGUCUCCAUUGUAUCUACUUUUCCAAAUUCUUUUGCCCUUGUUUUGGACUCUAAUUUGCAUGAUUUGAAUGGAACUAACCUGGACUGGCGCUGUUUUCAGCAGAAUUGCCUUGGUGUUAUUUUUGUGCAUAAAUCAAAGUUCUCCAAAUGUCCUGAAAAUUUACGGGGAGCAGUUUUGGAAAAUAUCAAAAAUAUCUACGCCAAGUUCCACCUCAGGGGGUGUGCCAGUGGGCCACAAGCCCCUGCUCCGCCACCACCCCGUGGUGGCGGUGGGCAGGCUUGUUGGGCCCACAGGCCCCUGCCGCCCCAACUCCAGCUCUAUAAGUUGCGUUUCGUCCCAGGAAAAAUAAAAAGAGAAGUUUUCAUCGCGUUUUCGAUAUGGAGGCGCCGCCACCUCUUGUUCUUCAUCUGGAGGGAAAAUCUGGAGUCCGUCUUGGGCUCCGGAAAGGGGAAAUCGUCGCCAUCAUCAUCAUCAACCUUCUUCCCUCUCCAAUUCCAUGAAGCUCUACGUCGUUCGUGAGUAAUCUAUACGUAGGCUCUCUGGGCGGUGAUGAGUAGGAUGAGAUCUAUCAUGUAAUCGAGUUAGUUUUGAUGGGGAUUGAUCCCUAGUAUCCACUAUGUUCUGAGAUUGAUGUUGCUACUACUUUUCCAUGCUUAAUGCUUGUCACUAGGGCCCGAGUGCCAUGAUUUCAGAUCUGAAAUUAUUCUGUUGUCACCAAUAUAUGUGUGUUUUAGAUCCGAUCUUGCAAGUUGUAGUUACCUACUAUGUGUUAUGAUCCGGCAACCCUGGAGUGACAAUAACCGGAACCACUCCCGGUGAUGACCAUAGUUUGAGGAGUUCAUGUGUUCACCAAGUGCUAAUGCGCUGGUCCGGUUCUUUAUUAAAAGGAGAACCUUAAUAUCCCGUAGUUUCCUUUUGGACCCCACUGCCACGGGAGGGCUGGGAAAUAGAUGUCAUGCAAGUUCUUUUCCCUAAGCACGUAUGACGACACACGGAAUGCAUGCCUACAUCAGAUUGACGAACGGGAGCUAGCCACAUAUCUCUCCGUGUUAUAGCUGUUGCAUGAUGAAUAUCAUCCAAACAAAUCACCGACCCAUUGCCUACGAGUUUGUCCUACUGCUGUUACUUGUUUUGCUCUGCUGCUACUACUGUUGCUACUACUGUUACUUGUUUUGCUCUGUUGUUGCUACUACUGUUGCUACUGCUGUUACUUGUCUUGCUCUGCUGCUACUAUUCCUACUACUGUCGCUUGCUACUGUUGCUACUUGCUACUGCUGUCACUACUGCUGUUCCUUGCCACUGCUAUUGCUCGUUACACUACUACUACCUACUACACUGUUGGCUCACCUACCGUUGACGGGAAUUGACAACUUCCGUCAACGCGGCAACGAAGGCGCCAUUGAUACAAUUGUUAGGAUUAGUCUGCUGUCAACAGAUCGUUUCUGACACCGUUGUUAUCAUACUACUUUGCUGUUACUACUUUGCUUGCAGAUACUAAUCUUUCAGGUGUGGUUGAAUCCGACAAAUUCAGCUGCUAAUACUCGAGAGUAUUCUCUCACCUCCUUUAGGCGAUCUACAAAUUUGGGUCGAAUACUCUACCCUCGAUAACUGCUGCAAACCCACGCGCUGGUGGGCCAUCAACAACAUUCUUCCCGUUCCAUUGUCGGGGAGUGGCAGUAGCAUUCUUCUGGUGCCGUUGCAGGAGAAGGUUCGUUGUCAUAAGCAUUCGUCUAGCUAACACUAGAGAUUGCAGGAUCAGCACUUUUCUGGCGCCAUUGACGGGGAAGCACAGCUGACGUCAGCAUUUUUCUGGCGCCGUUGCCGGGGAAGCACAGCUGACGUCAGCAUUUUUCUGGCGCCGUUGCCGGGGAGGUAUUGCUAUAUUCUCUGAGUCACUUGGGAUUUAUAUCUGCUGAUCACUAUGAAGAAUCUAAAGGAUCCGAAGACCAAAGUCUUGCCCUCAACUACGAGGGGAGGUAAGGAAUUGCCAUCUAGCUCUGCACUUGAUUCACCUUCAGUUAUGAGUAAGUUUGUGACAUCACCUCCUGCUAGAAAUCUUGAUAUGUCGCCUGUGCUUGAUGAUGCUUGUGAUACUACUGCUAGAGAUGCUAUGCUUGAUACUAUGCCUGAUACUAUGCCUGAUGAUGCUAUACUUGAUACUAUGCUUGAUACUGCUAGAGAUGCUAUGCUUGAUACUACUAGAGAUGCUAUGCUUGAUACUGUUUUUCCUGAUGAUGCUAGAGAUGCUAUUUUGCCUGAUGAUGCUAUGCUUGAUACUGCUAGAGAUACUCCUUUGCCUGAUGUCCCACUAGGAGUGUUCAUUGAUGCUCAUAUUGCUAGAGUUACUGCCAAUGCUCGUGAUGCUUCUGAAACUACCGAUACUAUUGAGAUAGAACCUGCUUUUGCUCCUGCUAGAUCUAGCUCUCCUAGAUAUGAAUUGCCUGAUAUACCUGAGGGUUAUGUUAUGGAGGGAGAGAUAGCAUCCCCUCUCUUUCAUCUUCAAUCCAUCGAUAAUGUUACUUGGAGCUAUAUUUUUAUUCACCACAUGAUAUGUGUUUUGCUUGGAGCGUCGUGUAUUAUAGGAGUAUUUUAUUUUUUUGUGUCACAAUCAUCCUUGCUGCAUACCUUUUUGAGAGAGACAUGCACUCAUCGUUAAUUUGCUAGAAUACUCAUUGAGCUUCACUUAUAUCUUUUGAGUUAGGCAAUUUAGCUCGCAUGUGCUUGACUUAUAUCUUUUGAGCUAGAUAACUUUGCUCUAGUGCUUCACUUAGAUCUUUUUAGAGCACGACGGUUUCAUAUUUUGGAGAAAUAAUAACUCUCGAUCUUCACUUAUAUCUUUUUGAGAGUGCUCUCUUUGAGUAACUUGGUAGUUGGCUUAUGCUAUGAAAGUAGUCCUAAAGAUGAUAGGCAUCCAAAGAGGAUAUAAUGAAACUUCCAUAUUCUUGUGCAUUGAUUAGUAAAGAGAAGUUUUAUUCCUCUCAAUUAGUUUUGAGAUUUGGAUAUGGUAAUAUUAGAGUUAUGUUAGUAGGGUGUUGUGAAUCUAGAAAUACUUGUGUUGAAGUUAGUGAUUCCCGUAACAUGCACGUAUGGUGAACCGCUAUGAUAGGAAGUCAGAGCAUAAUUGAUUUAUUGAUUGUCAUCCUUUGUGUGGUAGUCGGGAUUGCGCGAUAUUUAACAUCUACCAACCCUUCCCCUAGGAGUAUGCGUUUAGCACUUUGUUUCGUUUACUAAUAAAACUUUCACAAUAAGUAUAUGAGUUCUUCUUGACUAAUGUGAGUCCAUGGUAUAGAUGCACUUGUUGGAAAUAUGCCCUAGAGGCAAUGAUAAAUUAGUUAUUAUUAUAUUUCUUUGUUCAUGAUAAUCAUUUAUUAUCCAUACUAUAAUUGUAUUGAUUGGAAACAUAAUACUUGUGUGGAUACAUAGACAAAACACUGUCCCUAGUAAGCCUCUAGUUGACUAGCUCGUUGUUCAAAGAUGGUCAAGGUGUUGGAAUUAUGCCCUAGAGGAAAUAAUAAAUAUGGUUAUUAUUUUAAUUCCUGUAUCAAGAUAAUCGUUUAUUAUCCAUGCUAUAAUUGUAUUGAAUGAAAACUUAUUUACAUGUGUGGAUACAUAGACAAAACACCGUCCCUAGCAAGCCUCUAGUUGGCUAGCCAGUUGAUCAAAGAUAGUCAGUGUCUUCUGAUUAUGAACAAGGUGUUGUUGCUUGAUAACUGGAUCACGUCAUUAGGAGAAUCACGUGAUGGACUAGACUCAAACUAAUAGACGUAGCANNNNNNNNNNNNNNNNNNNNNNNNNNNNNNNNNNNNNNNNNNNNNNNNNNNNNNNNNNNNNNNNNNNNNNNNNNNNNNNNNNNNNNNNNNNNNNNNNNNNGGGAGAGGAUCUUGAUGCUCAAUGUUCAAGUAGCUCAAUCCAGGUAUUCCUUUGAAAAACUCCUUUCAAACAACCUUUUAUGCUUUACAGAAAUUCUACAUUACUUCUGAUCCACAAUAUGUCAACCACAUAUACUUAUCAGAAAUUCUAUAGUGCUCCCACUCACUUCUUUGGAAAUACAAGUUUCUCACAAACCUUGUAUAAACCCACAAGCUUCGAUCAACUCAUCAAAGCAUAUAUUCCAACACCGAGAUGCUUGGACCAGUCCAUAGAAGGAUCACUGGAGCUUGCAUACUUGUUAGCAUCUUUAGGAUCGACAAAACUUUCCGGUUGUAUCACAUACAACCUUUCCGUCGAGGAAAAGAAUAUUUUGACAUCCUAUGUGGAUAUUUCAUAAAUAAUGCAGCAACUGCUAACAUAAUUCCAACAGACCUUUUGCAUCUCUAUGAGUGAGAAAGUCUCAUCACAGUCAACUUCUUGAACUUGUCGGAAAACAUCCUUGCGACAAGUUGAGCUUUUCUUAAUGGUGACGAUUCACCAUCAUCGUCUGUCUUCCUUACAAAGAUCCAUCUUUACUUAAUAGUCCUACGACCAUCAAGUAGUUCUUCCAAAGUCUAUACUUUGUUCUCACAUAUAGAUUCUCUCUCGGAUUUCAUGGCCUCUAGCCAUUUGUCGGAAUCCGGGCCUACCAUUGCUUCUCCAUAACUCGUAGGUUCAUUGUUCUUCAACAACAUGACCUCCAAGACAGGGUUACCGUACCACUCUGUAGUAGUAUGCGACCUUGUCGACCUACGAGGUUUGUAGUAACGUGAUCCAAUGCUUAAUGAUCACCAUCAUCAGCUUCCACUUCAAUUGGUGUAGGCGCCAUAGGAACAACUUCCUGCGCCCUGCUACACACUGGUUGAAGUGAUGGUUCAAUAACCUCAUCAAGUUCUACCACCCUCCCACUCAAGUCUUUCGAGAGAAACCUUUGCUCGAGAAAGGACCCGUUUUCUAGAAACAAACACUUUGCUUCCGGAUCUAAGAUAGGAGAUGUACCCAACUAUUUUGGAUAUCCUAUGAAGAUGCAUUUAUCCGCUUUGGGUUCGAGCUUAUCAGACUAAAACUUUUUCACAUAAGUGUCGCAACCCCAAACUUUCAAGAAACGACAACUUAGAUUUCUCUAAACCUCAGUCUAUACUGUGUCAUCUCAACGGAAUUACGCGGUGCCCUAUUUAAAGUGAAUGCGGUUGUCUCUAAUGCAUAACCCAUAAAUGAUAGUGGUAAUUCGUUAGAGACAUCAUAGUAUGCACCAUAUCAAAUAGGUCGCGGCUAUGAAACCAUCACACCAUGGUAUUCUUGGUGGCAUGAAUGGCGAAACAACUUCCACGUUGUCUUAACUGUGUACCAAAUCUCGCAACUCAUAUAUUCAUCUCUAUGAUCAUAUCGUAGACAGUUUAUCCUCUUGUUACGAUGAACUUCACACUAAAACAGAAUUGAACCUUUUUCAAUAUUUCAGACUUGUGAUCCAUUAAGUAAAUACUCCUAUAUCUACUUAAAUCGUCAUUGAAGUAAGAACAUAAUGAUAUCCACUGCCUGCCUCGGCACCCAUUGGACUGCAUACAUCAAAAUGUAUUACUUCCAACAAGUUACUGUCUUGUUUCAUCUCAAUGAAAACAAGGCCUUGCUCAUGUGGUAUGAUUUGCAUGUCACAAGUGAUUCAUAAUCAAGUGAGUAUAAAGAUCCAUCAGCAUGGAGCCUCUUCAUGCAAUUUAUACAAACAUGACUCAAGCGGUAGUGCCACAAGUAAGUGGUACUAUCAUUUUUACCUUGUAUCUUUUGGCACCAAUAUCAUGAACAUGUGUAACACUACGAUCCAGUUUCAAUAAACCAUUGAAGGUGAUUAUUCAAGCAAAUAGAGUAACCAUUAUUCUCUUUAAAUGAAUAAUCGUAUUGCAAUAAACACGACCAAAUCAUGUUCAUGCUCAACGCAAGCACCAAAUAACAAUUAUUUAGGUUUAACACCAAACCCGAUGGUAGAGGGAGCGUGCGACGUUUGAUCAUAUCAACCUUGGAAACACUUCCAACAUGUAUCGUCACCUCGCCUUUAGCUAGUCUCCGUUUAUUCCGUAGCUUUCAUUUCAAGUUACUAAUCACUUAGCAACCGAACCACUAUCCAAUACCCUUGUGCUACUAGGAGUACUAGUAAAGUACACAUCAAUAUCAUGUAUAUCAAAUAUACUUCUGUCGAAUUAGCCAGCCUUCUUAUCUACCAAGCAUCUAGGGUAGCUCCGCCUCAGUGACCGUUCCCCUCAUAAUAGAAGCACUUAGUAUCGGGUUUGGGUUUAAUCUUGGGUCUCUUCAUUAGUGCAGCAACUAUUUUGUCAUUUCACGAAGUAUCCCUUCUAGCCCUUGCCUUUCUUGAAACUUAGUGGUUUUACUAACCAUCAACUAUUGAUGCUCCCUCUUGAUUUCUACUUUCGCAAUGUCAAACAUCGUGAAUCACUCAAGGAUCAUUGUAUAUACCCUUGAUAUGUUAUAGUUCAUCACAAAGCUCUAGCAGCUUAGUGGCAGUGACUUUGGAGAACCAUCACUAUCUCAUCUGGAAGAUUAACUCCCACUUGAUUCAAGCAAUUGUUGUACUCAGACAAUCUGAGAACAUGCUCAACGAUUUUGAGCUUUUCUCCUUUACUUUGUAGGCAAAGAAUCUUGUCGGAGGUCUUAUACCUCUCAACAAAUGCACGAGCAUGAAAUCUCAAUUUCAUCUCUUUGAACAUCUCCUAUGUUCUGCGACGUUUUCAAAACGUCUUCGGCGCCUUGCUUCUAAGCCAUUAAGUAUUGCGCACUCAGCUAUCAUGUAGUCAUCAAAGACGUGUAUGUUAGAUGUCUGCAACAUCCACAGACGAACCACGAGGUGCAGCACACCGAGUGGUGCAUUAAGGACAUAAGCCUUCUGCGCAGCAAUGAGGACAAUCCUCAGUUUUACGGACUCAGUCCGCAAAGUUGCUACUAUCAACUUUCAACUAAAUUUUCUCUAGGAACAUAUAAAAACAGUAGAGCUAUAGCGCAAGCUACAUCGUAAUUCGCAAAGACCAUUAGACUGUGUUCAUGAUAAUUAGUUCAGUUAAUCAUAUUACUUAAGAACUCCCACUCAAAAAGUACAUCUCUCUAGUCAUUUGAGUGGUACAUGAUCCAAAUCCACUAUCUCAAGUCCGAUCAUCACGUGAGUCGAGAAUAGUUUCAGUGGUAAGCAUCUCUAUGCUAAUCAUAUCAACUAUAUGAUUCAUGCUCGACCUUUCGGUCUCUUGUGUUCCAAGGCCAUGUCUGCACAUGCUAGGCUCCUCAAGUUUAACCCGAGUGUUCCGCGUGUGCAACUGUUUUGCACCCGUUGUAUGUGAACAUUGAGUCUAUCAUACCCUAUCAUCACGUGGUGUCUCGAAACGAUGAACUGUAGCAACGGUGCACAGUCGGGGAGAACACAAUUUCGUCUUGAAAUUUUAGUGAGAGAUCACCUCAUAAUGCUACCGUCGUUCUAAGCAAAAUAAGGUGCAUAAAAGGAUUAACAUCACAUGCAAUUCAUAAGUGACAUGAUAUGCCCAUCAUCAUGUGCUUCUUGAUCUCCGUCACCAAAGCACCGACACGAUCUUCUUGUCACCGGUGCCACACCAUGAUCUCCAUCAUCAUGAUCUCCAUCAACGUGUUACCAUCGGGGUUGUCGUGCUACUUAUGCUAUUACUACUAAAGCUACUUCCUAGCAAUAUAGUGAACGCAUCUGCAAACACAAACGUUAGUUUAAAGACAACCCUAUGGCUCCUGCCGGUUGUUGUACUAUCGACGUGCAAGUCGAUAUUAACUAUUACAACAUGAUCAUCUCAUACAUCCAAUAUAUCUCAUCACGUUGUUGGCCAUAUCACAUCACAAGCAUACCCUGCAAAAACAAGUUAGACGUCCUCUAAUUGUUGUUGCAUGUUUUACGUGGUUGCCAUGGUUAUCUAGUAGGAUCGCAUCUUACUUACGCAAACACCACAACGGAGAUGUAUGACUUGCUAUUUGACCUCUCUCCAAGGACCUCCUCGGUCAAAUCCGAUUCAACUAAAGUUGGAGAAACCGACACUCGCUAGUCAUCUUUGAGCAACGGGGUUGCUCGUAUCGAUGAAACCAGCCUCUCGUAAGCAUACGAGUAAUGUCGGUCCGAGCUGCUUUGAUCCAACAAUACCGCGGAAUCAAGAAAAGACUAAGGAGGGCAGCAAAUCGCACAUCACCGCCCACAAAAACUUUUGUGUUCUACUCGAGAUAACAUCUACGCAUGAACCUAGCUCAUGAUGCCACUGUUGGGGAACGUCGCAUGCAAAACAAAAAAUUUCCUACGCACACGCAAUACCUAUCAUUGUGAUGUUCAUCUACGAGAGGAUAUUUCCGAUCUACGUACCCUUGUAGAUCGCAUAGCAGAAGCGUUAAGAAACGCGUUUGAUGUAGUGGAACGUCAUCACGUCCCUCGAUCCGCCCCGCGAACCGUCCCACGAACCGUCCCGCGAUCUGUCCCACGAUCCGUUCCCGUGAUCCGUCCCACGAACCAUCUCGCGAUCCGUUGCACGAACCGUCUUGCGAUCCAUCUCACGAUCCGUUCCGAUCUAGUGCCGAACGGACGGCACCUCCGCGUUCAGCACACGUACAGCUCGACGAUGAUCUCAGCCUUCUUGAACCAGCAAGAGAGACGGAGAGCUAGAUGAGUUCUUUGGCAGCGUGGCGCUCCGGAGGUUGGUGAUGAUCUAUCGCAGCAGGGCUCCGCCCGAGCUCCAUAGAAAUACGAUCUAGAGGAAAAAUCGUGGAGGUAUGUGGUCGGGCUGCCCUGGCAAAAGUUGUGUCUCAAAAACCAUCAAUACCUCUAGUAUAUAUAGGAGGGAGGGAGGGGAGGAGGCAGCCUCAAACCCUCAAGGUUUGGCCGAAAUUGGAGGUGGAGGAGUCCUACUCCAAUCCUACUUGCAGUAGGAUUCCACCUUCCCACUAGGAAACUCUUUCCACCUUGUGUUUUUCCUUCUCAAACCUUAUGGGCCUUAGUGGGAACUUGUUCCAGCCCACUAGGGGCUGGUUUAUCUCUUCCCAUAGCCCAUGAGACGCCUUGGGGCGUGACACCCCUCCCGAUGGUCCCCGGCACCCCUCCCGACACUCCCGGUACAUUACCGAUAAGCCCGAAACUUUUUCGGUGACCAAAACAGGACUUCCUAUAUAUCAAUCUUUACCAUCGGACCAUUCCGGAGCUCCUCGUGACGUCUUGGAUCUCAUCUGGGACUCCGAAUAACUUUCAGUUACCAACACCUAUAACUGAACUAUACAUAAAACAUCGUCGAACCUUAAGUGUGCAGACCCUGCGGGUUCGAGAACUAUGUAGACAUGACCCGAGACACUCCUCUUUCAAUAUACAAUAGCGGGACCUGGAUGCCCAUAUUGGAUCCUACAUAUUCUCUGAAGAUCUUAUCGGUUGAACCUCAGUGUCAAGGAUUCAUAUAAUCCCAUAUGUCACUCCCUUUGUCCUUCGGUAUGUUACUUGCCCGAGAUUCGAUCAUCGGUAUCGGCAUACCUAUUUCAAUCUCGUUUACCAGCAAGUCUCUUUACUCAUUCCGUAAUAUAAGAUCACGUGACAUACACUAAGUCACAUUGCUUGCAAGGCUUUGUGUGUGAUGUUGUAUUACCGAGUGGGCCCCAAGAUACCUCUCCGUCACACGGAGUGACAAAUCCCAGUCUUGAUCCAUACUAACUCAACGGACACCUUCGGAGAUACAUGUAGAGCAUCUUUAUAGUCACCCAGUUACGUUGUGACGUUUGAUACACACAAGGUAUUCCUCCGGUGCCAGUGAGUUAUAUGAUCUCAUGGUCAUAGGAAUAAAUACUUGACACGCAGAAAAAUAGUAGCAACAAAAUGACACGAUCAACAUGCUACGUUCAUUAGUUUGGGUAUAGUCCAUCACAUGAUUCUCCUAAUGAUGUGAUCCCGUUAUCAAGUAACAACAUUUGCCAACAGUCAGGAAACUUUGUGUUGGGGAACGUCGCAUGGGAAACAAAAAAUUUCCUACGCGCACGAAGACCUAUCAUGGUGAUGUCCAUCUACGAGAGGGGAUGAGUGAUCUACGUACCCUUGUAGACCGUACAGCAGAAGCGUUAGAGAACGCGGUUGAUGUAGUGGAACAUCCUCACGUCCCUCGAUCCGCCCCGCGAACAAUCCCGCGAUUAGUCCCACGAUCUAGUACCGAACGGACGGCACCUCCGCGUUCAGCACACAUACAGCUCGAUGAUGAUCUCGGCCUUCUUGAUCCAGCAAGAGAGACGGAGAGGUAGAACAGUUCUCCGGCAGCGUGACGGCGCUCCGGAGGUUGGUGAUGACCUUGUCUCAGCAGGGCUCCGCCCGAGCUCCGCAGAAAUGCGAUAUAGAGGAAAAACCGUGGAGGUAUGUGGUCGGGCUGCCGUGGAAAAGUCGUCUCAAAUCAGCCCCAAUACCUCCGUAUAUAUAGGUGGGAGGGAGGCCUUGGGCUCAAGGACCCCAAGGGGGUCGGCCGAGUCCAAGGGGGGAAGGCUCCCCCCCCCAAACCGAGUUGGACUUGGUUUGGUGGGUGGGAGUCCUUCCCUUCCUUCCCACCUCCCUUUUUUUUCUUUCUCUUUGAUUUUCCUUUGUAUGGCGCAUAGGGCCCUUUUGGGCUGUCCCACCAGCCCACUAAGGGUUGGUGCGCCACCCUCAUGGCCUAUGGGCUUCCCCGGGGUGGGUUGCCCCCCCCCCCCCGGUGAACUCCCGGAACCNNNNNNNNNNNNNNNNNNNNNNNNNNNNNNNNNNNNNNNNNNNNNNNNNNNNNNNNNNNNNNNNNNNNNNNNNNNNNNNNNNNNNNNNNNNNNNNNNNNNNNNNNNNNNNNNNNNNNNNNNNNNNNNNNNNNNNNNNNNNNNNNNNNNNNNNNNNNNNNNNNNNNNNNNNNNNNNNNNNNNNNNNNNNNNNNNNNNNNNNNNNNNNNNNNNNNNNNNNNNNNNNNNNNNNNNNNNNNNNNNNNNNNNNNNNNNNNNNNNNNNNNNNNNNNNNNNNNNNNNNNNNNNNNNNNNNNNNNNNNNNNNNNNNNNNNNNNNNNNNNNNNNNNNNNNNNNNNNNNNCUCGUGACGUCCGUGAUCUCAUCCGGGACUCCGAACAACAUUCGGUAACCAACCAUAUAACUCAAAUACGCAUAAAACAACGUCGAACCUUAAGUGUGCAGACCAUGCGGGUUCGAGAACUAUGUAGACAUGACCCGAGAGACUCCUCGGUCAAUAUCCAAUAGCGGGACCUGGAUGCCCAUAUUGGAUCCUACAUAUUCUACGAAGAUCUUAUCGUUUGAACCUCAGUGCCAAGGAUUCAUAUAAUCCCGUAUGUCAUUCCCUUUGUCCUUCGGUAUGUUACUUGCCCGAGAUUCGAUCGUCAGUAUCCGCAUACCUAUUUCAAUCUCGUUUACCGGCAAGUCUCUUUACUCGUUCCGUAAUACAAGAUCCCGCAANNNNNNNNNNNNNNNNNNNNNNNNNNNNNNNNNNNNNNNNNNNNNNNNNNNNNNNNNNNNNNNNNNNNNNNNNNNNNNNNNNNNNNNNNNNNNNNNNNNNNNNNNNNNNNNNNNNNNNNNNNNNNNNNNNNNNNNNNNNNNNNNNNNNNNNNNNNNNNNNNNNNNNNNNNNNNNNNNNNNNNNNNNNNNNNNNNNNNNNNNNNNNNNNNNNNNNNNNNNNNNNNNNNNNNNNNNNNNNNNNNNNNNNNNNNNNNNNNNNNNNNNNNNNNNNNNNNNNNNNNNNNNNNNNNNNNNNNNNNNNNNNNNNNNNNNNNNNNNNNNNNNNNNNNNNNNNNNNNNNNNNNNNNNNNNNNNNNNNNNNNNNNNNNNNUUUGAUACACACAAAGCAUUCCUCCGGUGUCAGUGAGUUAUAUGAUCUCAUGGUCAUAGGAAUAAAUACUUGACACGCAGAAAACAGUAGCAACAAAAUGACACGAUCAACAUGCUACGUCUAUUAGUUUGGGUCUAGUCCAUCACGUGAUUCUCCUAAUGAUGUGAUCCAGUUAUCAAGCAACAACACCUUGUUCAUAAUCAGAAGACACUGACUAUCUUUGAUCAACUGGCAAGCCAACUAGAGGCUUGCUAGGGACGGUGUUUUGUCUAUGUAUCCACACAUGUAAAUGAGUCUUCAUUCAAUACAAUUAUAGCAUGGAUUAUAAACGAUUAUCUUGAUACAGGAAUUAUAAUAAUAACCAUAUUUAUUAUUGCCUCUAGGGCAUAAUUCCAACAGUCUCCCACUUGCACUAGAGUCAAUAAUCUAGCCCUCACAUCAUCAUGUGAAUUACAUUGUAAUAAAUCUAACACCCAUACAGUUCUGGUGUUGAUCAUGCUUUGGCCGUGGAAGAGGUUUAGUCAGCGGGUCUGCUACAUUCAGUUCCAUGUGCACUUUGCAUAUAUUUACGUCCUCUCCCUCUACGUAGUCGCGGAUGAGGUUGAAGCGUCGUUUGAUGUGUCUGGUCUUCUUGUGAAACCGCGGUUCCUUUGCUAAGGCAAUGGCACCCGUGUUGUCACAGAACAAGGUUAUUGGAUUCAGUGCGCUUGGUACCACUCCAAGAUCCGUCAUGAACUGCUUCAUCCAGACACCCUCCUUGGCCGCCUCCGAGGCAGCCAUGUACUCCGCUUCACAUGUAGAAUCUGCUAUGACGCUUUGCUUGGAGCUGCACCAGCUUACCGCACCCCCAUUAAGAAUAAAUACGUAUCCGGUUUGCGACUUAGAGUCGUCUGGAUCUGUGUCAAAGCUUGCAUCGACGUAACCUUUUACGGCGAGCUCUUCGUCACCUCCAUACACGAGAAACAUCUCCUUAGUCCUUUUCAGGUACUUCAUGGUAUUCUUGACCGCUGUCCAGUGAUCCACUCCUGGAUUACUCUGGAACCUACCUGCCAUACUUAUGGCCAGGCUAACAUCCGGUCUAGUGCACAACAUUGCAUACAUGACAGAACCUAUGGCUGAAGCAUAGGGGACAGAGCGCAUAUGCUCUCUAUCUUCAUCAGUUGCUGGGCACUGAGUCUUACUCAAUCUCGUACCUUGUAGAACUGGCAAGAACCCUUUCUUGGACCGUUCCAUUUUGAACCUUUUCAAAACUUUAUCAAGGUAUGUGCUUUGUGAAAGUCCUAUCAGGCGUUUUGAUCUAUCCCUAUAGAUCUUAAUGCCUAGAAUGUAAGCAGCUUCUCCUAGGUCCUUCAUAGAGAAACUUUUAUUCAAGUAAUCCUUUACGCUCUCCAGAAACUCCACGUUGUUUCCAAUCAGCAAUAUGUCAUCCACAUAUAAUAUCAGAAACGCCACAGAGCUCCCACUCACUUUCUUGUAAAUACAAGAUUCUCCAACCACUUGUAUAAAUCCAAAUGCUUUGAUCACCUCAUCAAAGCGUUUGUUCCAACUCCGAGAUGCUUGCACCAGUCCAUAAAUGGAUUGCUGGAGCUUGCACACCUUGUUAGCAUUCUUAGGAUCGACAAACCUUCGGGUGGUAUCAUAUACAAUUCUUCCUUAAGGAAACCGUUAAGGAACGCCGUUUUGACAUCCAUCUGCCAGAUUUCAUAAUCGAAAAACGCAGCUAUUGCUAACAUGAUUCUGACGGACUUAAGCAUCGCUACGGGUGAGAAUGUCUCAUCGUAGUCAACUCCUUGAACUUGUGAAAAAACCUUUGCCACAAGUCGAGCUUUAUAAACGGUCACAUUGCCGUCAGUGUCCGUCUUCCUCUUAAAGAUCCAUUUGUUCUGAAUAGCCUUGCGGCCCUCAGGUAGUACCACCAAAGUCCACACUUUGUUCUCAUACAUGGAUCCUAUCUCGGACUUCAUGGCUUCUAGCCAUUUGUUGGAAUCUGGGCCCACCAUUGCUUCUUCAUAAUUUGCAGGUUCAUUGUUGUCUAACAACAUGAUUGAUAAGACGGGAUUACCGUACCACUCUGGAGCAGCAUGUGGUCUCCUCGACCUGCGUGGUUCGACAGAAACUUGAACUGGAGUUUCAUGAUCAUCAUCAUUAACUUCCUCCUCAACCGGCGUCGCAAUGGCAGAGGUUUCCCCUUGCCCUGCGCCACCAUCCAGAGGGAUGAGAGGUUCGACAACCUCGUCAAGUUCUAUCUUCCUCCCACUCAAUUCUCUCGAGAGAAAAUCCUUCUCGAGAAAAGCUCCGUUUUUAGCAACAAACACUUUGCCCUCGGAUUUGAGAUAGAAGGUGUACCCAACUGUCUCUUUUGGGUAACCUAUGAAGACGCACUUUUCCGCUUUGGGUUCCAGCUUUUCAGGCUGAAGCUCUUUGACAUAAGCAUCACAUCCCCAAACUUUAAGAAACGACAACUUUGGCCUUUUGCCAUACCACAAUUCGUAUGGUGUCAUCUCAACGGAUUUUGACGGUGCCCUAUUUAAAGUGAAUGCAGCUGUUUCUAAUGCAUAACCCCAAAAUGAUAACGGCAAAUCAGUAAGAGACAUCAUAGAUCGCACCAUCUCUCAUAGAGUACGAUUACGACAAUCGGACACACCAUUACGCUGUGGUGUUCCAGGCGGUGUUAACUGUGAAACAAUUCCACAUUGUCUUAAGUGAGUACCAAACUCGAAACUCAGAUAUUCACCCCCACGAUCAGACCGUAGGAACUUGAUCCUCUUGUUACGAUGAUUUUCCACUUCACUCUGAAAUUUCUUGAACUUUUCAAAUGUUUCAGACUUGUGCUUCAUCAAGUAGACAUAGCCAUAUCUACUCAAAUCGUAAGUGAAGGUGAGAAAAUAACGAUAUCCGCCACGUGCCUCCACGCUCAUCGGACCACACACAUCGGUAUGUAUGAUUUCCAAGAAGUCACUUGCACGCUCCAUUGUUCUGGAGAACGGAGUCUUAGUCAUCUUGCCCAUGAGGCAUGGUUCGCACGUGUCAAGUGAAUCAAAGUCAAGUGACUCCAAAAGUCCAUCAGCAUGGAGUUUCUUCAUGCGCUUUACACCAAUAUGACCUAAGCGGCAGUGCCACAAAAAUAUGGCGCUAUCAUUGUUAACUCUAACUCUUUUGGUCUCAAUGUUAUGCAUAUGCGUAUCGCUAUCAAGAUUCAAUAUGAACAAUCCUCUCACAUUCGGUGCAUGACCAUAAAAGAUGUUACUUAUAGAAAUAGAACAACCAUUAUUCUCUGACUUAAAAGAGUAACCGUCUCGCAAUAAACAAGAUCCAGAUAUAAUGUUCAUGCUCAACGCAGGCACUAAAUAACAAUGAUUUAAGUUCAUCACCAAUCCUGAUGGUAACUGAAGUGAAACUGUGCCGACGGCGAUUGCAUCAACCUUGGAACCAUUUCCUACGCGCAUCGUCACUUCAUCUUUCGCCAGCCUUCGUCUAUUCCGCAGUUCCUGUUUCGAGUUGCAAAUAUGAGCAACAGAACCGGUAUCGAAUACACAGGCACUACUACGAGAGCCGGUUAAGUACACAUCAAUAACAUGUAUAUCAAAUAUACCUGAUUUUUCUUUGGCCGCCUUCUUAUCUGCCAGAUACUUGGGGCAAUUGCGCUUCCAGUGACCUAUACCCUUGCAAUAGUAACACUCCGUUUCAGGCUUAGGUCCAGCUUUGGGUUUCUUCGUCGGAUUGGCAACAGGCUUGCCGCUCUUCUUCGAAUUACCCUUCUUGCCUUUGCCGUUUCUCUUGAAACUAGUGGUCUUAUUCACCAUCAACACUUGAUGCUCUUUACGGAGUUCAGACUCUGCGACUUUCAGCAUCGCAAACAACUCGCCGGGAGACUUGUUCAUCCCUUGCAUGUUGUAGUUCAACACAAAGCCUUUAUAGCUUGGCGGCAGUGAUUGAAGGAUUCUGUCAGUGAUAGCCUCUUGCGGGAGAUCAAUCCCCAGCUCAGCUAGACGGUUUGAGUACCCAGACAUUUUGAGCACAUGUUCACUGACAAACGAGUUUUCCUCCAUCUUGCAAGCAUAGAAUUUAUCGGAGGUCUCAUACCUCUCGAUCCGGGCGUUCUUCUGAAAGAUAAACUUCAACUCCUGGAACAUCUCAAAUGCUCCAUGACGCUCAAAGAGACGUUGAAGUCCCGGUUCUAAGCCAUACAAGACUGCACAUUGAACUAUUGAGUAGUCCUCCGUACGUGCUAACCAAGCGUUCUUAACAUCCUGAUCAGCCGUAGCGGUUGGUUCAUCUCCUAGCGCAGCAUUAAGGACAUGAUCCUUCUUCCCAGCUUGUAAGAUUAGCUUAAGAGUACGAGCCCAAUCUACAAAGUUGCUUCCAUCAUCUUUCAACUUAGCUUUCUCUAGGAACGUAUUAAAAUUCAGGAUGACUGUCGCGUGAGCCAUGAUCUACAACACAAAUAUAUUCAAAGUGGACUUAGACUAUGUUCAAAAUAAUUAGAGUUUAACUUAAUAAAAUUAUUAGCUAAACUCCCACUCAAAAAGUACAUCUCUCUAGUCAUUUGAGUGGUUCAUGAUCCACUUACACUAGCUCAAGUCCGAUCAUCACGUGAGUUGAGUGUAGUUUCAGUGGUAAGCAUCCCUAUGCUAAUCAUAUCAUCUAUAUGAUUCAUGAUCGACCUUUCGGUCUGAUGUGUUCUGAGGCCAUGUCUGCACAUGCUAGGCUCGUCAAGCUUAACCCGAGUGUUCCGCGUGCGCAACUGUUUUGCACCCGUUGUAUGUGAACGUUGAGUCUAUCACACCCGAUCAUCACGUGGUGUCUCGAAACGACGAACUGUAGCAACGGUGCACAGUCGGGGAGAACACAAUUUCGUCUUGAAAUUUUAGUGAGAGAUCACCUCAUAAUGCUACCGUCGUUCUAAGCAAAAUAAGGUGCAUAAAAGGGAUUAACAUCACAUGCAAUUCAUAAGUGACAUGAUAUGGCCAUCAUCACGUGCUUCUUGAUCUCCAUCACCAAAGCACCGGCACGAUCUUCUUGUCACCGGCGCCACGACAUGAUCUCCAUCAACGUGUUGCCAUCGGGGUUGUCGUGCUACUCAUGCUAUUACUACUAAAGCUACAUCCUAGCAAAAUAGUAAACGCAUCUGCAAGCACAAACGUUAGUAUAAAGACAACCCUAUGGCUCCUGCCGGUUGCCGUACCAUCGACGUGCAAGUCGAUAUUUUCUAUUACAACAUGAUCAUCUCAUACAUCCAAUAUAUCACAUCACAUCGUUGGCCAUAUCACAUCACAAGCAUACCCUGCAAAAACAAGUUAGACGUCCUCUAAUUUUGUUGUUGCAUGUUUUACGUGGUGACCAUGGGUAUCUAGUAGGAUCGCAUCUUACUUACGCAAACACCACAACGGAGAUAUAUGAGUUGCUAUUUAACCUCAUCCAAGGACCUCCUCGGUCAAAUCCGAUUCAACUAAAGUUGGAGAAACCGACACUUGCCAGUCAUCUUUGAGCAACGGGGUUACUCGUGGCGAUGAAACCAGUCUCUCGUAAGCGUAGAGUAAUGUCGGUCCAAGCCGCUUCAAUCCAACAAUACCGCGGAAUCAAGAAAAGACUAAGGAGGGCAGCCAAACGCAGAUCACCGCCCACAAAAACUUAUGUGUUCUACUCGAGAAGACAUCUACGCAUGAACCUAGCUCAUGAUGCCACUGUUGGGGAACGUCGCAUGGGAAACAAAAAUUUUCCUACGUGCACGAAGACCUAUCAUGGUGAUGUCCAUCUACGAGAGGGGAUGAGUGAUCUAUGUACCCUUGUAGACUGUACAGCAGAAGCGUUAGAGAACGCGGUUGAUGUAGUGGAACAUCCUCACGUCCCUCGAUCCGCCCCGCGAACAAUCCCGCGAUUAGUCCCACGAUCUAGUACCGAACGGACGGCACCUCCGCGUUCAGCACACAUACAGCUCGAUGAUGAUCUCGGCCUUCUUGAUCCAGCAAGAGAGACGGAGAGGUAGAACAGUUCUCCGGCAGCGUGACGGCGCUCCGGAGGUUGGUGAUGACCUUGUCUCAGCAGGGCUCCGCCCGAGCUCCGCAGAAAUGCGAUCUAGAGGAAAAACCGUGGAGGUAUGUGGUCGGGCUGGCGUGAAAAAGUCAUCUCAAAUCAGCCCCAAUACCUCCGUAUAUAUAGGUGGGAGGGAGGGGACCUUGCCUUGGAGCUCAAGGAGCCCCAAGGGGGGGGCCGAGUUGGACUUGGUUUGNNNNNNNNNNNNNNNNNNNNNNNNNNNNNNNNNNNNNNNNNNNNNNNNNNNNNNNNNNNNNNNNNNNNNNNNNNNNNNNNNNNNNNNNNNNNNNNNNNNNNNNNNNNNNNNNNNNNNNNNNNNNNNNNNNNNNNNNNNNNNNNNNNNNNNNNNNNNNNNNNNNNNNNNNNNNNNNNNNNNNNNNNNNNNNNNNNNNNNNNNNNNNNNNNNNNNNNNNNNNNNNNNNNNNNNNNNNNNNNNNNNNNNNNNNNNNNNNNNNNNNNNNNNNNNNNNNNNNNNNNNNNNNNNNNNNNNNNNNNNNNNNNNNNNNNNNNNNNNNNNNNNNNNNNNNNNNNNNNNNNNNNNNNNNNNNNNNNNNNNNNNNNNNNNNNNNNNNNNNNNNNNNNNNNNNNNNNNNNNNNNNNNNNNNNNNNNNNNNNNNNNNNNNNNNNNNNNNNNNNNNNNNNNNNNNNNNNNNNNNNNNNNNNNNNNNNNNNNNNNNNNNNNNNNNNNNNNNNNNNNNNNNNNNNNNNNNNNNNNNNNNNNNNNNNNNNNNNNNNNNNNNNNNNNNNNNNNNNNNNNNNNNNNNNNNNNNNNNNNNNNNNNNNNNNNNNNNNNNNNNNNNNNNNNNNNNNNNNNNNNNNNNNNNNNNNNNNNNNNNNNNNNNNNNNNNNNNNNNNNNNNNNNNNNNNNNNNNNNNNNNNNNNNNNNNNNNNNNNNNNNNNNNNNNNNNNNNNNNNNNNNNNNNNNNNNNNNNNNNNNNNNNNNNNNNNNNNNNNNNNNNNNNNNNNNNNNNNNNNNNNNNNNNNNNNNNNNNNNNNNNNNNNNNNNNNNNNNNNNNNNNNNNNNNNNNNNNNNNNNNNNNNNNNNNNNNNNNNNNNNNNNNNNNNNNNNNNNNNNNNNNNNNNNNNNNNNNNNNNNNNNNNNNNNNNNNNNNNNNNNNNNNNNNNNNNNNNNNNNNNNNNNNNNNNNNNNNNNNNNNNNNNNNNNNNNNNNNNNNNNNNNNNNNNNNNNNNNNNNNNNNNNNNNNNNNNNNNNNNNNNNNNNNNNNNNNNNNNNNNNNNNNNNNNNNNNNNNNNNNNNNNNNNNNNNNNNNNNNNNNNNNNNNNNNNNNNNNNNNNNNNNNNNNNNNNNNNNNNNNNNNNNNNNNNNNNNNNNNNNNNNNNNNNNNNNNNNNNNNNNNNNNNNNNNNNNNNNNNNNNNNNNNNNNNNNNNNNNNNNNNNNNNNNNNNNNNNNNNNNNNNNNNNNNNNNNNNNNNNNNNNNNNNNNNNNNNNNNNNNNNNNNNNNNNNNNNNNNNNNNNNNNNNNNNNNNNNNNNNNNNNNNNNNNNNNNNNNNNNNNNNNNNNNNNNNNNNNNNNNNNNNNNNNNNNNNNNNNNNNNNNNNNNNNNNNNNNNNNNNNNNNNNNNNNNNNNNNNNNNNNNNNACUCCAAGGGCAUGUCGCUGAGCGUAGAUCGUAGCCUCACUCCUGGUCGGAAAAGUACUCUGCAACAUGAUACGUUGCAGCCGUGUAGGUCAGCAUAUUGAAUAUGUCGGCAAGUCAUCAAAGAGAGGAGUAAAAUGAUAAUCAACUAUCUCUACAUGCAUAUUUGGCCGGUGGGGCUAAGUUUUGCAUAAAGUCAGUUCUAUCCUACAACAAGAGGGGUUGAAAGCAAAAUAUUACUACAUAAUUGGUUGUUAACGACAUGGUUCCGCCAACCAAUUCUCGUACCCGAAUAGUUGUUAACACCCACAUCAUUAUUAAGUUGUGUCGAGAGUUCAGGGGAAAUUCAAUGCCUUCGGCUCAAGUUGUCCAUGACCGUGGACACGGCUAAUCGAUUAGGUUGGGCACUCUUCAGAGUUUUGCACACGUUCCCCACAAGAUUUGAUCGCCUCCGGUCUUGUCCUCGCACUUCAGGGUGUUUGAAGACCGGAUGAUCAAAACAUGGUCUUUCAACGGGUCCCUCUGAAUCCCUGUCGGUGCCCAUCCAUUCCUACCGUUCUUCUACAUCUGCUAGCACCGCCUGUCCAGAGUCGCCGCGUUGUCCAACCAAGCCAGAGCCCAUAAUGACUUGUGGCUGUGCAGGUAAGCCUUGAGUCUUGAAGUCUCCGUCCGUCUNNNNNNNNNNNNNNNNNNNNNNNNNNNNNNNNNNNNNNNNNNNNNNNNNNNNNNNNNNNNNNNNNNNNNNNNNNNNNNNNNNNNNNNNNNNNNNNNNNNNNNNNNNNNNNNNNNNNNNNNNNNNNNNNNNNNNNNNNNNNNNNNNNNNNNNNNNNNNNNNNNNNNNNNNNNNNNNNNNNNNNNNNNNNNNNNNNNNNNNNNNNNNNNNNNNNNNNNNNNNNNNNNNNNNNNNNNNNNNNNNNNNNNNNNNNNNNNNNNNNNNNNNNNNNNNNNNNNNNNNNNNNNNNNNNNNNNNNNNNNNNNNNNNNNNNNNNNNNNNNNNNNNNNNNNNNNNNNNNNNNNNNNNNNNNNNNNUUGAUUAUUUAUAUCAACCUCGCAUCACUCGUGAUAUACACUCAACCGAUAACCCGUCUACUCAAGCAUAGCAUUAAGAAAUUGUCGUCCCGGGGCCAAGUAUCGGGGUUGUUGUGUGCCUACCACAUGAUACUACAACUUAUGCUAAAGUUUCCAAGUACCUAGGCAUCAUGCAAUUGGGCAAACAAAGGUGAUCUACCAUGCAUCGAAAACAUAGGUAAAAAUAACAUGAUCAAAAUGACUUGCCUUGAUGAUAGUUGUCUUGCUCGAGCGCUUCUAAGUAACACGCUUCGCACUCCGGAUGAUCUACCGAUACAAACACAAAACACACCAUAAGCACUUCAAUCAUGCCACAAGUAAAAAUAACAUCACAAGUAAAGAUUUGCUAAAGCCUAAGCAAAAGAAUUCAUCACGCGCCGGUAUGGCAGAAACUUGUUUCUCUUGAACACACCAGUAAAAAUACUUAAACAAUUUUGAAACUUCUACCACAGUAAGAUAUAAUCACUAGGAAGCAGUAUCAAAAAGAAUCAACUCCAAAUCAUUUUUGAAACUCCUGGAAUAGGCAAAACAAGGUUUAAUCUAAAUCUGAUCUAACUUAUAUUUAAAAAUUUCAAACAUAGACAAAUUAUAUGUUUUUAAAAACUACAGAAAUAUUGGAGUGUACUGGAACAAGAAUCAAUAUCAUUGGACUUCGGGAUCAAAGGUUGUGGCCAAAACAAAACACAAACUUUUCUGUUUUUGCAAUUAGACAGAAAAAGAAACAAAUCUAGCUAUCUAAGGGAGGUACACGUGGCAUGCUACUAUAGGUUGUGGAGGCGUUUGUUGCAAUGUUUUGAGCAAACGGCCGGAUGCUAAUAAAAACUGCUGGCUAAAACAUAAGUGAACUAAAACCGCUGGUUUUCUAAUAUAAACCGAAGGGGUACUAUGGAUCUAAUCUAUACCCUACAUCUAAAAUCUAAGGGCUAUAAAGAAAAGCAAAAGAAAGAACAGAGAGGGGAGAGAGAGCUACCGUGGCUNNNNNNNNNNNNNNNNNNNNNNNNNNNNNNNNNNNNNNNNNNNNNNNNNNNNNNNNNNNNNNNNNNNNNNNNNNNNNNNNNNNNNNNNNNNNNNNNNNNNAGUGGUUUUCUAGGUCCAACAGGUUGAAGGUUAUCAUGCCAUUGUUGAGAGGCUGAUAUUUAACAAGUGGUAGGUAACGAGACAUAAUCGAUAGAAGCGGUAAACUAGCAUGGCAAUGAUAGUAAUGGUAUCUGGGGAAAUGAUCAUCUUGCCUGAGAUCCCGCUUGGAAGAAGAAUGACUCCGUGAAGCAGACGAAGCGACAUAGUCGAACGGGUCCUCACAUCCGACACGCCUGCGAAACUCUAUCGAGACGGGCAAACCGGAAACAAACAUCAACACAAAUAUUCGCCACACGAUGCACAACACAUAUGAUGCAUGAACGGACUAAUGCAAGGCAUGACAAUCACAAGAAUCAAACACUACACAUUAAGUGAAGCUCGAUAUGCAACGAGUUGCAUAUCGACGAAACUCCACNNNNNNNNNNNNNNNNNNNNNNNNNNNNNNNNNNNNNNNNNNNNNNNNNNNNNNNNNNNNNNNNNNNNNNNNNNNNNNNNNNNNNNNNNNNNNNNNNNNNNNNNNNNNNNNNNNNNNNNNNNNNNNNNNNNNNNNNNNNNNNNNNNNNNNNNNNNNNNNNNNNNNNNNNNNNNNNNNNNNNNNNNNNNNNNNNNNNNNNNNNNNNNNNNNNNNNNNNNNNNNNNNNNNNNNNNNNNNNNNNNNNNNNNNNNNNNNNNNNNNNNNNNNNNNNNNNNNNNNNNNNNNNNNNNNNNNNNNNNNNNNNNNNNNNNNNNNNNNNNNNNNNNNNNNNNNNNNNNNNNNNNNNNNNNNNNNNNNNNNNNNNNNNNNNNNNNNNNNNNNNNNNNNAGGUUUGUUAAACGGAAAAACAAAGUUGUUCACGUGAUUCUACUCGUCGUUCUGCACCAUUUACAUAUAUGGCACAUCUCCAACGGAGCUACGGACAAAUAGUUACGAUCUAAACCGUUUUCAACAAGGUGACACGCAAACCGAUGCAAACAGCACACUAAACAGAUCUAAUUAUGCAUGAGAGUUGAAAAAUAUUACUCUACGCAAAAUUCUAGCCAAGUUACAUAUAUAANNNNNNNNNNNNNNNNNNNNNNNNNNNNNNNNNNNNNNNNNNNNNNNNNNNNNNNNNNNNNNNNNNNNNNNNNNNNNNNNNNNNNNNNNNNNNNNNNNNNAAUCUGGGUCGACAAGCUAGUCAUAUUUACAAAAACAAAAUAGAUAGAGUUCAUACCAGCUUUUCAGUCUCAGUCACUUCAUCAUAUAUCAUCAUUGUUGCCUUUCAUUUGCACGAUCGAACGAUGUGAACAAUAAUAAGCGCAUUGGACUAAGCUGAAUCUGCAGGCAGACACAAAGGAGAAGACAAAAUAAUAUGGCUCUUUGAAAGCUAAACAAGUAAGCAUGCAAGAACCACUAAGCAUUGUAAACAAUAUCUUCUACCUUGACACAAAGAAAAAGAAAGCUAUUUACACGGGAAAACUCCCAACAAGCAAAAGAAGAAAGAAAAAUCUUUUUGGGUUUUCUCAAAAGGACACAAAACAAGAAAACAAGAAAACGAAAAGAAACUAGCAUGGAUAAUACAGUGGAAAAGUUUAAACACCGGCUAACGAAAUGAAAGCAUAAGCAUGAAUGUAAAGUCAGUGAGAACACGUACUCCCCCAAGCUUAGGCUUUUGGCCUAGCUUGGUCUACUCCCAUGGAUGAUCCUGGCGAAACCCGAAGUCAUAAUGGGUGUUAUACGGGAGUGCUGCAGCCACUGCCUGAAUAGCUGCCUCACGAAGUCGAGCACCCGUCGCCUCCCUCUCAUACUCCUCAGCCUCUCCUAUGGUUAUGUAGUAUCUUCGUUUAACCUGAAAGUCAAAGAAAGCAGGAGCAGGAAGGGUAAUAUGGAAAACACGAUGCCGGUUAAAUAUCAAGCGGUGUAGGAGGGAUCCAUGAUCUCUCUCAAGGAACAGGUAGCGUGUUAGAGCGACACGAUCAAGGUAGGCUAUACGGAGAGGAGGGUCUUCUGGACGGAUGGAUACCCCAAGAAAAUUUGCCAAGCGUGUAGCAUAAACUCCACCAAAUAAAUCCCCCUCACUGGCGUUUUUAUUCAGCCUCCUUGCUAUAACAGCUCCCAUAUUGAAGCUCCUGUCACCUGUUACUGCGCUCUUAAGGAUACUAAGGUCGGAAGCGCAUAGGUGACAAUGUGCACCCUUGCCGUUAAUGCACCUACCUAUGAAGAGGGCAAGGUAAUGCAAGGUAGGGAAAUGGAUGCUUCCUAUGGUGGCAUGCGUGAUAUCUCUGGUUUCUCCAACAGUUAUACUGGAGACAAAGUGUCUGACCGAAGACUUAGGAGGAUCAUUAGCACUAACCCCAUCGGGUAUCUUGCAUAUCCUAUUGAAAUCCUCCAGAUCCACGGUAUAGGAUUUUUCGUACACAUCAAACAGUAUGGAUGAUUCACGGCCAGCUAAAAAUUUAAAUCUACGCACGAAAGAGGCAGCGAGCAGAGCAUACUGUUCACAUUUAUCUGAGAGGAAUUCUUCUAACCCGGCAUUGCGGACAAGUGCAUCAAACUCAUCCUUCAAGCCUGCUUCGAUCAUGAACUCAUCGGAAGGCCAUUCACAUGGUUGUACCUGGGUAUCCCUUAGUUGAAAAGGUUCGGGCUCCUAAAAGGAGAGACGAGGACCCUUCUUACUUGAGGAACCACCAUGAAACUUCCUCCUGAACAUAAUUUACUUUUGCUGAAAUUUUUGAAGUUCAAGAGAAAAGUGAAUAAAGACCAACCACACCUUGUAGCAACUACUCCUACUAGUGCCUAGAAACCGUAUCACGCGCUAAAACUACUUGGGACCAGCUAAAAUCAACAUUUAAAGCUAAAGAACAGGGUCACCAAGGUAGCAAGAAUACGCGAAGGAUAAAGCACUAGAGCAAAAACUAAUUGGACCAAUGGAGGANNNNNNNNNNGACCAGCUAAAAUCAACCUUUCAAGCUUAAGAACAGGGUCACCAAGGUAGCAAUAAUUCGCGAAGGAUAAAGCACUAGAGCAAAAACUAAUUGGACCAAUGGAGGAGUCCCUUACGAAGGAGCAAUUUCCCGAAAACGGUUCGGAGAAUGAUGCUUUGAGCAAGGAGAUCGAAAAUCACAGCCAAAUGAGCAAGAACACGGGUUUGAGCUGCGAAACAACUUUUUCUGGAGGAAGAAGAAGAGGAUGGGAGCUGGAGUGAGUGGAGGGGGGCCGUGUGGGCCCCACAAGCUUGCUCCCCGUGGCCAAGAAGGUAGCCCGCGGUGACAGGGCUUGUGGCCCACUGGCGUGGCCCCCAGGCCAGCUCUCUGUCCUAGUAUUUUUCAAAUAUUCCAGAAAAUUCAUACUAGAUUUUCAGGACCACCGGAGAACUUUUAUUUUCGGGGUAUUUUUCUCCGGGACGCUAAAACAGAAAACAGGAAAAACUAAACUAAACCUAUCAUUUUUCUUCUAAGCAAAAGAAAGUGAAAGCUUAAAACAGAGGUAUGUGACUCUUUGGUUCAUCCAUUUCAUGGUCAUCGAAAGAAAUCCGUCAAUGGGGUUGAUCAAAUCCUUAUGAUAAAACUUUUUCGAAUCGCAAGAGAGAACGGAGAAUAUUUGAAUAGCCACUAAGUCACCUCAAUGGGGAUAAGAAUCUCCCCAACAAGCAAUUCAUACUUCAUCUUGACACGAGGAAUAGGGCAUUCAAAGCUCCCAAUAAGAAUCGAUGAAGUUUUUUUAUAGCAUUGAUGCAACAUACUUGAUAUCGUUUCUUUGGAAAGUGCAUGGUAUGCUCACUACCGUUGACAUGUAAAGUGACAUUGCCUUUGUUGCUAUCUAUAACAGUCCCUGAAGUGUUUAAAAGGAUCUUCCGAGGAUGAUUGCCAUGGCAUCGUCCUCGGGACUAUCCAAGAUAACAAAGUCUGUUAAGAUAGUGGGGUUAGCAACCACAACACGCACAUCCUCGCAAAUGCCGACACGGAAAGCAGUUGAUUUGUCGGCCAUUUGCACAGAGAUUUCAGUAGGUGUCAACUUAUCCAGUUCAAGUCUACGAUAAAGAGAGAGUGGCAUAACACUAACUCCGGCUCCGAGGUCACAUAAGGCAGUUCUUAUGUAGUUUCCUUUAAUGGAGCAAGGUAUAGUGGGAACUCCGGGAUCACCAAGUUUCUUAGGAGUUCCACCUUUGAAAGUGCAAUUGGCAAGCAUGGUGGAGAUCUCAAGAUCUGGUAUCUUCCGUUUAUUGGUCACGAUAUAUUUCAUGUACUUGUCAUACGGAGACAUUUUGAGCAUAUCAACUAACCGCAUCUGCAGAAAGACGGGUCUUAUCAUUUCAAUAAAGCGCUCAAAAUCCUCAUCAUCUUUUUUCUUGGAUGGUUUGGGAGGAAAGGGCAUAGGUUUCUGAACCCAUGGCUCCCUUUCUUUACCAUGCUUCCUAGCAUUGAAGUCAUUCUUAUCGUAUCUCUUAGGGUGUGGAUUAUCAGGAUUAACCGUAGGUUCAAUCUCCACAUCCUUAUCAUUGCUAGGUUGAGCAUCAUUGUGAACAUCGCUGUCCAGAUCGUCACCAGGUUCAUGAUCAUCACCAGAUUGUGUUUCUGCAUCAGACGCAGAAAUAUCAUUUGGUUCUUCAGGUGUGAUAGUGUUUGGUGAACUAACAUGCAGGUUUCUAUCAUCCUUCUUCUUCUCCUUAGGAUGACUGGGUGCAUCUGCAUUAAUUCCUUGAGAAUCUUGAUCAAUUCUAUUAGGAUGACCUUCAGGAUACAAAGGUUCCUGAGUCAUUUUGCCUCCUCUAGUAGUGACUCUGACAGAGUUGUCAUUUAAUUCAUUGAGCAGGUCAUUUUGAGCUUUAAGUACUUGUUCUACCUGAGUAGUAAUCAUAGAGGCAUCUUUACUCAGAAGCUUCAGAUCAUUGACAUUUAUGUCCACACAAGCAGUUAAAUGGCUAAGUAUACGAGUACUUUGUUCGAAAUGUCUGCUAACAUAAUCAUUGAAACUCUGUUGUUUGGCAACAAAGUUGUCAAAUUCAUCAAAGUAUAGGCUAGCAGGUUUAUCAAAAGGAAUAUCACUCUCGUCAAACCUACGCAGAGAAUUCACUUCUACUACCUGUAUCGGGUUAUUGAGACCAUGGAUCUCUUUGAUGGGUGGUAGAUUUUUGACAUCUUCAGAUCUAAUGCCUUUCUCUUGCAUAGAUUUCUUGGCUUCUAGCAUAUCUUCGGGACUGAGGAAUAGAAUACCUCUUUUCUUAGGAGUUGGCUUAGGAGGUUGUUCGGGAAUAGUCCAAGCAUUAUCGUUGAUCAAGAGGUGAUUCAGUAGAGUCUCAGCUUGUUCUACAGUUCGUUCCCUAAAAACACAACCGGCACAACUAUCUAGGUGGUCUCUAGAGGCAUCGGUAAGUCCGUUAUAGAGGAUAUCAAGUAUCUCGUUCUUCUUAAGAGGGUGAUCAGGCAAAGCAUUCUGUAGCUGUACGAGCCUCCCCCAAGCUUGUGGAAGACUCUCUUCUUGGAGUUGAGCAAAGUUGUAUAUUUCCUGCAAGGCAGCUUGCUUCUUAUGGGCUGGGAAAUAUUUCUCACAAAAGUAAUAGACCAUAUCCUGGGGACUACGCACACAUCCAGGAGCAAGAGAGGUGCACCAGGCUUUAGCGUCAUCCUUUCGAGAGAAAGGAAACAACUUAAAGAUAUAGUAGUGGCGGAUCUUCUCCUCAUUAGUGAAAAGGUUGGCUAUUUCGGAUAGUUUGGCAAGAUGGGCUAUGACCGUCUCAGACUCAUAACCGUGAAAAGGAUCAGAUUCGACUAGAGAGAUUAUCUCAGGGUCGACAGAGAAUUCAUAAUCCUUAUCGGUGACGAAGAUAGGCGAAGUGGCAAACUUCGGGUCAUUUUUCAUCCUAGCUUCCCGAGAUUUUUCCUUCCACUUGAGAUAUAAUUUCUCAGCGUCAUAGGCAUCCUUACACGCAAGAAAAUCCUCAGAUAUCUCUCCCUGCAUAAUGUAACCCUGAGGUAUAUCAGGCAAUUCAUAUCUAGGAGAGCUAGAUCUAGNNNNNNNNNNNNNNNNNNNNNNNNNNNNNNNNNNNNNNNNNNNNNNNNNNNNNNNNNNNNNNNNNNNNNNNNNNNNNNNNNNNNNNNNNNNNNNNNNNNNGGAAUACCCCUAGUGGCACAUCACACAAAGUAGUAUCUCUAGCAGUAUCAAGCAUAGCAUCUCUAGCAGUAUCAGACAUAUCAUCUCUAGCAGUAUCAAGCAUAGCAUCUCUAGCAGUAGCAUCAUAAGCAUCAUCAAGCACAAGCGACAUAUCAAGAUUUCUAGCAGGAGGUGAUGUCGCAAACUUACUCAUANNNNNNNNNNAAAAGCAGGUUCUAUCUCAAUAGUAUCGGUAGUUUCUGAAGCAUCACGAGCAUUGGCAGAAACUCUAGCAAUAUGAGCAUCAAGGAACACUCCUAGUGGGACAUCAGGCAAAGGAGUAUCUCUAGCAGUAUCAAGCAUAGCAUCAUCAGGCAAAAUAGCAUCUCUAGCAUCAUCAGGAAAAACAGUAUCAAGCAUAGCAUCUCUAGUAGUAUCAAGCAUAGCAUCUCUAGCAGUAUCAAGCAUAGUAUCAAGUAUAGCAUCAUCAGGCAUAGUAUCAGGCAUAGUAUCAAGCAUAGCAUCUCUAGCAGUAGUAUCACAAGCNNNNNNNNNNAAAGGUGAAUCAAGUGCAGAGCUAGAUGGCAGUUCCUUACCUCCCCUCAUAGUUGAGGGCAAUACUUUGGUUUUAGGAUCUUUCAGAUUCUUCAUAGUGAUCAGCAGAUAUAAAUCCCAAGUGACUCAGAGAAUAUAGCAAUACCUCCCCGGCAACGGCGCCAGAAAAAUGGUGCUACUGUGACAACAGACCUUCCCCUGCAAUGGCACCAGAAGAAUGUUGCUAGGACUCCACGGCAAGGAAACUAGAAGAAUGUUGUUGAUGGCCCACCGGCUCGUGGGUUCGCAUUAGUUUUCGAGGGUAGAGUAUUCGACCCAAAUUUGUUGAUUCGCCAGGCAGGAGGCGAGAGGAUACUCUCGAGUAUUAGCAGCUGAAUGUAUCAGAUUCAACCANNNNNNNNNNNNNNNNNNNNNNNNNNNNNNNNNNNNNNNNNNNNNNNNNNNNNNNNNNNNNNNNNNNNNNNNNNNNNNNNNNNNNNNNNNNNNNNNNNNNUACGGCAUCCUUGAAUCUCUUAGGGUUCCUUGGGCAUCCCCAUGCUUGAGCUCUUGCCACUUGUUAUCUCUUUGUCCAUAAGAACUUCACCCAAAACAUGAAAACUUCACAACACGAAACUUAAACAGAAACUCGUAAUAACAUUAGUAUGAGAAAGCAAACCACCACUUCCUUAGGUACUAUAGCGAACUUAAAUUCUACUUAUGCUGAUGUUGGGUUACUGUAUUUUCAAUCUUUCAUGGCUAAUACCCCCUGAUACUAUCCAUAGUUUCAUCAAAAUAAGCAACCAACACAACAAAAACAGAAUCUGUUAACAGCAGACCAGUCUGUAGAAAUCUGUAUAUUUCAUAUACUUCUGGUACUUCAAAAAUUCUGACAAAUUACGACAUUCUGAAAAUUUUGUGUAGCAAUCAGCAGCAAAAAGAAUAAACUCAAAAGCUCUUACAGAAAAUAAUGAAAAUUCUUUUCGUGAGCAAAAAGUUUAUGUCUUUUCCAGCAUGACCAAACGAUCAUCCCCAAGACUAAUCAUAACGGUUUUGCUUGGCACAAACGCAAAAAGAAACACAAAAAACACAAUCAUAACAGAAUUAUGAAAGUGUGAAAAACAAAAAACAGAAAUAAAAAGGAUAGAUUCGUUGGGUUGCCUCCCAACAAGCACUUUUGUUUAACGCCCUUAGCUAGGCGAAAGGUGAUGGAAUCAUGUAUAGUCAUCUUUGGUACUCAAACCAUAAGUAGCCCUCAUCAUAGAUUCAUAAGGAAAUCUUAUUUUAUUUCUAAAAAAGUGCUCCAUGCCCUUCUUUAAAGGAAAUUGAAAUCUAAUAUUCCCUUCCUUCAUAUCGAUGAUAGCACCAAUAGUCCUUAGGAAAGUUCUACCAAGAAUAAUGGGACAUGAAGGAUUGCAAUCUAUGUCAAGUACAAUGAAAUCCAUGGGUACAUAGUUCUUAUUUGCAACAAUAAGAACAUCAUCGAUCCUUCCCAUGGGUUUCUUGACAGUAGAAUCCGCAAGAUGCAAAUUAAGAGAACACUCUUCAAUCUCAUGAAAACCAAGAAUAUCACAUAAAGACUUUGGAAUCGCGGAAACACUAGCACCCAAAUCACACAAAUCAUUGCACUCAUAGUUUUUUAUCUUGAUUUUGAUAGUAGGUUCCCACUCAUCAUGAAGUUUUCUAGGUAUAGAGACUUCUAGUUCGAGCUUCUCUUGAAGAGAUUGCAUCACAGCAUCUACGAUACGCGCGGUAAAGGCUUUGCUUUGGCUAUAAGCGUGUGGAGAGUUUGCAAUGGAUUGCAUCAAAGAAAUGUAUUCAAACAAGGAGCAAUUAUCAUAAUUGAAUUCCUUGAAAUCCAAAGUGGGAGCUUCAUUACUACCCAAAAUUUUGAUUUCUUCUACUACACUCUCCACACCUUUAUCUUCAAGAUGGGUGGACUCCGAAUCAUUGGGGCGUUUUUCAACCAAAGUGGAUUCAUAUCCAAACCCUCCAUCAAUAGGUUUGACACGCGAAAACAAAGAUUCAAGGGGAGACACACCAAGCACUUUAAGAUCUUCGUGAUUUGCAUCACUAGAACGCACCCUUUUAAACCAUUCAUGCCUAUCGCGAAUUUGAGCGGUUCUUUCUUUGCUCUCAUUCAUGGAGAUACGCAUAGCUUUCAAAGUUUAAUCCAAGUUGACCUUGGGAGGAGCACAUCUAACUUUCAAAGCAUCAAUAUCACAAGACAACCUAUCAACGCUCUUAGCCAAAUCGUCUAUUUUGAGUAGUUUUUCCUCUAUGGACGCAUUGAAAAUCUUUUGAGAGUUGAUGAACUCUUUGAUAUUACUCUCUAAAUCAGAGGGUAAUUUUUUGUGAUUUCCAUAAGUGUUGUUGUAGGAAUUGCCAUAGUUGUUAGAGGAGUUACUAGGAAAAGGCCUAGGAACAUAGUUUCCUCUAAAGGCAUUGUUGUUGCGAAAACUCUUCCUACCAACAAAAUUCACGUCCAAACUAGCGUUGCUACUCUCAAUCAAAGAAGAUUGUGGCAUGUCAUUAGGAUCUACAGUAGCAUUUCUACUAGCAACCAAAUUCACCAGCUCGUCCAUCUUAGCACUAAGCGAGUUAAUUUCUUCUAUAGCGUGCACCUUUUUGGUAGCAGGUGACCUUUCAGUGUGCCACUGAGAGUAGUUAGUCAUGAUAUUGUCUAGGAGUUUCGUAGCGUCUCCUAACGUGAUUUCCAUGAACGUUCCACCUGAGGCAGAGUCCAAGAUAUUGCAAGAAGCGAAAUUCAAGUCAGCGUAAAAGAUUUGUAUAAUCAUCCACAAACUCAAGCCAUGAGCGUGACAAUUUCUAAUCAUAAGAUUCAUCCUCUCCCAAGAUUGUGCAACGUGUUCAUGAUCAAGUUGCUUGAAAUUCAUGAUAUCGUUACGUAAGGAGAUGAUCUUAGCCGGCGGAAAAUACUUGGAUAUGUAAGCAUCAUAGCACUUAUCCCAAGAAUUGAUACUAUUUUUAGGCAAAGAAGAAAACGAAGUUUUUGCGCGAUCUCGCAACGAGAAAGGAAAAAGUUUCAACUUAAUCACGUCAUUAUCCACAUCUCUUUUCUUUUGCAUAUCACAAAGCUCAAUGAAGGUAUUGAGAUGGGAUGCGGCAUCUUGACUAGGAAGGCCAAAGAAUUGCUCUUUCAUAACAAGAUUCAGCAAAGCUGCGUUGAUUUCAUACUAUUCCGCACUAGUGCCGGGAGCAAUCAGAGUACUAAUAAAAUCAUUAUUAUUGGUACUCGAGAAGUCACAAAGUUUGGUGUUUUCAGCCAUGAUGACUUCAACAAACAAACAAGCACACAAGCAAGCAAGAAAACCGGCAAAGGAAAACGGCAAAAAGGCAAAAGGCAAAAGAUAACGGCAAAGGACAAAGGCAAAUGAAAACGGCAAAUGUGAAGUGGGGUUGAGGAAAACGAGAGGCAACUGGCAAAAAAGUAAAUGCAGGAGAUGAGUUUGUGAGACCUACUUGGAUAGAUCUCUCCUUCCCCGGCAACGGCGCCAGAAAUACUUAUGCUACUUCAACAAAAGACCCUCCAAUGGCGCCAGAAAUAGUCGUGUUGACGGCACCAGGAAUCCUUCUGCUACGGCUACGCCUUAAGGGACUUCCUAGGCAAAUAUGCAAAGGAUUUCCCCCGUGGCCUUGGAGCUUUGCAUUAGUGUUCCCUCGAAGCGGAAAGGGUGAUGUAGCGUAGCGGAGGUAAGUAUUUCCCUCAGUUUUGAGAACCAAGGUAUCGAUCUAGUGAAGGAGUAUCACAAGUGCCUGCACAAACACAAAAGCUUGCUCCCAACGCUAUGAAGGGGUUGUCAAUCCCUUAUAGAUUGUUUGCCAAGUGAGAACUGAAAGCAACAAAGUAACAAAGCAAAGUAAAAGCGAGAGUGGAAACGAUAGAUGUGAAUAGACCUGGGGGUCGUAGUGUUUACUAGUGGCUUCUCUCAUGAAAGCAAGUAGACGGUGGGUGAACAAAUUAAUCUCGAGAAAUUGAUAGAACCACGCAAAGUUGUGAUGUCAUCUAUGGCAAUGAUUAUAUCUAUAGGCAUCACGUCCAAAACAAGUAGACCGAUACUUUCUGCAUCUACUACUAUUACUCCACACGUCGACCGCUAUCCAGCAUGCAUCUAGUGUAUUAAGUCCAAAAGAACAGAGUGACGCCUUAAGCAAGAUGACAUGAUGUAGAUGGACAAUCUCAUAUCUACGACAAAGCCCACCUUGUUACCCUUGAUGGCAACUACACGAUGUAUGCCUUGCUGCCCCUACUGUCACUGGGAAAGGUUACCACACGGUAAGAACCCAAAACCAAGCACUUCUCCCAUUGCAAGAAUCAUAGAUCUAGUAGGCCAAACAAAACCCAAGACUCGGAGAGACUUACAAGGAUAUGAAAUCAUGCAUAUAAGAAAUCAGCAAAGACUCAAAUAUAUAUCAUAGAAAAUCUGAUCACAAAUCCACAAUUCAUCGAAUCUCGACAAACACACCGCCAAAGAAGAAUACAUCGGAUAGAUCUUCAUGAAGAUCAUGGAGAACUUUGUAUUGAAGAUCCAAGAGAGAGAAGAAGCCAUCUAGCUACUAACUACGGACCCGUAGGUCUGAAGUGAACUAUUCACAAGUCAUUGGAGGGGCGAUGAUGUUGAUGUAGAAGCCCUCCAACUCCAAAGUCCCCUCCGGNNNNNNNNNNAGGCACCGGCAAGGGUCUCCAGAUGAGAUCUCGCAGAAACGGAAGCUUGCGGCGGUGGAAAAGUAUUUUCGUGGAUCCCUUGAUUUUCUUCUAUAUUUUAGGGAAUAUAUAGGUGCAGGAUCUAGGUCAGGGCGGCGACAGGGAGGCCACAAGCCUGCCCACCGUCGUCCCUCUGGUGGCGGAUGGGGCGCUUGUGGGCUCCCUGUAGCCCUCCUGGCUUGGACCACAAGCCCCCUGAUCUUCUUCCGUUCGGGAAAAAAUCAUUUCGGAGAUUUUAUUCCGUUUGGACUCCGUUCCAAAAUCAGAGUUGAAAAGAGCCAAAAACACAGAAAAAAACAGGAAUUGGCACUUGGCACUGAAUUAAUAAGUUAGUCCCAAAAAAGAUAUAAAAGUUACAUAAAACGUCCAAAGAUGACAAGAUAACAGCAUGAAACCAUCAAAAAUUAUAGAUACGUUUGAGACGUAUCACUGGGGUAUGGUGGUCUCAUGGGCGAAAUCGACCAUGACCUUCUUCCUUCCUUCAAUGCCCCAUCGAUCUUUCCUCUUCGCCAACUCUUAGUAGAGCUUCACGACAUCCAUCAUGGUGAUCUUCGAGCGGUCCUUCUUCUUCCUCUUCGUCAUCGAGCAAGCGGUGGUGGCGUCAUGUUCGUCGUCUGUGGGUUUCUUCAGGCCGCCGACCAUGGAGGAGAGGGGGAGGACGGAAGGAUUUUGGGGAAGGAGAGAGAUUGGGCAUUGUGUCCCCCAUGGGCGGGCGAAAGGAGGACAACGAUGAACGUCACGUCCGUCCGCAUGAUGUCCGUUUUGACAAAAAUGCGGCCCAAAUUUGGACCGAAAAUGGGUCGACGGUGGAAAUAAAACAAACAUUUGUCGGUUUGCUACCGUGCGUUGGGACGUGAUUUGAGUUCGCUUUGGCGCUAACAGACGCGGCUGGACCAUUGGAGGUCGUGCGUAGGACUUGGCGCUAAACCCCGGAGGGUAAGGAUGGCAAUGGGUAGGCUAUGGGUAGGGUAGACCAAUACCAUACCCAUACCCGUAUAGUCUAUGGAUACAAACUUCUACCCAUACUCGUACCCAUGGGUAUAAAAAUUUACCCAUACCCAUACCAAAUGGUUACCCAUGCCCAUUGGAUACCCAGCGGGUAGAACGAAUUUUACACUCACUCAUAACAUAUUUGACACAAAAAUGAAUUAUCUCAGCUCAAUAACAGGUAGAUGAGUAUGUGACCACUAUACAAAUUUAGAAAUAACAACAUACUGAUAAGUUAAUAGGAGUAGACCAGUCACAUGAUAAAUUAAUUAUUAAUUGACCAUAACUUAACAUGACUUCACACGUGGUUAGGGUAUAGGUAUACCCGCGGAUACAAUGCUAUACACAUACCCUACCUAUGACUAAAAUUGUAAGUAUCAAUACUACCCAUGCAUAUAAAAGUAUGCCCAUACCCUGCCCAUACGGGUAUGGUACCUAUGGGUAUGGGUAAAAUUGCUAUCCUUAGAGCAUCUCCAACUGUUUUCCCCCUAGUGCACCUCGGCGAAAGCCUUUUUGGCAUUGCGCCAGCGACUUUUUUGCCCGGUGGGCGAUCGAGUUUCCAGCCGCGCCCCCAGGUUUCGGCCCCCACAUGCCAACAUUUUCAAAUUUGCCUUCCCCGCUGCGAAAAAGACGUCAUGAGUUCGGCAAUCAUCAUGCCACCAGUCAAUGAUCAACAUGCCAUAGUUCGGCAAUCAACACACCAAGUAGUUUGGUGAUCAAAAGUAAAGGAUGGAACAAAUCAAAUGGCUGACUCGGUGUAGAGCGGCUCCUCUGCCAUGGGACAGGCCGGGGUUAUCGGGCCCGUCGUCGUGGUCGUCGGGGUGGUUUCUGUCGGGGUCAUCGGCAUGGUUUCUGUUGGGGUCGUCGGUGUGGUUCUUGUCAAGGUCGUCGGCAUGGUUUUUGUCGGGGUCGUCGUCGUCGUCGCGGUCACGCUGUAGUCCCUGUCGGCACUGGCAUCUGGUUUACGAUCAAGUCGCACUCCACAAAGUGCCAUGCCUUCACCUAUGAUGGGGAACUUUGCAUGGGAAACAAAAAAAUUCCUACGCACACAUAAGAUCUAUCCAUGGUGAUGACCAUCUACGAGAGGAGAGAUCGGAUCCACAUACCCUUGUAGAUUGAUAAGAAGAAGCAUAUAUAAUGUUGUUCAUUUAGUCGAACAUCUUCGCCUCCAAAUCGCAGUUCGUCCUACGAUCCCAUCAUGAUCCGUCCUGCGAUCCCAUCACGAUCCAUCCCGAUCUAGUGCCAAACGGACGACACCUCCGCUUUCAGCACACGUACAGCUCGAUGACGAUCUCCGCCUUCUUGAUCCAGCAAGUGGGGCAGAGAGGUACCUGAGUUCUUCGACAGCCUAAUAGCAUUCCGGCAAUGGUGGUGGAGCCGAUCCGGUUGGGCUUCGUCAUGCACUGCCAAACCUAUAAUUGAGGAAGGACGAACUAGAGGGAGAGAGAGGGGCUGCACCUUCAAUUUUGUGUCUUGGCUGCCCUAUCUCCCCUCUAGUAUAUAUAGGAGGGAGGGGGAAGGGGUGGCGCCCUAGGGUUUCCCCUAGGGUUGUCCGGCCGACCCAAAGAGGAGGAGUCCUGCUCCAUUAAGGGAGGUGGAGUAAUACUCCUAGUAGGAUUCCCUCCCACUUUGGCCUCCUCCCACCUCCUUGGCGCAAGGGCAUUUAGGUGUUGGCUGCCCAGCCCACUAAGGGCUGUUGCGCCACCUCUUAGGCCCAUGUGGCCCUUGGGGUGGGUGGACUUCUCCCGAUGCACCCUUGGAACCCAUUCGACAUUCCCGGUACACUACCGGAAAUGCCCGAAACCAUUCUGGAGCCCAAAUACCCUCUUCAUAUAUAUCAAUCUUCGUCUCCUGACCAUUCCAGGACUCCUCAUGACGUCCGAGAUCUCAUCUGGGACUAUGAACAUCCUUCGGUAACCAACAUACAUAACUCAGCUAUACCAAAACAUUACAUAACCUUAAAUUGGCAUACCCUGCGGGUUCGAGAACUAUGCAGACAUGACAGAAACACUCUUUGGUCAAUAACCAAUAGCGGGAUCUGGAUGCCCAUAUUGGUUCCUACAUAUUCUACGAAGAUCUUUAUCGGNNNNNNNNNNCGGACCUUUGUGUCAAGGAUUCAGUUAAUCCCAUACACUAUUCCCUUUGUCCAUCGGUAUGUUACUUGCCCGAGAUUCGAUCGUCGGUAUCUCUAUACAUAGUUCAAUCUCAUUACCAGCAAGUCUAUUUACUAGUUUUGUAAUACAAGAUCCCGUGACUAAAACUUUAGUCACAUUGCUUGCAAGCUCAUUGUGAUGUUGUAUUACCGAGUGGGCCCUAGAGAUACCCCUCCAUCAUACGGAGUGACAAAUAACAUUCUUGAUUCACGCCAUCCCAACAGACACCUUCAGAGAUACCUGUAGAGCACCUUUAUAGUCACUCAAUUACGAUGUGAUAUUUGAUACACACAAGGUAUUCCUCCAGUGUCUGGAGUCGCAUGAUCUCAUGGUCAUAGGAACACAUACUUCACAUGCAGAAAAUAGUAGCAAUAAACUGACACGAUCAUAUGCUACGUUCAUAGUUGGGUCUUGUCCAUCACAUCAUGCUCCUCAUGAUGUGAUCCCAUUAUCAAACGACAUAUCAUGUCUAUGGUUAGGAAACCUUGACCAUCUUUGAUCAACGAACUAGUUCUUAGAGGCUCACUAGGUACAGUGUGUUGUCUAUGUACCCACACAUGUAUUUGAGUUUCCAAUCAAUACAAUUCUAGCAUGGAUAAUAAACGAUUAUCACGAACAAGGAAAUAUAAUAAUAACUAAUUUAUUAUUGCGUCUAGGGCAUAUUCCAACAGUCUUCCACUUGUACUAGAGGUCCAGUUCACAUCACUAUGUGAUUCACACCCAAUAAGUUCUGGGGUUUAACCAUGUUUGCAUGUGAGAGAAUUUUUUAGUAAAUGGGUCUGAACCUUUCAGAUCCGUGUGUGCUCUACAAAUAUCUAUGUCAUCCUGUAGAUGCCGCUACCACACCCAUUUGGAACUAUGCCAAACGACUGCACCACUAUACGAAUAUGGUUUUCUACUUAGAGUUAUCAAGAUUGGUGUCAAACUUUGCAUCAUCGUAAACCUUUACGACAAACUCUUUUAUCACCUCCAUAAUUGAGACAAAUUGAUUAGUCCACUAGUUACUAAGGAUAACUUUGAACGAUGUUCAGCGAUUCAUUCCUCGAUCACUCUUUGUACUCUUUGACAAACUCAUGGCAAGGCACACAUCAGGUGCGGUACACAACAUGGCAUACUAUAGAGCCUAUAGCUAUAGCACAGGGGACGACCUUCAUCCUUCCUCUUCUGUCAUGGUCGAGCUUUGAGUCUUACUCAAAUUCACACGUUACAACACAACCAAGAACUACUUCUUUGACCGAUCUAUUUUGAACUCCUUCAAAAAACCUUGUCAAGGUAUGUAUUCAUUGAAAGUUUUAUCAAGUGUCUUGAUCUAUCUCCAUAGAUCUUAAUUCUCAAUGUUCAAGUAGCUUACUCCAGGUAUUCCUUUGAAAAACACCUUUCAACCAACCCUAUAUGCUUUCCAUAAAUUCUACAUCAUUUCCAAUCAACCAUAUGUCAACCACAUAUACUUAUCAGAAAUUCUAUAGCGCUCCCACUCACUUCCUUGGAAAUACAAGUUUCUCAUAAACUUUGUAUAAACCCAAAAGCUUUGAUCAUCUCAUCAAAGCGCAUAUUCCAACUCUGAUAUGCUUGCUCUAAUCCAUAGAAGGAUCACUGGAGUUUGCAUACUUGUGAGCUUCCUUAGGAUCGACAAAACCUUCUAGUUGUAUCACAUACAACCUUUCCUCAAGGAAAGCGUCGAGGAAACAAUGUUUUGACAUCCAUCUACAAGAUUUCAUAAUUAAAAAAUACACCAACUGCUAACAUAAUUCCAACGGAUUUUAGCUUCGCUACGGGUGAGAAAGUCUCAUCAUAGUCAACUCCUUACACUUGUCAAAAACUUCUUUGCAACAAGUCGAGCUUUCUAAAUGGUGACAUUCACCAUCAUUGUUUGUCUUCCUUUUAAAGAUCCACUUGUACUUAAUAGCCUUACGACCAUUAAGUAGUUCUUCCAAAGUCUACACUUUGUUUUCAUACAUGGAUCCAACCUCGGAUUUCAUGGUGUCCAACCAUUCGUCAGAAUCCAGGCCCACCAUCACUUCUCCAUAGCUCGUAGGUUCAUUGUUGUCCAACAACAUGACCUCCAAGAUAGGACUACAGUACCACACUGGAGCAGUGUGUGUCCUUGUCGACCUACGAGGUUUGGUACUAACUUGAUAUGAAGCUUCAUGAUCAUCAUCAUUUGCUUCCUCUUCAAUUUGGUGUAGGCGCCACAAGAACAAUUUCCCAGGCCCUGCUACACUCUGUUUGAAAUGAUGGUUCAAUAACCUCAUCUAGUUCCACCAUCCUCCCACUCCGUUCUUUCGAGAGAAACUCUUUCUCGAGAAAUGACCCAUUUUCAGCAAAAAACAAUUUCUUUCGGAUUUGAGAUAGGAGGUAUACCCAACUCAUUUGGGUAUCCUAUGAAGAUGCAUUUGUCCACUUUGGGUUCGAGCUUAUCAGGCUGAAGCCUUUUGUCAUAAGCAUCGUAGCCCCAAACUUUGAGAAACGAUAGCUUAGGUUUCUCCAAACCAUAGUUCAUAUGGUGUCAUCUCAAUGGAUUCAAAUGGUGCCCUAUUUAAAGUGAAUGUGGUUGUCUCUAAUGCAUAACCCCAAAACAAUAGUGGUAAUUCAAUAAGAGACAUCAUAGUAUGCACCAUAUCCAAUAGGGCGCGGCUAUGACGUUCAGACACACCAUCAAACUAUGGCGUUUUCCAUGUGGCAUGAGUUGUGAAACAAUUUUCACAUUGUCUUAAACGUGGACCAAACUCACAACUCAGAUAUUUAUCUCUACAAUCACAUUGUAGACAUUUCAUCCUCUUGUCACGAUGAUCCUAAACUUCACUCUGUAAUUGCUUGAACUUUUCAAUAUUUCAGACUCGUGAUUCAUCAAGUAAAUACACAUGUAUCUAAUCAAAUCAUCUCUGAAGUAAGAACAUCACGAUAUCCACUGCAUGCCUCAGCACUCAUUGGACUACAUACAUCAAAAUGUUUUAUUUCCAAUAAGUCACUUGCUCGUUUCAUCUCACUCGAAAAUGAGGCCUUCAGUCAUCUUGCCCAUGUGGCAUGAUUUGCAUGUCUCAAGUGAUUCAAAAUCAAGUGAGUCACAAAGAUCCAUCUGCAUGGAGUUUCUUCAUGCGUUUACAACAAUAGGCAUGGUUCCCAUGUCUCAAACGAUUCAAAAACGAGUGAGUCCAAAGAUCCAUCAGCAUGGAACUUCUUCAUGAUUUUUAUACCAAUAUCACUCAAGCAACAAUGCCAGAUGUAAGUGUUACUAUCAUUACUACUUUUUAUCUUUUGGCAUCAAUAUUAUGAACAUGUGUAGCACUACGAUCGAGAUUCAAUAAACCAUUCAUAUUAGGUGCAUGACCAUUGAAGGUUUUAUUCAAGUAAACCAAAUAACCAUUAUUCUCUUGAAAUGCAUAACGUAUUGCGAAAACACGAUCGAACCAUGUUCAUGCUCAACGCAAACACCAAUCAAUAUUAAGGUUUAACACUAAUCCUGAAGGUAGAGGGAGUGUACGAUGGUGAUCACAUCAACCUUAGAAACACUUACAACACACAUCGUCACCUCGCCUUUAGCUAGUCUCCGUUUAUUCCAUAGCUUUUAUUUCGAGUUACUAACAUUUAGCAACUACACCGGUAUCUAAUACCCAUGUGCUACUUGGAGUACUAUAGUACACAUCAAUAACAUGUAUAUCCAAUAUACUUUUGUUGAAGUUGCUAGCGUUCUUAUCCACCAAGUGUCUAGGGCAAUUCCGCCUCAAUGAUCAUUCCCCUCAUCAUAGAAGCACUUAAUUUCGGGUUUGGGGUCAAUUUUGGGUUUCUUCAUAAAGUGGCAACUGACUUGUCAUUCAUGAAGUUUCCCUUCGUUCCCUAUGCCCUUCUUGAAACUAUAGGUUUUAGUAACAAUCAACACUUCAUGAUCCUGCUUGAUUCGUACGUUCGCGGUGUCAAACAUCACGAAUAGCUCAUGGAUCAUCUAUGUCCCUGAUAUGUGAUAGUUCAUCACGAAGCUCAGUAGCUUGGUGGUAGUGACUUUGGAGAACUAUGUCAAUCACUAUCUUAUGUGGAAAAUCAACUCCCACUUUAUUCAAGCGAUUGUAGUACCCACACAAUCUGAGCACAAGCUUACCGAUUGAGCUAUUCUCGUUCAUCUUUGUUGUCAAAGAACUUGUCGGAGGUCUCAUACCUCUCAACGCGGGCAUGAGCCUGAAAUCCCAAUUUCAGUUCUUGGAACAUCUCAAAUGUUCCGUGACAUUCAAAACGGUUUGGAGCCUCAAUUCUAAAUUGUAAAGCAUGACGCACUGAACUAUUAUGUAGUCAUCAAAAUGUGUUUGUCACAUGUUCGCAGCAUCCAUAGACGAUGCUUGGGGGGUAGCACAUCGAGCGGUGCAUUAAGGACAUAAGCCUUUCGUGUAGCAAUAAGGACAAUCCUUAGUUUAUGGACCCAGUCCGCAUAAUUGCUACUAUCAUCUUUCAACUUAAUUUUCUCUCGGAACAUAAUAAACAGGGAGUUACAAGAUCAGCUCGUGAUCUACAACAUAAUUUGCAAAGACAUUUUGAAUAUUAUCAUGAUAAUCAGUUCAAUUAAUCAUAUUACUUCAAAACUUCCACUCAAAUUUACAUCCCUCUAGUCAUUUGAGUGACACAUGAUCCAACUUCACUAACUCAAGUCCGAUCAUCACGUUAGUUGAGUUGGCUUCAUUGGUGAACAUCUCUAUGUUGGUCAUAUCUACUAUAUGACUCAUGUUUGAUCUUUUGGUUUCUUGUGUUCCAACGCCAUGUCUGUACAUGCUAAGCUCGUCAAAUUUAACCCAAGUGUUCCGCGUGUGCAACUCUUUUCCAUCCGUUGUAUGUGAACGUAGAGUCUAUCACACCCGAUCAUCACGUGGUGUCUCAAAACGACCAACUUUUGCAACGUUGCACACUCGGGAAGAACACAAUUUUAUCUUGAAAUUUUAGUGAGGGAUCAUCUUAUAAUGGUACCAUCGUCCUAAGCAAAAUAAGGUGCAUAAAAGGAUUAACAUCACAUGCAAAUCAUAAGUGACAUCAUAUGGCCAUGAGCUUCUACGUUUGAUCUCCAUCUUCAAAGCACCAACAUGAUCUCCAUCGUCACCGGCGCCACCCCAUCAUCUCCAUCAUCAUGAUCUCCAUCAUUGUGCUGCCAUCGAGAUUGUCGUGAUAACUACACUAUUGCUACUAAAGCUACUGAACUAUCAAUAAAACAAAGCAUAACCAAGCGCAAAAUAAUUAAAGACAACCCUAUGGCUCAUGCUGGAUGUCGUAGCAUCGACAUGCAAGUCGAUAUUUAACUAUUGCAACAUGAUCAUCUCAUACAUCAAAUAUAUCAUAUCAUGUCUUUGGCCAUAUCAUAUCACAACAUGCCCUGCUAAAACUAGUUAGACGUCCUCUAAUUUGUUAUUGCAUGUUUUACGUGGCUUCUAUGGGUAUCUAGCAUGAUCGCAACUUACUUACGCAAAAUCACAAUGGUGAUAUACAAGUUGUUAUUUAACCUUCUCCAAGGACCGCCUUUCUCAACUCUGGUUCAACUAAAGUAGGAGAAACAGUCAUCCGCUAGCCAUAUUUAUGCAACAAGUUGCAUGUCAGUCAAUGGGACCGGUCUCUCGUAACUUUACAAGUAAGGUUGGUCCGGGCCGCUUCUUCCAACAAUACCACCGAAUCAAGAAAAGACUAGGGAGGGCAGCAAUCUGAAUAUCAACGCCCACAAACUCCUUUGUGUUCUACUCGAGAUGUCAUCUAUGCAUAGACCUAGCUCUUAUACCAGUGAUGAGGAACGCUUCAUGGGAAACAAAAAAAAUUCCUAUGCGCACAUAAGAUCUAUCCAUGGUGAUGACCAUCUACGAGAGGAGAGAUCGGAUCCACAUACCCUUGGAGAUUUCUAAGCAGAAGCAUAUAUAAUGUGGUUGAUGUAGUCGAACAUCUUCGCGAUCCAAAUCGCAGUCCAUCCCGCGAUCCCAUCACGAUCCAUCCUGAUUUAGUGCCGAACGGAAGUCACCUUCGCGUUCAGCACACGUACAACUCAAUGACGAUCUUUGCCUACUUGAUCCAGCAAGAGGGGGCGGAGAGGUAGCUGAGUCCUCCGACAGCCUAAAGGCGUGGCGCGAUGGUGGUGGAGCUGAUCCGGCAGGGCUUCACCGUGCCCUGCCGAACCUAUUCUAGAGGAAGUACAAACUAGAGGGAGGGAGAGGGGAUGCACCUUCAAUUGUGUGUGUUGGCUGCCCUCUCUCCCCUUUAGUAUAUAUAUAGGAGGGAGGGGGAAUGGGUGGUGCCCUAGGGUUUCCCCUAGGGUUGGCCGGCCGACCCAAAGAUGAGUCCUCCUCCACUAAGGGAGGUGGAGUCCUACUCCUAGUAGGAGUCCCUCCCACUUUGUCUGCCUCACACCUCCUUGGGAGAAGGGCCUUUAGGGGCUGGCUGCCCAGCCCACUAAAGGCUUGCUGCCGAGCCCACUAAGGGCUGGUGUGCCACCUCUUAGCCCAUGUGGCUCCUGGGGUGGGUAGGCUUCUCCUGAUGCACACCCGGACCCCAUUCGCUUGUUGGGGGACGUUGCAUGGGUAACAAAAAAAUUCCUAUGCACACAAAGACCUAUCAUGGUGAUGAUCAUCUACGAGAGGGACAUCGGCUCCACAUACCCUUGUAGAUUGCUAAACAAAAGCGUUAAUAAACGCGGUUGAUGUAGUGGUACGUUUUCAUGAUCCGUCCCACUAUCCGUCCCACGAACCGUCUCGUGAUCCGUCCUGAUCAAGUGUCGAACGGACGGCACCUCCGCGUUCCACACACGUACAACUCGAUGACGAUCUCCACCUUCUUGAUCUAGCAAGAGAGACGGGGAAGUAGAUGAGUUCUCUGACGGCGUGACGGCGCACCGGUGAUGGUGAUGAUCUAUACCUGCAGGGUGCUACCUCUUGAGCUUGCGUUUUUUUCCCUUGAAGAGGAAAGGGUGAUGCAGCACAGUAGCAGUAAGUAUUUCCCUCAGUUUAAGAACCAAGGUAUCAAUCUAGUAGGAGUAUCAAGGCAAGUAUCCAAAGUACCUGUGCAAAAACUGCAAACUUGCACCCAACGCUACAAAGGGGUUGUCAAUCCCUUCACGGUUAACUGCAAGGUGAGAUCUGAAGGCGGAAAGUGCAACAAAGUAAAAGUGUAGAGCUGAAAAUNNNNNNNNNNCGUGAAGUAGACCCGGGGGCCAUAGUGUUCACUAGAGGCUUCUCUCAUGAUAGCAAAUAUUACGGUGGGUGAACGAAUUACUGUCGAGCAAUUGAUAGAGUCGCGCAAAGUUAUGACGAUAUCUAAGGCAAUGAUCAUGCAUAUAGGCAUCACGUCCGAGACAAGUAUACUGAUACUUUCUGCAUCUACUACUAUUACUCCACACAUCGACCGCUAUCCNNNNNNNNNNUAGUUCAUAACAAACAGAGUAACGCCUUAAGCAAGAUGACAUGAUGUAGAGGGAUAAAUUCAUGCAAUAGAUAUAAACCCCAUCUUUUUACCCUUGAUGGCAACAACACGAUGCAUGCCUCGCUGCCCCUUCUGUCACUGGGUGAGGACACCGCAUGGUAUGAACCCAAAACCAAGCACUUCUCCCAUUGCAAGAAUCAUAGAUCAAGUUGGCCAAACAAAACCCACAACUCGAAGAGAAUUACAAGGAUAUGAAAUCUUGCAUAUAAGAGAUUAGAGGAAACUCAAAUAAGAUUCAUAGAUAAUCUGAUCAUAAACCCACAAUUCAUAGGAUCUUGACAAACACACCGCAAAAGAGGAUUACAUCGGAUAGAUCUCCAUGAAGAUCAUGGAUAACUUUGUGUUGAAGAUCCAAGAGAGAGAAGAAGACAUCUAGCUACUAGCUAUGGACCCGAAGGUCUGUGGUGAACUACUCACGCAUCAUCGGAGAGGCAAUGGUGUUGAUGAAGAAGCCCUGCAUGUCCGAAUCCCCCAUCCGGCAGGGCACCAGAACAUGCCCCAGAUGGGAUCUUGCGGAGACAGAAGCUUGCGGCGGCGGAAAAGUAUUUUCGUGGCUCUCUUCCGUGGUUUCCGAUUUUUCGGGGAUUUAUAGGCGUAAGAAUUAGAUCAAAGGAGCAAUGGGGGGCCCACAAGCCUUCUAGGCGCCCCUCCCCCAGGCCGCGGCUAGGGGGCUUGUGGCCUCCCCCGGGAGCCUUUGCCUUGGUUCUCAAGCUUCCUGCCUAUCUUCUAUUCUGGAAAAAAUCUUUUCGGAGGUUUUAUUCCGUUUGGACUCUGUUUGAUAUUCUCGUCUGAAAAAGGUCAAAAACACGAAAAAACAGGAACUGGCACUUGGCACUGAGUUAAUAAGUUAGUCCCAAAAAAGAUAUAAAAUGCCUACAAAACAUCCAAAGUUUGACAAGAUAAUAGCAUGGAACCAUCAAAAAUUAUAGAUACGUUGGAGACGUAUCAAGCAUCCCCAAGCUUAACUCAUGCUCGUCCUCGAGUAGGGAAGUGAUAAAGACUGAAUUUUUGAUGUGGAAUGCUACCUAACAUAUUUGUCCUUUGUAACUUCUUUCAUGUGGCAUGAAUGUUCAGACCCAUAAGAUUCAAGACAAUAGUUUGCUAUUGACAUGAAAACAAUAAUACUUCAAGCAAACUAGCAAGGUAAUCAUGAACAUUUGAAAUAAUAUGGCCAAAGAGAGUUAUCCCUACAAAAUCAUAUAGUCUGGCUAUGCUCCAUCAUCCCCACACAACGAAUUUAAAUCAUGCACAACCCCGGUAUUUGGCCAAGUCAUUGUUUUCGCACUCUUACUUUCUCAAACCUUUUUCAACUCUCACGCAAUACAUGAGCGUGAGCCAUGGAUAUAGCACUAUAGGUGGAAUAGAGUGUGGUGGAGGUUGUGAGGCAAAAAAGAGGAGAUGGUCACAUUGACUUGGCGUAUUAAUGGGCUAUGGAGAUGCCCAUCAAUAGAUAUCAAUGUGAAUUAGUAGGGAUUACCAUGCAAAGGAUGCACUAGAGCUAUAACUAUGUGAAUGCUCAAAAGGAGAACUAGUGGGCAUGCAUCCAACUUGCUUGCUCACGAAGACCUAGGGCAAUUUUGAGGUAGCCCAUCAUUGGAAUAUACAAGCCAAGUUAUAUAAUGAAGAUUCCCACUAGUAUAAGUAGGUGACAAAACAAGAGACUCUCAAUCAUGAAGAACAUGGUGCUAUUAUGAAGCACAAGUGUGGAAAAAGAUAGUAGCAUUGUCCCUUCUCUCAUUUUUUUUGUUUGGGCUCUUUGACCUCUUUUCAUUUUUUUGGUGGGCAUAUUUGGCCUCUUUUUUUUUAUUUCCUCACAUGGGACAAUGCUCUAAUAAUCAUGAUCAUCACACUUUUAUUCACUCACAACUCAAUACUUAGAGUAAUGAUGACUCUAUAGGAAAUGCCAAUGGCAGUGUACCGGGAUGUGCAACGAUCUAGCUUAGCGUAUGACAUUGAAACAUCUCGCUAGCUAUCUUACGAUCAUGCAAUGGCAAUAUGUAAGUUAUGUCACAUGUCAUGAGACGGAACGGUGGGAGUGGCAUGGCAAUAUAUCUCGGAAUGGCUAUGAAAAGGCCAUGAUAGGUAGGUAUGGUGGCUGUUUUGAGGAAGGUAUAUGGUGGUUUUGUGCACCGGCGAAAGUUGCGCGGCAUUAGAGAGGCUAGCAACGGUGGAAGGUGAAAGUGCUGUUGGGGAUCGUCGAGAGUAGAUUUCUGAUCUAUGUACACGCAAUACCUAUCAUGGUGAUGUUCAUCUACGAGAGUAGAUCUCCGAUCUAUGUACCCUUGUAGAUCGCAUAGCAGAAGCGUUAAGAAACGCGGUUGAUGUAGUGGUACGUCCUCACGUCCCUCGAUCCGCCCCGCGAACCGUCCCAUGAACCGUCCCGGAUCCGUCCCACGAUCCGUCCCGCGAUCCGUCCCACGAACCAACUCGUGAUCCGUUGCACGAACCAUCUUGCGAUCCAUCUCACGAUCCGUUCCGAUCUAGUGCCGAACAGACGGCACCUCCGCGUUCAGCACACGUACAGCUCGACGAUGAUCUCGGCCUUCUUGAUCCAGCAAGAGAGACGGAGAGGUAGAUGAGUUCUUUGGCAGCAUGAUGGCUCUCCGGAGGUUGGUGAUGAUCUAUCUCAGCAGGGCUCCGCCCGAGCUCCGCAGAAAUACGAUCUAGACGAAAAAUCGUGGAGGUAUGUGGUCGGGCUGCCGUGGCAAAAGUUGUGUCUCAAAAACCCUCGAUACCUCUAUUAUAUAUAGGAGGGAGGGAGGGGAGGAGGAAGCCUCAAGCCCUCAAGGUUUGGCCGAAAUUGGAGGUGGAGGAGUCCUACUCCAAUCCUACUUGGAGUAGGAUUCCACCUUCCCACUUGGAAACAAUUUCCACCUUGUGUUUUUUCCUUCUCAAACCUUAUGGGCCUUAGUGGGAACUUAUUCCAGCCCACUAGGGGAUGGUUUAUCUCUUCCCAUAGCCCAGGAGACGCCUUGGAGCGUGACACCCCUCCCGAUGGUCCACGGCACCCCUCCCGGCACUCUCGGUACAUUACCGAUAAGCCCAAAACUUUUCUGGUGACCAAAACAGGACUUCCUAUAUAUCAAUCUUUAACUCCGACCAUUCCGGAGCUCCUCAUGACGUCCUGGAUCUCAUCCGAGACUCCGAACAACUUUCAGUUACCAACACCUAUAACUCAACUAUGCAUAAAACAUCGUCGAACCUUAAGUGUGCAGACCCUGCGGGUUCGAGAACUAUGUAGACAUGACCCGAGAGACUCCUCGGUCAAUAUCCAAUAGCGGGACCUGAAUGCCCAUAUUGGAUCGUACAUAUUCUUCGAUGAUCUUAUCGGUUGAACCUCAGUGUCAAGAAUUCAUAUAAUCCCAAAUGUCAUUCCCUUUGUCCUUCGGUAUGUUACUUGCCCGAGAUUCGAUCNNNNNNNNNNNNNNNNNNNNNNNNNNNNNNNNNNNNNNNNNNNNNNNNNNNNNNNNNNNNNNNNNNNNNNNNNNNNNNNNNNNNNNNNNNNNNNNNNNNNAGGCUCGGCCAGGGGGCCCCACUGGGCAGUGAGAGAGAGGCGGGGAGGGAAGGGGCGGUCGGCCGGGAUCUAGGGAAUCCAUCCCUGGCGGCGGGGGAUUGCGGCCCAGGCCUAAAGAGCGCUCGGCGGCGGUUUCUAAAAAAAGAAUACUUUCCUAAUUUCUAUCUUUUUCCGAAACAGAAAACAAAAGCUAAAUAAAAGGAAAUAAAUCAAAAUAUUAAUAUAGGGUAUUAUAUACNNNNNNNNNNCAAGGGGCGGUCGGCCGGGAUCUAGGGAAUCCAUCCCUAGCGGCGGGGGAUUGCUGCCCAGGCCUAAAAAGCGCUCGGCGGCGGUUUCUAAAAAAAGAAUACUUUCCUAAUUUCUAACUUUUUCCGAAACAGAAAACAAAAUCUAAAUAAAAGGAAAUAAAUCAAAAUAUUAAUAUAGGGUAUUAUAUACCAAAAAAAUCAGAAAAAUACUCUCUACCCGAAUAACAUUUUUCCAAAGCAAAAAUAAAAACUUUAAAAAAAUGUUUUUUUUCAGAAAUGCCCAAAUUUUCUUUAUUUCUUUUUGCAAUUAUUUUUGCAAAUGAUCCUUGGAUUUUCUUGGCUCCAACAUUUUAGAAAUUUGCCCGCACUUUGGAGGGUCAUUUUCCUCCGCUCUCUCUCUCUUGCGUGCAAGAGAGUAUUUCUCCGGGCAUUUCUCGUGCNNNNNNNNNNCAGAAAUUCCCAAAUUUGCUUUAUUUCUUUUUGCAAUCAUUUUUGCAAAUGAUCCUUGGAUUUUCUUCGCUCCAACAUUUCAGAAAUUUUCCCGCACUUUGGAGGGUCAUUUUCCUCCGCUCUCUCUCUUGCGUGCAAGAGAGUAUUUCUCCGGGCAUUUCUCGUGCGAGGAAAAAUGGAAAUGCAAAUCAAAAGACGAAGGAAAUUCACGUGCUAAAUUUAUUUCAAUCAAUAUGCAUAGAUGCUUAGCUACAAUGUAAAACACUCCCAAUUAGGAAAAUUGGGAUGUUACACAGGCCCUUCGCAGAGGGAAGCAUUGAUUUGCAGAGGUGCCAAAGCUCAAGCUUUGAAAAUAGAGAUAAUAAUUUUGGGUGGCAUGCUUUCAUUGUCAACGCAAUGACCAAGAGUUCUCAAUAUCUUCCAUGCUACUCAUGCUAUAGGCGGUUCCCAAACAGAAAAUUAAAGUUUUAACUCCCCCGCCACCAAUCAAUCACACUCCAUGGGUAGUCGAAUCCUCGGGUACCGUCCAUACUAACAUCAAUCCGGGGGGAGUCUUGUUUUACUGUUAUGUUUUCGAUUUAAGCGUGGAACUGGGCAUCCCAAAUACCGGCCCCUUUCUCGUGAAAUGACUGUGAAUAAACACAUGUCGAGGAUAACACUCCUAGCAUGGAAGAUACCAAUAGCCCUCUGUCACCACAUGAGCGGUUCGGGCAAGCAAAACAGAUUAUUUCUUGAAGGUUUAGAGAAUGGCACGUGAAAAUUUACUUGGAAUGGCAGGUAAAUACCGCAAAUAGGUAGGUAUGGUGGACUCUCAUGGAAAAACUUUUGGGUUUAUGGAAGUGGAUGCACAAGCAGCAUUCCCGCUUAGUACAAGUGAAGGCUAGCAAAAGACUGGGAAGCGACCAACUAGAGAGCGACAACAGUCAUCAAGAUGCAAUGAGUUUUACUAACAUUGAAUGCAAGCAUGAAUAGGAUAUAAAUCACCAUGAAUACGAACAUCACAGAGGCCAUGUUGAUUUUGUUUCAACUACAUGCAUGAACAUGCGCCAAGUCAAGCCACUUGAAACAUUCAAAGGAGAAUACCAUCCUAUCAUACUACAUCAUAGUCAUCUCAAAAUCUAUGUUGGCAUUCACGGCAAACCAUUAUAAGCUCUUAGCUAAAUAAGCAUGGCAUCAGAAACUAUGAUCUCUAAGUUGUCAUUGCAAACACGGUUUUCUCACAACAGAGCUAAAUCUGGGUCGACAAGCUAGUCAUAUUUACAAAAACAAAAUAGAUAGANNNNNNNNNNNNNNNNNNNNNNNNNNNNNNNNNNNNNNNNNNNNNNNNNNNNNNNNNNNNNNNNNNNNNNNNNNNNNNNNNNNNNNNNNNNNNNNNNNNNAAACUUUUCUGUUUUUGCAAUUAGACAGAAAAAGAAACAAAUCUAGCUAUCUAAUGGGGGUACACGUGGCAUGCUACUAUAGGCUGUGGAGGCAUUUGUUGCAAUGUUUUGAGCAAACGGCCGGAGGCUAAUAAAAGCUGCUGGCUAAAACAUAAGUGAACUAAAACCGCUAGUUUUCUAAUAUAAACCGAAGGGGUACUAUGGAUCUAAUCUAUACCCUACAUCUAAAAUCUAAGGGCUAUAAAGAAAAGCAAAAGAAAGAACAGAGAGGGGAGAGAGAGCUACCGUGGCUAUGGGGUAGCUCCGGCGAGGGAGAGGAUGGCCGGCGAGGGGGGGAGCUCCGGGGGCGUUGGAGGGGACGGGGCGGCGGCGGUGGUCNNNNNNNNNNNNNNNNNNNNNNNNNNNNNNNNNNNNNNNNNNNNNNNNNNNNNNNNNNNNNNNNNNNNNNNNNNNNNNNNNNNNNNNNNNNNNNNNNNNNNNNNNNNNNNNNNNNNNNNNNNNGGCGGAGCGGAGAGGGCACUGGGGUGGCGCUCCAGGAGGCGGCCGAAGUGGGCAGCAGGAGCUGCUGCUCCCGCGAGGGGGCUCGGGCGGCGAGGGGAUGGGGCGGGGUGGCGGCGAGGGUGGGAACGGGGGUAUUUAUAGGCCUGGGGAGGGGAGAGAUAAGGAAGGAGGGGAGAGAAUCGGGGAGGAAUCCCGUGCACAGCUCGGUCUCGGGCAUGGAGUAAGGAAGGAGAGGGAGAGGGAUGACCGACGGGAGGGAGGCUCGGCCAGGGGGCCCCACUGGGCAGUGAGAGAGAGGCGGGGAGGNNNNNNNNNNNNNNNNNNNNNNNNNNNNNNNNNNNNNNNNNNNNNNNNNNNNNNNNNNNNNNNNNNNNNNNNNNNNNNNNNNNNNNNNNNNNNNNNNNNNAAAUCUCGACAGAUUUAGAAUUUAACGCGUGGGGUCGCUUUAGAAAUGCUAUAUGUCGUUUCCGGCCUCAUUUAAAAUGCCUAAAUAGGUAGAUUAAUUUGCGCUCACCCCUUGCCAUGUUUAACAACAUUUAACAUUGUUGUGUACCUAAACGUGAUUGAACUAAAUAAUUAAAUGUGGAGUUUCGUCGAUAUGCAACUCGUUGCAUAUCGAGCUUCACUUAAUGUGUAGCGUUUGCGUCAUGUGUAUUGCCAUGCCAUGCCUUGCAUAUUUAAGCUGAUCAUGCAUCAUAUUGGGUUGUGCAACAUGUCGUGCAUGUGCCGUGGUAAAUAUAUGUGUUGAUGUUUGUUUUUGGUUUGCUCCGUUUCGAUAGAGUUACGCAAGCGUGUCGGAAUGUAAGGACCCGUUCGACUAUGUCGGUUUGUCUGCUUCAUGGAGGCAUUCUUCUACCAAGCGGGAUAUCAGGCAAGAUGACCAUUUCCCCAGAUACCAUUACUAUCAUUGCCAUGCUAGUUUUAGCGUUUCUAUCAUUAUGUCUCGCUGCCUACCACCUGUGAAAUGUUAGCCUCCCAACAUUUUCAUGAAAACCUUCAACAUGUUCACAACCUAGCAAACCAGUGAUUGGCUAUGUUACCGCUUGCUUAACCAUGUGUUAGUGUUGCUAGUUGCAGGUGCAGUUGCUUCCAUGUGAUUACAUGGGUUCAUUGUUAUAUCACCNNNNNNNNNNGAAUUUAAUGCACCUAUAUACUUGGUAAAAGGUGGAAGGCUCGGCCUUUCUAGCCUNNNNNNNNNNCUAUUAAAUGCUAUGUAAAUUAAUGCACCUAUAUACUUGGUAAAAUGUGGAAGGCUGGGCCUUUCUAGCCUGGUGUUUUGUUCCACCUUUGCCCCCUUAGUUUCGGCUACCGGUGUUAUGUUCCAUAAACGAGCGCUCCUAACACGAUCGGGGUUGUUAUGGGGACCCCCUUGAUAAUUCGUUUUAGCUUAAAGCUGGUCCGGCAAGGCCCAACAUUGGUUCUACAUUUGCCCUACAUAAUAACUUUGUUAAUANNNNNNNNNNAUUAAAGCUAGUCCGGCCCAACAUUGGUUCUACAUUUGCCCUACAUAAUAACUUUGUUAAUANNNNNNNNNNUUGAGUGCUCCUAACACGAUCUGGGUUGUUAUGGGGACCUCUUUGGUAAUUCGUUUUAGAUUAAAGUUGGUCUGGCAAGGCCCAACAUUGGUUUUACAUUUGCCUAGUAACCUAAUAAAAUUGCAUAGGGACUUUUUGGACCCCGAGGAUAAUUAAUCAACCCCCGGGCCAGUGCUCCGCAUGAGUGUUGGUCCACCCACCUAGUAGUCGGCGGUGCCACCUCGGGUCAACUCGAGCGUUUGGCUACUGUCCACUAUGCAUAGACGGUGUGUCCUGAGAACGAGAUACGCGGCUCCUAUCGGGNNNNNNNNNNGCCAAUGCUGAUGGUGUUGGUCCCAAAUGGUCUGCCUGCGGGGCCACCACGGGAAAACUCGAGGUUUGGCACCCGUAGCUAGUUCCAUCCGUCGUGUCCUGAGAACGAGNNNNNNNNNNCCCAAUGCUAAUGGUGUUGGUCCCAAAUGGUCUGCCUGCAGGGCCACCACGGGGAAACUCAAGGUUUGGCACCCGUAGCUAGUUCCAUCCGUCGUGUCCUGAGAACGAGAUACGCGGCUCCUAUCGGGAUCGUCGACACGCCGGGCGGCCUUGCUGGAUUAGUUUUACCUUUGACGAGAUAUCUUGUGCAUCAGGAUUCCGGUGAUGCUUUGGGUAAUCUCAGAGUUGAGGUUUUCCACUAGGGAAUCCGACGAGAUCGCGAGCUUCAUGAUUGAGGAUUUCUAUGCGGCUUGUGAUAAUUUGUGAUGGACUAGUUGGAGCACCCCUGCAGGGUUUGAUCUUUCGGAAAGCCGUGCCCGCGGUUAUGUGGCAACGUGGAAACUUUNNNNNNNNNNGUGUUGAGGAUUUCUAUGCGGCUUGUGGUAAUUUGUGAUGGACUAGUUGGAGCNNNNNNNNNNUGUGCAUUGGGAUUCCAGUGAUGCUUUGGGUAAUCUCAGAGUUGAGGUUUUCCACUAAGGAGUCCGACGAGAUCGCGAGCUUCGUGAUCGAGGAUUUCUAUGCGGCUUGUGGUAAUUUGUGAUGGACUAGUUGGAGCACCCAUGCAUGGUUAAACCUUUUGGAAAGUCGUGCCCACGGUUAUGUGGCAACGUGGAAACUUUGUUUAUCACUGGUUCUAGAUAACUUGAAGUUAACUUUAUUAAAAUAUGCCAAUUGAGUGCGUAAUCAUGACUGUCUCUUUCAUGAGCUCCUUCUCCGAUCGAGGACACGACGGGGUUAUGUUUGACGUAAGUAGGUAUUCAGGAUCAUUCAUUUGAUCAUUACUAGUUCACGUCCGCUAUGCGUANNNNNNNNNNNNNNNNNNNNNNNNNNNNNNNNNNNNNNNNNNNNNNNNNNNNNNNNNNNNNNNNNNNNNNNNNNNNNNNNNNNNNNNNNNNNNNNNNNNNUUAGAGAGCACCUCUGUCAUUUUUAUUCUUUGCUUUUGAUUGAUAUUGAGUAUGACUAUGACUGGAUCUUAGUUGCUAUGAAUUACAAUGUUUAGUCAGCCCUUGAUCUUUGAAAGUGCUUUGCAUUUAUGUUUUGCGGUCUCAGAAAGAGCUAGCGAGGUACCACCUAUUCAUACUGCUUCAUGCUUGUUUUGAUUGAAUUGUCGGUAUCUGAAACUCAUUAUUAUUUGCUCGCUAGCUGAUUAUGCCAUUAAUAUUAGUUUACCGUGAGACCUUUGUGUCACUUGCUUAUGUGGUUAACUUGUGAUCUUGCUGAAAGUCUGGUUACGAGUUAGACAUAGUUGCAACAACAAGAUCAAACAGAGUUUGUCAAAGUUUUUCUUUCUCUUUCAGUUUGUCAACUGAGUUGCUUGAGGACAAGCAAGGUUUUAAGCUUGNNNNNNNNNNGGAGUUUGAUACGUCUAUAUCGUAUCUACUUUUCCAAACUCUUUUGCCCUUGUUUUGGACUCUAAUUUGCAUGAUUUGAAUGGAACUAAACCGGACUGACGCUGUUUUCAGCAGAAUUGCCAUGGUGUUGUUUUUGUGCAGAAAUAAAAGUUCUCGGAACGUCCCAAAAAUUUACGGAGAAUUUUUCUGGAAAAUAUGAAAAAUACCUGCUCAAAGCUCCACCGGAGGGGAUGGGCCAGUGGGACACAAGCUAUGUUGCCGCAGCGACCCCCCUGGCCACGACAACCAAGCUUGUGGGGCCCACGUGGCUCUGCCGCCCCCAAUCUCAGCUCUAUAAAUUCACUUUCGCCCAGAAAAAAUCAGAAGAGAAGAUUUCAUCGCGUUUGAGAUACGGAGGCGCCGCCACAUCAUGUUCUUCAUCUGGAGGACAGAUCUGGAGUCCGGUUUGGGCUCCGGAGAGAGGAAAUCGUCGCCAUCGUCAUCAUCAACCUUCUUCCCUCUCCAAUUCCNNNNNNNNNNCGUUUGAGAUACGGAGGCGCCGCCACAUCCUGUUCUUCAUCUGGAGGACAGAUCUGGAGUCCGUUUUGGGCUCCAGAGAGGGGAAAUCGUCGCCAUCGUCAUCAUCAACCUUCUUCCCUCUCCAAUUCCAUGAAGCUCUUCAUCGUUCGUGAGUAAUCUAUUCGUAGGCUCGCUGGGCGGUGAUGAGUAGGAUGAGAUCUAUCAUGUAAUCGNNNNNNNNNNNNNNNNNNNNNNNNNNNNNNNNNNNNNNNNNNNNNNNNNNNNNNNNNNNNNNNNNNNNNNNNNNNNNNNNNNNNNNNNNNNNNNNNNNNNAAGGGGGCAAAGGUGGAACAAAACACCAGGCUAGAAAGGCCGAGCCUUUUACCAAGUAUAUAGGUGCAUUAAAUUAAAUAGCAUUAAAUAUGGUGAUAUGACAAGGAACCCAUGUUUUCACAUGGAAGCAUGUGCACCUGCAACUAGCAACGCUAACAACAUGGUAAGCAAGCAGUAACAUAGCCAAUUAGUGGUUUUCUAGGUCCAACAGGUUGAAGGUUAUCAUGCCAUUGUUGANNNNNNNNNNCUGCACCUGCAACUAGCAACGGUAACAACAUGGUAAGCAAGCAGUAACAUAGCCAAUCAGUGGUUUUCUAGGUCCAACAGGUUGAAGGUUAUCAUGCCAUUGUUGAGAGGCUGAUAUUUAACAAGUGGUAGGUAACGAGACAUAAUCGAUAGAAGCGGUAAACUAGCAUGUUAAUGAUAGUAAUGGUAUCUGGGGAAAUGAUCAUCUUGCCUGAGAUCCCGCUUGGAAGAAGAAUGACUCCGUGAAGCAGACGAAGCGACAUAGUCGAACGGGUCCUCACAUCCGACACGCUUGCGAAACUCUAUCGAGACGGGCAAACCGGAAACAAACAUCAAUACAAAUAUUCGCCACACGAUGCACAACACAUAUGAUGCAUGAACGGACUAAUGCAAGGCAUGACAAUCACAAGAAUCAAACACUACACAUUAAGUGAAGCUCGAUAUGCAACGAGUUGCAUAUCGACGAAACUCCACGUUCAAUUAUUUAGUUCAUUCCCGUUCAGGUACAUGGCUAUAAUAAAUGUCGUUAACAUGGCACGAGGGUGAAGCACAAUUAAUCUACCUAUUUAGGCAUUUUAAAUGAGACCGGAAACGACAUAUAGCAUCUCCGAAAUGACUCCACGUGUUAAAACUUAGUUCUGACCAGAUUUGUCCUAAUAACAUUUUAGGUUUGUUAAACGGAAAAACAAAGUUGUUCACGUGAUUCUACUCGUCNNNNNNNNNNCCCACGUGUUAAAUCUUUGUUCUGACCAGAUUUGUCCUAAUAACAUUUCAGGUUUGUUAAACGGAAAAACAAAGUUGUUCACGUGAUUCUACUCGUCGUUCUGCACCAUUUACAUAUAUGGCACAUCUCCAACGGAGCUACGGACAAAUAGUUACGAUCUAAACCGUUUUCAACAAGGUGACACGCAAACCGAUGCAAACAGCACACUAAACAGAUCUAAUUAUGCAUGAGAGUUGAAAAAUAUUACUCUACGCAAAAUUCUAGCCAAGUUACAUAUAUAACUCAUCGCAAUCUGAAGAACGGAUUAGAAACUACGGGCAUUUGAAAAUAUGUUGUUUUUUUUUAAAAUCCCUGGAAUUGGAAAAUCGCAAGACGCUUUAAAAAAAUACACGGACCGAAUCUGUUACUAUUGGGCCCAACAGGCAUGGCGCAACUUAACUAAACGACGCGCAUGGCAGAACUUAGCGGAGUGGUGGCUGCGUGUGCAAAGGGAAAGAAUUNNNNNNNNNNGUCAUCGCAAUCUGAAGAAUGGAUUAGAAACUACGGGCAUUUGAAAAUAUGUUGUUUUUUUUCUGAAAAUCCCUGGAAUUGGAAAAUCGCAAGACGCUUUAAAAAAAUACACGGACCGAAGAUGUUACUAUUGGGCCCAACAGGCAUGGCACAACUUAACUAAACGACGCGCCUGGCAGAACUUAGCGGAGUGGUGGCUGCGUGUGCAAAGGGAAAGAAUUGACAAAAAAAAUAUGGGGUGUCUGGGAUUCGACCCCGAGACCCCGUGGUUCAUGGCGCGGAUCGGCUACCAGCUCGGCUGCACUUGUGCUUGCAAAUAAAACCCUCAAGAGUUGGAUGUAAUGAAAACUAAGCCCAGUCAUUGCAAUGCAAACAAAAAUGCAAGAAAAUGUAUGCACCCGAGGGGACUCGAUCCCGGGAUCUCCUUGACCCUGUGUAGUGACUUCUACCGCUGCGCUACAACCCGUGCUCGUGCUAAAGUGAGGGCACUGCGUUAUUAAAGUAGAUGUACGGCGAGGCCUGCCUUUCUCACCAUGGACUCACGAAGACCAUGGCCGUGACGGAAGUCAACAACAGCAGUUGCUGCAGUUGUGGAGGGCCGACGGGUUGAAUCAGCUGAGGACGGGCGAGGCUGGGCGAGGGGCCACGGAUCCAACGAGAUCCGAACGCGAGACGGCAAGAUCUGCUGGGUUGGAUGCGGAAGAACCUCAUGCUAGAGCUCAUCCAUGGUUGACUCCUGCAGAUGAAAGAGAGAGAGCAGGGGUGAGAACCAGAGGGAGAGAAGAGAGCACGGGAGGAGAAGAGAAUCNNNNNNNNNNNNNNNNNNNNNNNNNNNNNNNNNNNNNNNNNNNNNNNNNNNNNNNNNNNNNNNNNNNNNNNNNNNNNNNNNNNNNNNNNNNNNNNNNCAGGUGUGGCGGCACUGCAGACUCUAGUUGGCGCGGGGUCGCGAGGUGGGAUCCGUUCCUGGGGACGGUCAGCGGGUCAAGCGAGCAACGGUUGCUCCUGGAUGUGCUGCUGGUCGUCGGCUCGAGGAGGCACUGGAGAGAGCUCGAUGCUACCUGGGAAGACGGCGCGGGGCGGAGCAAGGAGAAAUCGGCGCAGCAUGUUGACGAGAUGAGGAAAUCGAGGUGGGAAGUGGCGGCGCUGUCGGGAGGAGGGAGAGUAGAUCGAGGAAAAUAGUGGGGAUCCGGAUUGGGCUAGGGUUGGCUCUAGGUGGACUACAAAUAAUAAUUUGGUUAGUCCAAAGGGGCAUUUGGACCCUUCAAUUAAAUCAGACGGUCGGAAAAUAACUAGGUUAGGGAGACCAUUGGACAAACUGAUGACUGUUUGCGGUAAAAUGGGGUUGAUCUGGACCCAACGGUCACGAUCGCCUGGUUCGUGUUCCAGGAGGUUUUCGGACUGGGCUGCGAGUAGGGUCGAUGCACUGUGCAGAGGGGUUAGGCGGAGAUGAGAGGGAANNNNNNNNNNNNNNNNNNNNNNNNNNNNNNNNNNNNNNNNNNNNNNNNNNNNNNNNNNNNNNNNNNNNNNNNNNNNNNNNNNNNNNNNNNNNNNNNNNNNUUCUAUCCCUGAUGAGGCCUUCGUGCCAAAUUAAGGAUAGGGUCGCAUCUUGGGCGUGACAAGUUGGUAUCAGAGCGGUACCGACCUAGGAGCCCCCUUGAUUGAUCGAACUUGGCCGAGUCGAGUCUAGUGAAAAAACUGCUUGGAUUCUAGUUAUAUAUCGGAGAGUAGGAUUCUUUUUUCUCCUCUUCUAUGCNNNNNNNNNNUGAAGGAAGCACCGGUAAGAAUUCACAAUUGAAUGGGGAUACCAAGAAUUAAUGGAGAUACAUGAGAAUGAAGAGAUCAUGAUCCACCUGGAAUAAAACUAGAACAAGGCACCGGAUAAACGAGAGACGCACGAAGAGACAACAAUUGAGAAGAAUUGAGGAUGAAAACUGAAAGCUGAGAACGAAGAUUCUUCUGAAAUGAUGGCCUUCGGAGGAAGGAGAAAUAAAAACAACUCAGAAACGCACCGGAUAGCAAGAAAGAGAUUACUCAUGAUUGGGAAUAAUUCAAGAUGAUGCCAGAAGGCUGAAACUAUUAAUCAUGAAGAGAAUGGACCAAGAUUGAGAGAAACACUCCUUUGAAUCUUCAAUGGAGAGAAUGACAAGAAGAACAUCACCAAGAAUACUGAGACACUCCAGAAUAAUGAAGAAUGAAAGGUUUAGCCAAAUAUGAGAAUUAAUUCGAAUAGAUCUCGGAGAAGGGAUAUGACUGAUGAAAUUCAUACUUACGUCAUAGUUGAAAAGAAUUAAGGAUCUCCAGAAAAAGAUUAAAAGAGUCAAGAAAGAUCCUGGGAAAACCUGUGGGUUAUGGGGCCACUCAAAGAAAUCACCGUUGAAACAAUUGCUAGAACGAGAGAUAUUGCACCGGUAUAAGAAAACUAGAUGAGGUUAGCACCUCGAAAUAAUUGAAAAGAUUGGAAACGAGAAACUACUAAAAUAUCUUUAACACUCCGGAUAGAAAGAGAGAGGAAUUAAUAAACAAGAUAGGCUGAAAGAAUUUCCAACGUCAGAAAUAAUUUAAUGGUUGAAAAGGAUAUGAUGACGAUGGAUAACUGAAAUGAAUUCACCGGUAAGGAUGACAAGAAUGAAUAAAGAUGAACAUGAAGCUCCUGAGAAUGUUCACCAUGAAUCACCGGUUAUGAAAGGAAGAAGAGAUAGCGGAAGUAACAAUGAAAUGAAAUGCACUUGGAUGACAUCCAAUCACUGAAGAAAAGGGUGGGAGGGCGGGGAAAAACAAAGACGACUUGGGACAGAUGAGAUGAACUCCGUAUGAAAUGAGAGAAUGAUCUGCAACAACUGGAGAAGAUUGAAUUCAGUUGCAGAGAAGCACACCGGUUGGAAAAGAAUUAACAUGACGACUCCGGUUGACAAAAUUGAUGAGACAAAUUAUUGAGCAAAAGGAUUAGCACUCUCACAUAAAAAUAUGAGAACACAGAUUAGGAAAGAUCUGAAAUCACCACUUGACAUCGAAGCAACACGAAUUACCAUAUUCAACAAAAACAAAAGGUGUGGCUUAUGAAACAAGCCAGAACAAACUCAUGAGAAAGAUUUCGUCCGAUAUUUUCGUGGACAGGAUCGCACGGGCUCGAUUUUACAGUAGCCAUCAAGUGCAAGGCAGUGCACCCGACAUACGAAGCGUCCCCGAGCCGUAGCAAGCUACAAGGACUCUUUAAGACACAACAUGUACCGCUGUAAGUCGACCGUGGACAAACGAAUCCACUAGAUGUCGAACCCCAACCUAACAUCAUGCAUUUGUUGGAAGAAUGUCCUAUAAGUAACUACUUGAAUUCCCACCUAUGAAUUCCCGAAAUAUCUGGUCAUGCAAUCUGGUACACGGAUACAAGGAGUAAUAACACACACCUCCUAUACUAACCCGUCACCUGUAUCACAUCCGUCAACACACAACCAGAAUCUUGGACCUUCAUCUUCAACAGACCCUCGUGAUCACAACGAUACAAAGUAUGGCAGUACUCCUGAACAAUCUGCACCAGUACUGGGGACAUCGGGGUUAUCUCGCCACUACUAGUAUUGAAGCAAUUACGAACAUCCUUCGUUCUGAGAUACUAAGAAAUAUGAAUGAUAACGAUGUGCUCAAGAAUCCCCUGGAGCUCAACUCCCCGGAAGAAAAUCAAGUCAGACAGGAGGCACCAAGACAGAACUCCGUCACAUCGGCAUCAUAUAGAUCUCAAAAAUAUCCGCGUGAUCCUAAAAAAAUUUGAGUGAGAAGAGGAGUAGAAUUAAAUUAGUACGUCAAGAUUCCUCACCAGAGCAUAGAAGAGGAGAAAAAAGAAUUCUACUCUCCGAUAUAUAACUAGACUCAAAUAGUUUUCACUAGACUCGACUCGGCCAAGUUCGAUCAAUCAAGGGGGCUCCUAGGUCGGUACUUCUCUGAUACCAACUUGUAACGCCCAAGAUGCGAUCCUAUUCUUAUUUAGGCACGAGGGCCUCGACAGGGAUAGAAGCGCAUCUCGUCGUUUCGCAAGAAUGGAUAUCGUUACAAGUACAUGUACUGAAGAGAAGAGUAUAUGGAAUUGGCUUACACUCGCCACAAACUACAUCAGAGUCACAUGAGUACAAUACAUAAACAUCAUGAAGAAGAGCAGGGUCCGACUACGGACAAAAAUAAACGAGAAAAGAACGACUUCCAUCCUCCAGGUUGUCGGCCUGGAACCCAUCCUAGAUCGAUGAAGAAGAAGAAGAANNNNNNNNNNAGAAAAGAAGAGAUAUAUAAAAGAGUUGGCUUACACUCGCCACAAGCUACAUCAGAGUCACAUCAGUACAUUACAUAAUUAUCAAGAGUAAGAGCAGGGUCCGACUACGGACGAAAACAAACGACAAAAGAAGAACGACGUCCAUCCUUGCUAUCCNNNNNNNNNNAUGAACAAUCAACGCGCUCGCGUCAAGUAACCUUUACAUGUACCUGCAACUGGUGUUGUAGUAAUCUGUGAGCCAUAGGGGACUCAGCAAUCUCAUUUCCAAAGGUAUCAAGACUAGCAAAGCUAAAUGGGUGAGGUAUGGUUAAGUGGUGAGGUUGGAGCAGCGGCUAAGCAUAUAUUUGGAGGCUAAACUUAUGAGUACAAGAAAUAAGAGGGGGAAGAUCUACGCAUAACGGACGUGAACUACUGAUGAUCAAAAGAAAGAUCCUGAACACCUACCUACGUCAGACAUAACCCCACCGUGUCCUCGAUCGGAGAAGGAACUCACGAAAGAGACAGUCACGGUUAUGCACACAGUUGGCAAGUUUUAAUUAAGUUAACUUCAAGUUAUCUAGAACCAGUGUUAAACAAAGUUUCCACGUUGCCACAUAACCGCGGGCACGGCUUUCCGAAAGAUNNNNNNNNNNCUGCAGCAAGCGGCUAAGCAAUAUAUAAGGUGGCUAACUUACGAGUACAAGAAUAAGAGGGGGGUGAUCUACGCAUAGCGGACGUGAACUAGUAAUGAUCAAAUGAAUGAUCCUGAACACCUACUUACUUCAAACAUAACCCCACCGUGUCCUCGAUCGGAGAAGGAGCACACGAAAGAGAUAGUCACGGUUACGCACUGAGUUGGCAUAUUUUAAUUAAGUAAACUUCAAGUUAUCUAGAACCAGUGUAAAACAAAGUAUCCACGUUGCCACAUAACUGCGGGCACGGCUUUCUGAAAGAUUUAACCCUGCAUGGGUGCUCCAACUAGUCCAUCACAAAUUACCACAAGCCGCAUANNNNNNNNNNNNNNNNNNNNNNNNNNNNNNNNNNNNNNNNNNNNNNNNNNNNNNNNNNNNNNNNNNNNNNNNNNNNNNNNNNNNNNNNNNNNNNNNNNNNCAUCUCUAGCAUCAUCAGGAAAAACAGUAUCAAGCAUAGCAUCUCUAGCGGUAUGAAGCAUAGCAUCUCUAGGAGUAUCAAGCAUAGUAUCAUCAGGCAUAGUAUCAAGCAUAGCAUCAUCAGGCAUAGUAUCAAGCAUAGCAUCUCUAGCAGUAGUAUCACAAGCNNNNNNNNNNNNNNNNNNNNNNNNNNNNNNNNNNNNNNNNNNNNNNNNNNNNNNNNNNNNNNNNNNNNNNNNNNNNNNNNNNNNNNNNNNNNNNNCAGAUUCUUCAUAGUGAUCAGAAGAUAUAAAUCUCAAGUGACUCAGAGAAUAUAGCAAUACCUCCCCGGCAACGGCGCCAGANNNNNNNNNNAUUCCUUACCUCCCCUCGUAGUUGAGGGCAAGACUUUGGUCUUCGGAUCCUUUAGAUUCUUCAUAGUGAUCAGCAGAUAUAAAUCCCAAGUGACUCAGAGAAUAUAGCAAUACCUCCCCGGCAACGGCGCCAGAAAAAUGAUGACGUCAGUUGUGCUUCCCCGGCAAUGGCGCCAGAAAAGUGUUGAUCCUGCAAUCUCUAGUGUUAGCUAGAUGAAUGCUUAUAACAACGAACCUUCUCCUGCAACGGCACCAGAAGAAUGCUGCUAGCACUCUCCGGCAAUGGAACUGGAAGAAUGUUGUUGAUGGCCCACCAGCGCGUGGGUUCGCAGAAGUUUUCGAGGGUAGAGUAUUCGACCCAAAUUUGUAGAUCGCCUAAAGGAGGUNNNNNNNNNNNNNNNNNNNNNNNNNNNNNNNNNNNNNNNNNNNNNNNNNNNNNNNNNNNNNNNNNNNNNNNNNNNNNNNNNNNNNNNNNNNNNNNNNNNNACCAACAGUGUAGAAGGUAGUAGCAGUGUAAUGAGCAAUAGCAGUGGCAAGGAAGAGGAGUAGUGACAGCAGUAGCAAGUAGCAACAGUAGCAAGCGACAGUAGUANNNNNNNNNNUCCCAGCCCUCCCGUGGCAGUGGGGUCCAAAAGGAAACUACGGGAUAUUAAGGUUCUCCUUUUAAUAAAGNNNNNNNNNNCAACAGUAGCAGCAGAGCAAGACAAGAAACAGCCGUAGCAAUAGUAGUAGUAGCAACAGAGCAAAACAAGUAACAGCAGUAGGACAAACUCGUAGGCAAUGGGUCGGUGAUUUGUUUGGAUGAUAUUCAUCAUGCAACAGCUAUAACACGGAGAGAUAUGUGGCUAGCUCCCGUUCGUCAAUGUGUUGUAGGGCAUGCAUUCCGUGUGUCGUCAUACGUGCUUAGGGAAAAGAACUUGCAUGACAUCUAUUNNNNNNNNNNACAGUGGCAAGGAACAGCAGUAGUGACAGCGGUAGCAAGUAGCACCAGAGCAAGCGAUAGUAGUAACAGCAGUAGCAAGUAGCAACAAGUAAUAGCAGCAGUUGGACAAACUCGUAGGCAAUGGGUCGGUGAUUCUUUUGAAUGAUAUUCAUCAUGCAACAGUUAUAACACAGGGAGAUAUGUGGCUAGCUCCCGUUCGUCAAUGUGAUGUAGGCAUGCAUUCCGUGUGUAGUCAUACGUGCUUAGGGAAAAGAACUUGCAUGACAUCUAUUGUCGAUCCCUCCCGUGGCAGCGGGGUCCAAAAGGAUACUUCAGGAUAUUAAGGUUCUCCUUUUAAUAAAGAACUGGAACAACGCAUUAGCACUUGGUGAACACAUGAACUCCUCAAACUAUGGUCAUCACCGGGAGUGGUUCCGGUUAUUGUCACUCCAGGGUUGCCGGAUCAUAACACAUAGUAGGUAACUACAACUUGCAAGAUCNNNNNNNNNNNNNNNNNNNNNNNNNNNNNNNNNNNNNNNNNNNNNNNNNNNNNNNNNNNNNNNNNNNNNNNNNNNNNNNNNNNNNNNNNNNNNNNNNNNNUGUCACCAAUAUAUGUGUGUUUUAGAUCCGAUCUUGCAAGUUGUAGUUCCCUACUAUGUGUUAUGACCCGACAACCAAGGAGUGACAAUAACCGGACCCACUCACGGUGAUGACCAUAGUUUGAGGAGUUCAUGUGUUCACCAAGUGCUAAUGCAUUGUUCCGGUUCUUUAUUAAAAGGAGAACCUUAAAAUCCUGUAGUAUCCUUUUGGACCCCGCUGCCACGGGUGGGAUGGACAAUAGAUGACAUGCAAGUUCUUUUCCCUAAGCACGUAUGACUACACACGGAAUGCAUGCCGACAUCACAUUGACGAACGGGAGCUAGCCACAUAUCUCUCCGUGUUAUAACUGUUGCAUGAUGAAUAUCAUUCAAACGAAUCAGCGACCCAUUGCCUAAGAGUUUGUCCCACUGUUGCUGUUACUUGUUGCUACUUGCUACUGCUGUUACUACUGUCAGUUGCUCUGCUGCUACUUGCUACUGUUGCUACUUGCUACAAUCGUCACUACUGAUGUUCCUUGCCACUGCUGUUACUCGUUACACUGCUGCUACCUGCUACAAUACUGGUUCGCUCGGCGUUGACGGGAAAAGACAAUUUCCGUCAAAGGGCAACUUCUCGCGCCAUUGAUACGACAGUUAGGAAUAGUCUGCCGUCAACAGAUCGUUUCUGACACCGUUGUUAUCAUACUACUUUGCUGCUGAUACCUUGCUUGCAGAUACUAAUCUUUCAGGUGUGGUUGAAUCUGAUACAUUCAGCUGCUAAUACUCGAGAGUAUCCUCUCACCUCCUGUGUGGCGAAUUAAUAAAUUUGGGUCGAAUACUCUACCCUCGAAAACUGCCGCGAACCCACGCGCUGGUGGGACAUCAACAACAUUCUUCUAGUUUCGUUGCCGGGGAGUGCUAGCAACAUUCUUCUGGUGCCGUUGCAGGGGAAGCUCUGUUGUCACAGUAGAAGUAUGGAUCAUACGGGGCAUAGAAGCCAGUCAUGUCCAACUUCCUCUUCUUGCCCUCAGGAUCCUUCUCAUGAAAUGGGAUAGUGUACUACCUUAAAAUAUAGUAUUUACAAAAACCUUCACAUCCUUAUACCACAUCCUUACAUGAAGUGGUGGUGCCAGGACUCAAAUAUUACCAAUCAAGCCAAAUACAUAUGAUUAUCAACACAUUUUCCACCAUUUCCUGGCCUGUUACAAAUUUAAUUUUUUGUUUCAUAAUCUUGCUAAAAAACUGUGGUCAGCAGGCGGUACAGCCUCUACUCAUUUGAUUCCAUCCACACAAUAGAAUACAUGGCAUGAUAUAGUUUUACUUCUUCGGUGUUGCACCAAAUAUAAAAUAUUUUAAGGUUCUAAAAAUUCAUCCAUUAUAAAUUCAUGGACCAAAAAGAAGCACUUCUACAAUUCUUUUUUAUGGAAUGGGCACGCAUGAGAUCGAUCAUUCCCCAUGCAUGCAAAAAACAACAUGGUUGACCAAUGACCACGUAGACAUAGGUAGACAGAUCAAACACAAGCACAUCAUCACAACUAAGAAGUCGGAACUCAAAAUUUACCAAAAGAGAAGGAAGAAACUAAUAUUAACCCAAAAAAGCAACAUGCUACCUUCUCGUAAUCACAUCACGUCUACCUUCUCGUAAUCAACAUAUGUAAUACAUCUCCAACAAAGUAUAGAUAACUUCAACCACUAGUUGGAUAUAACAUCUUAAAUUUUGUUGAAGCAAUAUAAUACAUUAUGCGAUAUGUAGUAAACUAUAAAUGCAUAUAUAUACUACUAGUAACAUCUUUAAUUGCACUAGUCACCUAAACAAAAAAUUGAUAUACCAUAAAGGAAUCAAUUGACAUCUUAAUCAAUUCAUAGGUACAUGAAUGCAUCCCUUCAAAAUUAUAUUAUAUCUCCUCUCCUUCAAAAUUUAUGCAUUUCUUUUAGGCAUAUGACAUACAAAACCCUAUCUAUGUACAAUUGAAGCACAAAUCUAACAAGCAUAUGUAUCUAUAGCAUUCAACCAUUAAUCUAAUAUGAAUUUCUAUAUGAAACAUCCAAGUACAGAGAUCCCUAUCUCAUUGAAAUAUCUAUAGCAUUUUUGCACAAACUAAUUACAAAAAUCUAAGGCAAAAAAUCUAAUACAAAAACCCCCAUCUAAAAAACCUCAUCUAGAAAUCCCCAUCUAGAAAUACUCAUCCGAAAAUAACCAUCUAUAGAAGACCCCAUCUACAAAACACCAUCUAGAAAACCAAGUAAUCUAACAAGGAAAUAGCGUCUCAUGAAAUAGAACUACCUCCUCGCCGCCAGCCUACGCAGCACCGCUCGACGACGUGACCUCCUGCUUUGGCACCUCCUUCUCAAGAUCCGCAGCAGCGACAUCGGUUGCGGUCUGUCCUGCACUGCCCUAGACGCCUCCAACAUCCUACACUGCUUCUAUGGCGGUCACCGUGCUAGGCUUCUCCAACACAUCCCCGACCGCAGCGGCGACAGCACAAUGAGCGACCUCCAUUAGAAAGAGGUAGGAUAUGGAGGUGAGGGAGACAAUGUGAUGAGAGAGAGCAAGAAGACACAGUGGGGGAGCGGGAGACGAGGUGGCGGAGCGAGGGAGACCAAUUGGGGGGAAAUGGUGGGGGCGAUGUGCCCAAAGGAGGUUCCCCUCCUAUAAUAGGAUGGGACAGUUUUCACAAUUUCGGCCGCCACGUGCUAUCCCACGACCACCAUAUGCGCACGCUAAACGAAACACUCGCAUAUACGAAUAUGACUAUAUGCUUGGCGUAUGAACCAACCAGGCCACACGAGAUCGUACAGGGCUCGUCCAGGGCUAUAUGCACACGUUGAAAAGACAAUCGUACCCCUCACUUUGAAAGGGUGUUGGAAGAUCUCAGUCCAAGGGGGGAGCACCGGAGCAGAAGCGCUAAUGUGAAUUUACAAUAGGUCCUAAUUUGGAGCGAGAAGAGGAACGUGUAAUUACGAAGCAACGUGGGAAAUUGAGGUGAGCGGUUGAUGAUUUCAUGGGCAUGGUCGCAUGAAGCACGUGCUCGAACAGUUGAUGGUGGCAAGCCGUGGUGGCGGCCAAAAAUAUUUCUAUGGAUUCUUCUUCAAAAAAAGACCAUACGUGGUUGUCACAAAAAUCUACGCAAAAUGUUGUUGUGCCUCUUAGGCCUUGUUUGGUACUAGGGUUUUUGAGAAGAUUGGUGGGGAUAAUCCCCAUAGAGAUUGGGUGAAACCCCAACCUUCACCCAAUCCCUUCAAAUCCCCAUUUAUCCCCAAUCCACUAGGUAGGGCUAGUGUAUUGUGUAUUGAGAAAAUGCACUAGAAUUUGGGGAUUUGUGGGGAAAUGUGGGGAUGAAACAUGUCAAAUACACUAGAACCAAAUGGUGUUAUGGGAUAUGUGGGGAUUUAGGGGUUUGACCGGGAUAAUCCCCACUAAUUCCCUAAAAUACACUAGUACCAAACAAGGCCUUAGGGGUUCCUUUUGUCCUAGCAAGGCUCUAUGGGUGUAAUUUUUUCAUGUUUGGCUAGCUGCAUCAAAAUUUUGUCGCAUAAGAAUCUCAAAUCAGUGCUCAUUCGAACUCUGGAGGAACAAACAAAUUGGCAGUUUCCAUCUGGUUGAAAUUUUAUAAGAAAAAAAUGCUAUAGAAGUUUGAGACUAGAGAGAAGGCAGAGGAUGAUUACUUCAAACUUGUGCUACAAAAAUAACAAUCAUGAAGCGAACACGGGUGGGGGUGUGAUCUGGUUUAGUGAGUAGAAGAACUUCAUAAUCUUUAUCAAACUCGUAGUCAUUGUUAUAUUGAAGUGGACUAUGUAGCAUCAGAGGGCUCAUGCAAACAUUGUUUGCUUGCAAGAAAUUAAGAUGGAGAUGCUAACCUUGGCCAUAAUCCAACACUGUCUUGGCAAUAAAUUUGUCAAUUUUUUACUAUGUGCAUGUGGUGGGAACUUGUUGAGGCAUUUUUCUUGCUUGGAAUGGCAUGAUAGCAAACUUCUCUAACCCUCACCGAACGAUAAAUACUAUCACGGCAUUGGUAAAUCCCAAGGACUUGGUGGAAUGGUGUUUCACGUGCGUGUAUGGCCUGCAAGAUGAUGUGGACAAAAUAGAGUUUCUCCAAGAAAUGAGGGAUAUGCGAGACCUUCAUACAUUCCCAUGGCUAAUGUUGGAUAUUUUAAUCUCUUGAACAACCCGAAAGACAAGAACAACACUCCAAUCAAUAGGCAAAUGCUGGGAAGGUUUCGAGUAAUAGUAAAAUAGAGUGCACUGGAAAGGGAUAAAUCUAAAUAGUCGUCCAUACACUAGGUACAAUGAAAGGGAGAAUGCUACCUUGGAGAAAAUUGAUAACAUUUCCUUCAUGAAGUGUUGGAAUGAAUUACACUUCAUGCCUCCUCUCGGCGCUUGGCUCGGCAGUUUCAGAUCAUUGCUAGUUGCUAGUAGAACUGAACACAGAUAUGCACAUGGGGAAGAGGUUUAAGUUCGAAUCAUUUUGGGUCAAGCUAGAAGGGUUUAUGGAUACUUUGGAAUCUGCUUCGACGCCGUCGGUGAAUGAUACGUCUCAAACGUAUCUAUAAUUUUUGAUGGUUUCAUGUUGUUAUCUUGUCAACUUUGGAUGUUUUAUGUAACUUUUAUAUCUUUUUUGGGACUAACUUAUUAAUUCAGUGCCAAGUGCCAGUUCCUGUUUUUGUGUGUUUUUGACUCUUUUCAGAUCUCAUUUUGGAACGGAGUCCAAACAGAAUAAAAUCCCCGAAAUAAAAUUUUCCAAAACGGAAGAAGAUCAGGGGACUUGAGGGCCAAGGCAGGAGAGCCACAGGGGGCCCACAAGCCAUGUAGCCGCCACCAGGGGGGCGGCGGCUACCAGGCUUGUGGCCUCCCUGUAGCCCCCCUGCCCUAGCUCUUUCGCCUAUAUAUUCCCUAAAAUCCAGAAAAAAAUCAGGGCAUCCACGAAAACACUUUUCCGCAGCCGCAAGCUUCCGUUUCCGCGAGAUCUCAUCUGGAGACCCUUCCCGGUGCCCUGCCGGAGGGGACUUUGGAGUUGGAGGGCUUCUACAUCAACAUCAUCGNNNNNNNNNNUCUCUAAUGACUCGUGAGUAGUUCACUUCAGGCCUACGGGUCCGUAGUUAGUAGCUAGAUGGCUUCUUCUCUCUCUCUUGGAUCUUCAAUACAAAGUUCCCCAUGAUCUUCAUGGAGAUCUAUCCGAUGUAAUCCUCUUUGGCGGUGUGUUUGUCGAUAUCCGAUGAAUUGUGGAUUUGUGAUCAGAUUAUCUAUGAUAUAUAUUUGAGUCUUUGCUGAUUUCUUAUAUGCAUGAUUUGAUAUCCUUGUAAGUCUCUCUGAGUCUUGGGUUUUUUUGGCCAACUAGAUCUAUGAUUAAUGCAAUGGGAGAAGUGCUUGGUUUUGGGUUCAUAUCGUGUGGUGACCUUUCCUAGUGACAGAAGGGGCAGCAAGGCACGCAUCAUGUUGUUGCCAUCAAGGGUAACAAGAUGGGCUUUGAUCUUAGAUAUGAGAUUGUCCAUCUACAUCAUGUCAUCUUGCUUAAGGCGUUACUCUGUUCUUUUGGACUUAAUACACUAGAUGCAUGCUGGAUAGCGGUCGAUGUGUGGAGUAAUAGUAGUAGAUGCAGAAAGUAUCGGUCUACUUGUUUUGGACGUGAUGCCUAUAGAUAUAAUCAUUGCCUUAGAUAACGUCACGACUUUGCGCGGUUCUAUCAAUUGCUCGACAGUAAUUCGUUCACCCACCGUCUACUCGCUUUCAUGAGAGAAGCCAGUAGUGAACACUACGCCCCCCGGGUCUAUUCACAACUAUCGUUUCCACUUUCACUUUUAUUUUGCUUUGUUUCUUUUUGCUUUCAGUUCUCACUUGGCAAACAAUCUAUAAGGGAUUGACAACCNNNNNNNNNNGUAGCGUUGGGUGCAAGGUCUUUGUGUUUGUGCAGGUACUUGUGACAAUCCUUCACUGGAUCGAUACCUUGGUUCUCAAAACUGAGGGAAAUACUUACCGCCGCUAUGCUACAUCACCCAUUCCGCUUCGAGGGAACACCAACGCAAGGCUCCAAGGGCACAGGGGAAUCCUUUGCAUAUUUGCCAAGGAAGUCCCUAAAGGCGUAGCCGUAGCAGAAGGAUUCCUGGUGCCGUUGCUGAGGAGUAUCAAGACAAGAAUAGUCUCCCGUCAACACGCUUGUUUCUGGCACCGUUGAAAUGUCUUUUGUUGCAGUAGCAGUGAACAACGAGUUUCCUACGCUAUAGAAUAAACUUCGGGAAAAAAUGCUAGUUUGCAUUGGUGGAGUGAUUGUUCUAUUGGAAAUAUCGUGCUGCAAAUUUUGUUUGCUCUUGAAGUAAUACAAGGACUAGACAUUGCAAUGGAUCACACGCCUUUGUCGUCGUCCAAGAGGGGCCUGUGCAAGUGUCUCAAACAAAAGCUCUUGUGUUUGAGCUCGUUGGAAAGAUCAAUAACAAGGUAAAGAUCCAGGUUGUUGCAUCUACACGAGGGGCAUGCAAACACACAUAUUUUCCAUCACUAUGCAUGCCAUCGUCAAAGGAAGAAUUUCAUCAUGUUGGUUAGGAAUAAUGGCAAGUCUACACAGGGUCAUGUGAGGUGGGAAGAGAGGUCCACAACUACUACGCCAACAUAUUUGGAGUAGCACCAGGCAUGUAGUUUGUUGUUAACUUGCAGAUGUUAGAUUUUCCGUUGGUGGAACUCUGUCAUCUCGAGCGGCUGUUCUUGUGCAGGGAGGUGGAAAAGACUGUAAAGGCAAUGCCACAAGAUAAGGCACCGAGUACGGAUGGCUUCACCACUAGAUUCUUCACUUCUUGUUAGAAAGUCAUCAAGGUAGAUUUCAUGAAAGCCAUGCACUACUUUCACGGACCAUACAUGCAAGGUUUGAUGUCCAUCAAUAAAGCCCUUGUGUAUCCUAUAAAAUAUGAUGCACUCGAUCUCGANNNNNNNNNNNNNNNNNNNNNNNNNNNNNNNNNNNNNNNNNNNNNNNNNNNNNNNNNNNNNNNNNNNNNNNNNNNNNNNNNNNNNNNNNNNNNNNNNNNNUAUGGGGAUAGAUCGAAACGCUUAAUAGAAGUUUCAACAAGAUGCAUGCCUUGACAAGUUUUUGAAGGAUUUCAAAAUAGAUCAGCAAAGAAGGAGUUCUUGGCUGUGUUGUAAGGUGUGAAUUUGAGUAAGACUCAAAACCCGACCACGGCAGAAUAAAGAGAAUAGGCGAAAGUCGUCUUCUAUACCUUAGCCGUAGACUCUAAAGUAUGCCAUGGUGAGUACCACACCUGAUGUGUGCCUUGCUACAAGUCUGUUAAGAGGUACACAGAGUGAUCCAGGAUUGAAUCACUGAUCAACGGUCAAAGUUAUCCUUAGUAACUAAUGAACUAAGGUAUUUCUCUCGAUUAUGGAGGUGGUUAAAGAGUUCGUCGUAAAGGGUUACGUCGAUGCAAGCUUUGACACUAAUCCGAAUAACUAUGAGUAGUGAAACGGAUUCGUAUGGUAGAGUAGAUAUUUGGAAUAUUUCCAAAUAGCACGUAGUAGCAGCAUCUAUAAGAUGACAUAAAGAUUUGUAAAGAUUUGUAAAGAACACACGGAUCUGAAAGUUUUAGAACCGUUGACUAAAACCUCUCUCACGAGCAAGACGUGAUCAGACCCCAGAACUAUAUGGGUGUUGGAUUCAUUGAAAUCACAUGGUCAUGUGAACUAGAUUAUUGGCUCUAGUGCAAGUGGGAGACUGUUGGUAAUAUACCCUAGAGGCAAUAAUAAAUUAGUUAUUAUUAUAUUUAUUUGUUCAUGAUAAUCAUUUAUUAUCCAUGCUAUAAUUGUAUUGAUUGGAAACAUAAUACUUGUGUGGAUACAUAGACAAAACACUGUCCCUAGUAAGCCUCUAGUUGACUAGCUCGUUGUUCAAAGAUGGUCAAGGUGUUGGAAUUAUGCCCUAGAGGAAAUAAUAAAUAUGGUUAUUAUUUUAAUUCCUGUAUCAAGAUAAUCGUUUAUUAUCCAUGCUAUAAUUGUAUUGAAUGAAAACUUAUUUACAUGUGUGGAUACAUAGACAAAACACCGUCCCUAGCAAGCCUCUAGUUGGCUUGCCAGUUGAUCAAAGAUAGUCAGUGUCUUCUGAUUAUGAACAAGGUGUUGUUGCUUGAUAACUGGAUCACGUCAUUAGGAGAAUCACGUGAUGGACUAGACUCAAACUAAUAGACGUAGCAUGUUGAUCGUGUCAUUUUGUUGCUACUGUUUUCUGCGUGUCAAGUAUUUAUUCCUAUGACCAUGAGAUCAUAUAACUCACUGACACCGGAGGAAUGCUUUGUGUGUAUCAAACGUCGCAACGUAACUGGGUGACUAUAAAGAUGCUCUACAGGUAUCUCCGAAGGUGUUAGUUGAGUUAGUAUGGAUCACGACUGGGAUUUGUCACUCCGUGUGAUGGAGAGGUAUCUCGGGGCCCACUCGGUAAUACAACAUCACACACAAGCCUUGCAAGCAAUGUGACUUAGUGUAAUUUGCGGGAUCUUGUAUUACGGAACGAGUAAAGAGACUUGCCGGUAAACGAGAUUGAAAUAGGUAUGUGGUUACCGACGAUCGAAUCUCGGGCAAGUAACAUACCGAAGGACAAAGGGAAUGACAUACGGGAUUAUAUGAAUCCUUGGCACUGAGGUUCAAACGAUAAGAUCUUCGUAGAAUAUGUAGGAUCCAAUAUGGGCAUCCAGGUCCCGCUAUUGGAUAUUGACCGAGGAGUCUCUCGGGUCAUGUCUACAUAGUUCUCGAACCCGCAUGGUCUGCACACUUAAGGUUCGACGUUGUUUUAUGCGUAUUUGAGUUAUAUGGUUGGUUACCGAAUGUUGUUCGGAGUCCCGGAUGAGAUCACGGACGUCACGAGAGUUUCCGAAAUGGUCCGGAAACAAAGAUUGAUAUAUAGGAAGUUGGUAUUUGGANNNNNNNNNNNNNNNNNNNNNNNNNNNNNNNNNNNNNNNNNNNNNNNNNNNNNNNNNNNNNNNNNNNNNNNNNNNNNNNNNNNNNNNNNNNNNNNNNNNNNNNNNNNNNNNNNNNNNNNNNNNNNNNNNNNNNNNNNNNNNNNNNNNNNNNNNNNNNNNNNNNNNNNNNNNNNNNNNNNNNNNNNNNNNNNNNNNNNNNNUGGCGCACCACCCUUAGUGGGCUGGUGGGACAGCCCAAAAGGGCCCUAUGCGCCAUACAAAGGAAAAUCAAAGAGAAAGAAAAAAAAGGGAGGUGGGAAGGAAGGGAAGGACUCCCACCCACCAAACCAAGUCCAACUCGGCCCCCCCCUUGGGGCUCCUUGAGCUCCAAGGCAAGGUCCCCUCCCUCCCACCUAUAUAUACGGAGGUAUUGGGGCUGAUUUGAGAUGACUUUUUCACGCCAGCCCGACCACAUACCUCCACGGUUUUUCCUCUAGAUCGCAUUUCUGCGGAGCUCGGGCGGAGCCCUGCUGAGACAAGGUCAUNNNNNNNNNNUUUGGGGGGGGGAGCCUUCCCCCCUUGGACUCGGCCGACCCCCUUGGGGUCCUUGAGCCCAAGGCCUCCCUCCCACCUAUAUAUACGGAGGUAUUGGGGCUGAUUUGAGACGACUUUUCCACGGCAGCCCGACCACAUACCUCCACGGUUUUUCCUCUAUAUCGCAUUUCUGCGGAGCUCGGGCGGAGCCCUGCUGAGACAAGGUCAUCACCAACCUCCGGAGCGCCGUCACGCUGCCGGAGAACUGUUCUACCUCUCCGUCUCUCUUGCUGGAUCAAGAAGGCCGAGAUCAUCAUCGAGCUGUACGUGUGCUGAACGCGGAGGUGCCGUCCGUUCGGUACUAGAUCGUGGGACUAAUCGCGGGAUUGUUCGCGGGGCGGAUCGAGGGACGUGAGGAUGUUCCACUACAUCAACCGCGUUCUCUAACGCUUCUGCUGUACAGUCUACAAGGGUACAUAGAUCACUCAUCCCCUCUCGUAGAUGGACAUCACCAUGAUAGGUCUUCGUGCGCGUAGGAAAUUUUUUGUUUCCCAUGCGACGUUCCCCAACACAAAGUUUCCUGACUGUUGGCAAAUGUUGUUACUUGAUAACGGGAUCACAUCAUUAGGAGAAUCAUGUGAUGGACUAUACCCAAACUAAUGAACGUAGCAUGUUGAUCGUGUCAUUUUGUUGCUACUGUUUUUCUGCGAGUCAAGUAUUUAUUCCUAUGACCAUGAGAUCAUAUAACNNNNNNNNNNAUCAAAGAUGGUCAAGGUUUCCUGACCAUAGGCAAGUGCUGUUACUUGAUAACGGGAUCACAUUAUUAGGAGAAUCAUGUGAUGGACUAGACCCAAACUAAUGAACGUAGCAUGUUGAUCGUGUCAUUUUGUUGCUACNNNNNNNNNNNNNNNNNNNNNNNNNNNNNNNNNNNNNNNNNNNNNNNNNNNNNNNNNNNNNNNNNNNNNNNNNNNNNNNNNNNNNNNNNNNNNNNNNNNNCGCACUAAAAGUCGCACUCGGGGACUUAGCUGUGACCCAGAAUCGCCUAAGUACAAACUCGCUCCGAGUGCGCACUAAAAGCCGCACUCGGGGACUGAGCUGCGACCCGGAAUCGCCUAAGUACAAACUCGCUCCGAGUGGGCACUAAAAGCCGCACUCGGGGACUCAGCUGCGACCCAGAAUCGCCUAAGUACAAACUCGCUCCGAGUGCGCACUAAAAGCCGCACUCGGGGACUUAGCUGCGAUCCAGAAUCGCCUAAGUAAAAAGCUUCCUUCGAGUGUAUUCUCGAGAUCCACUCGGAGGCUUAGCAGACCCUCAUUGAGGCUCAUGUGGAUGCAAAGACAACUGACAACUACAUGAGGAACAACUCGCUCCGAGUGCGAGCUUACAGUCGCGCUCGGUGACUUAGCCGCGACCCAGAGUUGCCUAAGUAAAAGCUCGCAACGAGUGCGUACUUCACUUCGCAGACCCUCAUUGAGGCUCAUGUGGAUGUGAAGACAACUGACAAUUACAUGCUCCGCAUGUUUGCCAUUGGCUUCACCAAGAAAUCCAAACAAAAACCACGAGCCAAAAUCGUGUCAAAAAAAANNNNNNNNNNNNNNNNNNNNNNNNNNNNNNNNNNNNNNNNNNNNNNNNNNNNNNNNNNNNNNNNNNNNNNNNNNNNNNNNNNNNNNNNNNNNNNNNNNNNCGCACUAAAAGUCGCACUCGGGGACUUAGCUGUGACCCAGAAUCGCCUAAGUACAAACUCGCUCNNNNNNNNNNNNNNNNNNNNNNNNNNNNNNNNNNNNNNNNNNNNNNNNNNNNNNNNNNNNNNNNNNNNNNNNNNNNNNNNNNNNNNNNNNNNNNNNNNNNNNNNNNNNNGACCCAGAAUCGCCUAAGUACAAACUCGCUCCGAGUGCGCACUAAAAGCCGCACUCGGGGACUUAGCUGCGACCCAGAAUCGCCUAAGUACAAACUCUCUCCGAGUGCGCACUAAAAGUCGCACUCGGGGACUUAGCUGCGACCCAGAAUCGCCUAAGUACAAACUCGCUCUGAGUGCGCACUAGAAGCCGCACUCGGGGACUUAACUACGACCCAGAAUCGCCUAAGUACGAACUCACUCCGAGUGUGCACUAAAAGCCGCACUCGGGGACUUAGCUGCGAUCCAGAAUCGCCUAAGUAAAAAGCUUCCUUCGAGUGUAUUCUCGAGAUCCACUCGGAGGCUUAGCAGACCCUCAUUGAGGCUCAUGUGGAUGCAAAGACAACUGACAACUACAUGAGGAACAACUCGCUCCGAGUGCGAGCUUACAGUCGCGCUCGGUGACUUAGCCGCGACCCAGAGUUGCCUAAGUAAAAGCUCGCAACGAGUGCGUACUUCACUUCGCAGACCCUCAUUGAGGCUCAUGUGGAUGUGAAGACAACUGACAAUUACAUGCUCCGCAUGUUUGCCAUUGGCUUCACCAAGAAAUCCAAACAAAAACCACGAGCCAAAAUCGUGUCAAAAAAAANNNNNNNNNNNNNNNNNNNNNNNNNNNNNNNNNNNNNNNNNNNNNNNNNNNNNNNNNNNNNNNNNNNNNNNNNNNNNNNNNNNNNNNNNNNNNNNNNNNNGUUUGUACUUAGGAGAUUCUGAGUCGCAGCUAAGUCCCCGAGUGCGACUUUUAGUGCGCACUCGGAGCGAGUUUGUACUUAGGCGAUUCUGGGUCGCAACUAAGUCUCUGAGUGCGGCUUUUAGUGUGCACUUGGAGCGAGUUUGUACUUAGGUGAUUCUGGGUCGCAGCUAAGUCCCCGAGUGCGACUUUGAGUGCGCACUUGGAGCGAAUGUUUUAGACCGGAGUCUGCAAACGCGGAAGAAUUUUGAACCUGCAAGAAAUCAAUCUACUUUGUAUUACUUCAAUGAUACUUGUUCUUUACAUUGCCCCCGUCGGCGGUCACGUGUAGAAGCGCUUCAGGAGAUCUCCGUUCCAUGCUCGCGGCUCGUCCGUUUCUCUGUCGAGGUUGUAGAGUCGAUAUGCUCCGUCGUUCGGCACCUUAGAGAUGAUGAAGGGUCCUUCUCAGGCGGGAGCCAACUUGUGAGGCCUCUGCUGGUCCACUCGGAGCACUAGGUCGCCUGCUUGGAAUGUGCGACUCGUGACGUGCCAUGCGUGAAAUCGCCGCAAAUCUUGUUGAUAAAUUGUUGAGUGAGUCAGUGCCAUCUCACGCUCUUCUUCUAGUAGAUCCACUCCGUCUUGCCUGGCUUGCUCUGCUUCGGCUUCGGAGAAGAGUUCGACUCGUGGAGAGUUGUGAAGCAAGUCACUCAGAAGGACCGCCUCUACUUCAUAAACGAGGAAGAACGGGGAUCACCCUGUAGAUCUUUUUGGAGUUGUGCGGAGGCCCCACAACACUGAAGAUAGCUCGGUGACCCAUGCGUCGGCGGCAUGUCCAACUUCUCACAGGAGUCGAGGCUUCAACCCUUGAAGAAUAAGUCCAUUCGCCUGCUCUGCUUGCCCGUUUGUUAGGGGAUGCGCCACAGAUGCAAAAUCCACUCGGAUACCUUGGCCUUUGCAAAAACCCUUGAAUCUGUCCGCGUCAAAGUUUGUGCCAUUGUUGGUGAUUAUGCUGCGCGGAACCCCGAAUCUGGCGAUGAUGUCUGUGACAAACUUGAUGGCCAUAAGGGCGUCAAGCUUCUUGAUGGGCUUGGCUUCAAUCCACUUGGUGAACUUGUCGACUGCCACCAACAGAUGAGUGAAUCCCCCUUGUCCUGUUCUGAAUGGUCCGACUGUAUCUAAUCCCCACACUGCGAACGGCCAAACAAGAGGGAUUGUCUUCAGCGCAGAUGUUGGCUUGUGGGACUUGUUUGAAUAGAACUGACAGCCUUCGCAUCGUUCGACCAUAUCUUUUGUCAUUUUAUUCACCUGCAACCAGAAGAAACCAGCUCUGAAUGCUUUGGCGACGAUUGCUCUUGAGGAGGCAUGAUGGCCGCAGGUUCCCGAGUAAAUUUCUUCCAGGAUUAACUGUCCCUCCUCAGGGGAGAUGCAGCGCUGAAGGACGUCUGAAACACUUUCCUUGUACAACUGGCCAUCAAUGACGGUGAAGGACUUCGACCUGCGGACGAUCUGCCUCGCUUGGACUUUGUCUUCUGGUAAUUCUUGCCUCAGGAUGUAUGCAAUGAACGACACAGUCCAAUCGGGGAUGAGAGCAAGAAUCUCCAUGAUCAAAUCCACCACAGCGGGGACCUCGACUUCAGUCGGAUCUGUUGAGCUCUUCGGUUGUACUGGUUCCUUUGUGAAAGGAUCUUCUUUUACUGAGGGAAGGUGUAGGUGCUCGAGCCAGACAUCACUCGGGACCGGUCUCCGAGUGGAUCCAAGUUUCGCCAAUUCAUCAGCUGCUUGGUUUUUCAGUCGCGGAACAUGGUGAAGUUCCAGACCUUGAAACUUCUUCUCGAGCUUCCUUACUGCGUUGCAGUAUGUAGUCAUGGUGGGGUUUCUUACAUCCCACUCCUUCAUCACUUGAUUAACCACCAGAUCUGAAUCGCCAUAGACCAUCAGGCGACGGACGCCGAGUGUGAUGGCCAUGCGUAAUCCAUAAAGGAGAGCUUCGUACUCUGCCUCAUUGUUGGAAGAAUCGAAAUGUAUCUGCAACACAUACUUAAGUUUAUCACCUUUAGGCGAUAUGAUCACUACGCCAGCGCCGGAGCCAUUCAUCAUCUUGGACCCAUCGAAGAACAUGGUCCAAUGAGCCGAGUAGAUGUGAGUCGGUUGCUGUUGUUCUACCCAUUCUGCUAUGAAUUCAGCCAGAGCUUGAGACUUUAUAGCCUUCUUGGCUUCGAACUUGAUGUCGCACUAUAACAUCUCCAUUGCCCACUUCGCCACUCGGCCUGAUGCGUCUCGAUUGUGGAGGAUUUCCGAUAACGGAGCAUCAGAAAUAACAGACACCGAGUGCUCUUGGAAAUAAUGAGCCACCUUCUUUGCAGUCAUGUAGAUCCCAUAAAUAAUCUUUUGAUAACGGGGAUACCUUUGCUUGGAAGGAGUCAGGACUUCGGAGACAUAAUAUACUUGUUGGGGAACGUCGCAUGGGAAACAAAAAAUUUCCUACGCGCACGAAGACCUAUCAUGGUGAUGUCCAUCUACGAGAGGGGAUGAGUGAUCUAGGUACCCUUGUAGAUCGUACAGCAGAAGCGUUAGUGAACGCGGUUGAUGUAGUGGAACGUCCUCAUGUCCCUCGAUCCGCCCCGCGAACAAUCCCGCGAUCAGUCCCAUGAUCUAGUACCGAACGGACGGCACCUCCGCGUUCAGCGCACGUACAGCUCGACGAUUAUCUCGGCCUUCUUGAUCCAGCAAGAGAGACAGAGAGGUAGAAGAGUUCUCUAGCAGCGUGAUGGCGCUCCAGAGGUUGGUGAUGACCUUGUCUCAGCAGGGCUCCGCCCGAGCUCCGCAGAAACGCGAUCUAGAGGAAAAACCGUGGAGGUAUGUGGUCGGGCUGCCGUGGAAAAGUCACCUCAAAUCAGCCCUAAAACCUCCGUAUAUAUAGGUGGGAGGGAGGGAACCUUGCCUUGGGGCUCAAGGAGCCCCAAGGGGGUCGGCCGAGUCCAAGGGGGAAGGCUCGCCCCCCAAACCGAGUUGGACUUGGUUUGGUGGGUGGGAGUCCUUCCUUCCCUUCCCACCUCCUCUUUUUUUUCUCUUUGAUUUUCUUUCCUAGGCGCAUAGGGCCCUUUUGGGCUGUCCCACCAGCCCACUAAGGGCUGGNNNNNNNNNNUCUUUUCUCUUUGAUUUUCUUUCCUUGGCGCAUAGGGCCCUUUUGGGCUGUCCCACCAGCCCACUAAGGGCUGGUGUGCCACCCUCAAGGCCUAUGGGCUUCCCCGGGGUGGGUUGCCCCCCAACCCCCGGUGAACUCCCGGAACCCAUUCGUCAUUCCCGGUAACUCCGAAAACCUUCCGGUAAUCAAAUGAGGUCAUCCUAUAUAUCAAUCUUCGUUUCCGGACCAUUCCGGAAACCCUCGUGACGUCUGUGAUCUCAUCCGGGACUCCGAACAACAUUCGGUAACCAACCAUAUAACUCAAAUACGCAUAAAACAACGUCGAACCUUAAGUGUGCAGACCCUGCGGGUUCGAGAACUAUGUAGACAUGACCCGAGAGACUCCUCGGUCAAUAUCCAAUAGCGGGACCUGGAUGCCCAUAUUGGAUCCUAGAUAUUCUACGAAGAUCUUAUCGUUUGAACCUCAGUGCCAAGGAUUCAUAUAAUCCCGUAUGUCAUUCCCUUUGUCCUUCGGUANNNNNNNNNNUGUGACUUCCGUGAUCUCAUCCGGGACUCCGAACAACAUUAGGUAACCAACCAUAUAACUCAAAUACGCAUAAAACAACGUCGAACCUUNNNNNNNNNNNNNNNNNNNNNNNNNNNNNNNNNNNNNNNNNNNNNNNNNNNNNNNNNNNNNNNNNNNNNNNNNNNNNNNNNNNNNNNNNNNNNNNNNNNNCUCACCAAUAUUUUGGCUACUUAAUCAACAUGGAGAGCUGAUGGGCUCAGGGCCAUGCAAAUAUUUGGAGCUGAUCCAAACAUCCGCCAAUGCGCUGGUCAAGGCCAAAAAUUUGGUUGGCUAACCCUUGGCUCUUGUCCAAACAGCCCCAUAAUCCUCUAAAAUUAGUACUGUACAGAAGCAAUGCCUGUGCACUUUCAAAGGCAACAACGGAUCGGCUUGGCCCAUUGCCCAUCACGGGAAGAAAGAGUUUCUAGAUCUGCACAUAUCGCAGUCUUGGAAUCAUUAGAACCCCUUGGUAAAAAUAUAGACAUAUUCUGCAUCAACUAAUGUGAGAACUUUCAUACAGACACAAAUAGUAAUAUAAACUCUUGCCAAAUGAGGGCGCACAAACACAACACUAUAUUUCAUAAAAGAUUGCUUUCUCAGGAAUAAAAUAUAGUUUCCUUUGCACCCUUUCUCUGAUUGCUUUGAAGAAAAGAGCCAGAGAGCAACCACGGGUUCAUCCUCUAUCUUAGUCGCUCCCCCAUUACUUGUGUUGUAGGUUCAUGUGUUGGUCUUANNNNNNNNNNNNNNNNNNNNNNNNNNNNNNNNNNNNNNNNNNNNNNNNNNNNNNNNNNNNNNNNNNNNNNNNNNNNNNNNNNNNNNNNNNNNNNNNNNNNAGGAUCAUCGUCGAGCUGUACGUGUGCUGAACGCGGAGGUGCCGUCCGUUCGGUACUAGAUCGUGGGACUGAUCGCGGGAUUGUUCGCGGGGCGGAUCGAGGGACGUGAGGACGUUCCACUACAUCAACCGCGUUCACUAAUGCUUCUGCUUUACGAUCUACAAGGGUACGUAGAUCACUCAUCCCCUCUCGUAGAUUGAUAUCACCAUGAUAGGUCCUCGUGCGCGUAGGAAAUUUUUUGUUUCCCAUGCGACGUUCCCCAACAGUGGCAUCAUGAGCUAGGUUCAUGCGUAGAUGUCUUCUCGAGUAGAACAAAAAAGUUUUUGUGGGUGGUGAUGUGCGUUUUGCUGCCCUCCUUAGUCUUUUCUUGAUUCCACGGUAUUGUUGGAUUGAAGUGGCUUGGACCGACAUUACUCGUACGCUUACGAGAGACUGGUUUCAUCGUUACGAGUAACUUCGUUGCUCAAAGAUGACUCGCAAGUGUCGGUUUCUCCAACUUUAGUUGAAUUGCAUUUGACCAAGGAGGUCCUUGGAUGAGGUUAAAUAGCAACUCAUAUAUCUCCGUUGUGGUGUUUGUGUAAGUAAGAUGCGAUCCUACUAGAUACCCAUGGUCACCACGUAAAACAUGCAACAACAAAAUUAGAGGACGUCUAACUUGUUUUUGCAGGGUAUGCUUGUGAUGUGAUAUGGCCAAUGAUGUGAUGUGAUAUAUUGGAUGUAUGAGAUGAUCAUGUUGUAAUAGAAAUAUCGACUUGCAUGUCGAUGGUACGGCAACCGGCAGGAGCCAUAGGGUUGUCUUUAUACUAACGUGUGUGUUUGCAGAUGCGUUUACUAUUUUGCUAGGAUGUAGCGUUAGUAGUAAUAGCAUGAGUAGCACGACAACCCCGAUGGCAACAUGUUGAUGGAGAUCAUGAUGUGGCGCCGGUGACAAGAAGAUCGUGCCGGUGCUUUGGUGAUGGAGAUCAAGAAGCACGUGAUGAUGGCCAUAUCAUGUCACUUAUGAAUUGCAUGUGAUGUUAAUCCUUUUAUGCACCUUAUUUUGCUUAGAACGACGGAAGCAUUAUGAGGUGAUCUCUCACUAAAAUUUCAAGACGAAAUUGUGUUCUCCCCGACUGUGCACCGUUGCUACAGUUCGUCGUUUCAAGACACCACGUGAUGAUCGGGUGUGAUAGACUCAACGUUCACAUACAACGGGUGCAAAACAGUUGCGCACGCGGAACACUCGGGUUAAGCUUGACGAGCCUAGCAUGUGCAGACAUGGCCUCGGAACACAUGAGAACGAAAGGUCAAUCAUGAAUCAUAUAGAUGAUAUGAUUAGCAUAGGGAUGCUUACCACUGAAACUAUACUCAACUCACGUGAUGAUCGGACUUGAGCUAGUGUAAGUGGAUCAUGAACCACUCAAAUGACUAGAGAGAUGUACUUUUUGAGUGGGAGUUUGGCGAAUAAUUUGAUUAAGUUAAACUCUAAUUAUCUUGAACAUAGUCUAAGUCCACUUUGAAUAUAUUUGUGUUGUAGAUCAUGGCUCACGCGACAAUCAUCCUGAAUUUUAAUACGUUCCUAGAGAAAGCUAAGUUGAAAGAUGAUGGAAGCAACUUUGUAGACUGGGCUCAUAAUCUUAAGCUAAUCUUACAAGCUGGGAAGAAGGAUUAUGUCCUUAAUGCUGCGUUAGGAGAUGAACCACCCGCUACGGCUGAUCAGGAUGUUAAAAACGCUUGGUUAGCACGUAAGGAGGACUACUCAAAAGUUCAAUGUGCAGUCUUGUAUGGCUUAGAACCGGGACUUCAACGUCGCUUUGAGCGUCAUGGAGCAAUUGAGAUGUUCCAGGAGUUGGAGUUUAUCUUUCAGAAGAACACCCGGAUCGAGAGGUAUGAGACCUCCGAUAAAUUCUAUGCUUGCAAGAUGGAGGAAAACUCAUCUGUCAGUGAACAUGUGCUCAAAAUGUCUGGGUACUCAAACCGUCUAGCUGAGCUGGGGAUUGAACUCCCGCAAGAAGCUAUCACUGACAGAAUCCUUCAAACACUGCCGCCAAGCUAUAAAGGCUUUGUGUUGAACUACAACAUGCAAGGGAUGAACAAGUCUCCCGGCGAGUUGUUUGCGAUGGUGAAAGUCGCAGAGUCUGAACUUCGUAAAGAGCAUCAAGUGUUGAUGGUGAAUAAGGCCACUAGUUUCAAGAGAAACGGCAAAGGCAAGAAGGGCAAUUCGAAGAAGAGCGGCAAGCCUGUUGCCAAUCCGACGAAGAAACCCAAAGCUGGACCUAAGCCGGAAACAGAGUGUUACUAUUGCAAGGGUAUGGGUCAUUGGAAGCGCAAUUGCCCCAACUAUCUGGCAGAUAAGAAGGUGGGCAAAGAAAAAUCAGGUAUAUUUGAUAUACAUGUUAUUGAUGUGUACUUAACCGGCUCUCGUAGUAGUGCCUGGGUAUUCGAUACCGGUUCUGUUGCUCAUAUUUGCAACUCGAAACAGGAACUAUGGAAUAGGCGAAGGCUGGCGAAAGAUGAAGUGACGAUGCGCGUAGGAAAUGGUUCCAAGGUUGAUGCAAUCGCCAUCGACACAGUGUUACUUCAGUUACCGUCAGGAUUAGUGAUGAACUUAAAUCAUUGUUAUUUAGUGCCUGCGUUGAGCAUGAACAUUAUAUCUGGGUCUUGUUUAUUGCGAGACGGUUACUCUUUUAAGUCAGAGAAUAAUGGUUGUUCUAUUUCUAUGAGUAACAUCUUUUAUGGUCAUGCACCGAAUGUGAGAGGAUUGUUCAUAUUGAAUCUUGAUAGCGAUACGCAUAUACAUAACAUUGAGACCAAAAGAGUUAGAGUUAACAAUGAUAGCGCCAUAUUUUUGUGGCACUGCCGCUUAGGUCAUAUUUGUGUAAAGCGCAUGAAGAAACUCCAUGCUGAUGGACUUUUGGAGUCACUUGACUUUGAUUCACUUGACACGUGCGAACCAUGCCUCAUGGGCAAUAUGACUAAGACUCCGUUCUCAGGAACAAUGGAGCGUGCAAGUGACUUGUUGGAAAUCAUACAUACCGAUGUGUGUGGUCCGAUGAGCGUGGAGGCACGCGGCGGAUAUCGUUAUUUUCUCACCUUCACUGAAGAUUUAAGUAGAUAUGGUUAUGUCUACUUGAUGAAGCACAAGUCUGAAACAUUUGAAAAGUUCAAGCAAUUUCAGAGUGAAGUGGAAAAUCAUCGUAACAAGAAGAUCAAGUUCCUACGGUCUGAUCGUGGGUGUGAAUAUCUGAGUUUCGAGUUUGGUGCUCACUUAAGACAAUGUGGAAUUGUUUCACAGUUAACACCGCCUGGAACACCACAGCGUAAUGGUGUGUCCGAACUUCGUAAUUGUACUCUAUUAGAGAUGGUGCGAUCUAUGAUGUCUCUUACUGAUUUGCCGUUAUCAUUUUGGGGCUAUGCAUUAGAAACAGCUGCAUUCACUUUAAAUAGGGCACCAUCAAAAUCCGUUGAGACGACACCAUACGAACUGUGGUAUGGCAAAAGGCCAAAGUUGUUGUUUCUUAAAGUUUGGGGAUGUGAUGCUUAUGUCAAAAAGCUUCAGCCUGAAAAGAUGGAACCCAAAGCGGAAAGGUGCGUCUUCAUAGGUUACCCAAAAGAGACAGUUGGGUACACCUUCUAUCUCAAAUCCGAGGGCAAAGUGUUUGUUGCUAAAAACGGAGCUUUUCUCGAGAAGGAGUUUCUCUCGAGAGAAUUGAGUGGGAGGAAGAUAGAACUUGACGAGGUUGUCGAACCUCUCAUCCCUCUGGAUGGUGGCGCAGGGCAAGGGGAAACCUCUGUCAUUGCAACGCCGGUUGAGGAGGAAGUUAAUGAUGAUGAUCAUGAAACUCCAGUUCAAGUUUCUGUCGAACCACGCAGGUCGACGAGACCACGUGCUGCUCCAGAGUGGUACGGUGAUCCCGUCUUAUCAAUCAUGUUGUUAGACAACAAUGAAACUGCGAAUUAUGAAGAAGCAAUGGUGGGCCCAGAUUCCAACAAAUGGCUGGAAGCCAUGAAGUCCGAGAUAGGAUCCAUGUAUGAGAACAAAGUGUGGACUUUGGAGGUACUGCCCGAGGGCCGCAAGGCCAUUCAGAACAAAUGGAUCUUUAAGAGGAAGACGGACGCUGACGGUAAUGUGACCGUUUAUAAAGCUCGACUUGUGGCAAAGGGUUUUUCACAAGUUCAAGGAGGUGACUACGAUGAGACUUUCUCACCCGUAGCGAUGCUUAAGUCCGUCAGAAUCAUGUUAGCAAUAGCUGCAUUUUUCGAUUAUGAAAUCUGGCAGAUGGAUGUCAAAACGGCGUUCCUUCACGGUUUCCUUAAGGAAGAGUUGUAUAUGAUACAACCCGAAGGUUUUGUCGAUCCUAAGAAUGCUAACAAGGUGUGCAAGCUCCAGCGAUCCAUUUAUGGACUGGUGCAAGCAUCUCGGAGUUGGAACAAACGCUUUGAUGAGGUGAUCAAAGCAUUUCGGUUUAUACAAGUGGUUGGAGAAUCUUGUAUUUACAAGAAAGUGAGUGGGAGUUCUGUGGCGUUUCUAAUAUUAUAUGUGGAUGACAUAUUACUGAUUGGAAACAACGUAGAGUUUUUAGAGAGCAUAAAGGAUUACUUGAAUAAAAGUUUCUCUAUGAAGGACCUAGGAGAAGCUGCUUACAUUCUAGGCAUUAAGAUCUAUAGGGAUAGAUCAAAACGCCUGAUAGGACAUUCACAAAGCACAUACCUUGAUAAAGUUUUGAAGAGGUUCAAAAUGGAACAGUCCAAGAAAGGGUUCUUGCCAGUUCUACAAGGUACGAGAUUGAGUAAGACUCAGUGCCCAGCAACUGAUGAAGAUAGAGAGCAUAUGCACUCCAUCCCCUAUGCUUCAGCCAUAGGUUCUAUCAUGUAUGCGAUGUUGUGCACUAGACCGGAUGUUAGCCUGGCCAUAAGUAUGGCAGGUAGGUUCCAGAGUAAUCCAGGAGUGGAUCACUGGACAGCGGUCAAGAAUAUCCUGAAGUACCUGAAAAGGACUAAGGAGAUGUUUCUCAUGUAUGGAUGUGACGAAGAGCUCGCCGUAAAAGGUUACGUCGAUGCAAGCUUUGACACAGAUCCGGACGACUCUAAGUCGCAACCAGAUACGUAUUUAUUCUUAAUGGGGGUGCAGUAAGCUGGUGCAGUUCCAAGCAAAGCGUCAUAGCAGAUUCUACAUGUGAAGCAGAGUACAUGGCUGCCUCGGAGGCGGCUAAGGAGGGUGUCUGGAUGAAGCAGUUCAUGACGGAUCUUGGAGUGGGGCCAAGCGCACUGAAUCCAAUAACCUUGUUCUGUGACAACACUGGUGCCAUUGCCUUAGCAAAGGAACCACGGUUUCACAAGAAGACCAGACACAUCAAACGACGCUUCAACCUCAUCCGCGACUACGUCGAGGGAGAGGACGUGAAUAUAUGCAAAGUGCACACGGAUCUGAAUGUAGCAGACCCGCUGACUAAACCUCUUCCACGGCCAAAACAUGAUCAACACCAGAACUGUAUGGGUGUUACAUUUAUUACAAUGUAAUUCACAUGGUGAUGUGAGGGCUAGAUUAUUGACUCUAGUGCAAGUGGGAGACUGUUGGAAUUAUGCCCUAGAGGCAAUAAUAAAUAUAGUUAUUAUUAUAAUUCCUGUAUCAAGAUAAUCAUUUAUUAUCCAUGCUAUAAUUGUAUUGAAUGAAGACUCAUUUACAUGUGUGGAUACAUAGACAAAAAAACGUCCCUAGCAAGCCUCUAGUUGGCUAGCCAGUUGAUCAAAGAUAGUCAGUGUCUUCUGAUUAUGAACAAAGUGUUGUUGCUUGAUAACUGGGUCACGUCAUUAGGAGAAUCACGUGAUGGACUAAACCCAAACUAAUAGACGUAGCAUGUUGAUCGUGUCAUUUUGUUGCUACUGUUUUCUGCGUGUCAAGUAUUUAUUCCUAUGACCAUGAGAUCAUAUAACUCACUGACACCGGAGGAAUGCUUUGUUUGUAUCAAACGUCGCAACGUAACUGGGUGAUUAUAAAGAUGCUCUACAGGUAUCUCCGAAGGUGUUAGUUGAGUUAGUAUGGAUCAAGACUGGGAUUUGUCACUCCGUGUGAACGGAGAGGUAUCUCAGGGCCCACUCAGUAAUACAACAUCACACACAAGCCUUGCAAGCAAUGUAACUUAGUGUAAGUUGCGGGAUCUUGUAUUACGGAACGAGUAAAGAGACUUGCCGAUAAACGAGAUUGAAAUAGGUAUACAGAUACUGACGAUCGAAUCUCGGGCAAGUAACAUACCGAAGGACAAAGGGAAUGACAUACGGGAUUAUAUGAAUCCUUGGCACUGAGGUUCAAACGAUAAGAUCUUCGUAGAAUAUGUAGGAUCCAAUAUGGGCAUCCAGGUCCCGCUAUUGGAUAUUGACCGAGGAGUCUCUCGGGUCAUGUCUACAUAGUUCUCGAACCCGCAGAGUCUGCACACUUAAGGUUCGAUGUUGUUUUAUGCGUAUUUGAGUUAUAUGGUUGGUUACCGAAUGUUGUUCGGAGUCCCGGAUGAGAUCACAGACAUCACGAGGGUUUCCGGAAUAGUCCGGAAACGAAGAUUGAUAUAUAGGAUGACCUCAUUUUAUUACCGGAAGGUUUUCGGAGUUACCGGGAAUGUACCGGGAAUGACGAAUGGGUUCCGGGAGUUCACCGGGGGGGGGGGUCAAUCCACCCCGGGGAAGCCCAUAGGCCUUGAGGGUGUCACACCAGCCCUUAGUGGGCUGGUGGGACAGCCCAAAAGGGCUCUAUGCGCCAAGAAGAGAAAAUCCAGAGAAAAGGAAAAAAAAGGAGGAGGUGGGAAGGAAGGUGGACUCCCUCCCACCAAACCAAGUCCAACUCGGUUUGAGGGGGGGAGUCCUUCCCCCUUGGACUCGGCCGACCCCCUUGGGGCUCCUUGAGCCCCAAGGCAAGGUCCCCCCUCUCCCACCUAUAUAUACGGAGGUUUUAGGGCUGAUUUGAGACGACUUUUCCACGGCAGCCCGACCACAUACCUCCACGGUUUUUCCUCUAGAUCGCGUUUCUGCGGAGCUCGGGCGGAGCCCUGCUGAGACAAGGUCAUCACCAACCUCCGGAGCGCCGUCACGCUGCCGGAGAACUCUUCUACCUCUCCGUCUCUCUUGCUGGAUCAAGAAGGCCGAGAUCAUCGUCGAGCUGUACGUGUGCUGAACGCGGAGGUGCCGUCCGUUCGGUACUAGAUCGUGGGACUGAUCGCGGGAUUGUUCGCGGGGCGGAUCGAGGGAUGUGAGGACGUUUCACUACAUCAACCGCGUUCACUAACGCUUCUACUGUACGAUCUACAAGGGUACGUAGAUCACUCAUCGCCUCUCAUAGAUGGACAUCACCAUGAUAGGUCCUCGUGCGUGUAGGAAAAUUUUUGUUUCCCAUGCGACGUUCCCCAACAGAAUAGAGCUAUGCUCCCCGGCAACGGCGCCAGAAAAAGGCCUUGAUAGCCCACAAGUAUAGGGGGUCGCAACAGUUUUUGAGGGUAGAGUAUUCAACCCAAAUUUAUUGAUUCAACACAAGGGGAGCCAAAGAAUAUUCUCGAGUAUUAGCAGUUGAGUUGUCAAUUCAACCACACCUGAAAGACUUAGUGUCUGCAGCAAAGUUUUAGUAGCAAAGUAGUGUGAUAGUAACGGUAGCAGCGGUAACAGUAGCAGUAGUGACAGCAGUAGCGGUAAAGUAACUUAGCAAGAACCAGUAUAGGAAAAGCUCAUAGGCAUUGGAUUGGUGAUGGAUAAUUAUGUCGGAUGACAUUCAUCAUGUAACAGUUAUAACAUAGGGUGAUAUGUAAGUAGCUCCAGUUCGUCAAUGUAAUUUAGGCAUGUAUUCCGUAUUUAGUCAUACGUGCUUAUGGAAAAGAACUUGCAUGACAUCUUUUGUCCAUCCCUCCCGUGGUAGCGGGGUCGGGAUAUUAAGGUCUCCUUUUAAUAGAGAACCGGAACAAAGCAUUAGCACAUAGUGAAUACAUGAACACCUCAUACUAUGGUCAUCUCCGAGAGUGGUUCCGGCUAUUGUCACAACGGGGUUGCCGGGUCAUAACACAUAGUAGGUGACUACAACUUACAAGAUAGGAUCAAGAACACACAUAUAUUGAUGAAAACAUAAUAGGUUCAGAUCUGAAAUCAUGGCACUCGGGCCCUAGUGACAAGCAUUAAGCAUAGAAAAGUAGUAGCAACAUCAAUCUUAGAACAUAAUGGAUACUAGGGAUCAAACCCCAUCAAAAUUAACUCGAUUACAUGAUAGAUCUCAUCCAACCCAUCACCGUCCAGCAAGCCUACGAUGAGAUUACUCACGAACGAUGAAGAGCAUCAUGGAAUUGGCGAUGAAGGAUGGUUGGUGAUGACGACAGCGUCGAUUUACCCUCUCCGGAGCCCAUAACGGACUCCAGAUCUGCCCUCCCGAGGAAGAACACGUGGUGGCGGCGGCUCCGUGUCGUGAAACGCGAUGAACUCUUCUCUCUUAAUUUUUCCUGGGCGAGAGAGACUUUAUAGAGUUGGAGUUGGAGGCUGCGGAGCUACGUGGGCCUCACAAGCGUGCGAGGCGCGCCUCCUGUGCUUGUGGCCCCUGGAUCCGUGUCUUCAGAUAAUUCUUGCGCCAGUAUUUUUUAUAUAUUCCACAAAAAAUCCUCGUAAGUUUCCAGGUCAUUCCGAGAACUUUUAUUUCCGCACAAAAGCAAAACCAUGACAACUCUGCUGAAAACAACGUGAGUCCGGGUUAGUUCCAUUCAUAUCAUGCAAAUUAGAGUCCAAAACAAGGGUAAAAGAGUUUGGAAAAGUAGAUACGAUGGAGACGUAUCAAUCGUCACUUUAUCCUUCGCUAGCCUUUGUUUAUUCCGCAGUCCCUGUUUUGAGUUGCAUAUGUGAGCAAUAGAACCGGUAUCAAAUACCCAGGCACUACCAUGAGAGCUGGUGAAGUACACAUCAAUAACAUGUAUAUCAAAUAUACCGUGUUCGGCGUUGGAAGCCUUCUUAUCGGCCAGAUACUUGUGGCAGUUUCGCUUCAAGUGAACAGUUCCCUUGCAAUAAUAACACUCAGUUUCCGGCUUAGCUCCAGCCUUGGGUUUCUUCAUCAGAGGGGCAACUAAUUUUACACUCUUCUUGGAGUUACCCUUCUUUCCUUCGCCAUUUUUCUUGAAACUGGUGGUCUUAUUGACCAUCAACACUUGAUGCUCUUUCUGGAUUUCUGACUCUAUGAAUUUCAGCAUCGCAAACAGCUCGGCGAGUGACUUAUUCAUCCCUUGCAUGUUAUAGUUAAACAUGAAGCUAUUAUAGCUAGGUGGCAGUGACUGAAGAACUCUGUCAGUGAUAGCCUCUUGCGGGAGUUCUAUCCCUAGCUCACCUAGACGGUGACAGUACCCAGACAUUAUGAUUAUGUGUUCACUGACAGACCCAUUCUCCUCCAUUUGGCAAGCAUAGAACUUAUCAAAGGUCUCAUACCUCUCGAUUUGGGUAUUUUUCUCUAAGAUAAAUUUCAAGUCCUCAAACAUCUCAUAUGCUCCAUGACGUUCAAAACAUCUUUGAAGUCCCGGUUCUAAGCCAUACAAUAUUGCAUAUUGAACCAAAGAGUAGUCAUCCUUACGCGACUGCCAAGCGUUCAAAACAUCUUGGGUCGCUGUAGCGGGUGGUGCAUCACCUAGGGCAGCAUCAAGGACAUAUUGCUUUUGGCAAGCCGUGAGGAUAAGCCUCAGAUUACGAGCCUAGUCAAUAAAGUUGCUUCAAUCAUCUUUAAGCUUAGCUUUCUCUAGGAACGUAUUAAAAUUCAGGGUUGCUACUGCACGAGCCAUUGAUCUACAACAUAAAUUUUGCAAUGAUUACUUAGACUAUGUUCAAGAUAAUUGAGUUUAGCUAAUCGUAUUACUAAUAAAAUCCCACUCAAAUAAACAUCCCUCUAGUCAUUUGAGUGCAACAUGAUCCAAAUCCACUAACUCAAGUCCAAUCAUCACGUGAGUUGAGACCGGUUUCAAUGGUGAACUUCUCCAUGUCGAUCAUAUCAACUAUAUGAUUCAUGCUCGAUCUUUCGAUCUCUUGUGUUCUCAGGCCAUGUCUAUACAUGCUAGGCUCGUCAAGUUUCACCCAAGUGUUCCGUGUGUGCAACUGUUUUGCACCCGUUGUAUGUGAACGUUGAGUCUAUCACACCCGAUCAUCAUGUGGUGUCUCAAAACGACGAACAAUCGCAACGGUGCAUAGUCGGGGAGAACACAAUUUUAUCUUGAAAUUUUAGUGAGAGAUCACCUUAUAAUGCUACCGUCAUUCUAAGCAAAAUAAGGUGCAUAAAAGGAUUAACGUCACAUGCAAAUCAUAAGUGACAUGUUAUGGCCAUGAACUUGUUCUUCUUGAUCUCCAUCACCAAAGCACCAGCAUGAACCCCAUCGUCAUCGGCGCCAUACCAUGAUCUCCAUCAUCAUGAUAUCCAUCAUCGUGCUGCCAUCGAGGUUGUCGCGCUAUCAAUACUCUUACUACUAAAGCUACUAUUUAGCGAUAUAGCAAGAGCAUCUGCAAGCGCAAAAUGAACUUAAAGGCAACCCUAUGGCUCCUGUCGGUUGUUGUAGCGUCGACGUGCAAGUCGAUAUUUAACUAUUACAACAUGAUCAUCUCAUACAUCAAAUAUAUCAUAUCAUGUCUUUGUCCAUAUCACAUCACAUGCAUACUGUGUAAAAACAAGUUAGACGUCCUCUAAUUUGUUGUUGCAAAUUUUACGUGGCUGCUCUGGGUAUCUAGUAUGAUCACAUCUUACUUAUGCAAAGCCACAACGACGAUAUGCAAAUUGCUAUUUAACCUUCUCCAAGGUCCGCCUCGGUCAAAUCCAAUUCAACUAAAGUUGAAGAAACAGACACCCGCCUGUCAUCUUUAUGCAACAAGUUGCAUGUUAGUCGAUGAAACCGGUCUCUCGUAAGCGUACGAGUAAAGUUGGUCCGGGCCGCUUCAAUCCAAAAAUACCGCUGAAUUUAGAAAAGAAUAAGGAGGGCAGCAAAUUGAACAUAAACGCCCACAAACUCUUUUGUGUUCUAUUUGAGAUAUCAUCUACGCAAGAACCUAGCUCUGAUACCACUGUUGGGGAACGUAGCAUGGGAAACAAAAACAUUCCUACGCACAAGAAAGACCUAUCAUAGUGAGGAUCAUCUACGAUAGGGGAGAUCGGAUGCACAUACCCUUGUAGAUCGCUAAGAAGGAAUCGUUAAGAAACGCGGUUGAUGUAGUCGAACGUCUUUGCGAUCCAAAUUGCACUCGUCCCUCGAUCCAUCCCGAUCUAGUGUCGAACGGACGACAUCUCCGCGUUAAGCACACGUACAGCUCGAUGAUGAUCUCCGCCUUCUUGAUCUAGCAAGAGGGGGCGGAGAGGUAGAUGAGUUCUCCGGCGGCGUGAUGGUGUGGCGGCGAUGGUCGUGGACCUAUUCCAAUAGGGCUUCGCCUAAGCACCGUUGGACUAGAGAGGAGGAAGUAAGAUCUAGAGAGAGGGCAACACGUGGCUGAAAUUGUGUCUCAAAAACCCUCAAAACUUCUAGUAUAUAUAGGAGGAGAGGAGAGGAGGCUGCCUUGGCCCCUACUCCAAGGAGAUGGGUUGGCCGAACCAAAGGAGGUGUCCACCUUCCUUGUAGGAAGGUGGACAACUUUGGGAGGACUGCUCCUAUCCCUUCCUUUUAAAGGUUCUUUGCCUUUCAUAUCUUGUCCUAACCGCACGGGCCUUUGAGAGAGGCUUUGGUCAGCCUACGAGGGGCUGGUCCAGCUCUUCUCACAGCCCACAAGGCUCUUGGGUCGUCACACCCCUCCCGGUGGUCCCCCGGCACCCUCCCGGCACUCCCAGCACUCCUCGUACACUACCGAUGAGCCCGAAACUUUUCCGAUGACCAAAACAGGACUUCCAAUAUAUCAAUCUUUAGCUCCAGACCAUUCUGGAGCUCCUCGUGAUGUCCUGGAUCUCAUUCAGGAAUCCGAACAACCUUCGGUCACCAUCACAUAUAACUCAACUAUACCGAAAUACCGAACCUUAAGUGUGUAGACCAUGCAGGUUCAAAAACUACGUAGACAUGACCUAAGACAUUCUCCGGUCAAUAUCCAAUAGCGGGACCUAGAUGCCCAUAUUGGAUCCUACAUAUUCUAUGAUAAUCUUAUCGGUUGAACCUCUUUGUCAAGUAUUCAGUUAAUCCCGUAUAUCAUUCCCUUUGUCCUUCGGUAUGUUACUUGCCCGAGAAUCGAUCAUCGGUAUCCCAUUACCUAUUUCAAUCUUGUUAUCCGCAAUUCUCUUUACUCGUUCCGUAAUAGAAGAUACCAUGGCUAACUCUUUAGUCACAUUGCGUGCAAGGCUUGUUUGUGAUGUUGUAUUACCGAGUGGGCCCCGAGAUACUUCUCCGUCACACGGAGUGACAAAUCCGAGUCUUGAUCCAUGCUAACUCAAAGGACACCUUUGAAGAUACCUGUAGAGCACCUUUAUAGUGACCCAGUAACGUUGAGAUGUUUGAUACACACAAGGUAUUCCUCCGGUGUCAGUUAGUUACAUGAUCUCUUGGUCAUAGGAAUGUAUACUUGACAUGCAGAAAACAAUAGCAACAAAAUUUCACGAUCACAAGCUAUGUUUAUAGUUUGGUCUUGUCCAUCACAUCAUUCUCCCAGUGUCGUGAUCUCGUUACCAAGUAUUUUUGAAACCUUAACCAUCUUUCAUGAACGAGCCAGUCAACUAGAGGCUUACUAGGGACAUUAUUGUGUCUAUGUAUCCACACAUGUCUUUGUGUUUCCAUUCAAUACAAUUAUAGCAUGGAUAAUAAACGAUUAUAUUGUGAUAGGAAAUAUAAUAAUAACUAUUUCAUUAUUGCCUCUAGGGCAUAUUUCCAACACGUAUGUCACCCUCGUUCGCGAUCUCAACAUCUUUGACCGCGUCCCAGUGGUUCUUGCCGAGUCCACCGGCUCUCCUACUCCGCCUGGAAGAGGAACUUCUUGAUACGUCUCUAAUGUAUCUAUAACUUUUAAUUGUUCCCAUCUAUUAUAUUAUCUCUUUUGGAUGUUUUAUAUGCAUUACUAUGUUGUUUUAUAUUAUUUUUGGACUAACCUAUUAAUCUAGAGCCUAGUGCCAGUUUCUGUUUUUUCCUUGUUUAUGGGUAUUGCAGAUAAGGAAUAUUAAAUGGACUCCAAACAGAAUAAAUCUCCGAAAUGAUUUUUUCUGGAUUAAAAGAAACCUUUCAGACUUGGAGAAGGGGCAGGACACCUGCCGGGAGGCCACAAGCCUACAGGGUGCAGCGAGGGGGCUAGGCCUUUUCCCCUGGCUUGUGGGUCCCCUGCAGGUCUCCUAACCCUAAUUCUUGUCCUAUAAAUUUCCAAAUAUUCCCCCAUUAUCGAGGGGACACCAAAAAAUACAUUUCCACCGUCGGAAGCCUCUGUUUUCGAGAGAGCCAAUCUUGGAGCCUUUUCUCGUAAUCUGUUGGAGGGGGAUUCGAUCAUGGACGGCAUCUACAUCAACUCUAUUGCCUCUCCGAUCAUGCCUGAGUAGUUUACCACAGACCUAUGGGUCCAUAGCUAGUACCUAGAUGGCUUCCUCUCUCUCUUUGUUCUUGAAUAUCAUGUUCUUCAUGAUCUUCAUGAAGAUCUAUCCGAUGUAGUACUCCUUGCGGUGUGUUUUUUGAGAUCCUAUGAAUUGUGAGUUUAUGUUCAGAUUAUCUAUGAAUAUUAUUUCAAUCUCUUUUGAAUUAUGAUAUGCAUGAUUUAAUAUCUUUGUAAGUCUCUUUGAAUUACUGGUUUGGUUUGGCCAACUAGAUUGGUAAUUCUUGCAAUGGGAGAAGUGCUUAGUUUUGGGUUUAAUCUUGCGGUGUCCUCACCUAGUGACAAAGUAGGGGUAGCGAGGAACAUAUUGCAUUGUUUCCAUCGAGGAUAAAAAGAUGGGGUUUUUCAUCAUAUUUCUUGAGUUUAUCCCUCUACAUCAUGUCAUCUUACUUAAUGUGUCACUCUGUUCUUCAUGAACUUAAUACUCUAGAUGGAGGUAGGAGUUGGUCGAUGUGUGGAUUAAUAGUAGUAGAUGCAGAAUCAUUUCGGUCUACUUGACAUGGACAUCAUGCCUAUAUGCAUAAUCACUGCCUUAGAUAUCUUCAUAAUUAUUCGCUUUCCUAUCAAUUGCUCGACAGUAAUUUGUUUACCCGCCAUAUUAUUUUCCUUCAUGAGAGAAGCCUCAAUUGAUACCUAUGGCCCCAGGGUCAAUUUUCCAUAUUAUAUUUUCAGAUCUAUAAACCAAAAAUACCAAAAACAUAUUGCUGCUAUUUAUUUACUUUAGUUUUACUUUUAGUUCUUUCAAUAUUUUAUAUCUAUCUCUAUCAGAUCGCAUCCUCGCAAAUAACCAUGAAGGGAUUGACAACUGCUUUAUUGCGUUGGGUGCAAGUGUUUGAUUGUUUGUGUAGGUGCUAAGAUUGGGGCCUUGCUUGUUCCUCUUUCUGGUUGAUACCUUGUUUCUCAACAAACUAAGGAAAAUACUUAUCUACUUUGCUGCAUCACCCAUUCCUCUUCAAGGGAAAACCAACACAAGCUCAAGAAGUAGAAGAAGGGUUUCUGGCGCCGUUGCCGGGGAGGAUACAUAGCAAGAUCAAGAUUACAAAGUAACCAUCACAAACUCAUCUCUUGCAUUUACUUUAUUUGCCAUUUGCCUCUCGUAUUCCUCUACCCCACUUCUAAAAUGAUUUUCAGAAAAUACCAAAAAUAUUUGCCUUUUUAUUCGCCCUUCUUCCGCUCGUCUUUUUCGUCUGUUCAUUUCCAUUGGUCAACCCAAAAGUUCUGAUUCGUAUCUUAGGAAGUUCAAAGAUAUCGAGAAUAAUGCUAAGGGAUUCAUGUCGCUCCAAUUUGACCAUAAUAGUUUCUUUAGGGAUGAGCUUAAAGAACAAAGGCUUAUGCUGGAAUACAUGAAUAAAGAACUUCAUGAUAUGACUAAGGAAUUUUGUGGUUUGAAAUGUCAAUUUGCUCACCUUGAAAAUUUAGUAGGCCAAAUUUCUAAUAAGCAAGCCAACUUAGUUAAUAAAAUGGCCGCAAAGCCAGAAUCUUUAAAUAAUGAUGUGUGGCGCCCCACCUGAUUACCACUGUAGCCAGACGGUUUCCACGCAUACCAGCCCAGGAAAUCACUCUGGCAUGCGCCUUUACAAUAAGUAUCAUGAACAUAGGCAUUUCUACUAAGGGAUAUAUCAGUCUGACAAGAUAUAUCACAAGCGUGAUGACAGUGGAAAAGGUCUAUCUAAGGCAGCAUGGUCCUGGUGUGGCUCUAAUCUACAGGGAUCUGACUUGGUUACUCUCCUAGUCACGAAUGCUUCGGCUCCUUGACGACGACCGAUAGAUCCUGAUGUGAACCUGUCCAUGUUAAAGGCCGCUGAGUACCUUUGAAUGUACUAGCAAGCAAACCAAACUAACAUAUACACUAGCAAAGCAAUCUAUGGCAUUCAAGCAUGCACUUUUUAUUAGAGCAAUAUUAAUUAUCAUGGUAUAACAGGAUUAUCUAGCAAGAUUAACUACUAAAGUAAAUAUGAUAAGGUAAAGCAUAUUAAGUAAAUAAAUUAUACUCCGAAUAAUCUCAUGAUCCAAUCUGAAUCUGAUCCAAAUCCAAUCCAAUCAUGUGGUCAUCCGUCCACUCAUCUCAUAGCCAUCCCAUGGCUAACAUAUGAUAAUCCUGACAUCAUCUGAUGUCUGCACAAGACGAGUUCUUCCAUCAUUAUUAUCGCUGAUAUGGUUGACCACCUAGUGAGCUCUGGACAGGCUAUCCAAUACCGUGGACGCGUCUAUUUGAAUAGACUUUUCACUCUGCAGAGGUUGCACACUUUACCCACACCAUGAAGAACCUGGCCUCGUGAUCCCAUUCGGGUGGACCAGCGUUGCUUUAGUGAAACAUUCCUAAUCCGUGACUCUCCCAUCGUACCACCGACAUUCAUCCUCCCCUGGAAUCCUGCCCUGGGUGGGCCAUGUGUCCUCAUCACACCUACCACCGUCGUGGCCAAACUAAACUGUCCCACACGGGGACGCCGGCACAAAACAAUCAACUGGCUCACAAGGUUAUCGCCGCCUACCUGGCCAGGGUAGCGCACACGCACAACCUUCCCUAUCUGGUGGUACUAUGGAAGAGCAUGCGAUCAGAACGAGUCAAGGUCGUCCCAUACCGGCAAAUGUGGUUGCAUGGACAAGCCCGAACAUGUGACUCUAGAUCAACCGACUAGAUUUAGUCUUAGCUAGUAUUUCACAAGCAUGGUUGUUUAUCACAAGAACUUGAGAUGGCAGUAGCUAAGCAUGAUAAAGACAUAACCACCUAUCUCCAUAUAAUAUCACGACAAGUCAUUAGUGCAAUGAUAAGAUGAGCAGUAGCAGGUAAUGUAAAUGACAAUAUCGAAAUGGUAGGAGUUUAAUUAUUUAUAGCACAUCCAUAUAAUUAAUUAAACACGCAAGAAUAACACAGAGCAAUGCUUUAGGGCAUAUAUCAGAUGGUCGGCUUGCCUGGGGUCGAAGAAUACUCCGGGAAGAAGUGCGGAGAGUCCGCGGAAAGGAUCGCCGGAAACUUUUCGCUCUUGAAGAGGCUAAUAGAAGGGCAAGGGCAAAAUGGCCAUUUUCAUAGUGUGGAAACAUUAUAAAAAUGAUACCAUCGGGACGUCGAGACAAAGAUGUGAGCGCUAGUUUCACCUCGAUCAGAGUCACGGUUGAUAAGAUAUAAGGGUUUUAGCAAUAGAGACUUACCUGCAAAAAAUAAUAUUCACAACCUAGUCCCCGACAGGCUGAAUGGUCGCGCACUCCGGUAAAUACACUUUCCCAUGGGGAAAACGUAAAAAUGCCCGGGGCGCUUCCAAUUAUCCAGCUGGCCGAGCCUUCUCUCACCGACAGGUGGGGUCGGGGCCCACCUGUCGGGUCCGUCCCUAUCCUCCCACCUCCUCUUCUCAUACCUCCCGACCGAGGCACAAAGGAGGCUCGCCGCCGCCGUUCUGCGGCUCCGGUGGGUGAGGGCUCUUGCCGAGGGUGGGUAUGGAGGCCCUGGUCAAAGGUGCGUCCGCCCGUACCGUAGGUGAUGGUGGGGUCGGCCUGCGGCAGACGAAUGGGUGAGAGGCGGACAAUGGCUCCGGUGAGCUCGGACUCGGGGCCACGGCCUACUCUAACACAAAAUAGAGGGCGGGGAGACGCUGGGGUGGUGGUGGUGACUGGCUAUUGCAGUCAAAUGGAGCAAGGGGGGCAGGAGGCGAGUGAAUUUAGGCGAGGGGGAGCGGCGGCCAUGGUGGCCAUGGGAGGGAACCGGAGCUCUUCGACCUCGAUUAAGAAGCCGCGAAGGGCUCUGCGAGAGAUGGAAGGAUGUGCGGUUGCUAGGGAUGUUCGGAAAGGGCUCGGUAUGGAAUAUUUAUAGGUGCCCGAUGGCAAGCAGAUAACAACGGCCACCGAGGCGAGCUUAUCGUGAUCCUCGCUCUUGGGGAGGACGUGGUUGGCUGCUUGCGUCGUCAGGAAGAGUCUCGGGCGGACGGUGGAGGCCAGCUGGAGCUACGGGAAAUAUCGAGGAGGAAGAAGACACGGGUCACGGGCGGCACAUAACUUCGGCGAAGCUUGCUGUGGCAUGAGGAGAAAGAAUGAGGAGGGGGAAGUUGCUGGAGAGUGGGCACACGGCCGUCAUGAAGCCACUGGACAUGCCCGGACGAGCAGAGGCCUAUCGGAGGCAAGCUGGCCGAGGUGAUAGACGCGUAGAGCGCCGUUUGGACGUGCUCACUGCGUGGUCACCACCAGCACCACCCGUCCAGAGCACAUAUUUGGCUCUAUGACAUGUCAAACAGAUGCACCAGUGGUCAGAGACUUGACUUGAGAGGGUUUGGAUGGGAGUGGGGGCAAGAGAUGACAGAUGAGAGCUCACAAGGGUUCUGACCAGCAAGUGUUUGACAUGUGGUGUGGCUAACACAGUGCUGCUCUUAGCCUGGUCUUUGGCGGAGGUUAAACAUACACUAGGGUGAACAUGAUUACAAAGUUUCAAUCCAAAUAGAUAAUUCCAGACGGUACUUCCUUUGUAAACAUGCACUCUGGCCAGAAAUGGAGAUGAUGAUGCUGGGAAAUAUAGCUACAUGGAUUUGGCUCAAAUUUGGUGGAGAGAGAUUAUUUGAACAUAGGAACAUCCUGGAAAAGUUUAAGAUCAUUUGGAAAUGCCAAAGUGGUAUUUCCUUCACAUAGGUUCCAAAUGGACAGAAACUUGGGAAAAUUUCCAUGGAUGUAAGGAUAGAGGGAUUGAGCUGGUUUUUCGUUUCCACGAGUGAUUUACCAAUGCUAGUCACCAUGAAAAAUUUCAGCUCAAAUAGAUCAAGGGUUCAAGCACUUCCGUUGCAAAUUGCCCAACUGGACACAAUUUGCAAAUUGGUGUUGUGCUCAAAAUUUGAACUAUGGAACUUGGGUUCUUGGUGAAAAUGGGGAAGAUAUGGAUAUGAGAAACUCCACAAUUUAUUUGGGAAUUUUCCUAGCUACCAAAAUGGUAGUUCCUUUAGAAAGUGCCCAAAAUGCAAUAUUGGCAUUAAAUAGGAAAACACAGUUUCUCCUAUUUAAUUGUGGCCAAUAUUUUUAUGGGAGCUCAAUAUGAUCACAAAUAAUAUCUCCACAAGUUUUCAUGAACUCUGGAGAUGAUAGAUUUUUUCGUGGAUUUAAUUCCUUUAACUAACAGAAAAAGGAAUUAAUUAUAAAUGAAAAAUAUUGCAAACGACUUGGCAAUAUUUUUGCAUAUCCAGGGUUUAAAUAUGAAGGAUGAUCACUCAAAACCAUUUGGGAGGCAACAGAUCAAAGGAAAUUGGGGUUCCUUUGUAACUGGAAGGAUUAGGGUUUCCCUUCCGGCAACUCGGAAGGUAGGGUUUUGACGGCAAAACCCUGAGAAUAGAUCCUAGGUGGCAAGGUUGGACUGGAGAGAAUCUCUGGUUGGUCAGGAAAGGCAAGGCUAGAUGACCAUAUUCACAUACCCAAGAGCUAGAGAAAUCCGAUAACACCGAUAAAAAGACGGGAGUCAAAUCCCAUAAAGGAAAAACACGAAGCGAAAACCAGGGUGUUACAAACCUAACCCCCUUAAGACAAUCUCGUCCUCGAGAUUUCCAGGCUUACCUCCCGGGGAAGGAGAACUUACGUGUGUGCGACUUGGGUCCAUCAGUUGUCCUGUCUUCGUGGGUACUCUCAACUUUUUACUGCCUCUUCUGACUGACCAUGUGUUGUCUCUACACACAACUUUCUUGAAUCCUUCUCUUUCCUGGCAGGUAAACCUUUUUUUUCUGGCAGUGGUGUUGCUGGGUGGUUAAUACCAACAAACAGCUCGGUUUCCAUGGCCUGGAAGUAACUGCUUCGGGUUUUAUUGCAAUACUUUGUACUGUGACUAUCGUGGGCAAGACACCCUUUCCCUGGUACAAGGAAUACGUGCUCGUAUGGUCUUGAGUGAGUGGGAGUGGCUUUCCUUUUUACUGUGUCAAAAUGCUCAGUCUAGCUGUGGGUUCUAUUCUGAUGUUUCCUUCUGGCUUACGAAUCCUGACUUUGCCCUUAGGUGAUCCAUAACUCAAGGAAUCAACAUGAAUGAACUAUGGUUGAUAUAUCCUCAACUGAAAUGUCACGCAUGAUUACAAAGUAAUCAUAGACAGUAAUCUCUUAAUGAUGUCAUAAUGUCUCUGAGUUGUUGGAGGUGACAUGCUUUGAGCCAUUCUAUCUCAUUGUCUAGUUUCAGACUCCGUCGUUUGUUGAGAGGGCUCUAUCAUAUAUGGCCUCUGUAGUCCUUGCUUUGACCACUAGGAUGAACAUAGUGCAGCUAUCAUACGGUGUAUCUUUUGGAGCAUAGCCUUCAAUCUUAGUUCACGACCCGUAUUCAUGAUGAGUGCAGCAGGCUCCUGAUGACCCACAAGUGUAGGGGAUCCAACGUAGUCCUUUUGAUAAGUAAGAGUGUCGAACCCAACGAGGAGGAGAAGGAACUUCCAAGUGGUUUUCAGCAAGGUAUUCUGUGCAGGCACUGGAAUUAUCGGUAAUAGAUAGUUGUGUGAUAAGAUAAUUCGUAGCGAGUAUCAAGUAACAAUCGUAACAAAGGUGCAGCAAGAUGGCCCAAUCCCUUUUGUAGCAAGGGACAAGCCUGGACAAACUCUUAUAUGAGGUGAAGCGCUCCCGAGGACACAUGGGAAUUUCUGUCAAGCUAGUUUUCAUCAUGUUCAUAUGAUUCGCGUUCGCUACUUUGAUAUUUUGAUAUGUGGGUGGACCGGUGCUUGGGUGUUGUACUUACUUGGACAAACAUCCCACUUAUGAUUAACCCCUCUCGCAAGCAUCCUCAACUACGAAAGAAGAAUUAAGACAAGUCUAACCAUAUCAUUAAACUAGUGGAUCCAAAUCAGCCCCUUACGAAGAAACACAUAAACUAGGGUUUAAGCUUCUGUCAGUCUAGCAACCCAUCAUCUACUUAUUACUUCCCAAUGCCUUCCUCUAGGACCAAAUAAUGGUGAAGUGUCAUGUAGUCGGCAUUCACAUAACAUAACGAGAGGAAAGACAACAUACAUCGCAUAAAAGUAUCUAACGAAUACCAAACUCACAUGACUACUUAUAGCAAGACUUAUCCCAUGUCCUUAGGAACAAAAGUGACUACACACAAAGCAUAAUUAUGUUCAUGACCAGAGAGGUAUUGAAUAGCAUUAAGGAUCUGAACAUAUGAUCUUUGACCGAGUAAUCCAACUAGCAUCAACUACAAAGAGAAAUUAACACUACUAGCAACCUUACAAGUACCAAUCGGAGUCGUGAGACAGAGAUUGGUUACAAGAGAUGAACUAGGGUUUGGAGAUGAGAUGGUGCUAAUGAAGAUGUUGAUGGAGAUGAGUCCCAUCCGAUAAGAGGAGUGUUGGUGAUGACGAUGGCGACGAUUUCCCCCUCCGGGAGGAAAGUUUCCCCGGCAGGACGGCCCUACCGGAGCUCUAGAUUGGUUGUGCUCAAGUUCCGCCUCGUGGCGGCGGCGUCUCUUCUCGAAAGCCUCGCCUUUAUUUUUUUGGGAUGAAACCCUCCUUAUAGCAGAAGAUAGGAGCCGGAGGGGCAACAGGGGGCCCACAAGUUACCCACGCGCGGCCAGGAGCGUAGGCCGCGCCUCGCAGGCUUGUGGCCUCCUGGUUGCUCCCCUCCAGUACUUCUUCCGCCCAGUAUUUUUCAUAAAUUCCAAAAUAAUUCCUCGUUGAUUUUCACGGCUUUUGUAGUUGCGCAGAAUAGGUAUCUCAAAGUUGCUCCUUUUUCAGCCCAGAAUUCCGGCUGCCGGCAUUGUCCCUCUUCAUGUAAACCUUAUAAAAUAAGAGAGAAAAGGCAUAAGUAUUGUACCGUAAUGUGUAAUAACAGCCCAUAAUGCGAUAAAUAUCAACAUAAAAGCAUGAUGCAAAAUGGAUGUAUCAACACCCCUAAGCUUAGACCUCGAUUGUCCUCAAGCGGAAGCCGAGAUCAAUAAAUAUGCCCACAUGUUUAGAGAUAGAGGUGUCGAAAAAACAAAAUACGGACAUGCAGGCAUCAUGAUCAUAUUUAGAACAGCAAUAUCGUCAUAUAAUCUCUUAUGCUAAAGUGAUAAUUCCUUCACAAAGUAAAGUAUGGAUCAAGAACCUUAUUGAGAAUUAACAACCAAUAGUCUUUAGUCAUUGAAGCAAUUGCAAUUUAUCAUAACAUCGGAAAGAGUCAAAUAAGAGCUUGUAAAGCAAAUCCACAUACUCAAUCAUCCUUUCAUCUUCUACAAUUGCUAAAACUCAUGUGGUACUCAUGAGAUCAAAGUUUCAGUUGGACACAUAGAAAGAUAGGGGCUUAUAGUUUCGCAUCCCAACUACUUACCUCAAGGGUAAUGUCAAUAAUAAUAAUUCAUGAAUACUUACUUCCAAGUUGACAUAUGAAUAUAGAUCUUUCCCUAGCACAUGACGUUAGCCAAGAUAAUGGAGAAAUAAGGAAUUGGUAUUGAUCACCACGACUCUUUUAAGGAUAAAAGUAAAGUUACAAGAUAGGACCUUCGCAGAGGGAAGCAGAGGUUGUCAUGCGCUUUUGAGGUUUGUAUGUGUGACCUCUUAGUGUGGAGGAACGUUACUUUAUAUUGCCUCCUGUGAUAAAGAACUUUAUUAUGCAGUCUAUCUCUUUUAUGUCUUCCUCAUCACAGGUUCGUACAAAGCUUAUUUUCCACACACUAAUAGAUCAUACAUAUUUAGGAAGCAAUUUUUAUUGCUUGCACCUAUGAAAACUUACUUGAGGGAUCUUAUUCAAUCCAUAGGUAGGUAUGGUGGACUCUCAUGGCAAAACUGGGUUGAAGGAUUAUGGAUGCACAAGUAGUAUCUCUACCUAGUGCGGAAGUUUUGGCUAAUAUGAGGUGGAAGCAAUCAUCAUGUGCCAAGGGAUCUCUAGUCAUAUAACAUUGUUCGGAACCAAGCAAACAUAAUUCAUUAUGUUGUCUUCCUUGUCCAACAUCUACUUCUAAGCAUGUAAUAGUUUAAUGAGUGUUCACAAUCAUAGAUAGUGCCCAAGAUGAUAUAUUUAUAUGUUAACCUCUCCUUCUUUAUUACUUCCUAUUAAUUGCAACAGUGACCAAGGUCUACGUUUGUCCACCCACAACAAGUUUCAAUCAACAUUCUUUUUAUAUGUGAAGCCAUCACUUCCCAUAAGAUCAUUACAUGAUCUUUCAUGCUUUUGUUCUUUUAUUAUUCUUUCCUUUAGAUCAUGGCAUGAAGCAAGGCCCUUUACUAAAACACUCUUUAUUAUAUGACUCACGAACACAAAUACAUUGGCGGUGACACAAAGAAAAACUCAAGCCUAGAACAUACUAAGAACUUUAUUCUACUAGAUAAAGAUAAAACCAAAAAGGAUCGAACUAAGAAAAGGGUAAAGGCAAAAGAUGUGAUGGUGAUAUGAUACCGGGGAAACUCCCCCAAGCUUGGCACAAGCCAAGACGAGUGCCCAUACCCGUUCUUAAUUGUGUUCCUUCGAAGGUGAUGGUAGUGGAUUUGUUGCAGAGUUCUUGAACUUGCUUAAUUUCCUCUUGAGCACAAAAUUAUACUCCUUCAGAUCGUUAAUUUCCUCUUCAAGCCUGAACACCCUUUGGCAUAAUUCUUGCUUACUCUCCUGCAAAAUACGAGAAGGGGUAAACAAAAUCUUAGGCUUCUUCCUUGAGUCAGGGAGGCUCGACUUAUUGAACUCCACAUGUGUGUUUCCAGAUUGGGGUAGAGGAGCCUCCUCUUCAUCGGAAUUUGUUCCUUCCUUCCCCUUGGGAUAAUUAUCUUCUUCCUCAUCAGUGGCCCAACCAUAAUGAUCCAUGUCCCCAUAGACCUUGGGGUUAGCAAGGUAAUCGGUCACAUAGCUCUCCCCCUCUGAAUCUUGAGAAGACAUCUUGCCCUAAAUCUGCGGUAGAAACAGGCUCGAAACAAAAACUGAGGAUAUUUGAGUGAUAUGAGGGUCAGAUCUUUCGGGAGAAUAUAUAAUGAUUUUUUCCCGGCCAAAAGCAGAAUUCCACAAGAAAACGGAGUUCGGGAGGCACACGAGGUGCUCACAAGCCACCCAGGCGCGACAAGGGGGGUAGGCCGCGCCUGGCAGGCUUGUCGCCUCCUCGUGCGCUUUCCGGACUACUUUAAAUUUUUCUAUUUUUCUAAAAAUUCCAAAACGGAGAAAAAUUGCUACUAGAAAAGUUGUGGAGUCGGUUUACUUACCGAAUCACAUACCUCUUCGUUUUUGGAGUCUGAAACAGGAUGAUAAAUAUCCCUUAUGUACUCCUCCGGAGUUAUGGUAUUAAUAAUAUUGCUUUCAACAUUUAUUGGAGUACCUGAGAUAUAAUGCUUGAUUCUUUGCCCAUUUACGACUCUCGGAAAAUUCCCUUCCGUGUUGUUGAUCUUGAUGGCACCGGAACAAUACACUUCUUCGAUAAUGUAAGGACCUUCCCAUUUAGAGAGAAGCUUGCCUGCAAAAUAUCUUAAAUGAGAAUUGUAUAGCAAGACAUAAUCACCUACAUUGAACUCACGUUUUUCUAUCCUUUUAUCAUGCCACCUAUUAACUUUUUCUUUAAACAACUUGGCAUUUUCAUAUGCCUGAGUUCUCUAUUCAUCAGGUGAGCUAAUAUCAAAUAACCUCUUCUCACCAGCAAGUUUGAAAUCAAAGUUGAGAUCUUUGAUUGCCCAAUAAGCCUUAUGCUCUAGCUCCAGAGGUUAAUGACAUGCUUUACCGUAAACCAUUUUGUACGGAGACAUGCCCAUGGGAUUAUUAUAAGCAGUUCUAUAAGCCCAAAGUGCAUCAUCAAGCUUCUUAGACCAAUACUUUCUAGACCUAUUAAGAGUCUUUUGCAGAAUUAGUCUAAUUUUCCUAUUACUUAGCUCUACUUGACCACUGGACUUAGGAUGAUAGGGAGAUGCAAUUCUAUGGUUGACGUCAUACUUAGCAAGCAUUUUACGAAAAGCACCAUGAAUAAAAUGUGAACCACCAUCAGUCAUUAGAUAUCUAGGGACUCCAAAUCUAGGGAAAAUAACUUCUUUAAGCAUCCUAAUAGAGGUGUUAUGAUCAGCACUAAUAGUUGGGAUAGUUUCUACCCACUUAGUAAUGUAAUCAACAUCAACUAGAAUAUGAGUAUACUCGUUAGACUUUGGAAAAGGUCUCAUAUAAUAAAAAACCCAAACAUCAAAUGGUUCAAUAACAAGUGAAUAAUUCAUAGGCAUUUCCUGACGUUUACUGAUAUUACCUAUUGUUUGACAUUCAUCACAAGACAGGACAAACUUACGGGCAUCCUGGAAGAGAGUAGGCCAAUAGAAACCGGAUUGCAAUACCUUGUGUGCAGUUCUAUCUCCCGCAUGGUGUCCUCCGUAAGCCCCGAAGUGACACUUCUUUAGGAUAUGUCCCUGUUCAUGCUCAGGUACACAACGUAUAAUAACACCAUAUACUCCUUCUUUAUAAAGGUGAGCAUCAUCCCAAAAGUAAUGUCUCAAAUCAAAGAAGAAUUUCUUCUUUUGCUGGUAUGAGAAACUAGGUUAUAUAUAUUUGGCAACAAUAUAAUUUGAAUAAUCAGCAUACCAAGGUGUACUAAGUGAAGCGUUGAUGACAUUCAAUUUUUCAUCUGGAAAGCUAUCAUCAAUGGGUUGUGGGUCAUCAAGAACAUUCUCCAACCUAGACAAGUUAUCUGCUACGGGGUUCUCAACACCCUUCCUACCAACAACAUGCAAAUCAAAUUCUUGUAGCAAGAGAACCCAUCUGAUAAGUCUAGGUUUAGCAUCUUUCUUUUCCAUGGGAUACUAAAUAGCAGCAUGAUCAGUGUGAAUAGUAACUCUGGAAUCAGCAAUGUAAGAUCUGAACUUUUCACAUGCAAACACGACUGCUAAAAAUUCCUUUUCAGUAGUAGCAUAGUUUCUUUGGGCACUGUGUGGAGUUUUACUAGCAUAAUGAAUAACAUUCAAUUUAUUAUCAACUCUUUGUCUUAGAACAACACCAACGACAUAAUAACUAGCAUCACACAUAAUUUCAAAAGGUAGGUUCUAAUCAGGUGGUUGAACAAUAGGUGCAGUUAUCAAGGCCUUCUUAAGUAUUUGAAAUGCUUCUUCACAAUCAUCAUCAAAAACAAAUGGAAUAUCCUUUUGCAAGAGAUUGGUAAGAGGCCUAGAAAUCUUAGAGAAGUCUUUAAUGAACCUUCUAUAGAAACCAGCAUGACCAAGGAAACUUCUUAUACCUUUGAUGUAUUGGGCAUGGCAUUUUCUCGAUCGUAUCAACUUGAGCCUUAUCGACUUCAAUACCUCUUUCAGAAAUUUUAUGUCCUAAGACGAUGCCUUCAUUAACCAUAAAGUGGCACUUCUCCCAAUUCUAGACAAGGUUCGUAUCUUUACAUCUCUGCAAAACUCGAUCAAGGUUGCUGAGGCAAUCAUCAAAAGAAGACCCGUAAACGGAGAAGUCAUCCAUGAAAACCUCAACAAUCUUUUCACAGAAGUCGGAGAAUAUAUCCAUCAUACAUCUUCGAAAGGUAGCACAUGCAUUACAUAAGCCAAAAGGCAUACGUCUGUAAGCAAAGGUACCGAAAGGGCAGGUAAAAGUGGUUUUCUCCUGAUCAGAUUGUGCAACACGUAUUUGGGAGAAAGCAGAAUAACCAUCUAGAAACAAGAAGUGUGUGUGUUUAGACAAUCUUUCUAGCAUUUAGUCAAUAAAAGGCAAAGGGUAAUGAUCUUUCCUAGUGGCUUUAUUCGAUUUCCUAAAAUCAAUUACCAUCCUAUAGCUAGUAAUAAUUCUCUGUGGGAUCAACUCAUCUUUAUCAUUAGGGACAAUGGUAAUACCUCCCUUCUUAGGGACGUAAUGCACCGGACUUACCCAAUCACUAUGAGCAACAUGAUAGAUAAUACCUGCUUCCAGGAGCUUUAUUAUUUAUUUUCUUACUACCUCUUUCAUCUUAGGAUUUAAUCUCCGUUGAUGAUCAGCAACUAGUUUGGAAUCAGGAUCGGUUUUAAUUUUAUGCUCGCAUAGAGUGGGACUAAUGCCCUUAAGAUCAUCAAGAGUAUAUCCAAUAGCAGCACGGUGCUUCCUCAGAGUUUUCAAUAAUUUCUUUUCUUCAUGCUCUGGAAGUCUAGCACUAAUAAUAACAGGAUAUAUCUCUUUUUCAUCAAGAUAAGCAUAAUUGAGAGUAUCAGGUAACUGUUUAAGCUCAAACACAGGAUCACCCUUUGGCGGUGGUGGAUCUCCAAGCAGUUCAACAUGCAAAUUAUUCUUAAGGAUAGGAUGUUUUUCAAAUAUAACUCUAUCUAUCUCAUUCCUUUCAUCCAUAUGCAUAUCAUUUUCAUGCUCAAGCAAGUAUUGCUCUAAAGGAUCAGUAGGAGGCACACCAAUAGAAGCUAGGGCAAUAAUUUCAUCCUUACUAGACAAUUCUGUUUCAUGAGGUUGUCUACCAAACUUGGAGAAAUUGAAUUCAUGUGACACACCUUCAAAGCCAACAGUGACAGUUUGCUUCUCACAGUCAAUAUGAGCAUUGACAGUAUUGAGGAAAGGUCUGCCAAAUUUCAUGGGACAAAAGCUAUCUUGUGUGGUAGCAAGAAUGAGAAAAUCAGCAGGAUACUUAGUUUUACCACACAAGACUUCAACAUCUCUAACAAUUCCCAAUGGGCAGAUAGUAUCUCUAUUGGCAAGCUGAAUAGUAACAUCAAUAUGUUCCAUCUCACCAGGUGCAAUCUCGUCUUUAAUUUCAUCAUAUAAAGAUCGAGGUAUUGCACUAACACUAGCACCCACGUCACAUAAACCAUGAUAACAAUGAUCUCCUAUCUUAACAGAGACAACAGGCCGAUGUUUGUCUCUAGCAUGGGGUUUAGGAAUUCUAGCAGCAUCUUCACAGAAGUGAAUAACAUGCCCAUCAACAUUGUCGGACAGGAGAUCUUUGAUAAUAGCAAUGCUAGGUUCAACUCUAACUUUCUCAGGGGGUGUAGGUGUUCUAAUGUAGCCCUUAUGUAUCACAGUUGGAGCUUUAGCAUGAUCCUUUAUUCUAACACGGAAGGGUGGUUUCUCAAUGUAAGCACUAGGAACAAUUGGAUCAUUAUAAGCAAUGACUUUCUCUUUAACUGGAUUGGGUUUAACUACAUUGACUUCUAUGGGAGGAUGAUAUUUAAACCACUUCUCUUUAGGGAGAUUAAUAUGAGCAGCAAAUGAUUCACAUAAUGAAGCCACUAUCUCAGAGUCAAGUCCAUGUAUAGCGCUAAAAUCACAAAAAGUAUUUGUUUCAAUGAAGGAUUUAACGCAAUCGAACUUAAGAUUCAUACCUGACUCCUUACCUUCAUCAAACUCCCAAUCUUCAGAGUUGCAUUUAAUCCUUUCCAAUAAAUUCCAUUUGAAGUCAAUAUCUCUCUUCAUAAAAGAACCCGUACAAGAAGUGUCAAGCAUGGUGCGAUUAUCAUGAGAAAGCCGAGCAUAAAAGUUCUGAAUAAUAAUUUCUCUCGAGAGCUCAUGGUUGGUGCAUGAAUAUAACAUUCAUUUAAGCCUCCCCCAAGCUUGAGCGAUACUUUCUCUAUCACGAGGCCAAAAAUUAUAGAUAUAAUUCCGAUCACGAUGUUCGAAAUGCAUAGGAUAGAACUUUUGAUGAAAUUCCAAUUUCAAUCGGUUGUAGUUCCAUGAUCCAGUAUCAUCACAUAGCUUAUACCAUCUCAAUGCUUUAUCCCUCAAAGAUAAGGGAAAGACCUUCUUCUUGACCUCAUCCUCGGGAAAACCUGCAAGCUUAAAUAAACCACAAACUUCAUCUACAUAGAUUAGAUGCAAGUCGGGAUGUGAUGUUCCAUCUCCAGUAAAAGGAUUAGCCAACAGUUUCUCUAGCAUACCCGAAGGAAUUUCAUAAAAAAUAUUUUCAGUAGGUGGAGUAGGUUGAGGAGUAACUCCUUGUCCUUCCAUUCAAGGUGAAGAUACCCUGAACAAGCUCCUCAAAGGAUUAGUUUCCAUAGUGACAAGUGACAAUAAAUUUCAGCACACUAUAUAAAUGUUUCCUUACCAAAUUCCACUUACCAAAGGCGCUUCACUCCCCGGCAACGGUGCCAGAAAAGAGUCUUGAUGAUCCACAAGUGUAGGGGAUCUUUUGUAGUCCUUUCAAUAAGUAAGAGGGUCGAACCCAACGGGGAGCAGAAGGAACUCACAAGUGGUUUUCAGCAAGGUAUUCUCUGCAGGCACUGAAAUUAUCGGUAACAGAUAGUUGUGUGAUAAGAUAAUUCGUAGCGAGUAGCAAGUAACAAUAGUAACAAAGGUGCAGCAAGAUGGCCCAAUCCCUUUUGUAGCAAGGGACAAGCCUGGAAAAACUCUUAUAUGAGGUGAAGCGCUCCCGAGGACACAUGGGAAUUUCUGUCAAGCUAGUUUUCAUCAUGUUCAUAUGAUUCGCGUUCGCUACUUUGAUAUUUUGAUAUGUGGGUGGACCGGUGCUUGGGUGCUGUCCUUACUUGGACAAACGUCCCACUUAUGAUUAACCCCUCUCGCAAGCAUCUACAACUAUGAAAGAAGAAUUAAGACAAGUCUAACCAUAUCAUUAAACUAGUGGAUCCAAAUCAGCCCCUUACGAAGCAACACAUAAACUAGGGUUUAAGCUUCUGUCACUCUAGCAACCCAUCAUCUACUUAUUACUUCCCAAUGCCUUCCUCUAGGCCCAAAUAAUGGUGAAGUGUCAUGUAGUCGACGUUCACAUAACACCACUAGAGGAAAGACAACAUGCAUCGCAUCAAAAUAUCUAACGAAUACCAAAUUCACAUGACUACUUAUAGCAAGGCUUAUCCCAUGUCCUCAGGAACAAAAGUGACUACUCACAAAGCACAAUUAUGUUCAUGACCAGAGAGUUAUUGAAUCGCAUUAAGGAUCUGAACAUAUGAUCUUUAACCGAGUAAUCCAACUAGCAUCAACUACAAAGAGUAAUUAACACUACUAGCAACCUUACAAGUACCAAUCGGAGUCGUGAGACAGAGAUUGGUUACAAGAGAUGAACUAGGGUUUGCAGAUGAGAUGGUGCUGAUGAAGAUGUUGAUGGAGAUGAGUACCCUCCGAUGAGAGGAGUGUCGGUGAUGACGAUGGCAACGAUUUCCCCCUCUGGGAGGGAAGUUUCCCCGGCAGGACGGCCCUACCGGAGCUCUAGAUUGGUUCUGCUCAAGUUCCGCCUCGUGGCGGCGGCGUCUCUUCCCGAAAGCCUCCCCUUUCUUUUUUCUGGGACGAAACCCUCCUUAUAGCAGAAGAUGGGAGCCGGAGGGGCAAUAGGGGGCCCACAAGCCACCCAGGCGCGGCUAGGGGGGUAGGCCGCGCCUGGCAGGCUUGUGGCCUCUUGGUGGCUCCCCUCCAGUACUUCUUCCGCCCAGUAUUUUUCAUAAAUUCCAAAAUAAUUCCUCGUUGAUUUUCACGGCUUUUGGAGUUGCGCAGAAUAGGUAUCUCAAACUUGCUUAUUUUUCAGCCCAGAAUUCCAGUUGCCGGCAUUCUCCCUCUUCAUGCAAACCUUAUAUAAUAAGAGAGAAAAGGCAUAAGUAUUGUACCGUAAUGUGUAAUAACAGCCCAUAAAGCGAUAAAUAUCAACAUAAAAGCAUGAUGCAAAAUGGACGUAUCAGCUCCCUUGUAAGCGCACGUAGUGCAUUGUUGUGGCCGCAUAUGCAAGAGUCUGACAAGGGAUGGUAAUACCACCCUGUUCGUGAAGUUGUAUCUUGUUGCUCGUCAUAGAGGUUGUUUGUCCACAACUUCUAUGUGCUUGUGGACUCCUUUGAUGGACCUAUAAUAACCUACCAACACAUCUCCUUGAUUGUUUUCCCGGUUUGUCGGGUUGUUCUCACAACUUACUCUUGCUUACCUCGCACGGGUUGAUGGGCUCAUAUUUUUCUUUUAAUUAUGGGGCCAAAAAUUCUUUGAACACAGUCAUUCCCGUGUACGAGUAGCUCACAUGAACUGAUCCUCUAGACUGCAUGCUCACAACAUAUGCAGGCAUAGGUUAAAUCCUUUCAUAACCACUGAGUUCUAAGACAGAUGUGUACCCAGGCAAGUUCGUGUUUUUCACAACAUUGUCGUGGCACCAGGAUGUGUUAAAGUAGGCUGAAUUCCUUAUGCUCGAAGCUUCUGGCGGAGUAGCGUGCGGAAGAAGGUUCGGUAUCAUACCUCAAAAACUUUCCUUCAUGUAGCUUACUGAGGAAGGUCGGGUGCCUUAUGCCGGAAGUUCUCCAUGGUAACAUGCUAUGGAAGAUGGGAGUGUCGUAUCUCAGAAGGAUCUCCCACCGAGUGGCAUACCCAGGAAGAUUGAUAGUCUGGUAAGCUCUUCUCGGUAGGUUGAGGGGGAAGGUUGGGUUCCUUAUAUCAAAGGCCUUUUGCUGUGACGUAUAGUUGGAUCUAUGACCAGUUCUAAGUUCCUUCCGAAGUAUACGGAAUUUUACCCAUAGUGGAUCCAAACCGAGUAUAGGCCAUACUUUGACUGAGGAUAUUCCAUUGGUCACACACACCGCAUGUCCUUCUGCUAGUCUGAUCAUUACUACUGUAAAGGCUGCAAAACUGAUGUAGGCUUCAUGUCGAUAAUUAAUUCAGAAUACCCUUUGCAUUCAACCCAGGUGUUGCCGAUAAUAAGCAGUUGACAGAUAAUUCCAUUCGGCUCAGCUGAGCUCCCAAGCAUGUUAGGUGCUCCUUGAUUCGGACAACCGUCAAUUUAUCCAUAUUCCCUGCGAACCGGAGUUUGGUUGCUACUUUUGGCUCAUUCACAUUCUUGAAAUAUGUCUUUGGUGGGUACUAAAUGGUUCUUGGGUUCCCUGAGAAAAGACUCAAGGUUCACUUCACUGACUAAAAUAAUCCCUGUAUCGCGAACGGAAUAAUUUGUCCGUACUAAUGUUUAUUCUUGGUAGCUCAUCUGACUGCUCCUCGAGUAUGAUCAGUUUUGUGGACAACUCUCUCACGUAUAUUCUAGCCUUGUCUGUUGCACACGAUUCUUCUUCUGACCCAAUCUUCAUUCUUGACAGAUCCGGUGGUAAUGUUCUGAAUAUCAGGUAGUUGGUCGGACUUGACUUUUGCUGAAUUGGGGUCAUUGGGUAUUAUCCCAGUUGCAUGGUGAGCUUCUUAAUGGGACUUGCGGAUUGAUCCAUUCGGAGCGAACAAAUGGAACCCACAAAAGAAAUAAAAACCGUGAAAAAACAGGAAGCAAAUAAAGCUCAAGUGUUGCGGACCUUACACACAUGGCCAUGGAUCCACUAGUAUAACUAGCAUAGCGCACUCGAUGUUCCUCUAAGGAUUUAGAAGCGAAACCACACAAUGCUCCUGGUAGCACUGGUGUCAAGCUUCUACUACUUCCUUAGAGAACAUCACGCUCGAUGCAGGACCAUAGCGAAAGUGGCCUGGUCAACGUUGCUAAGGUCAUCGAGAAGAGAUAGAAUUUAUAAGCGUCUCCCAAAGGAAACUAGAGCAAGAAGGGAGAUGCCAUGGCUAGCAAGCAGGCUAAUGAUAUCUGGUUUUCCUAGGGGUUUUAGGGCUCAUGGUUCGUUGUCGGGUGCGAGAAUUUCACAUUGAAGGCAAGGGCCGUGAGAUUUGGGGUCUGAUGGAGCCGAGAACCUAUGGGGUUGCCUUAUAAUCAAUAGUAGCCGUGCCAAGUGGAAAAUAUGGCUGAAAUCCAUAUGGGCUUUCUACUGAACACAAGAUAGUGAAGUCUGGCUAGGGCAACCUAUAUUCAGCCUGGCUACUCUGAUACCUUCCAUUGUGGUGCCCCGUCUGAUUACCACUGUAGCCAGACGAUCGCCACGCAUACCAGCCCACGAAAUCACUGUGGCAUGCGCGUUUACAACAAGUAUCGUGAACAUAGGCAUUUCUAUUAAUGGAUAUAUCAGUCUUACAAGAUAUAUCAAAAGGGUGAUGGCAGCGGAAAAGCUCUAUCGAAGGCAGCAUGGUCCUGGUGCGGCUCCAAUCCACAGGGAUCUGACUGGGUUACUCUCCUAGCUGCGAACGCUUCGACUCCUUGACGACGGACGACGGAUCCUUAUGUGAACCUGACCAUGUUAAAGGCUGCUGAGUACUUUUGAAUGUACUCGCAAGCAAACCAAACUAACAUAUACACUAAGCAACAUCAAUCUAUUACAUUCAAGCAUGCACUUGUUAUUAGAGCAAUAUUAAUUAUCAUGGUAUAACAGGAUUAUCCAGCAAGAUAAUUACUAAAGUAAAUAUGAUAAGGAAAAGCAUGUUAAGUAAACAAAUUAUACUCUUAAUAUUCUCACGAUCCAAUCUGAAUCUGAUCCAAAUCCAAUCCAAAUCAUGUAGUCAUCCGUCCACUCAUCUCAUAGCCAUCCCAUGGCUAACAUAUCAUAAUCCUGACAUCAUCUGAUGUCUGCACAAGACGAGUUCUUCCAUCAUUAUUAUCACUAAUAUGGUUGACCACCUCGUGAGGUUUGGACGGGCUGUCCAAUUCCGUGGACGUUGCUAUUCGACUAGACUUUUCACUCUCCACAGGUUGCAUACUUUACCCACACCAUGAAGCACCUGGCCUCAUGAUCCCAUUCGCGUGGACCAACAUUGCUUCAGUGAAACCUGCCUAAUCCGUGACUCUCCCAUCGUACCACCGACAUUCAUCCUCCCCCGGAGUCCUGCCCUGGGUGGCCCCUGUGUCCUCAUGACACCUCCGACCGUCGUGGCCAAACUAAACUGUCCCAAACGGGCACGCUGGCACAAAACAAUCAACUGGCUCACAAGGUUAUUGCCUCCUACCGGGUCAGGGUAGCGUGCACGCAUAACCUUCCCUAUCUCGUGGUACCGGUGGAAGAGCACGAGAUCAGACCAAGUCAUGUCCAUCCCAUACCGGCCAAUGUGGUUGCACGGAUAAGCCCGAACAAGUGAUUAUAGAUCAACCAACUAGAUUUAGUCUUAGCCAGUAUUUCACAAGCAUGGUUGUUUAUCACAAGAACAUGAGAUGGAAGUAGCUAAGCAUCAUAAAAACAUAACCACCUAUCUCCAUAUAAUAUCAUGACAAGUCAUUACUGCAACGAUAAGAUGAGCAGUAGCAAGUAAUGUAAAUGACAAUAUAGAAAUGGUAGGAGUUUAAUUAUGUGUAGCACAAGCAUAUCAUUAAUUAAACAGCCAAGAAUAACAAAGUGCAAUGCUUUAGGGCAUAUAUCAGAGGGUCGAAGAAUACUCUAGGAAGAAGUGUGGGGAGUCCUCGGAAAGGAUCGCCGGAAACAGUUCGCUCUCGAAGAGGGCUGAUAAAAGGGCAAGGGCAAAAUGGCCAUUUUCAAAGUGUGUAAACAUUAUGGAAAUGAUACCAUGAGGACGGGCUCGUCGAGACGAAGAUGUGAGCGUUGGUUUCAACUCGAUCAGAGUCACGGUUGAUAAGAUAUAAGGGUUUUAGCAAUAGGGACUUCUCUGCAAAAAAUAAUAUUCACAUCCAAGUCGGUGACAGCCUGAAUGGUCACACACUCCGGUAAAUACGCUUUCCCAUGGGGAAAACGUAAACACGCCCGGGGCGCUUCCACUUAUCCAUGAGGACCCACAAGUGUAGGGGAUCAACCGUAGUCCUUUCGAUAAGUAAGAGUGUCGAACCCAACGAGGAGCAGAAGGCUCUGAUAAACGGUUUUCAGCAAGGUAAUAACUGCAAGCACUGAAAGUAGCGGUAACAAGUGAUGGUGUAGUGAGGUGAAAUGUAGCAAGCGAAAAGUAACAAGUAAAAAGUAGUAGCAAUGGUGCAGAAAGUGGCCCAAUCCCUUUUGUAGCAAGGGACAAGCCUGAACAAAGUCUUAUAGGAGGAAAAACGCUCCCGAGGACACACAGGAAUUUCUGUCAUGCUAGUUUCAUCAUAUUCAUAUGAUUCGCGUUCGUUACUUUGAUAGUUUGAUAUGUGGGUGGACCGGCGCUUAGGUACUGCCCUUACUUGGACAAGCAUCCCACUUAUGAUUAAACUCUCUCGCAAGCAUCCACAACCACAAAAGAAGAAUUAAGACAACGUCUAACCAUAGCAUUAAACUAGUGGAUCCAAAUCAGCCCCUUACGAAGCAACGCAUAGACUGGGGUUUAAGCUUCUGUCACUCCAGCAACCCAUCCUCUACUUACUACUCCCCAAUGCCUUCCUGUAGGCCCAAGUAUGGUGAAGUGUUAUGUAGUCAACGUUCACAUAACACCACUAGAGGAAAAGACAACAUACAACAUAUCAAAAUACCAAACGGAUAUCAAAUUCACAUGACUAUUAUCAGGAUGACUUAUCCCAUGUCCUCAGGAAGAAAAGUAACUACUCACAAAGCAUAAUCAUAAUCAUGAUCAGAGGUGUAAUGAAUAGCAUCAAGGAUCUGAACAUAAAUUCUUCCACCAAGUAAUCCAACUAGCAUCAACUACAAAGAGUAAUCAACACUACUAGCAACCUUACAAGUACCAAUCGGAGUCGUGAGACGGAGAUUGAUUACAAGAGAUGAACUAGGGAUUGGAGAGGAGAUGGUGUUGAUGAAGAUGUUGAUGAAGAUGCCUCCCCUCCGACGAGAGGAGUGUUGGUGAUGACGAUGGCGAUGAUUUCCUCCUCCGGGAGGGAAGUUUCCCCGGCAGGAUCGUCCUGUCGGAGCUCUAGAUUGAUCUGCUCAAGUUCUGCCUCGUGGCGGCGGCGAAACCACGAAAAAGCUCCCAAUUGAUUUUUUCUGGAACGAAACCUUUCAUAUAGCAAAAGAGGGGGCUAGUGGGCCGUCAGGGAGCCCACAAGCUUGCCCUCCGCCACCAGGGGGUGGCGGUGGCAGGGCUUGUGGCGCCCUGGCAGCCCCCCUCUAGUACUUCUUUCACCCAGUAUUUUUUAUAUAAUCCCAAAAAAUUCCACGUAACUUUUCAGGGCAUGUGGAGAUGUGCAGAAUAGUGGACUAAGAUUUGCUCCUUUUCUAGUCCAGAAUUCCUGCUGCCUGAAUUCUCCCUCUUCAAAUAAACCUUGCAAAAUAAGAGAGAAAAGGCAUAAAUAUGGUACCACAAUGUAAUAUAACAUCCCAUAAAGCAAUAAAUAUCAACAUGAAAGCAUGAUGCAAAAUGGACGUAUCAACUCCCCAAGCUUAGACCUCGCUUGUCCUCAAGCGAAAACCAAGUUCCAUAAACAUGUCCACAUGUUGAGGGACGAAGGUGUCGAUAAAACAUAAUACAGACAUGAGGGCAUCAUGAUCACACAUAGGACAGCAAUACAUCAUAAAGAUUGUUAUGGGAAAGUAACAAUUCCUUCACAAAGCAAAGCAUGAAGCAAAAACCUUACCGAGAAGUAACCAACAACAGUCCAAAGUCAUUGAAGCAAUUGCAAUUUAUCACAACAUCAGAAAGAGUCAAAUAAGAGCUUGUAAGGCAAAUCCACAUACUCAAUCAUCUCUUUUGUUCUCCACAAUUGUUACAACUCACGUGGUACUCAUGGUGUCAAAGUUUCAGCUGGACACAGAGGAAGAUAGGGGCUUAUAGUUUUGCCUCCCAAUGAUUUACCUCAAGGGUAAAGUCAACAAUAAUAAAGCAUAAGUACUCAACUCCAAGUUGAUAUAUGAAUAUAGAUCUUUCCCAAGCAUGUGACAGUAGCCAAGACAAAGGAAAAAAAUAGGGAAUUGGUGAAGAUCACCAUGACUCUUACAAGGGAAAAAAGUAAAGGUACAAGAUAGGCCCUUCGCGGAGGGAAGCAGAGGUUGUCAUGCGCUUUUGAGGUUUGAAUGCGUGUCCUCUUAGUGCGGAGGGACGUCACUUUAUAUUGCCUCAUGUGAUAAAGAACUUUAUUAUGCAGUGUGUCGCUUUUAUGUCUUCCUCAUCACAGGUUCGUACAAAGCUUAUUUUCCACACACUAAUAGAUCAUACAUAUUAGAGAGCAAUUUUUAUUGCUUGCACCGAUGACAACUUACUUGAAGGAUCUUAUUCAAUCCAUAGGUAGGUAUGGUGGACUCUCAUGGCAAAACUGGGUUGGAGGUUUAUGGAUGCACAAGUAGUAUCUCUACUUGGUGCGGGAGUUUUGGCUAAUAUGAGGUGGAAGCAAUCGUCACAUGCUAAGGGAUCUCUAAUCAUAUAACAUUGUUUGGAACCAAGCAAACACAAUUCAUUAUGCUGUCUUCCUUGUCCAACAUCUACUCCUAAGCAUGUAAUAGUUUGGUGAGUGCUCACAAUUGUAAAAAAGCGUCUAAGAUGAUAUAUUUAUAUGUGAACCUCUCUUUCCCUAUUACUUCUUAUUAAUUGCAACAAUGACUGAGGUCUAUGUUGAUUUAUUCUCAACAAGUUUCAAUCAUCAUACGUGUCAUAAGUGAAGUUAUCACUUUCCAUAAGAUCGUCUCAUGAUCUUUCAUGCUAUCGUUCUUUUCAUACUAUUGAUCAUGGCACCAAGCAAAGCCCUUGACUAAGAUACUCUUUAUUAUAUAGCUCGUAAGCUCGAAUACAUCGGGGGAGAGACAAAAGCAAAAGACUAAAACUAAACACUAAAGACUUAUUUCUCUAAGAGAAGAAAUAAAAACUGAAAAGGAAAGAACUAAAACAAAGGUAAAAGUAAAAGAUAUAAAGGUGAUACGAUACCAGGGCAAUUCCCCCAAGCUUGGCAGAAGCCAAGGGGAUUGCCCCUACCAAUGCUUAGUUGUCUUCCUUCGGUGGUGAUGGUGGUGGAGUUGUUGGAGUAGUCUGAUACUCCGUCUUCCAAGGCAUAGGUGCUCCAUCAUGGCAGGAUGAACGAGUCGCCGAAAUCUUCAAAUCUGCAGCCAACCUUAUUGAUUUAAAUUUGUACUCAUACUCACAGUUUUGGUUCUGCAGGUCAUAGAACCGGCCCUAAAGUUGAUCAACCCUAUCAUAGAGCCUGGAGAGGUGUUUCCCAAUGUCAAUGGCAUCCAUCUUGUGAUUGCUAGUGAACUCCGUGAUCAUCAUGUGGUUGGCGUUGAGUCCAUGCUCCACCAUCCCCUGGCACUUGAAGACUUGUUGCUCCAUUGCUUCAAGCCUCGUCUCCAUGCUCCGGGUCUUCUUAGGCCCCUCAACAUCACGGAUGUGCAACAUCCCCUCGCUCAUCUUGAUAGAUUGAGGGUGUUUCAGCACUUCCGUGAGGUAGGGAUUGAUGACCUUCUCGAAGAUCUUGUCCUUAGGAGCGUUUGGAGAAGACAUGAUGAUCUAGAUCUGCCAUAGAAACAGGCUCGAAACGGAAACAUAGGAAGACUGCACGAUACGGAGAUCAAAACCUUCGGGCGAGUAUAUAUUGAUUUUUUCUGGACCAGAAGGAGUGCAACGCAAGAAAACGGAGUCUGGGAGGCACACGAGGUGCCCACAAGCUUGCCCUGCACCACCAGGGGGUGGCGGUGGCAGGGCUUGUGGACGCCUCGUGCGCUCUCCGGACUGCUUUUUAUUUUUCUAAUUUUCAAAAAUUCCAAAACAGAGGAAAUUUCCUAUUGGGAAAGCGUCGGAGUCCAAUUUCUUACCGAAACAGAUACCUCUUCGUUUUCAGGGUCUGAAACAGGCUGAUAAACAUCCCUUAUGAACUCCUCUGGAGCUAUGACAUUGAUGAUAUUGGUCUCACCAUUUAUGGGAGUACCAGAGAUGUAAUGCUUGAUUCUUUGCCCAUUUACCACUCUAGGAAAAUUUCCUUCCGUGUUAUUGAUUUUGAUGGAACCGGAACGAUAUACUUCCUCGAUAACAUAGGGACCUUCCCAUUUAGAGAGAAGCUUUCCUACAAAGAAUCUCAAACGAGAAUUGUAUAGCAGGACAUAAUCACCUACAUUGAACUCUCGUUUCUGUAUUCGUUUACCGUGCCAUCUCUUAACCUUUUCCUUGAACAACUUGGCAUUCCCAUAUGCCUGGUCCCUCCAUUCAUCUAACAAGCUGAUAUCAAACAAACGCUUCUCACCGGCAUGUUUGAAAUCGAAAUUGAGCUCUUUGAUUGCCCAAUAAGCUUUGUGUUCCAGCUCAAGAGGUAAAUGACAGGCCUUACCGUAAACCAUUUUAUACGGUGACAUGCCCAUGGGAUUCUUAUAAGCAGUCCUAUAAGCCCAUAGUGCAUCGUCAAGUUUGGUAGACCAAUUCUUUCGAGAUCUAUUGACGGUCUUUUGUAGGAUCAACUUGAUGUCCCUAUUACUCAACUCCACUUGACCACUAGACUGAGGAUGAUAAGGAGAUGCAACUCUAUGGUUGACAUCAUACUUAGCGAGCAUCUUGCGGAAAACACCAUGAAUGAAGUGUGAAUCGCCAUGAGUCAGCAGAUAUCUAGGGACUCCAAAUCUUGGGAAAAUGACUUCUUUAAGCAUCUUAAUAGAGGUGUGGCGAUCAACAUUUUUAGUGCGGAUAGCUUCUACCCACUUAGUGACGUAAUCCACAGCAACUAAGAUGUGAGUGUACCCAUUGGAACUCGGGAAGGGUCCCAUAUAAUCAAAGCCGCAGACAUCAAAUGGUUCAAUGACAAGUGAAUAGUUCAUAGGCGUUUCCUGACUAUUCUAAUAUUCCCUAUUCUUUGGCAUUCGUCACAAGACAAGACAAACUUACAGGCAUCCUUGAAGAGAGUGGGCCAAUAGAAACCUGAUUGCAAUACCUUAUGGGCAGUUCUAUCUCCAGCAUGGUGUCCUCCGUAGGCUUCGGAAUGACACUUCUGCAAGAUCUGUCCCUUUUCAUGUUCAGGUACACAACGUCUAAUAACCCCAUCUACUCCUUCCUUAUAAAGGUGAGGAUCAUCCCAAAAGUAGUGUCUCAAAUCAAAGAAGAAUUUCUUCUUUUGCUGAUAGGUGAAACUGGGUGGUAUGUAUUUGGCUACGAUAUAGUUUGCAUAAUCAGCAUACCACGGUGCAGCAUGUGAAGUGCGGAUGACAUUUAAUUGCUCAUCAGGAAAGCUAUCAUCAAUAGGUAGUGGGACAUCAAGGACAUUCUCUAGCCUAGACAAGUUAUCUACUACAGGGUUAUCAGCACCCUUUCGGUCAACGACGUGCAAAUCAAAUUCCUCUAGCAGGAGAACCCAUCUGAUCAGCCUAGGCUUAGCGUCCUUCUUCUCCAUAAGGUACUUAAUAGCAGCAUGAUCAGAGUGAAUAGUGACUUUAGAGUCAACUAUAUAAGAUCUGAACUUUUCACAUGCAAACACGACUGCUAAAAAUUCCUUGUUCGUAGUGGCAUAGUUUCUUUGGGCAAUGUCUAGAGUUUUACUAGCAUAGCGAAUAACAUUCAACUUCUUGUCAACUCUUUGUCCUAGAAUAGCACCAACAACAUAAUCACUAGCAUCGCACAUGAUUUCAAAGGGCAAAUUCCAGUCAGGUGGUUGAACAAUAGAUGCGGUUAUCAAAGCCUUCUUAAGUAUUUCGAAAGCUUCCUCACAAUCCUCAUCAAAAAAGGGACAUCCUUCUGCAAGAGGUUGGUAAGAGGCCUAGAAAUCUUAGAGAAGUCUUUAAUGAACCUUCGAUAGAAAUCAGCAUGACCUAGGAAACUUCGUAUACCUCUGAUAUCUGUGGGGCAAGGCAUUUUCUCAAUUGCAUCAACCUUAGCCUUAUCAACUUCAAUGCCUCUCUUAGAAAUUUUGUGUCCUAAGACGAUACCUUCGUUAACCAUAAAGUGGCACUUCUCCCAAUUCAAAACGAGGUUGGUAUCUUCGCAUCUCUGUAAGACUCGAUCAAGCUUGCUAAGGCAAUCGUCAAAGGAAGACCCGUAAACGGAGAAGUCAUCCAUGAAAACCUCGAAAAUCUUUUCGCAAAAGUCAGAGAAUAUAGCCAUCAUACAUCUUUGAAAAGUGGUAGGUGCAUUGCAUAAGCCAAAAGGCAUACAUCUAUAAGAAAAGGUAUCGAAGGGGCAGGUGAAAGUGGUUUUCUCCUGAUUAGAUUGUGCAACAGGUAUUUGCGAGAAACUUGAAUAACCGUCUAGAAAGCAGAAGUGUGUGUGUUUUGAUAGCCUUUCUAGCAUUUGGUCGAUAAACGACAAAGGAUAAUGAUCUUUCAUGGUUGCCUUGUUCAGUUUCCAGAAGUCUAUCACCAUCCUAUAGCCAGUAAUAAUCCUUUGUGGGAUUAGUUCAUCCUUAUCAUUAGGAACGACGGUGAUACCUCCCUUCUUAGGUGCGCAAUGUACUGGACUUACCCAAUCACUAUUCGCAAUAGGAUAAAUGAUUCCUGUUUCCAGAAGCUUUAAUAUUUCUUUUCUAACGAUGUCUUUCAUCUUAGGAUUUAAUCUCCUUUGAUGAUCAGCAACUGGUUUAAAGUCAGGACCGGUUUUAAACUUUGCUGACAUAGAGUAGGACUAAUACCCUUAAGAUCAUCAAGAGUAUAUCCAAUAGCAGCACGGUCCUUCCUCAGAGUUCUUAGUAACUUCUUUUCUUCGUGCUCUGAGAGGAGAGCACUAAUAAUAACAUGAUAUAUCUCCUUCUCAUCAAGAUAGGCAUACUUAAGAGUAUGAGGCAACUGUUUAAGCUCGAACACAGGAUCACCCUUUGGUGGGGGGGAUCCCCAAGCAGUUCAACAGGCAGAUUAUUCUUGAGAAUAGGAUAUUGUUCUAAGACAAUUUUAUCUAUCUCAUCUCUCUCCUCCAUAUGCAUAUCAUUUUCAUGCUCAAGAAGAUAUUGCUCUAAAGGAUCCGUAGGAGGUACGACAAUAGAGGCAAGAGCAAUGAUUUCAUCCCUACCAGACGACUCUUUUUCAUGGGGUUGUCUUCCAAACUUAGAGAAGUUAAAUUCAUGAGACACACCCUCGAAACUAACUGUGACAGUCUGCUUAAUGCAAUCAAUGUGAGCAUUGACAGUGUUGAGAAAGGGUCUACCAAAUAUGAUGGGACAAAAGCUAUCUUGUGCAGUACCAAGGACGAGGAAAUCAGUAGGAUACUUCGUCUUACCACACAAGACUUCUACGUCUCUCAGAAUUCCCAGAGGGAAAAUAGUGUCUCUAUUAGCUAGCGUAAUAGUGACAUCAAUGGGUUCUAACUCAGCAGGUGCAAUCUCAUCUUUGAUUUCAUCAUAUAGAGAACGGGGUAUUGCACUAUCACUAGCUCCCAUAUCACAUAAACCAUGGUAACAGUGAUCUCCUAUCUUGACAGAAACAACGGUCAGGACAACUACAGGUUCGUAUUUGUCCUUCGCGUGAGGUUUAGCAAUUCUAGCGAAGAACUCACAGAAUUUUAUAACAUGCCCGUCUACGUCUUCGCCUAAGAGAUCUUUGAUAAUAGCAACACUAGGUUCAACUCUAAUCUCCUCAGGAGGUGCAAGUGGUCAAAUGUAACCCCUACAUAUCACAGUUGGAGCUUUAGAAUAAUCCUUUUUCCUAGCAGGGUAUGGUGGUUUCUGAGUGUAAGCACAAGGAACAACAAGAUCACUAAAAGCAAUGACUUUCUCCUCAACUAGAUUGGUUUCGCUAUGUUGCUUUCUACAGGAGGAUGAUAUUUAAACCACUUCUCUUUGGGAAGAACAACAUGAGCAGCAAAAAUUCACAUAGAGAAGCUACUAUCUCAGAGUCAAGUACAUAGUUAGCGCUAAAAUCUCUAAAAGUGUUUGUCUCAACAAAAGAUUUAACGCAAUCAAACUGGAAAUUCAUACUUCACUCCUUACCUUCCUCCAGCUACCAAUCUUCAGAGUUGCGUUUGAUUCUCUCCAAUAAAUUUCACUUGUGAUCAAUAUCCUUCUUCAUAAAAGAACCGGUAUAAGAAGUCUCAAGCAUGGUACGAUCUUCAUGAGAAAGCCGAGAAUAAAUUUUUGAGUGAUGAUUUCUCUUGAGAGAUCAUGAUUGGGGCAUGAAUAUAGCAGUGAUUUAAGCCUCCCCAAGCUUGAUCUAUGCUUUCCCUGUCACGAGGCCAAAAGUUAUAAAUAAAGUUCCGAUCACGAUGUACUAAAUGCAUAGGAUAGAACUUUUGAUGAAAUUCCAAUUUCAACCGAUUGUAGCCCCAUGAUCCAGUAUCAUCACAUAGCCUAUACCAUGUCAACGCCUUAUCCGUCAAAGAUAAAGGAAAGACUUUCUUAUUUACCUCAUCCUCGGGCAAACCUGCAAGCUUAAAUAAACCUCAAACUUCAUCUACAUAGAUCAGAUGCAAGUCUGGAUGUGAAGAUACAUCUCCUGUGAAAGGAUUAGCCAGCAGUUUCUCAAGCAUACCCGAAGGAAUUUCGUAAAAGAUAUUUUCAGUAGGUACCUCAGGUUGAGGAACAACUCCUCGUGCUUCCGUUCGUGGCGAAGAUACCCCGAACAAACUCCUCAAAGGAACAGUUUCCAUAGUGACAAGUGACAAUAAAUUUCAGCACAGUAUAUAAAUGUUUCCUUACCAAUUUCCACUUACCAAAGGCGCUUCACUCCCCGGCAACGGCGCUAGAAAAUAGUCCUGAUGAGCCACAAGUAUAGGGGAUCAAUCAUAGUCCUUUAGAUAAGUAAGAGUGUUGAACCCAACGAGGAGCAGAAGGCUUUGAUAAACGGUUUUCAGCAAGGUAAUAACUGCAAGCACUGAAAGUAGCGGUAACAAGUGAUGGUGUAGUGAGGUGAAACAUAGCAAGAGAAAAGUAACAAGUAACAAGUAGUAGCAACGGUGCAGCAAGUGGCACAAUCCCUUUUGUAGCAAGGGACAAGCCUGCACGAAGUCUUAUAGGAGGAAAAGCGCUCCCGAGGACACACGGGAAUUUCUGUCAUGCUAGUUUCAUCAUGUUCAUAUGAUUCGCGUUCGUUACUUUGAUAGUUUGAUAUGUGGGUGGACCGACGCUUGGGUACUGCUCUUACUUGGACAAGCAUCCCACUUAUGAUUAACCUCUCUCGCAAGCAUCCCCAACUACAAAAGAAGAAUUAAGACAACGUCUAACCAUAGCAUUAAACUAGUGGAUCCAAAUCAGCCCCUUACGAAGCAACGCAUAGACUGGGGUUUAAGCUUCUGUCACUCCAGCAACCCAUCAUCUACUUACUACUCCCCAAUGCCUUCCUCUAGGCCCAAGUAUGGUGAAGUGUUAUGUAGUCGACGUUCACAUAACACCACUAGAGGAAAAGACAACAUACAGCAUAUCAAAAUACCGAACGGAUAUCAAAUUCACAUGACUAUUAUCAUCAUGACUUAUCCCAUGUCCUCAGGAACAAAAGUAACUACUCACAAAGCAUAAUCAUAAUCAUGAUCAGAGGUGUAAUGAAUAGCAUCAAGGGUCUGAACAUAAACUCUUCCACCAAGUAAUCCAACUAGCAUCAACUACAAAGAGUAAUCAACACUACUAGCAACCUUACAAGUACCAAUCGGAGUCGUGAGACGGAGAUUGAUUACAAGAGAUGAACUAGGGAUUGGAGAUGAGAUGGUGUUGAUGAAGAUGUUGAGGAAGAUACCUCCCCUCCGACGAGAGGAGUCUUGGUGAUGACGAUGGCGACGAUUUCCCCCUCCGGGAGGCAAGUUUCCCCGGCAGGAUCGUCCUGCCGGAGCUCUAGAUUGGAUGUGCUCAAGUUCCGCCUCGUGGCGGCGGGGAAACCACGAAAAGCUCCUGAUUGAUUUUUUCUAGAACGAAACCCUUCAUAUAGCAAAAGAGGGGGGCUAGUGGGCCGUCAGGGAGCCCACAAGCUUGCCCUCUGCCACCAGGGGGUGGCGGUGCAGGGCUUGUGGUGCCCUGGCAGCCCCCCUCUGUUACUUCAUUCACCCAGUAUUUUUUAUAUAAUCCCAAAAAAUUCCAUGUAACUUUUGAGGGCAUUUGGAGAUGUGCAGAAUAGUGGACUAAGAUUUGCUCCUUUUCCAGUCCAGAAUUCCUGCUGCCUGAAUUCUCCCUCUUCAAAUAAACCUUGCAAAAUAAGAGAGAAAAGGCAUAAAUAUGGCACCACAAAGUAAUAUAAACAGCCCAUAAAGCAAUAAAUAUCAACAUGAAAUCAUGAUGCAAAAUGGACGUAUCAAUCCACCUGGCCGAGCCUUCUCUCACCGACAGGUGGGGUCGGGGCCCACCUGUCGGGUCCGUCUCUCUCCUCCCGCCUCCUCUUCUCAUACCUCCCGACCGAGGCAUAGAGGGUGGCUGGCCGCCGGCGUUCUGCGGCUCCGGUGGGUGAGGGCUCUGGCCGAGGGCGGGUAUGCAGGCCCCGGUUGAAGGUGCAUCCGCCCGUACCCUAGGUGAUGGCGGGGUUGGCAUGUGGCAGACGAACGGGUGAGAGGCGGACGACGGCUUCGGUGAGCUCGGACUCGGGGCCAAGGCCUACUCUAACGCCAAAUAGAGGCUGGGGAGCCACUGGGGUGGUUGUAGUGACCGUCUACAUCAGUCAAAUGGAGCAACACGGACGAGUGAAUUUAGGUGAGGGGGAGCGGCGGUCAUGGUGGCCAUGGGAGGGAACCGGAGCUCCUCGAGCUCGAUUAAGAGGCCGCGGAGGGCCCCGGGAGAGAGGGAAGGAGGUGUGGUUCUUAGGGAUGUUUAGAAAGGGCUCGGGAUGGACUAUUUAUAGGUGCCCAACGGCGAGAAGAUAACCAUGACCACCGUGGUGAGCUAAUCGUUGUCCUGGCUCUCGGGGAGGACGUGGUUGGCUGCUUGCGGUGCCGGGAAGAGUCUCGGGCAUACGGUGGAGGCCAGCUGGAUCUACGGGAAAAAUAAAGGAGGAAGAAGAAACGGGUCAUAGGCGGCACAGAGCUCCGGCGAAGCUUGCCGUGGCAUGAGGAGAAAGAAUGGGGAGGGGGAAGCUGCUGGAGAGUGGGCACACGGCCGUCACAAAUCCACUGGACAUGCCCGGAUGAGUGGAGGCCUGCUAGAGGCUAUCUGGCUGAGGUGAUAGAGGCGCAGAGCGCCGUUUGGACGUGUUCACUGCGUGGUCACUACCAGCACCACGUGUCCAGAGCACCUGUUUGGCUCUAGGACAUGUUAAACAAAUGCACAAGAGGUACGAGAUUUGACUUGAGAAGGUUUGGAUGGGAGUGGGGGCAAGAGAUGAUAGAUGAGAUCCCACAAGCGUUGUGGCCAGCAAGUGUUUGAUAUGUGGUGUGGUGACUACAGUGUUGCUCUUAGCCUGGUCUUUUGUGGAGGUUAAACAUACACUAGGGUGAACAUGAUUACAAAGUUUCAACCCAAAGGGACAACUCCAGAUGGUACUUCCUUUGUAACCAUGCACUCUGGCCAGAAAUGGAGAUGAUGAUGCUGGGGAAACAUAGCUACAUGGAUUUGGCUCAACUUUGGUGGAGAGCGAUUAUUUGAACAUCGGAAGAUCCUAGAAAAGUUACACAUCAUUUGGAAAUGCCAAAGUGGUAUUGCCUUCACGGAGGUUCCAAAUGGACAGAAACUUGGGAAAAUUUCGGUGGAUGCAAGGAUAGAGGGAUUGAGCUGGUUUUUUGUCUCCACGAGUGAUUUACCAAUGUUAGUCACCAUGAAAAAUUUCAUCUCAAAUAGAUCAAGGGUUCAAGCACUUUCGUUGCAAAUUGCACAACUCGACAGAAUUUGCAAGUUGGUGUUGUGCUCAAAAUUUGAACUAUGGAACAUGGGUUCUUGGUGGAAAUGGGGAAGAUAUGGAUAUGAGAAGCUCCACAAUUUUUUGGGAGUUUUCCUGGCUACCAAAAUGGUAGUUCCUUUAGAAAGUGCCCAAAAUGCAAUAUUGGCAUUAAAUAGGAAAACACAAUUUCUCCUAUUUAAUUAUGGCCAAUAUUUUUAUGGGAGAUUAAUAUGAUCACAAAUAAUAUCUCCACAAGUUGUCAUGAACUCUGGAGAUGGAUAGAUAUUUUCCUGGAUUUAAUUCCUUUAACUGACAGAAAGAGGAAUUAAUUAUAAAUGAAAAAUAUUGCAAACGACUUGGCAAUAUUUUUGCAUAUCCAAGGUUUAAAGAUGAAGGAUUAUCAGUGGGGACCAUUUGGGAGGCAACAGAUCAAAGGAAAUUGGGGUGCCUUUGUAACUGGAAGGAUUAGGGUUUCCCUUCCGGCAACUCGGAAGGUAGGGUUUUGACGGCAAAACCGUGAGAAUAGAUCCUAGGUGGCAAGGUUGGACUGGAGAAAAUCUCUGGUUGGUCAGGAAAGGCAAGUGUAGAUGACCACCUUCACAUACCCAAGAGCUACAGAAAUCCGAUAACACUGAGAAAAAGAUGGGAGUUAGAUCCCGCAAAGGAAAAAGAACAGGCGAAGAUCUUAAAGUGAUUUGUAUGACUCCUAUUGAAUCUUUGUUUUCUAACAUAAAACUUGGAAAAGAUGGGACUCGAGAUGAGUCAACUUUAGUUAAAAGGCGUACCAAUGAUUCAGAGUUUAUAGAUCUUAAUGCCAAGAUCUUGUUUCCAUUCAAAACUUAAAUAGCAAUGAACCCACUCUUUUGGAUUUCAGAGACUUUAAUUAUGAUAGUUUUUCUUUCAUUGAUUAUGUUUCCUUGUUGCAAUCCAUGUUGAAUUCUCCACAAGCUUAUAGUCAAAAUAAAGCUUUUAUUAAACAUAUUGUGGAUGCUAUGAUGAAAUCCUUGGAAGAAAAACUUGAGUUGGAAGUUUAUAUACCAAGAAAGCUUUAUGAUGAGUCGGAACCGAGUAUUAAGAUUGAAAUUAAAGAUUAUGAGUGCCAUGCUUUGUGUGUUUUGGGUGCUAAUGUUACCAAGGUUCCAAAAACUUUAUGUGAUGUUCUGGGUUUUCGUGAAUUUGAUGAUUGCUCUUUAAAUUUGCAUCUAAAGGAUUCCACAAUUAAGAAAGCUAUGGGAAGGAUUAAUGAUGUUCUUAUUGUUGCAAAUAGGAAUUAUGUGCCCGUAGAUUUCAUUGUUCUUGAUAUAGAUUGCAAUCCUACAUGUCCUAUUAAUCUUGGUAGACCUUUCCUUAGAACGAUUGGUCCAAUUAUUGAUAUGAAGUAAGGAAAUAUUAGAUUCCAAUUUACAUUAAGGAAAGGCAUGGAUCACUAUCCUAGAAAUAAAUUAAAAUUACCUUAUUAAUCUAUUAUGAGAGCCACUUAUUGUUUGCAUACCAAAGAUGACAAUACCUAGAUCUAUUGCAUUAUGCCGAGCUAGGGGGCGUUAAACAAUAGUGCUUGUCGGGAGACAACCCAAUUUAAUUUUUAUGGUUUUGUUUUUGAUUAUGUUUUUGAGUGCAGAACACAUUACUACCUGUGUAAUAACUAUGUUUUCUUGUUUCAAUUAGUGUUUGAGCCAAGUAAGACCUUUGGGGUGGUCUACGGUAUUUGCAAUUUGAUUUUGCGGAAAAAACAUAAUCUUUCGCCCUCAGUCCAAGAAUUUUGUAAAUUCGCUAGAACAUUAUUUUGAUCUCAAUGUUUUUACACAAGAUUUAUAUACAAAAUUCCCAGUUCGUCCUAAUUUGUCAGAAUUUUUGGAGUUACAGAAGUAUUCAAAGUAAACAGAUUGCUACAGACUGUUCUGUUUUUGACAUAUUCUGUUUUCUUUGUGUUGUUUGCUUAUUUUGAUGAAUCUAUGGGUUGUACCGUGUGGUAUGAACCAUGGAGAAUUUUUAAUACAGUAAUAUUACAUCAAUAUAAGUAAAUAAUGAGUUCACAACAGUACCUAAAGUGGUGACUGCUACCUCUUGAGCUUGCGUUGGUUUUUUCCUCGAAGAGGAAAGGGUGAUGCAUCACAGUAGCAGUAAGUAUUUUCCUCAGUUUGAGAACCAAGGUAUCAAUCCAGUGGGAGUAUCAAGCCAAGUCUCCACCGUACCUGCGCAAAAACAACAAACUUGCACCCAACGCUACAAAGGGGUUGUCAAUCCCUUCACGAUUGAUUGCAAGGUGAGAUCUGAAGGCGGAAAGUGCAAUAAAGUAAAAGUGUAAGGCUGAAAAUAUGAUGUGAAGUAGACCCGGGGGCCAUAGUGUUCACUAGAGGCUUCUCUCAUGAUAGCAAAUAUUACGGUGAGUGAACGAAUUACUGUCGAGCAAUUGAUAAAACCGCGCAAAGUCAUGACGAUAUCUAAGGCAAUGAUCAUACAUAUAGGCAUCACGUCCGAGACAAGUAGACCGCUACUUUCUGCAUCUACUACUAUUACUCCACACAUCGACCGCUAUCCAGCAUGCAUAUAGUGUAUUGAGUUCAUGACAAACAGAGUAACGCCUUAAGCAAGAUGACAUGAUGUAGAGGGAUAAAUUCAUGCAAUAGAUAUAAACCCCAUCUUUUUAUCCUACCCCUUCUCUCACUGGGUGAGGUCACCGCAGGGUGUGGACCCAAAACCAAGCACUUCUCCCAUUGCAAGAAUGAUAGAUCAAGUUGGCCAAACAAAACCCACAACUCGAAGAGAAUUACAAGGAUAUGAAAUCAUGCAUAUAAGAGAUGAGAAGAAACUCAAAUAAGAUUCAUAGAUAAUCUGACCAUAAAUCCACAAUUCAUCAGAUCCCGACAAACACACCGCAAAAGAAGAUUACAUCGGAUAGAUCUCCAUGAAGAUCAUGGAGAACUUUUUAUUGAAGAUCCAAGAGAGAGAAGAAGCCACCUAGCUACUAGUUAUGGACCCGAAGGUCUAUGGUGAACUACUCACGCAUCACCGGAGAGGCAAUGAUGUUGAUGAAGAAGCCCUUCGUGUCCGAAUCCCCCCUCCGGUAGGGCACCAGAACGUGCCCCAGAUGGGAUCUUGCAGAGACAGAAGCUUGCGGCGGCGGAAAAGUAUUUUCGUGGCUCUCUCCCGUGGUUUUGGAUUUUUCGGGGAUUCAUAGGCGGAAGAAGUAGGGCAGAGGAGCCAAAGGGUGGCCCACAAGCCUGCUAGGCGCGGGCCCUCCCAGGCCGCGUCUAGGGGGCUUGUGGCCUUCCCUGGUGCUCUCUACCUUGGUUCUCAAGCUCCCUGUGUAUCUUCUGUUUCGGAAAAAAAUAUUUUCAGAGGUUUUAUUCCGUUUGGACUCCGUUUAAUAUUAUCCUCUGAAAAGGGUCAAAAACAUGGAAAAAAUAGGAACUGGCACUUGGCACUGAGUUAAUAAGUUAGUCCCAAAAAAGAUAUAAAAGGCAUACAAAACAUCCAAAGUUUGACAAGAUAAUAGCAUGGAACCAUAAAAAAUUAUAGAUACAUUGGAGACGUAUCAGUGACUUAUUUUUCUUAUACUAACGGGUCUCAUGAGUUUUGUGUUGUGAAGUUUUCUAGUUUUGGGUAAAGAUUUGAUAGACUAUGGAAUAAGGAGUGGCAAGCGCCUAAGCUUGGGGAUUCCCAAGGCACCCCAAGCCAUAUUCAAGGAUACCAAAGAGCCUAAGCUUGAGGAUGCCCUGGAAGGCAUCCCCUCUUUCGUCUUCAAUCCAUCGGUAAAUUUACUUGAGGCUAUAUUUUUAUUCACCACAUGAUGUGUGUUUUGCUUGGAGCACCUUGUAUGAUAUGAGCCUUUACUAUUUAGUUUGCCACAAUAAUCCUUGCUGCACACAUAUUUUGAGACACACACGCUGAAUCGUGAAUUUCUUAGAAUACUCUAUGUGCUUCACUUAUAUCUUUUGAGCUAGGCAAUGUUGCUCUAGUCCUUCACUUAUAUGUUUUAGAGUGCGGUGGUGUUUUAUUUUAUAGAAAUUAUUGAGCUCUCGUACCUCACUUAUAUUAUUUUUAGAGCCUCUAAAUAUCAUGGUAAUUGGUUUAGGUUAUGAAUUUAGUCCUAAUAUAAUGGGCAUCCUAGAGGGAUAUAAUGAAAACUUUAAUAUUAAGUGCAUUGAAUAUGAUGAGAAGUUUGAUUCCUUGUAUAUAGUUUUGAGAUAUGAAGAUCUUAAUAUGAAAGACAUGCUAGUAUGUAAUUGUGAAUUGGAAGAAAUACUUGUGUUAAAGUUUUUGAUUCCCGUAGCAUGCACGUAUGGUGAACCGUUAUGUGAUGAAGUGAGAGCAUGAUUUGUUUGAUGAUUGUCAACCAUUGUGUGUGAGUCUGGAUCGCGCGAUGGUUAACUCCUACCAACCCUUCCGCUAGGAGCAUGUGUCUAAUAAUUUACAUCGAUAAUUAAUAAACUUUUGCAAUAAGUAUGUGAGUUUUUUAUGACUAAUGUUGAGUCCAUGGAUUAUACGCACUCUCGCCCUUCCACCAUUGGUAGCCUCUCUAGUACCGCGCAACUUUCGCCGGUGCAUUAAACUCACCUUCCUCAAAACAUCCACGAUAUAUUUUCCUCAAAACAGCCACCAUACCUACCUAUUAUGUUAUUUCCAUAGCCAUUCCGAGAUAUCUUGCCAUGCAACUUCAACCGUUCUAUUUUUUAUGACACACACUAUCAUUGUCAUAUUGUCUUGCAUGAUCGUAAGAUAGCUAGCAUGAUGUUCAUAUGUCAUUACUAUGCUAGAUCAUUGCGCAUCCCGGUACACCACCGAAGGCAUGCAUAUAGUGUCAUAUUUUGUUCUUGGAAUUGAGUUGUAAUUUUUUGUUUGUAAGUAUAUAAAAGUGUGAUGAUUUGUGUUAUUAGAGCAUUGUCCCAUGUGAGAGAAAAGGAUGAUGGAAAGAUAUGAUUCCGUCACAAGUUGGGAUGAGUAUGCGGACUUUACAAAAAAUAAAAGAGGCCAGUGAAGCCCAUAAAAAUAAAAGAGGCCAAAGGUGCGCACCCAAAAAAAUGAGAUAAAAGAGAGAAGGGACAAUGGUAUUAUCUUUUUCCACACUUGUGCUUCAAAGUAGCACCAUGAUCUUCAUAAUAGAGAGUCUCCUAUUUUGUCACUUUCAUAUACUAGUGGGAAUUUUUUAUUAUAGAACUUGGCUUGUAUAUUCCAAUGAUGGGCUUUCUCAAGUUGCCCUAGGUCUUCAUGAGCAAGCAAGUUGGAUGCACACCCACUUAGUUUCUUUUUGAGCUUCCAUACACUUAUAGAUCUAGUGCAUACGUUGCAUGGCAAUCCCUACUCACUCACAUUGAUAUCUAUUCAUGGGCAUCUCCAUAGCCCGUUGAUAUGCCUAGUUGAUGUGAGACUAUCUUCUCCUCCUUUUCCUUUGCAACCUCCACCAUAUUCUAUUCCAGCUAUAGUAUUAUAUCCAUGGCUCACGCUCAUGUAUUGUGAGAGAGUUUAAAAGGUUUUAGAACAUAAGAAGUGUGAAAAAAUUGCUUGACUUUCGUCGGGGUUGUGCAUGAUUUAAAUACAUUGUCUGGUGAAGAUGGAGCAUAGCCAGACUAUAUGAUUUUGUAGGGAUAACUUUCUAAGGCCAUGUUAUUUUGAAAGGACACAAUUGCCUUGUUAGUAUGCUUGAAGUAUUAUCGUUUUUAUGUCAAUAUUAGACUUUUGUUUUGAAUCUUAUGGAUCUGAAUAUUCAUGCCACCAUAAAGAAUAUUACAUGGAUAAAUAUGUUAGGUAGCAUUCCACAUCACAAAUUCUGUUUUUAUCAUUUACCUACUCGAGGAUGAGUAGGAAUUAAGCUUGGGGAUGCUUGAUACGUCUCCAACAUAUCUAUAAUUUUUGAUUGUUCCAUACUAUUAUAUUAUCUAUUUUGGAUGUUUUAUAUGCAUUUAUAUGAUGUUUUAUAUCAUUUUUGGGACUAACCUAUUAAUUUAGAUCCUAGUACUAGUUUCUGUUUUUUCCUUGUUUUGGGGUAUUGCAGAUAAGGAAUGUUAAAUGGAGUCCAAACGGAAUAAAACCUCAGGAAUGAUUUUUUCUCGAUCGAAAGAAACAUGUCAAACUUGGAGAAGGGAGCAGGACACCUACUCGGAGUCCACAAGCCUGCAAGGAGCGGACAGGUGGGUAGGCCGCGCCGCCCUGGCUUGUGGGUCCCCUGCAGGUCUCCAAACCCUAAUUCUUGUCCUAUAAAUUCCCAAAUAUUCCCCCAUUAUCGAGGAGACACCAAAAAAAUUAUUUUUCACCACCGGAAGCCUCUGUUUCCGAGAGAUCCAAUCUUGGAGCCUUUUUCGGUAAUCUACCGGAGGGGGAUUCGAUCAUGGAGGGCAUCUACAUGAACUCCAUUGCCUCUCCCAUGAUACAUGAGUAGUUUACCACAGACCUACGGGUCCAUAGCUAGUAGCUAGAUGGCUUCUUCUCUCUCUUUGUUCUUCAAUACCAUGUUCUUCAUGAUCUUCAUGAAGAUCUAUCCGAUGUAAUAUGCUUUUGCGCUGUGUUUUUUGAGAUCCGAUGAAUUAUGAGUUUAUGUUCUGAUUAUCUAUGAGUAUUAUUUGAAUCUAUUCUGAAUUUUUAUAUGCAUGAUUUCAUAUAUUUGCAAGUCUCUUCGAAUUAGUGGUUAGUUUGGCCAACUAGAUUGGUAAUUCUUGCAAUAGGAGAAGUGCUUAGUUUUGGGUUCAAUCUUGCGGUGUUCUCACCCAGUGACGAAGUAGGGGUAGCGAGGCACGUAUUGCAUUGUUGCCAUCGAGGAUAAAAAGAUGGGGUUUUCAUCAUAUUGCUUGAGUUUAUCCCUCUACAUCAUGUCAUCUUAAUUAAUGUGUUACUCUGUUCUUCAUGAACUUAAUACUCUAGAUGCUGGAAGGAGUCCGUCGAUGUGUGGAGUAAUAAUAGCAGAUGCAAAAUCGUUUCGGUCUACUUGACAUGGACGUGAUGCCUAUAUGCAUAAUCAUUGCCUUAGAUAUGUUCAUAAUUAUUCGCUUUUCUAUCAAUUGCUCGACAGUAAUUUGUUCACCCACCAUAUUAUUUUCCGUCUUGAGAGAAGCCUCUAGUGAAACCUAUGGCCCCUGUGUCUAUUUUCCAUAUUAUAUUUAUAGAUCUAUAAACCAGAAAUACCAAAAACAUAUUGCUGCUAUUUAUUUACUUUUGUUUUACAUUUAGUGUUUUCAAUCUUUUAUAUCUAUCUCUAACAGGUCUCAUCCUUGCAAAUAACCAUGAAGGGAUUGACAACCCCUUUGUUGCGUUGGGUGCAAGUGUUUGAUUGUUUGUGUAGGUGCUAAGAAUGGGGCCUUGCUUGUUCCUCCUACUGGAUUGAUACCUUGGUUCUCAACAAACUGAGGGAAAUAAUUAUCUACUUUUCUGCAUCACCCUUUACGCUUCAGGGGAAAACCAAUGCAAGCUCAAUAAGUAGCACUUCUCCUUGGUGUUCCGUGAGUACCUGCUCCACCGUCACAUAGAUGACAUCGUGGAUUCGACACUCAUGGUGAACGAGGAGGACUGGAUGAUCCUCGACGCCACCAUGAUCUGUUGGUUUUACCUCACCAUCGCCAAAGAUCUCUUCCACACGGUGGUUUGCGAUGAUGGCGAUGCCUACGCCGUCUCGACCAAGCUCAACAGCCUCUUCACACACAACAAACUCCAACGCAAGGUCCUCCUUCAUGGCGAGUUUUAUGGGUGCUAGCAUCUUGAUUCAUCCAUUGAUAAUUUUUUCAUGCGCCUCAAAAAUAUUGACGAUGAGUAUCGUGAUGUUUGCGCGACGAUCAGCAAUGAGCUCCUCAUCAACACUCUCACUCCUGGCCUCAACGAUGAUUUCAGGAACGCCGCCUCCAACCUAACUCUUAUCCCGGAGCCUACCUUCGCUAAGGUGGUGGCAUACCUCAAGCAUGAGGAGUGGCGCCUGAAGAUGGCGUAGAUCUGGACCACACACACGGCUCUUACCACCGCUACUCACGGUGGACCGGCUCCCCCACGGCCGCCUCUCCAGUUGCUGGCCUUCCCGCAGUCGGCUGCCUUUCAGCCGCCGCAGCCGGCCCCAUCUAGCGACGGGCAUCGCCGCGGUGGUCGGUGCGGUGGGCGUCAGCAGCAGCAGCCAAAAGGUGCUCCGGGUGGAACCGCUCGCCCUCCACAAUAGCAACUGGCUCCAUGGUAUGCCGAGAAGAAUCCAUGGACCAGCGUCAUGCACGCUUAAUCCAUGUCGGUUCCCUGUGCUCGUGCACCCAAUCUCCUCGGACCCCAACCCCCAUCGCAUCAGGCGUUCUACGCCAUGCCAUAGCCAUACGUGGCGCCGUACGACCCUCUCUCUCUCGACCAGCUGACGCAGUCACGUGGGCUGCCAUCGCCCUUCAUGGCCCAACCCCAACUCCCGGCUCCUACGCUUCCCCCUACUCCCUGGGACCCGGCUCUACUAGCGGCGCUGCAGUCCGCCCCUACACCAACAACCUACACUGGCAGUGCCGACUGGUACAGGGAUACCGGUGCUACGGCUCACAUGGCUGCUCAUCCCGGUACCCUCCACACCUCCUAUCCCAUCAACACUUCGACUCGUAUCACCGUCGGUGAUGAUUCCUCUCUACCCAUUACUCAUAUAGGACAUGCAUCUUUUCCCUCCUCCUCCACAUCACUUUCUUUAUCCAACAUCUUAGUUUCACCCAACCUUAUCAAAAAUCUUGUUCCCAUUCACUACUUUACACGUGAAAAUCCCGUUACUGUUGAAUUUGACAUGUUUGUUCUUUCUGUCAAGGCCCGUACCCAUAUAGUGUUGGGUAACGUAGCAAAAAUUCAAAAUUUUCCUACGCCAUACAUAGAUCUUCCUAUGGAGAAACCAGCAACGAGAGAGGGGUGAGAGCAUCUUCGUACCUUUGAAGAUCGCUAAGCGGAAGCAUUACUAGAACGCGGUUCAUGGAGUCGUACUCGCUAUGAUUAAGAUCGCGGUGUGAUUCCGAUCUAGUGCCGAACCACGGCACCUCCGCGUUCAACACACGUGCAGCCCGGUGACGUCUCCUGCACCUUGAUCCACCAAGGCGGAGAGAGAGGUUGGGGAAGAGCUCCAGCAGCAUGACGGCGUGGUGGCGGUGGAGCUACGAGGUCUCCCAGCAGGGCUUCGCCAAGCAUCAUGGGAGAGGAGGGAUGGAGAAGCAGGGCUGCGCCGAGAGAGAAAGAAUUGUGUGUCUCCAAUGGCCAAAACCUCCACUAUAUAUAGGGAGAAGGGGAGGGGGCGCACCCUUAAGGGUUCCCACCCCAAAAGGGUGCGGCAGACCUAGAUGGGAGGGGCUGGCUGGCGGCCAGGGGAGGAGAGGGGUGGCGCACCCCUAGGUGGGCCUUAGGCCCACCAACGCCUAGGGUUUCCCCCUUCCCUCUCUGGUGCGCCUUGGGCUGUGUCUGGGAGGGUGGAGCACCAGCCCACCUGGGGCUGGCUCCCUCCCACACUUGGCCCAUGUAACCUCCUAGGGCUGGUAGCCCCUCCCGGUGGGCCCCCGGAACCCUUCCGGUGGUCCCGGCACAUCGCCGGUGGUGCCCGAAACAUUUCCGGCGUCCAAACCCAUCCAUCCUAUAUAUCAAUCUUUACCUCCAAACCAUUUGGGAGCUCUUCGUGAUGUCCAGGAUCUCACCCGGGACACCGAAUAACCUUCGGUAACCUCGUAUAACAAUGCCAUAUAACCGUAGCGUCAUCCAAACUUAAGUGUGUAGACCCUGUGGGUUCGGGAGGCAUGCAGACAUGACCGAGACACCUCUGCAGCCAAUAACCAUCAGCGGGGUCUGGAUACCCAUGGUGGUUCCCACAUGUUCCACGAUGAUCUCAUCGGAUGAACCACGAUGUCAAGGAUUCAAUCAAUCCCGUAUACAAUUCCCUUUGUCUAUCGGUAUAGAACUUGCCCAAGAUUCGAUCGUCGGUAUCCCUAUACCUUGUUCAAUCUCGUUACUGGCAAGUCUCUUUACUCGUUCCGUAGCACAUCAUCCCAUGACUAACUCCUUAGUCACAUUGAUCUCAUUAUGAUGAUGUUCUAUCGAGUGGGCCCAGAGAUACCUCUCAGUCACACGGAGUGACAAAUCCCGAUCUCGAUUCGUACCAACCCAACAGAUACUUUUGGAGAUACCCGUAGUGCACCUUUAUAGUCACCCAUUUAUGUUGUGACGUUUGAUACAUGCAAAUCACUCCUACAGUAUCCGGGAGUUGCUCAUUCUCACGGUCGAAGGAAUACUUGACAUUAGAAAAGCUUUAGCAUACGAACAACACGAUCUAGUGCUAUGCUUAGGAUUGGGUCUUGUACAUCACAUCAUUCUCCCAAUGAUGUGAUCAUCAGUGACAUCCAAUGUCCAUGAUCAGGAAACCAUGAUCAUCUAUUGAUCAACGAGUUAGCCAACUAAAGGCUUGCUAGGGACACAUUGUGAUCUAUUUAUUCACACAUGUAUCACUGUUUUGUGUUAAUACAAUUAUAGCAUGAACAAUAGACGAUUAUCAUGAACAAGUAAAUAUGAUAAUAACCAUGUUAUUAUUACCUCUAGGGCAUAUUUCCAACAGUCUCCCACUUGAACUAGAGUCAAUAAUCUAGUUACAUUGUGAUGAAUCGAACACCCAUCGCAUUGCGGUGUUGAUCAUGUUUUGCUUGUGGAAGAGGUUUAGUCAGCGGGUCUACAAUAUUCAGAUCCGUGCAUACUUUACAAAUAUCUAUGACUCCUCUGUGGAUCCGUGUGUAGCGGCGUUGAAUGUGCUUGGUCUUCCUAUGAAAUCUGGGCUCCUUGGCUAUGGCAAUGGCUCCAGUGUUAUCAUAGAAGAGUGUCAUCAGACCUGACGCGCUUGGAACCAUUCCAAGGUCGGUGAUGAACUCCUUCAUCCAGAUCCCUUCAUGAGAUGCUUCCGAAGCAGCUAUGUGCUCCGCUUCACAUGUAGAUGCUGCCACAACGUCUUGCUUGCUGCUGCACCAGCUUACUGCCCCACCAUUCAGAACAUACACGUAUCCGGUUUGUGACUUAGAGUCAUCCAGAUCUGUGUCGAAGCUAGCAUCGUUGUAACCCUUUACGACGAGCUCUUCGUCACCUCCAUAAACGAGAAACAUUUCCUUAGUCCUUUUCAGGUACAUAAGGAUAUUCUUGACCGCUGUCCAAUAUUCCAUACCGGGAUCACUUCGGUACCUCCCUACCAAACUUAUGGCAAGGUUUAUAUCAGGUCUGGUACAUAGCAUGGCAUAUAUUAGAGAGCCCACGGCUGAAGCGUAGGGGACAGUACUCGUCUUCUCUCUAUUUGCUGUUGUGGUCGGUGACUGAGUCUUACUUAAUCUCAUACCUUGCAAAACUAGCAAGAACCCCUUCUUCGAGUUUUCCAUAUUGAACUUCUUCAAUAUCUUGUCAAGGGAUGUACUUGGUGAAAGACCUACGAGGCGUCUCGAUCUAUCUCUAUAGAUCUUGAUGCCUAAUAUGUAUGCAGCUUCUCCAAGGUCCUUCAUUGAAAAACUCUUAUUCAAGUAGGCCUUUAUGCUCUCCAAUAAGCCUAUAUUAUUCCCAAUCAAUAAUAUGUCAUCCACAUAUAGUAUGAGAAAAGCUACAGAGCUCCCACUCACUUUCUUGUACAGACAGGCUUCUCCAUAAACCUGUAUGAACCCAAACACUGUAAUCACCUCAUUAAAGCGAAUGUUCCAACUCCGAGAUGCUUGCACCAGCCCAUAGAUGGAGCGCUGGAGCUUGCAUACCUUGUUAGCACUCUUAGGACUGACAAAACCUUUUGGUUGCAUCAUAUACAACUCUUCCUUAAGAUACCCAUUAAGGAACGCUCUUUUGACGUCCAUUUGCCAAAUUUCAUACUCAUGAAAAGAGGCAAUUGCUAACUUGAUUCGGACUGACUUCAGCUUCGCUACGGGAGAGUAAGUCUCAUCGUAGUCAACUCCUUGAAUUUGUCGAAAACCCUUUGCGACAAGUCGAGCUUUAUAAACGGUCACAUUACCGUUUGUGUCAGUCUUCUUCUUGAAGAUCCAUUUAUUUUCUAUGGCUCACCGAUCAUCGGGCAUGCCCACCAAAGUCCAUACUUUGUUCUCAUACAUGGAUCCUAUCUCGGAUUUCAUGGCCUCAAGCCAUUUAUUGGAAUCCGGGCCCGCCAUUGCUUCUUCAUAGUUCGAAGGUUCACCGUUGUCUAACAACAUGAUCUCCAUUAGAGGAUUUCCGUACCACUCUGGUGCGAAACGUACCCUUGUGGACCUUCGUGGUUCAGUAGCAACUUGAUCCGAAGCUUCAUGAUCAUCAUCAUUAACUUCCUCUUCAGUUGGCGUAGGCGCCACAGGAACAUUUUCCCGCACUGCGCUACUCUCCGAUUCGAGAGGAGGUACAAUUACCUCAUCAAGUUCUACUUUCCUCCCACUUACUUCUUUCGAGAGAAACUCUUUCUCUAGAAAGGAUCCGUUCUUGGCAACAAACAUUUUACCUUCGGAUCUAAGAUUGAAGGUAUACCCAAUAGUUUCCUUAGGGUAUCCUAUGAAUACGCAUUUCUCCGCUUUGGGUUCGAGCUUUUCUGGUUGAAGUUUCUUCACAUAAGCAUCGCAGCCCCAAACUUUUAGAAACGACAUCUUAGGUUUCUUGCCAAACCAUAAUUCAUACGGUGUCGUCUCAACGGAUUUAGUCGGUGCCCUAUUUAAAGUGAAUGCCGCAGUUUCCAAUGUGUAUCCCAAAAUGAUAGUGGUAAGUCGGUAAGUGACUUCAUAGAUCGCACCAUAUCUAAUAAAGUGCGAUUAUGACGUUCAUACACUCGUUAUGCUGCGGUGUGCGAGGCGGUGUGAGUUGUGAAACAAUUCCACAUUUCCUUGGGUGUGUGCCAAAGUCGUGACUCAAAUAUUCUCCUCCACGAUCAAAUCGCACACACUUUAUUUUCUUGUCACGUUGAUUCUCAACCUCACUCUGAAAUUCUUUGAACUUUUCAAAUGUUUCAGACUUGUGCUUCAUCAAGUAGAUAUAUCCAUACCUACUCAAAUCAUCAGUGAGAGUGAGAACAUAACGAUAGCCACCGUGAUCUUCAACGUUCAUCGGACUGCAUACAUCAGUAUGUAUUAUUUCCAAUAAGUCGGUUGCUCGCUCCAUUACUCCUAAGAACACAGUCUUAGUCAUCUUGCCCAUGAGGCACGGUUCACAUGUGUCAAACGAUUCAAAAUCAAGAGACUUUAACAGUCCAUCAGUAUGGAGUUUCUUCAUGCGCUUGACACUAAUAUGACCAAGGCAGCAGUGCCACAAGUAUGUGGGACUAUCAUUAUCAACUUUACAUCUUUUGGUAUUCACACUAUGAAUAUGUGUAAUAUCAUGAUCGAGAUUGAUCAAGAAUAAACCAUUCACCAGCGGAGCAUGACCAUAGAACAUAUCACUCGUAUAAAUAGAACAACCAUUCUUCUCUGACUUAAAUGAGUAGCCGUCUCGCAUUAAGCAAGACCCUGAUACAAUGUUCAUGCUCAAAGAUGGUAAGAAAUAACAAUUAUUAAGGUUUAAAACUAAUCCCGAAGGUAGAUGUAGAGGUAGCGUGCCGACGUCGAUCACAACGACCUUGGAACCAUUCCCGACGCGCAUCGUCACCUCGUCCUUGGCCAACCUCCGUUUAUUCCGCAGUUCCUGCUUUGAGUUGCAAAUGUGAGCAACAACACCGGUAUCAAAUACCCAGGAGCUACUACAAGCGCUGGUAAGGUACACAUCAAUAACAUGUAUAUCAUAUAUACCUUUGAUGUUGUCGGCCUUCUUACCCGCUAAGUACUUGGGGCAGUUCCGCUUCCAGUGACCGUUUCCCUUGCAAUAGUAGCACACAGUCUCAGGCUUGGGUCCAUUCUUUUUCUUCUUCCCGGUAGCUGGCUUACCGGGCACGGCAACAGUUUUGUCGUCUUUCUUGAAGUUCUUCUUACCCUUGCCCUUUUUGAAACUAGUGGUCUUCUUGACCAUCAACACUUGAUGCUCUUUCUUGAUUUCUACUUCUGGAGAUUUCAGCAUCGAGUACAAUUCGGGAAUGGUCUUUUCCAUCCCUUGCAUGUUGUAGUUCAACACAAAACCCUUGUAGCUUGGUGGGAGAGACUGGAGGAUUCUGUCAAUUACAGCGUCAUCCGGAAGUCCGACUCCAAGCUGAGUCAGACGACCGUGCAACCCAGACAUUCUGAGUAUAUGCUCACUAACAGAACGGUUCUCCUCCAUCUUACAGCUAAAGAACUUGUCGGAGACUUCAUAUCUCUCGACCCGGUCAUGAGCUUGAAAAACUGGUUUCAGCUCCUGGAACAUCUCAUAUGCUCCGUGUUGCUCAAAACUCCUUUGGAACCCCGUUUCUAAACUAUAUAGCAUGCCACACCUAACCAGAGAGUAGUCAUCACUCCGCGUUUGCCACGCGUUCUGAACGUCUUGGGCUGCCACGGGAAUAGGAGGGUCACCUAGCGGCGCAUCAAGGACAUAGGCCUUCUUGGAUGCAAUGAGGAUGAGCUUCAAGUUACGGACCCAGUCUGCAUAGUUGCUACCAUCAUCUUUCAGCUUAUUUUUCUCUAGGAACGCGUUGAAAUUGAGGUUGACACGUGUGUUGGCCAUCAGAUCUACAAUAUUCGUGAAGACAACUUUUAGACUAAGUUCAUGAUAAUUAAGUUCAUCUAAUCAAAUUAUGUAUGAACUCCCACUUAAAUCGACAUCCCUCUAGUCAUCUAAGUGUUACAUGAUCCAUGUCGACUAACCCGUGUCCUAUAAUCACGUGAGACGGACUAGUCGUCGAUGGUAAGCAUCUCCAUGUUGAUCGUAUUCAACCAUACGACUCAUGUUCGACCUUUCGGUCUCUCGUAUUUGAGGCCAUGUCUGUACAUGCCAGGCUCGUCGAGUCAACCUAAGUGUUUCGCGUGUGUAAAUCUGGCUUACACCCAUUGUAUGCGAACGUUAGAAUCUAUCACACCCGAUCAUCAUGUGGUGCUUCGAGACAACGAUCCUUCACAACGGUGCACACUUAGGGGAAUACAUUCUAGAAAUUUUAUGAGGGGUCAUCUUAUUAUGCUACCAUCGUUCUAAGCAAUGAAAUGAAAAACAUGAUAAACAUCACAUGCAAUCAUAUAGUGACAUGAUAUGUCCAUUAUCAUCUUUGCUCCUUCGAUCUCCAUCUUCGGGCAUCGCAUGAUCAUCAUCGUCACUAGCGUGACACCAUGAUCUCCAUCAUCAUGAUCUCCAUCAUUGUGUCUCUGUGAAGUUGUCACUCCAACUAUUACUACUACUACUACUACAGCUAACCAUUAGCAAUGAAGCAAAAGUAGUAAACACAUGGCAUUGCAUCUCAUACAAUAAACUAAGACAACUCCUAUGGCUCCUACGGUUGUCAUACUCAUCAACAUGCAAGUCAUGAAUCCUAUUACAAGAACAUGAUCAUCUCAUACAUCACACAUGUAACAUCACAUCCUUUGGCCAUCUCACAUCACAUGUCAUACCCUGCAAUAACAAGGUAGACGUCCUCUAAUUGUUGUUGCAAGUUUUACGUGGCUGAUUUGGGUUUCUAGCAAGAACGCCUUCUUACCUACGUGACAGCCACAACAUUGAUAUGCCAAAGCUAUUUACCCGUCAUAAGGACCCUUUUCAUCAAAUCCAAUCCGACUAGAGUAGGAGAGACAGACACCCGCUAGCCACCUUAUGCACCAUGUGCAUGUCACGCGAUGGAACCUGUCUCACAUAAGCGUACGUGUAUUGUCAGUCUGGGCCGCUUCAUCCCACAGUACCGCCAGAAAGGAAUAAGACUAGUAGUGGUAAGCAAUUGACAAGAUCAGCGCCCACAACCUUUGUGUUCUACUCGUGCAAAGAAUCUAUGCAUAGAAAACCUGGCUCGGAUGCCACUGUUGGGUAACAUAGCAAAAAUUCAAAAUUUUCCUGCGCCAUACAUAGAUCUUCCUAUAGAUAAACCAGCAACGAGAGAGGGGUGAGAGCAUCUUCGGACCUUUGAAGAUUGCUAAGCGGAACCAUUGCUAGAACGCGGUUGAUGGAGUCGUACUCACUGUGAUUCAGAUCGCGGUGUGAUUCCGAUCUAGUGCCGAACCACGGCACCUCCGCGUUCAACACACGUGCAGCCCGGUGACGUCUCCUGCACCUUGAUCCAGCAAGGAGGAGGGAGAGGUUAGGGAAGAGCUCCGGCAGCAUGACGGCGUGGUGGCGGUGGAGCUACGAGGUCUCCCGGUAGGGCUUCGCCAAGCACCGUGGGAGAGGAGGGAUAGGAGAAGCAGGGCUGCGGCGAGAGAGAAAGAAUUGCGUGUCUCCAAUGGCCAAAACCUUCACUAUAUAUAGGGGGAAGGGGAGGGGCGCACCCUUUAGGGAUCCCACCACCAAAGGGUGCGGCAACCCUAGAUCGGAGGGGCUGGCCGGCGGCCUGGGAGGAGAGGGGGUGGCACAGCCCUAGGUGGGCCUUAGGCCCACCAGCGCCUAGGGUUUCCCCCUUCCCUCUCUGGUGCGCCUUGGGCUGGGUGUGGCGGGCACACCAUCCCACCUCGGGCUGGUUCCCUCCCACACUUGGCCCAUGUAACCUCCCGGGGCAGGUGGCCCCUCCCGGUGGUCCCCCGGAAUCGUUCCGGUGGUCACGACACAUCGCGAGUGGUGCCCGAAACAUACCUGGCGUCCAAACCCAUCCAUCUUACAUAUCAAUCUUUACCGCGGGACCAUUCUAGAGCUCCUCGUGACGUCUGGGAUCUCAUCCGGAACUCCAAACAACCUUCGGUAACGCCGUAUAACAAUUCCCUAUAACCCUAGCGUCAUCGAACCUUAAGUGUGUAGACCCUACGGGUUCGGGAGGCAUGCAGACAUGACCGAGACACCUCUCCGGCCAAUAACCAUCAACGGGGUCUAGAUACCCAUGGUGGUUCCCACAUGUUCCAUGAUGAUAUCAUUGGAUGAACCACGAUGUCAAGGAUUCAAUCAAUCCCUUAUACAGUUCCCUUUGUCUAUCAGUAUAGAACUUGCCCGAGAUUCGAUCGUCGGUAUCCCUAUACCUUGUUCAAUCUCGUUACCGGCAAGUCUCUUUACUUGUUCCAUAGCACAUCAUCCCGUGACUAACUCCUUAGUCACAUUAAGCUCAUUAUGAUGAUGUUCUACCGAGUGGGCCCAGAGAUACCUCUCCGUCACUCGGAGUGACAAAUCCCUAUCUCGAUUCGUACCAACCCAACAGAUACUUUCGGAGAUACCCGUAGUGCACCUUUAUAGUCAUCGAGUUACGUUGUGACAUUUGAUACACCCAAAGCACUCUUACGGUAUCCGGGAGUUGCACAAUCUCACGGUCGAAGGAAAAGAUACUUGACAUUAGAAAAGCUUUAGCAUACGAACAACACGAUCUAGUGCUAUGCUUAGGAUUGGGUCUUGUCCAUCACAUCAUUCUCCCAAUGAUGUGAUCCCGUUAUCAAUAACAUCCAAUGUCCAUGAUGAGGAAACCACGAUCAUCUAUUGAUCAACGAGCUACCCAACUAGAGGCUUGCUAGGGACACAUUGUGAUCUAUUUAUUCACACAUGUAUUACUAUUUCCUGUUAAUAUAAUUAUAGCAUGAACAAUAGACGAUUAUCAUGAACAAGGAAAUAUGAUAAUAACCAUUUUAUUAUUGCCUCUAGAGCAUAUUUCCAACAGAUAGUGCUCCACCGAUGUGAUAGUCCUCACGACCUCUAUCCGGUCGACUCAACUGCCCCCUCCACCUCGGCCGCUCAUGUUUCCCUUGCCACCGGUGUGGACCUUUGGCAUGCUUGCUUGGGUCAUCCCAACCCAGCCACCCUUUGUCAUAUUCUUUGCAAUUUUUCUUUCACAUGUAAUAAGAACGAGAAUCACUCUUGUCAUGCUUGUCGUCUCGGCAAACAUACUCGUCUCCCUUUUCGUGCUUCUUCUCGUGUUGCAUCAUACACGUUUGAGUUAAUUCAUAGUGAUGUGUGGACCUCUCCUCUUGCAAGUAAUACGGGCUACUCUUACUAUCUCAUCAUCCUUGAUGAUUUUUCGCACUUUGUGUGGACCUUCCAUUUGCGGCGCAAGUCCGAUGCCAUCACCACCCUUGCCGCCUUCUAUUCCUAUGUCUCUACGCAGUUUGGGCAUCCCAUUCUUGCGUUCCAAACAGACAAUGGGAAGGAGUUCGACAUCCUGGCUGUUCGUACUCUCCUCACCACACAUGGCACGAUAUUGCGUCUCACUUGCCCCUGCACUUUGCAACAGAACAUCCGCGCUGAAUGGGUCCUUCACACUCUUAACGAUUGCGUUCAUACGCUUCUCUUUCAUGCAAAUGUGCCUCCGCGCUUCUGUCCCGACGCACUCGCCACUGCAUCUGUGACAGCCCGAAUGCAUUCCCUUCCCCCUCUUGUAAUUUCUUCCCUUGUAUGGCAACCUUGCUAUGGUAAGGAUAAGUGGUUGAGCCCAAUUGUGUCAUCAUUUUAUGUUGCAUCUGGCAUCAUGCAUAUCAUCACUUCUUUGUCUUGUCUUUUGUUAUUUGUGUUACACCUUGGUAUGAGUGUAAGUGCUAUGUGUGGAUGUGUUUGGGCUUGUGUAAUGUGCUUGGGUGCAAAUAGUCCAAUUCAAAAACCCUUUUGUUGCACCAUGGAUUCAAACUCCCUGCUUUCCUAUUAAUUGAGGCAGGUUUAAAGUUUCUGUUUUUGCCCCAAUAAAAAAUGUUCCUCUUUCCCUAAAAAUCCUUUUAUUAAUUGUGGGGUGCAACACCCUUUUGUUUAAAUUUAUUUUCCUUUUGGAUUUAUUGAAAACAGAGUCUUAUUUUAAUAAAAGCUAUUUAACUUUUACUAUUCAAACAUGCCCAAUUCAUUUUUAUAAAUUGGGGCAUGAUUUUAGAAGUCCAAAAGUAUUUUUUCUUUCGUUAAAUUAUUUUUCGUUUUCCUCUAGCUUUUAUUUCCAAGUUUUUUUAGACAAUCUUGCCAAGCUUUAUUUAGAAUCCAGAAUGUUUACAUGUAAAAAGUGCAACUCUCCCGGUUGGCCCAACCAAGCAAGGCGUCCAAAACCGAGAUUUAAAGCAUACUUAGCGAGAUUGUGAGCCUCGAAAUUCGAGCUCCUAAACUCAUGAACUAUGUUACAAGAAGUGAAAAGGCUAGAACGACCUAUAAUUUCAUGUACAAUAGCUCCGUACUCCGACAUUGCAUUCUUCCCAGUAUCAUCAACCACUGUCCUACUAUAUGACUCUAUAUGAAUUCUGUUGAAAUAUAAGUCCUCCGCCACGGCUUGCCCUUCUCUAAUCGCCAGUGCCUCCAAAGCAGCUGCCACUGUAAUGCCCCUGACUUUGAUAACCAAAGAUCCCAUAAACUUCCCUUCUCGGUCACGGCAUAGAGCUGCGCCGCACCAUAGGAUCCCUCUGUCAUUACGGACGCAUCCGUAUUUAUUUUUACAAAGCCCUCCGGUGGUCUCAGCCACACCGCCGGUCGUGCUUGGAUCUUCCUUAUCUGCUUUGUUGUAACCUUUUCCAGAAUCUGAAUAUCUCUAAUGAAAGCAUUGACAAAAGAAUGAGUCGACAACGGGCUUUCAAAGACCACCCGGCGGCAGCUUUUAUUUCCAAGUGAGCCCCAAUUUUUUUGCAAAGCCUGUUCUUUAUCUGAGAGAGAGAGAGACCCAACUCUAUUUAGCUUUGGCCCAAGGCCCGACCAAUGACCCUUGUCCCUCCUCCUUUCGACCUCAGCGUCGUACGACGUCAUGGAGGCCGCCGAUCCUCCUUUUCUCCCCCUCUCCAGCCCUAGCCCUCUCUUUUCUCCCCCUCUCUUCCCCCUCGCACCGUCAAGGCGACAACAGAGCACCACCAUCGCCAUGGGAAGCUUCGGGCCGAGCCCGUAGCCUGCGUAGGGUGCCGCCUUCCUCCUCCCCGACACUUCUAUAAGCAACCGGAUGUCGGGGGCAUUCCGUUUUCGAAGAGAUCGGGCGCACGGACUUCUUCCUCAACAUCCACAACGGUCGGCUCCUUGCUCUCCUCCGGCGAGCUCGUCUUCCGCUUUGGCUCGCGCGCUUCUUCCUCUCCAGCGGAUCUCUUCUCUGCCCCCUAGGUGAGCGGAGCCCCGCUCUCCUCCGCGCCCCUCUCCUUUAGCUGCGUCGUUGAUCGCUGCCCUAUCGAAGUUGCACCGACAGGUGUGUAAGUCGUCGUAGCCAUGUGUGCAUGUAUGCAUGAAAGCAUGCUUGGCUCCCCCUCUCUGCAUUGUGCAUAGUGUGUAGCUCGUCCCCUGGUGCGUGUGUGUGGGUGCAUGUGCCGUGUGCACCGGCAAGCAGCAGCAUCGCCGGUGUUCCUCUAUUAUCAUAGAGAAGGCGCCUCAUUUUUUGCUUAUCAUGUGGGGUGAAUCCAUCUCUAGAGCAGAUUCCCCUUCGUAGCUGAUUGGUACGAGCGUUGCGCAUGACCACGAGGUCGUGGGUUCGAUACCCCGCGCCCCCUUUUGCAUCCGCUAUUUUUCUUCUUCUGUGGUGCUAGUGGAGUGACUGUUGAAUUGGUUUGGUGUCUCUAUACUAGCAGAUGCAACACAACGGCGAAGUGGCAACCGAACCACAGGGCCUCUCCCCUUUUGCAAUUUUGGUUUGUUUUCCCUCUGUUGCCUUGGCAGAUAGUAGCAUAUAUUGUAUCCCUCCACUGUUAGAGAAGCUAGACCUGCAUAGCACAGUAGUGAUUGCCUCCAUUAUGAACGGAGAGGUGGUGGGUUCGAACCCCCACCACUCCCUUCUUAUUUUUCCUGUUAAUUGUUGUAGAUUAGAGCCUAAAAGGUGGACCAGAGGGCCCACAUGUCAUACUAGGGGGCGUGGUGAGUAUGACUAGUGGGACCCCCCAUGUCGAAUCAUGUGUGUGGUGUUUUUUUACUGUUUGUGAUGUAUUUCCCAAAUCUGGAAUAUUCCAGAAGAGGAAUAUGCCAAACCAGUCAAAUGGUGGCACUCGAUUUCAGUUCUAAGCAGUUUUGCAAAAGUGCCAUUUUGUGAUGAGGUGGCACGUUGUGAGUUGAGUAGGAUUAUUUCUAUGUGUGCUUUGAAGUGGGUGCCUUCUUGCAUCAUAUUGUCUGUUGCAUUAUCUUGCUGGUGUUUAUUGUGUGAUUGUUUCUUGUGGGUAACAACUGGUACAAGAAACGAGUUCGAGGAGUCCGGUGAGUUCAUUCAGGAAGAUCAGGAACAGUUCCACUCUGAAAAUUGCACAGGCAAGAUGCUCGUGACCUUGACAUUGUUUCUAUCUUUGUUAUGCUUAGUUUAUUCGUUUCCAUCGUUAUUCUCCGCCGCCUACCACCUGAUAUAUAAGCCAUCAAACAUUGCCAUGAAACCUCUAACACCUCCCCUCCUAGCAAAUAAUGUUUGGCUAUGUUAGGCUUGCUGAACCAUUUUAUUAGCAUUGCUAGUUGCAGGUGCAAGCUGGUCCAUGUGUUAACAUGGGCAAUUGAUUAUCAUCUUACUUUCAAUCCUAUUUAAUUAAUGCACCUAUAUACUUGGUAAGAGGCGGAAGUCCUGGCCUUUUGCUGGGUGAUUUGUUUCGCUUCUGCCGCCGUAGUUUCGGCUACCGCUGUUUUAUUCCAUAAUAGAGUGCUCCUAACACGUUCGGGGUUGUUAUGGGGACCCCCUUGGUAAAUUGUUUAGUGUUAAGGCUUGUUUGGCAAGACCCAACUUUGGUGUUAAUUUUGCUAAUAACUUAUUAAUUAAAGCAUAGGGAAUAUCUACCCCGAGGAAGUUAAUCAACAACCCGGGCGAGUGCUCCUCAUGAGUGUUGGUCCAAAGUACAGUCAUGUGCGGGGCCAACCCGGGGCAACUCGGGAGAUCUCUAUUAGGCCACCGUAUGUUGCGCUCAUUCAAUCAUGUCCUGAGAUGGAGAUACAUGGCUCUUAUCUGGUUCAUCGACACGUCGGGUGGUCUUGCUGGACAUGUUCUUACCUUAUCGAUAUAUCUUGUGCACUAGGAUUCCCGUGAAACUUUGGGAUUUCCCAGAGUUGAGGUUUUCCACUAAGGGAUCUAACGAGAUCGCGAGCUUCAUGAUCCAGGAUUUCUAUGCAGCCUAGGGUAACUUGUGAUGGAUUAGUUGGAGCACCCCUGCAGGGUUAAAUCUUUUGGAAAUCCGUGCCCGCGGUUAUGUGGCAGUCAUGGAAACUUUGUUAACAUCCGGUUCUAGAUAACUUAAAUAUAACUUAACUAAAAACUGCCAACUAUGUUCGUUUCCGUUACUAUUUCCUUUAGAGUUCCUUCUCUGAUCGAGAACACGGUGGGGUUAUGAAUGACGUAAGUAGGUGUUCAGGAUCACUUAAGGAUUAUUCGUAGUUCACAAAUGUCAUGCGUAGUCCACUAAAUCUUUAUUUCUUGUUGAACGUAAGUUAGGAACUAUAAAUGCUUAGGUUGCUGCAAACUCAAACACAUAUCCCAUCCUUACCCAACAACUUAGUUAGACUCGAUGCCAUGGUCAUGAGAUUGUUCAGUCCUUGUGGCUCACAGUAUACUACAACCACCCACAGGUACAUGUGAAGCUGUAACAUCCCAAAUUUUGGAAUGUUAAUAUAAUUAUUAUAUUGUUUGUUUGUUUGCUUGAGUGAUUGAAACUUGAGUGAAAUUUGAAACUUUUCAAAAACUUUUGAAUGAGAGGGAAUAAAAUGAUUUUCCCCUUCUCCGGUAAAUUCAAGUUCAUCCAAUUAAAAGCAAUGAGAGAAGAUGACAUGACCUCUUCAACUAUAAAGAAUUUGAACGGAGUUUUGCAUUUGAAUUCUUUCAAAUAUUUGCCCUUGCUUCUAUAUUUUUCUUCCCCGAGAAAUACCCCGAAAAUAAUUCUUGCCAAGCAAGAAAGAGAGGAGGAACAUGACCCUCCAAACCGGGGAUAUUCCUUUGAAAUAUUUGGACCAUAAAACCCAAGGUUUAUUUGAAAAAUAUUUGCAAAAAGAAAAUAAACCAAUUUAGGGAUUUUCUAAAAAACAUUUUUUUGAAGUAUUUAUUUUGGUAGUGGAAAAAUGCCCAUCUUUUUGGAUUUAUUUUUCUGAAAAUUUUAAUAUAUUAUACCCCUAUAUUCCGAGGAUAUUCUAUUUCCUUUUAAUCGUAUUAAUUCCUGUUUUAAUAUAAAGGGAAAGAGAUCUCUUAUUUUAGGAAUGUACUUCGGCCACGUUAGGAAACGCAUCAGGCCCAGAUACCCCUUCUUCUUCCUCCUCUCGUUCCCUUCCUUCCCAGGCAAUGGCAGAAGCUUCCUCGAAGCUUCCCUCCCCCGAUUUGCGAGAUAUGUUGCCUCCCCUCGCCUCCCACCACCCCUAUAAGAACGCCCCUCCUCUCCUCGUUCCAUUUUCCCCAUCAGCUCGUCCUCUCCCUACCCGUAGCCAUGACGCCCCCACCAUUGUUGUUCUUGCAAGGAGCCGAACAGAAGAACGCCCAGGAGCACCUGACGCCCCCUUCCUCGCCUCCACCGUUCCCCCUCCCCGCCGGCGACCUCCCCACCUCGCCGGAGCAGCUACCUCGCCGGAGUUCUUCCUCUCUGUCACCCAUGGUGAGAUUCACGAAAUCCCGUAUUGCAGUUUUUUCAGAAAAUUGCAAUCUUAAAAAAUUCAUAUCUAUUAGUCUAUAAAUCCGAAUUAGGUGAUUCUUUUUGCGUUGGAUCACAAAUUUUAUGUAGUUUCUUUAGAUAUAUAAUUUGUAUAUAUUUGGAUAUAUAAAAAUUGAGUUAGAUCAGAUUUGAAUUAAAGCUUGUUUUGCUUAUUCCGGGAGUUUCAAAAUAGCUUUUAAUUUGAUUCUUUUUUCUGCUGCUUCGUAUUCAUCAUAUCAUUCAGUAGUUUAAGUUUCAAGUUUUUUUAAAUAUUUUUACUUAGCCUUUUGUGUUUUCUUGCUAUUUCUUUUGUAUUAAUUGUUCUUAAUUUGUUUUUUUUGUAAUUGUGACAACUUAUAUUUUGUUUUUUGAUAUUUACCAGUAACUUUUCAACAACAACAAAAUUUUAUUUUAUUUAUUCUUAUUUGUUUGUAUGGAAUCAAUUCUAGUUCUAUACUAACUUGCGAAUUGAUUGCAUUGCUAGUUUGAUUUCCUAUUUUGAAAAUACUUAUAAAAAAUAUUGUUUUGUAAAUUUUACUUCUGUUAUCUUAGUUAUUUUAUAUUUUGUUUUCUGUUAUUUUUUGUAUUUUAGUGUUUUAUUUUAAGUUAGAACAAAAACUAUAUAGUGUUUGAUGUAGUAGAAGGCUUCCUAGCUUCUUUGAAGUUUCCUUUGGAUUUUUAUCCGCUCUCUCUUAUUGAUUUUUGAUUGCAUCAACUUUUAUUGCUGUUUGUUAAUUGAUUGCUAGAAUGAUUGUUAGUGUGAGUGCUUAUGUGAAUACUAUGUUUGAUUAUAUAGAUUUCAUCGGAGAGUGACGAAUAGUUCUAUCACGUAUUUCCCGAGAACGAAAAUUCUUCUUCGUCAACAUCACCAGGCAAGUCACUUUGAUCAUACUAUCACCUAUGUUUUAUGCAUCGUAGUUCUACCAUCCUAUGCCCAAUUGCAUGCUGCUUAGGUACUUGGAAAUUUUAGUAUAGAUUGUAGUAUCAUGUGGUAGGCACACAACAACCCCGAUACUUGGCCCCGGGACGACAAAUUUCAUAUUGCUAUGCUUGAGUAGACGGGAAUUCGGUUGAGUGCAUAACACGAGUGAUGCGAGGUUGAUUAAAUAAUCAAGUUAAGACAAGAUUUUUCAAGACCUCGGACGCAAUGCAACUCUGGGUGAAGGACGGUUGAUGGGCUCCCUGGAGAACCCAGUGGAUGACCCGGGAUGCUGGAGAGGCCAUGACAUCCUGCGGAAAGCUUCACCCAGGCUCAAAGAGACGGACGAAUAUUUUCAAGACCCAAGGCUUACCUGCACAGCCGCAAGUCAUCAUGGGCUCUGGCUUGGUUGGACAGCGCGGUGACUCUGGACAGGCGGUGCUAGCAGAUGUAGAAGAACGGUAGGAUUGGAUGGGCACCGACAGGGAUUUAGAGGGACCCGUCGAAAGACCAUGUUUUGAUCAUCCGGUCUUCAAACACCCUGAAGUGCGAGGACAUACACAGAGGCGAUCAAAUCUUGUGGAGAACGUGUGCAAAACUCUACAGAGUACUCAAACCUAAUCGAUUAGCCAUGUCCACGGUCAUGGACAACUUGAGCCAAAGGAACUGAAGUUAUCUGAAAUUCUCAACACAAAUAACAAUAUUGAUGUGGGUAUUAUUGACAACAUGGGUACGAGAAUUGGUUGGUGGAACCAUCUCGUUAACAACCAACAAUGUAGUAACAUUUUGCUUUUAGCCCUCUCUUGAUGUAGGAGAAAACUUGCUUUUCGCUAAAAACUUAUAGCCCCACCUGCCAUAUAUGCAUAUAGUAUAGAUGAUUACUUUUCACCCCUCUCUUAUGUGACUUGCCGACAUAUUCAAUAUGCUGACCUACACGGCUGCAACGUCUUAUGUUGCAGAUAUUUUUCUUCGAUGAGUAAGAGUACGAUUCAGGGUUACGGUCUACACUCAACUUGUCGUUGGUGUUUAUUGGGACUCCACUCCCUUGACUGCUUCCGCUGAAAUAUUUAAGGUAUAUAUCAGUUUUACGCUAUUUACAUGUGAUUGCACUUUGAUAUAUACAUUGAUGUACUGUGGAUGCCAGCAUACUGAUCCAGGGAUGGCAUAGAAACACAGAGGCUUGACUCGUUUUGAGUCGGGUCACUAUAGAAGCACAGGCAGGUUCAUUCGACGCUACUCAGCUUAGGUGGAUGUUUUACAAGGAAAGCGGCCCGAUGUACGUGACGUACCCCGAGGAAUAGAGGCACUUGGUCAUGAUUGUGGGCCUAGCAAGGCCGAAUAGCAUUGAGUUUUGUCAUUUAUCUUGUCCGUAGUUGUACCCUGUUUUCCAUUUGAGCAAUGUAUAUCUGUGUGACUCUGUAAUUUAGCUUGUGGCGAGUGUAAGAAAAAUCUUAUUACUCUUCCAUCUAUUAUGUAUUGCAAUGUUUAUCUUGCUUGAGAAACGCUUAGAUGCGACUCUUUCCCCUUUUGAGGCCUCGUCCCCAAAUAAGGAAAGUGUCGCAUCUUAGCCGUUACAAGUUGGUAAUCAAAGCCUUAAAACGGUAGGAGCCUUUGAUUGAUCGAACUUGGCCGAGUCGAGUCUAGUAAAAUUGUUUUGAGUCUUAGUUAUAUCGGAGAGUAGGUCUCUUUUUUCUCCUCUUCUAUGCUCUGGUGAGUUUCAUGACUUAGGAAAUUUUAAUUCUACUCCUCUUCUCGCUCAAUUUUUUUUAGGAUGAUGCGGGUAUUUUGGAAUCUAUAUGAUACUGAUGUGACGUAGUUCUGUCUUGGUGCCUCCUGUCUGACUUGAUUUCUUCUCGGGAGUUGAGCUCCAUCAGAUUCUUGAGCACAUUGUUAUCGUUCAUAUUUCAUAGUAUCUCACGGCGAAGGAUGUUCGGAAUUGCUUCAAUAUAAGUAGUGGCGAGAGGAGUCUGGCUUCCCCGGUACUGGUGCAGAGAGGUCCAAAUGUAUCACCAUACUUAGUAUCGUUGUGAUUACGAGGGUCUGAGAUAGAUGAGGUUCUGAUAUUCUGGUUAUAUGUUGACACAUGUGAUACACUAGACAUGUAAGAUGCUAGGAGUUGAGUGAUUAAUUUCUCCUUGUAUGCAUGGACACGAUUGCAUGAUCAGAAAUUUCGGAAGUUAUUUGGUGCGAAUUCCAUUAGUAACCUACGAAUUCUUUCAUCACAUGUAUGGUUGGAAUAUACAUUUGUUCCAAGCAAUUCUAGCUCAUACUUGACAAUUGCAAGUGGCUUUUCAAUUAGGUGUUGUCGACAGUUAUUUUGUGGAAGCAUUCUUAUUACUUUAGUUCGAGUGCAAUUGCUAAGAAUUCUUGUUCAGAUAUUUCUAUCCAUUGCUUUAGCUUCAUCUUUGAAUUUUUCAUCUCUGGUCUAAUGUUGUUGUCCGUCUUCAGGAUGACUCCACCAACUCGCCAGAAUCCGGGUCGUGAGAAUGCUGACCCUCCACCGGCCCCUCCGCCACCGCCUCCUCCUCAAGAGGCAUGGCAAGCUGUGAUGGUUGCAACCAAUGCAAACACUCAGAUGUUGCUCGAGUUGUUGCAAGAGAGGAACCAACAACAGCAGGGUAAUUUCAACUAUGGUGGUCAGCAGUUUGCAUCCCUGAAUCAAUUUCUCGCAAACCAGCGAAAGUCCUUCACCUCCUGUGACCGGACGUUCGAUGCGGAGGACUGGAUCCGUGACAUGAACACACACUUUGCGUGAAAUAAUGUAAGACCAGAGAACUUUGUCAAGUUUGCAACAUUUCAGCUGAAGGGGUAGGCAGCAGAAUGAUUGCAUCAACUGAAGGAAUCCAGAGGCGACAUAGUGAUCAGCUGGGAUGAUUUCUGCAGGGAUUUUAGGGCUCACUAUAUUCCAGCAAGUUUUGUGGAUGAGAUGCGUGAGAAAUUCAGGCGCUUGAAGCAAGGAAGUUUGUAUGCGUACAAUUACAAUGUGGAGUUCCACGAUCUGGCUCGGUAUGCUAAGCAAGACAUUCCAGACCAAUAGAGCAAGAUCUAUCAGUUCUGUGGAGGCCUCAAGGAAGACUUGCAGCUGGCCCUUGCCUUGCACGAUCCCUCUGAGUUCGACCAUUUCUACAAAUUGACUCUCACGGCUGAGCAAGCUCUGCUCAAGGUUGAAAACUCAAGGAAGCAUUUCAGAGACUCCACUUCCUCUUCCUAAACUCAGAUUAUUUCGAAGCAACAGAAAUACUACGUUUCUCCUCCUCCUCGACAGUCUCAGCAGUUGAAGAAGUCUGGCAGUCCUGGUUCUUCCCAGCCACCCAACCCAUCUUUCCAGCAGAAGUUUCAGCAGCAUCAGUCAGGAAAUCCUCAAAUGCAAUUUCGUCCGAUGUCAGAGGUGACUUGUCACAAGUGUGGUCAGAAGGGUCAUUACUCAAACAAGUGUACCACUCAGCGGCGUCUUCCGCCUCCUCCUCCAAUCAGGCCUUCAAGCAAUGCAAUAGUGAAGCACAAUCCUAGAUCAGCAAGGGUGAACAUGGUGAAUGCAGCUGAAGCAGAGAACUCCUCGGAUGUGAUCAUGGGUAAUCUCUUGGUUAAUUCUAUUCCUGCAAAGGUUUUGUUUGAUAAUGAUGCAUCGCAUUGUUUUAUGUCUCGCCCAUUUUUCGUCAGGCAUGAGUUUGACUAUCAAGAUUUGCAAAAGCCUAUGUCUGUGGCCUCUCCACGGUUGAUGAUGAAUUCUAAUCGCAUCUUUCUGAAUGUCUUUGUCAAGAUGGGCAAAUAUUCCUUUCUCGCUUCUCCAACUGUCCUUCACCAGCCAGAUAUUGACCUGAUCCUUGUGAUGGAUUGGCUGGCGAUGAACAAGGCAUAUGUCGAUUGUGAAGAAAAAGAAGUCACGUUGACUCAUCCUUUGGAGGACAUGAUUAUUUUCGCUGCUCGCAAUGACAUGAUCCAUCUCUUUUGCCUCAAUGAGAAGGGUGAAAUAUCACCAAUUUCUCAGAUUCCGGUGGUCUGUGAGUAUGAAGAUGUCUUCCUAGAAGAAUUGGCAGGAAUUCCCCCGCACCGGCCAGUUGAGUUCGUAAUUGAUCUCGAACCUGGAACUGAACCAGUCUGUAAGCAUCCAUAUAAACUUGGUCCCGGAGAGCUAAAAGAGUGGAAGAAGCAGCUUGAUGAGCCAGAACGUCAGGGUCUGAUUAGACCAAGUUCAUCUCCUUGGGGUUGUGGCAUUCUGUUUGUCAAGAAAAAACAUGGAACGGACUGUCUCUGUAUCGAUUACCGUCCAUUGAAUAAGAAUACAAUCAGAAAAAAGUAUCCACUUCCCAACAUCAAUAAAUUGUUCGAGCAAUUGGAAGGGUCCAAUAUUUUCUCUAAGCUUGAUCUUCGGAUGGGCUACCAUCAGAUCCACAUUCAUGAAUAAGAUAUUCCCAAGACUGCUUUCAGGACAAACUUUGUCUCUUAUGAGUACAUAGUGAUUUCUUUUGGUCUUGCCAAUGCUCCUCCAACCUUCUGUCGUGUGAUGAAUUGGACCUUCUCACCUUUCAAGAAUGAAUUUGUCUUGGUGUAUCUUGAUGACAUUCUGGUCUUUUCUGAAACUGAGGAAGAGCAUGAAGAACAUCUUCGUCUUGUGCUUGAUAAGCUAAGAGAGCAUAAGUUCUUUGGUAAGUUUUCCAAAUGUGAAUUCUGGUUGAAGGAAGUUGUGUACCUUGGGCACAUCAUCUCUGCCGAGGGCAUCAAAUUUGAUCCUACGAAGGUUCAGGCCAUUGUUGAGUGGGAACCUCCUUAGAAUGUGAAGCACCUUCGAAGCUUUCUCGGGCUUGCAAGCUAUUGCAGAAGGUUCGUUGAGAACUUCUCCAAGAUUGCGAAGCCUCUAUCUAACCUUAUUCAGAAGAGUGUGAAGUAUGUAUGGUAUCGAGAGUGUCAAUUGGCUUUCGAUACACUCAAAGAGAAGCUCACUUCAGCUCCAGUCUUGACUCCUCCUGAUGAUUCCAAGCCUUUCCAAGUAUUUUGUGAUGCCUCUCUCCAAGGUCUUGGUGCAGUUCUGACGCAAGAGAAGAAAGUGGUAGCUUAUAUCUCUAGGCAGUUGAAGCCAAGUGAGAGGAAUUAUCCCGCUCAUGAUCUUGAGUUGGUGGCAGCGGUACAUGCUUUGAUGACUUGGGGACACCUCUUGUUGGGGAGAUAGGUUGAAGUCUACACCGAUCACAAGAGUCUGAAAUACAUCUUCACUCAACCUAAUCUCAAUCUUUGUCACACUCGUUGGAUGGAAAUGAUCCAAGAUUAUAAUCCGAGCAUUGACUUCACUCUGGGCAAAGCAAAUGUCAUUGCAGAUGCUUUGAGCGGAAAGGCUUGCUGCAACAGUCUCAUCCUGAAGCCUCUCCGGCCUAAUCUUUGUGAAUCUUUCAGGAAGAUCAACCUUCACAUAGUUCCUCAGGGAUUUCUUGAUAAUCUCCAGAUUUCUCUUACCUUGGAAAACCAAGUCCACCAAGCUCAACUUCUUGAUGCUAUGGUAAAGAAAGUGAAGAUUGGCUUGGCAAAGAGCAUUCCGAAAUAUAAGUGCUUCCGUGUUGAUGAUAGAGAUACCUUGUUCUACGAGGACCGCCUUGUCGUUUCGAAAGGAGAACUCAUGAAUGUUAUCAUGGAUGAAGCCCAUAAUUCCCUCCUCUCGAUACAUCCAGGAAGCUCCAAAAUGUAUCAAGAUCUGAAGUAGACCUUCUAGUGGACUCGCAUGAAACGUGAAAUUGCUCAGUUUGUGGACGAGUGUGAUGUUUGUCAGAAAGUGAAGGCGGAUCAUCAACGUCCAGCAGGCCUCCUUUAUCCUUUCCCCAUACCUGAGUGGAAAUUCGAUCAUGUGGACAUGGAUUUUGUCACUGGGUUUCCGAAGUCCAAGAAAGGCAAUGGUGCUAUCUUCGUCGUCAACGACAAGUUGACCAAAGUUGCUCAUUUCCUUCCGGUCAAAGAAUCUAUCUCGGCAUCACAUCUUGCAGAGUUGUAUACGUCAAGGAAAUUUCUUUGCACGGUGUCCUAAUGCUCAUUUCUUCAGAUCGUGGAAGCAUUUUUACUUCCAAGUUAUGGGAUUCAUAUCAUACUGCGAUGGGUACUAAGAUUCGUUUCAAUACAUCUUUCCAUCCUCACACAAGUGGUCAAGUUGAGAGAGUCAAUCAUAUCCUUGAAUAUAUGCUUAGAGCUUGUGUGAUUUCUUUUGGCAUGAAGUGGGAAGAUUGCCUAUCGUUUGCCGAGUUCUCAUACAACAACAGCUUUUAAGCAAGCUCAGACAAUGCUCCAUUCGAGAUUCUAUAUGGCAGGAAGUCUCGUACCCUGCUCAAUUGGUCAUAGACUGGUGAGCGUCAGAUUCUUGGGAAUGACAUGAUUGAUGAAGUAGAAGAAAUGUUUCAUGUCAUUCGGGAUAAUCUCAAAGCAGCUCAGUUCCGUUAGAAGAGCUACUACGAUAGCAAGCAUCGUGACAUGACUUUCCAGCUCGAUGAUUUUGUGUACCUCAAAGUGUCUCCCAUGAAGGGCACUCAGCGCUUCGGCAUGAAAGGAAAGCUUGCUACUCGCAUUUUUUUUCCUUUCAAAGUUGUUGGCAGGAUAGGUGAUCUUGAAUACCAGUUAGAGUUGCCAUCCAACUUCGCCAAUGUGCACGAUGUGUUCCACAUCUCUCAGCUCCGGAGAUGCUUCAAGACUCCCGAGCGCACAAUUGAUCUCCAAGAUAUUGAUCUCCAGCCUGACCUUUCCUACCAUGAGAAUCCUAUAGAAAUUCUCAAAGAGACUGAGCGCAAGACCCGCAACAAGUCAAUAAAGUUCCUCAAAGUGCAAUGGUCACAUCACUCCGACAAAGAAGCCACUUGGGAGCACGAGGACCACCUCUGUUCCGAAUUCCCAGAGUCCUUCCAGUCAUAGAUCUCGGGUCGAGAUCCUCUUGUAGUGUGGGACAGUUUUGAUAGCCCCAAUGCAUUCCCUUCCCCCUCUUGUAAUUUCUUCCCUUGUAUGGCAACCUCGCUAUGGUAAGGAUAAGAGGUUGAGCCCAAUUGUGUCAUCAUUUUAUGUUGCAUAUAACGUCAUGCAUAUCAUCACUUCUUUGUCUUGUCUUUUGUUAUUUGCGUUACAGCUUGGUAUGAGUGUGAGUGCUAUGUGUGGGUAUGUUUGGGCUGGUGCAAUGUGCUUGGGUGCAGAUAGUCCAAUUCAAAAACCCUUUUGUUGCACCAUGGAUUCAAACUCCCUCCUUUCCUAUUAAUUGAGGCACAUUUAAAGUUUCUGAUUUUGUCCCAAUAAAAAUGUUGCUCUUUCCCUUAAAAUCAUUUUGUUAAUUGUGGGGUGCAGCACCCUUUUGUUCAAAUUUAUUUUCCUUUUGGUUUUAUUGAAAAUAGAGUCUUAUUUUAAUAAAAGGAUUUAAAUUUCAUUCUUCAAAAAUACCCAAUUCAUUUUUAUAAAUUUGGGCAUGAUUUUAGAAGUUCAAAAGUAUUUUUAUUUUACUAAAUUCUUUUUCUUUUGCCUCUCGCUUUUAUUUUCAAGUCAACCCCUAUUUUUUUUGCAAAGCCUUUUCUUUAUUUGAGAUAGAGAGAGGCCGAACUCUGUUUAGCUUUGGCCCAAGGCUCGUCUAGCGACCCUUCUCCCUCCUCCUUUUGAUGCCAGCGUCGUACAAUGCCAUGGAGGUAGCCGAUCCUACUUUUUCCCCCUUGAUCGAUGGUCAUGUGCGUUGGGGAUCGAGCUAUAAAACUCUUCUCCCCCUCUCCAACCCUAGCCCUCUCUUUUCUCCCUCUCUCUUCCCCCUCGCGCCAUCAGGGCGACAGCAGAGCGUCUCCAUCGCCAUGGGAAGCUUCGGGCCGAGCCCGUCGCCGUCGUAGGGCGGUGCCUUCCUCAUCCCUCACACUUCCAGAAGCAAGCGGACGUCGGGGGCAUUCCGUUUUCGAAGAGAUCGGGCGCACGGACUUCUUCCUCGACGUCCACGACGGCCGGCUCCUUCCUCUCCUCCGGCGAGCUCAUCUUCCGCUCCGGCUCGCGCGCUUCUUCCUCUCUAGCGAAUCUUUUCUCUGCCCUCUAGGUGAGUGUAGCCCUGCUCUCCUCCAUGCCCCUCCCGUUAGCUGCGUCGUUGUUGCACCGUUGAUCGCCACCCUGCCGGAGUUGCACCGGUAGGUGUGUAAGCCGACGUAGCCAUGUCUGCAUGUAUGCAUGCAAGCAUGCUUGGCUCCUCCCUCUCUGUGUUGUGCGUAGUCCGUAGCUCGUCCCCUCGUGCGUGUGUGUGUGUGUGUGUGCGUGCAUGUGCCGUGUGCACCGGCAAGCAGCGUCGUUGCCGGCGUUCCUCUGUUAUCAAAGAGAAGGCACCUCCUUUUUGUUUAUCAUGUGGGGGUGAAUCCACCUCUCGAGCAGAUUCCCCUCCAUAGCCUGAGGUUCGAUACCCGGCGCCCCCCCAUUUGCAUUCGGUGUUUUUAUUCUUAUGUGGUGCUAGUGGAGUGACUGUUGAAUUAGUUUGGUGUCUGUGCACUAGCAGAUGCACCACAACGGCACAGUGGCAACAGAACCAGAGGGGGUGCAGAGGUUGUGGGUUCGAGCCUCGCCUCUCCCCUUUUCGAAUUUGGGGUUGUUUUCCCUCGGUUGCCUUCACAGAUAGUAGCAUAUACUGUAUCCCUCCCGUGUUAGAGCAGCUAGACCUGCAUAGCACCACUGUGCUUGCCUUUUUAUGAAUAUAGAGGUGGUGGGUUCAAACCCCCAGCACUCCCUUCUUAUUUUUCCUGUUAAUUGUUGUAGAUUAGAGCCUCGCAGGUGGGCCACAGUACCCACAUGUCAAACUAGGGGCCUUGGUGAGUAUGACCAGUGGGACCCCCCUCCCCCUGUUGAAUUAUGCGUGUGGUGUUUUUUUACUGUUUGUGAUGUAUUUUCCAAAUCUAGAAUAUUCUAAAAGAGGAAUAUGUCAAAUCUGGCAUAUGCAAGAACAACCCAUGUUCUUGGCAUGAGUAGUUUAUGAUUCAGGGCAGGAUUUCUUUAUGGUUUUGUGGUGUUUUUCUGCAUGCAAGUAUAGUAGUAUGACAUAUGGAUUUGGGGUAGAAAAGCCCAAGGAAUCCAAUGGUGGCACUGGAUUUCAGUUUUGAGCACUUCUGCAAAAAAUGCCAUUUUGUGAUGAGGUGGCACCUUGUGAGUUGAGUAGGAUUAUUUCCGUGCGUGCUUUGAAGUGUGUGCCUUCUUGCAUCAUAUUGUCUUUUGCAUUAUCUUGUUCGUGUUUAUUGUGUGAUUUUUUCUUUUGGGUAGCAACUGGUACGGGAAACAAGUUCGAGGAGUCCGGUGAGUUCAUUCAGGAUGAUCAUGAACAGUUCCACUCUGAAGAUUGCACACACAAGAUGAUCGUGACCUUGACACCGUUUCUAGCUUUUUUAUGCUUGGUUGAUUUGUUUCCAUCGUUAUUCUCCGCGGCCUACCACCUGAUAUAUAUGCCAUCGAACAUUGCCAUGAAAUCUCUAACACUUCCCCUCCUAGCAAAUAUUGUUUGGCUAGGUUAGGCUUGCUGAACAAUUUUACUAGCAUUGCUAUUUGCAGGUGCAAGCUGGGCCAUGUGUUAACAUGGGCAAUUGAUUACCAUAUUACUUUAAAUGCUAUUUAAUUAAUGCACCUAUAUACUUGGUAAGAGGCGGAAGGCGUCACCUUUUGCGGGGUGAUUUAUUUCACUUCUGCCGCCUUAGUUUCGGCUAUUGGUGUUUUAUUCCAUAACUAAGCGCUCCUAACACGUUCGGGGUUGUUAUGGGGACCCCCUUGGUAAAUCGUUUAGUGUUAAGGCUUGUCUGGCAAGACCCAACUUUCGUGUUAAUUUGCUAAUAACUUAAUUAAUUAAAGCAUAGGGAAUAGAUACCUCGAGGAAGUUAAUCAACAACCGAGGCCAAUGCUCCUCAUGAGCGUUAGUCCAAACUAGAGUCGUGUGCGACGCCAACGUGGGGCAACUCGGGAUAUCUUUAUCAGGCCAACGUACGCUACGCUCAUCCGAUCGUGUCCUGAGCCAGAGAUACGCAGCUCUUAUCGGGUUCGUCGACACAUCGGGUGGUCUUGUUGGACAUGUUCUUACCUUAACGAUAUAUCUUGUCCAUUGGGAUUCCGGUGAGACUUUGGGAUUUCUUAGAGUUGAGGGUUUCCACUAAGGGAUCCCACGAGAUCGCUAACUUCGUGAUCGAUGAUUUUUAUGCGGCCUGUGGUAACUUGGGAUGGAUUAGUUGGAGCACCCCUGCAGGGUUAAAUCUUUCGGAAAGUCGUGCCUGCGGUUAUAUGGCAACCAUGGAAACUUUGUUAACAUCCGGUUCUAGAUAACUUAACUAAAAACUACCAAUUGUGCGCGUAACCGUGACUGUUUCCUUCAAAGUUCCUUCUCUGAUCGAGUACACGGUGGGGUUAUGAAUGACGUAAGUAGGUGUUCAGGAUCACUUAGUGAUUAUUCGUAGUUCACGACCGUCAUGCGUAGUCCACUAAAUCUUUAUUUCUUGUUCAACGUAAGUUAGCCACCAUAAAUGCUUAGGUUGCUGCAAACUCAAACACAUAUCCCAUCCUUACCCAUCAGCUUAGUUAGACUCGAUGCCAUGGUCAUGACAUUGUUGAGUCCUUGUGGCUCACAGUAUACUACAACCACCCACAGGUACAGAUGAAGCAGACGCAGGUUCAUUCGACGCUGCUGAGCUUAAGUGGGAGUUUGACGAGGAUAGAGGCCGGAUGUACGUGACGUAUCCCGAGGAAUAGAGGCACUUGGUCGUGAUCGUGGGCCUAGCAAGGUGGGAUAGCAUUGGCUUUUGUCGUUUAUCUUAUCCAUAGUCGGACACUGUUUUCCAUUUGAACAAUGUAUGUCUGUGUGACUCAUAAUUUAGCUUGUGGCGAGUGUAAGCCAAAUCUUAUUACUGUUCCAUCUAUUAUGUAUUGCAAUGUUUAUCCUGCUUGCGAAACGCUUAGAUGUGUCACUUUCCCCUUUUGAGGCCUCGUUCCCAAAUAAAGGAAGUGUCGCAUCUUAGUCAUUACAGCAUCCCUCCUCCUUAACAUUCGACCUUGCCGUACUCGGGACCACUUUGCACCUCACCAUCUUCUCUCCGGUUCACCACCCUCUUGUGAUGAGCUUCGCAUCUUCGGUUGUCUCUACUACCCUAGCAUCUCUGCUACCGCACCCCAUAAGCUUGCCCCGCGCUCCGUCACCUGCAUCUUCCUUGGCUACCCACCCAACACCAAAGGAUACCGCUGUUAUGAUCCCGUCUCCCACCGUGUCUUCACCUCAUGGCACAUUUACUUUGAUGAGAAGGUGUUUCCAUUUCAGCACGUACCUGCAGCUGUCGCAUCACCGUCGGCCCCUCGAUACCCUCCUCUGGUGGACGGUCUUGGUUGGCCCUUUGACCACCGCCAGGUUUCGGUGCUACUCGCGCCAUGGAUCGGACUACCGACCACGCUUCUUCGACAACCGUGGAUUCGGUCUCUGGGUCGGCCGGCUCCUCCGGAGCUGUAACUGACUCCUCCACUCCUGGCUCCUCCGCAGUCGGGCCAUCUGCUGCCGGCUCCUCUUCAGCCGGCACAUCUGCGGUCGGCCCCUCCAUGGCUGGCACAUCUGCAGCCGCCCCCUCCGCGGCUGGCCCCUUUGCAGUCGACCCGUUUACAAACGACACCUCUACAGUCGGCCCUUCUGUUGUCGAUUCCUCUCAAGUCGUCCCCUCUGCAGCCGACCCCUCAACAGUUGGCCACUCAUCAGUCGACCCCUCUGUAGCCGGUGACCCAUCAGCCGGCCCCUCAGCAGCCGCCCCCUGACGCGGGCUAGGGCCGGUGUCCACUAAUCGAGCAUGCGCUACUCCAGCGAUGAGUACCUUGUUGCAGCAUCCACCUUCGAGUCGUCACCACUACUUGUUUCCGUGCGGGCAGCCCUCCGUGAUCCUCACUGGCUAGCCGCGAUGCAGGAAGAGUUUGACGCCCGGAACCGCACCUAGACUUUGGUUCUACGGCCUCCUCGCGCCAACGUCAUCAACGGUAAAUGGGUCUUUCGCCAUAAGACCCGCUGAGAUGGCACUCUUGAGCGCUACAAGGCUCGUUGGGUGUUCUGCGGUUUCCGCUAGUGAGUUGGUGUUGACUUCACCAAGACGUUUGCGCCGGUUGUCAAACCAGGCACGAUCCACACCGUUCUCCAGUUAGCGGUCUCUCGUGGCUGGCGUCCUCAUCAGAUGGAUGUCUCCAUCACCUUCCUUCAUGGUCACCUUGCUGAGCAGGUUUACUGUGAGCAACCCACUCGUUUCGUCGAUGCCACACAUCCCAGUCAUGUGUGCUUGUUGUCCCGGUCUCUCUACGGCCUUAAGCAUGCUCCACGCGCUUGGUACCAACGUAUCGCAAGUUUUCUACAUACACUGCGCUUCUGUGUUACUCACUCGAAUGCGUCCUUGUUUGUUCUCCACCACGGCAACACAACUGCCUACUUGCUACUAUAUGUCGAUGACAUCAUCCUAAUGGCCUCUUCUGCGGAUCUUCUUCAGCAGAUUACUCUGCGACUGCGUAACGAGUUUGCCAUCAAGGAUUUGGGUGAUCUUCAUUACUUCCUUGGCAUUAAGGUCAUUCGCGACCUGACGGCUUCCUUCUCCAUCAACAGAAGUAUGUGCAUGAGCUGCUUGAGCGCGCUGGUAUGCUCAAAUGUCAUCAUGUCGCUACUCCUAUUGACACGAAGGCCAAGGUUUCUGCUCAGGAGGGUUCACUAGCAUCGGAUGCUCCAUUCUACCGCUCCAUUGUUGGUUCUCUUUAGUAUUUGACACUCACCGGACCACACUUACAGUAUCACACUCACGGCGUCACCCUCUUUGGAUCUGGUGGCCUAUUCUGAUGCUGAUUCGGCUGGCUGUCCUGAUACACGACGCUCCAAGUGUGGCUACUGCGUCUAUCUUGGUCCUCACUCGUCUCAUGGUCGUCCAAACGACAACCCACCGUCUCGCGCUCUAGCGCAGAGGCUGAGUACUGAGCAGUGGCUAACACAAUUGUCGAGUGUUCCUAGCUUCGUCAGCUUCUAUAGGAGUUGCAUCACAGUGUCACCAAGGCCACGGUUGUCUACUGUGACAACGUAUAUGUUGUGUAUCUUUCUGUCAACCCCGUUCAUCAUCCUCGGACGAAGCACAUCGAGCUUUAUAUCCACUUUGUGCGCGAACAGGUCGCCCUUGGUCACAUCUGGGUUCUUCAUGUUCCGACCACGCAACAGUUCACCGGCGUGAUGAUUAAGGGACUGCCCACUUCCACCUUUGGGGAGUUUCGUUCCGGUCUCUGUGUCUGUGGCAACGCUUCAACUGCAGGGGGGGUGUUGAAUAUAUAUUUGUGGAUGUAUAUCAUGUCAUAGGAUCACCUCCUAGUUUCUUGUAUAGUUGAGGUAGAUGCCCAUCUUGUACCUAUAUAUACGUGCCUAGUGCACCCAAUCAAUAUUGAAUGUUUCACAACCCAAACCUAAUUCUCUACACGGGCCAUCUGUCGACGCCCGGUGGCAUCACCUCCCUCCGCGCAAACUUGUGAGCACGUUGCGAUCGUUGUCGAUACACUGCAGCACCAUUAUGCAAAGUACCACCAGUCGACACAGCUUGAAGUCUCUGAAAGAUCGAUCGUGCAUAGCACUUGCCGAACAAGCAUGAUACAGCGUAACACCUGUUGGCCACACUGUAUAAGAUGAACCGCUUCACCUCUUAUGAACCGCUUCACCUCUUAUCUUUGUCUUUUAGUGCUGCUCUACAAAUAAUGAACCCAAGAUAAAAACAACACCGCAAUCCGGCCAUCAUCCCAUCUAAAAGCCCACCCAAAGCAGCAUGAGAUGUACUCAUCUAAGAACUGCGCGAGCGAACUGAGUGAGGCAUUAGACGCCUAUCGGCAAGGCUUGAAAAAGAAGUUUAGGCUCCUUUCCUUCACUGAACUAAUUCAUCCUGGUUCAAACCUGCUGAGUUGGGUAAUAUAUUUAGGGGAUGUUUUGAUGCAUAGCGUUGAAGGUGACCUUUAGAUAGGGCUCCUAUUACUGAAUAAAAGUCCUGUCACCCGCAAAAAAAGCAAAAGAACAGAAGAAUAAAAGUUUAGUCCGGAGUAAUGUUUCGGUGUAUGUCAAAUUGUCGAUUCUAGGUGUACUCCAUCUCUACUUUCAGUUGUUUUCUUUUACUAGUAAGCAUGCACGUGCAACGCACGUCUCAAUUAAAAUAUGUUUUAUCAUCCUAAAUCAAGAUAUUCUACAAUAUAAUGAUGAUGACUCUUAUAUAACAUAAAUCUGCUUGAAAAACUUAAAUCUCAUACAAACAAUAUCUGAUUCCUAAUUUCCAAGUCAUACAAAUGAUUAAAAAUAUUGUGCUUUAUAAAUGAACAUGACCAUGCCCAUUGCUUAGAAACUAACAAAGAUCGUUAACUAACUGAUAGAAUAUCAAUCCACUAACCCCACCCCCCCCCCCCCUAGCGUGUGUAUCUCGUCAACCAACACAAUCGCAAAACCUCACCAGCUCAGCCUCUCGAAGAUGCUCAUACAAAUAAGGUGUGCGUGCGUGCGUUCAUAGAAAUGUGUGUAUAUACAUGUAUAUGAGCGAUUUUGAUUGUACUUAUGUUAAAAAAUAUAGUAAAAUAUAGGUCUUUGUCCUCUAUCGCAGAUAUAACUAUUUGUCAUAUAUCGCACAGAUGACCUCUUAAAUUAUAUAACUUACGUACUUCACCUAUUAUUCCGAACAUAGUCAUCAUUGUAUCCACACUGAAUUAAAUAUAUCUUUAAUCUUAUUUUCUUCUAGUUGGAACCUACGAAUGGGCCAUUGCUAAUAAGCACCAGGAAAGAAAUAUAUGCAAGUGUGUGUGUAUAGAGGCAAUGGAAAGGAAAAGUCAUGGAUGAAUCCAUGGGCAUAUGAACCCAUUUUGAAAAAUUCAUUUUUAAUUGCCUAAAAAUUCUGAAAAAUGUUUCAUGUAUAGAUCUUCACAUUUUAUGCGUGCACAGAAAAAGUUUGUGGAAAAACAACCUUUUGUUUGGCCUGUGCAAAAAAGAAAAAAAUAUGUAAUGAAAUGCUAUUUAGCAUUCUUGAAAUUUGUCCUUUUUACGAAGGCAUAAUAAAAAGACUUUCUUCCAUAAAACUUUGUGCCAUGCACACUGGUUGUGAAGAUGUAUGUCUGGAAUUUUGUUUCAAAUAUUUAACAUUUUAAAACACGUUUAAAAUGCAUUUUUAGAAAACGGGUUCAUAUGCCCAUGGGUUCAGUGCGUCCACACUCCAAUGGAAAUCCAUAUAUAAGUUGACCAAAUGACAAAUUUCAUCAAAUUUCCGAGAUACAAGUUUGUACAUGUAAGAAGCAGAAUAUUGCUAGUUCAUAUAGAAGCAAACCAUCAAGUUGCAUCAAUAUGAUAUCUUGCGGCUGUCCAAGCAAUGUCAGGUACACCGUACACGUGAAACCACUUGUAGAACUCGUUGACGGUAGAACCACGCUUACUCAUAAUCUGGAGGUCAUGACAAAUGUGUUCAUCCUUUGAGAUGCAAACACUCAAAAAAAACUUGGCCUGCCAUUAGCUUUGAGAUAACUGUAACUCCCUGACGUACAGUUGCAGCCACAUAAUAUGUUGGGCAUUCACAUUCAGAUACACCCGGGCCUUAAUAUGAAUCCAUUGAGAGAAUUCAAUGUGAUGAACGGCUUCCCGAUAUGUCCAUACCCUACUGUAUUUAUCCACCAUAUGUUCCAGGGUCCCCAUCAUACAUACCAAGGUUUCCUAUUAUGCGUGUGGUAAGAAAUGCAUGUGAAUCAAGAUAUGUGAUCUCCUUGUGCAAAAUGUGUUAUAUAUGGCUACACCAUAAGCAUAAGGUGUUUAGAGUAGUGUGAGUUACCUCCCAAUCGGUGCCUCUAUUUGAAGAUCAAGCACAAUUCUGUAUUUGUUCAAAUAUAAAUAUUAAGUUGAUCUGUACCUAACACUUGGUCAUAAGUACAAAAGGACCUUGUUACUGACUGCAAUACCUCCAACUAAAAAGUGAAAGAUGAUAUUCAACACACAUGCACACACCUUUGUGAGGAAAUGAAAGACAAUUGUCGCUAACCUUGGCUUUUUGCAAAGUCGAUCAUGGUUGCGUGACCAUAAAAAAUGGAUCCUUACAAAAUAUAGGGCCUGUUUGGUUGGUGCUCGUGGUGGCCCUGCCAACCAUCAGCACGCCAAAAAAUUGGUGGACAAUUCAGGAGCCAUGGUCUCACCAAUAUUUUGGCUACUUAAUCAACAUGGAGAGCUGAUGGGCUCGAGGCGAUGCAAAUAUUUGGAGCUGAUCCAAACAUCCGCCAACGUGCUAGUCAAGGCCAAAAAUUUGGUUGGGCAACCCUUGGCUCUUGUCCAAACAGCCCCAUAAUUCUCUAAUAAUUAGUACUAUACAGAAGCAAUGCCUGUGCACUUUCAAAGGCAACAACAGAUCGGCUUGGCCCAUUGCCCAUCAUGGAAAGAAAGAGUUUUUAGAUCUGCACAUAUCGCAGUCUUCGAAUCAUUAGAACCCCUUGGUAAAAAUAUAGACAUAUUCUGCAUCAACUAAUGUGAGAACUUUCAUACAGACACAAAUAGUAAUAUGAACUCUUGCCAAAUGAGGACGCACAAACACAACACUAUAUUUCAUAUAAGAUUGCUCUCUCAGGAAUAAAAUAUAGUUUCCUUUGCACCUUUCUCAGAUUGUUUUGAAGAAAAGAGCCAGAGAGCAACCACGGGUUCAUGCUCUAUCGUAGUCGCUCCCCCAUUAUUUGUGUUGUAUGUUCAUGUGUUGGUCUUAACCAGAUAAGAUUGUUCUCAAGAAAAUUGGUUUGGUUGGGUAACAGAAGAACAAAAAGGACGAAGAAUUGCCUGCCUCGCGGUGGAUCUCGGGCUGGUCACCCAGUCCUGGCUGGAGAGGACCUAUGCGCUGUCGAGUCUUCCUUGGCUGGUGCUUCCAGUUCGCCACGAUCGGAGACCCUAUCUAGAAGCCUGCAAAGUGCGUAGGCAGGGAAAGUGGAGGCGUACCUAGGUCGCCGCCGCAUAUCACGGAGGAGCAGCGGCGAGGUCGGCAAAGGAGGCACUGGCAAUGAGGAUCUGAUUGGGAGCUCGACGAGACGCGCGGUGAUAUCGGUGUCCUUGUUGGCGAAGAACACCUGGAUGUAGAAAGCGAAGACCCAGUCCGAGGACGCCUCGCGCCGCUCCUCCUCGUGCUUGAUCCGGAUGUAGGAAGCGCGCCCCAUCUCCUUCCCCGCCGCCGCAGUCGGGAUCAGGUUGAGGUGAUGAACGUGUCAAUAUGUGUGAAUACCCAAUUAGUUUCCUAAUAAGACACGAUCGUCAUUAUUUUCCUAAUAAGAUGUCAUCGUGAUUAUAGUUUCCUAAUUAAUCGGGUGUGGAGUUUUAUAUUUUUCUUUGCGGUGGAGCAUGGCCAGUCAAUGCAAAUUGUUAAGUGCACACAGAGAAUGGAUUAGGUUAAGGCUAGCCGUUAGAUUACAAUUAGUGGGCCUAAUCAUGCGAUUAUAAUAGAUUCGUGUAUGUUUUAUUAGGUGUACAUAAAAAAGUUCUUGUUUGCUUGUUUAUUAGUAGUAUAGAUUUUUAUUUUGUGGGUUCCGUUGAUUUACGAAGAGUAGCACUCUGCAUUAAAUGGGAAACCCUUCCUAUCUAUAGUCUGAUAGGAGAAGAGCGCCAGACUAGUCGACACCCGUCGAUUCAAUUUGAAUCUGACGCUCACAACUUGCUUUUCGUAUGUAAGAAAAGAAGAAGAAAAUCCCGUCAUCCCAGAAUUAAUUUCCUGCAAAUUAACCUCUCCGUGAUCUCUCGCCCCAAAUGCCCCCUAUCCAUUCGCCGCCAACAGCACGGACAGGGCCAAGCUCGCCUCGCCCAGAUCCCCUUCCACCCCCGCCUCGCGGGCACCCGCCUCCAUCGCCAGUCCUCGUUGUGCAGCAGUCAACACACCGGUCAGUCUGCUUCCCUUAGUCCUUCCGACCACAUCGUCUGUUCACCGAUUUACUGAGGUGCUAAUUAUGUAAGACAAUCAUGGUCGUGAUCUGCUGAGGUGCUAAUUCUGUAAGACAAUCAUGGCCGUGAUCUGUCGAUGUGCUAAUUCUCCACAACACCACGACUGUGAUUCGCCCAGGCCAACGAGAGUAAGCACCAACGACUGUGAGCGAGAAGUUUCAUGGAAGAUCCCAUUUGGCAUGGUGAGCACACAAAGAUUUGAUUCCAAUGUGUGUUUCUCACUGAUUUUUAUGGUCACGUCACAAUGAUUUAAUUAUCCUAUGCUUGAUUCAUAUGUGCUUGGUUAGUAGGUGUUCGUGAUGCCCAUCCCAGCACGGAAAAUGGAUAGGCAUCGGACAAUCACCAAGCAACAGGAUAAUGCUCCCUUCGCCUGGAGUGCCAUCCCUUCUCGACAGCGAUGGGAACAUCCCAACUAGUUGCACAUAACGAUGACUCACGUCCUUGGUUGACCUAGUUUUAAUUUCAUAUUCAGCUAUCUUACUUUAGAAUGAAAGAGGUCAUGGCUAAUGUUUCAUGGGUAUUGCAUCAUCGCUCCAUCCAUGUCAAUGCUUCUUAGUGCCUCUAACCAUGGUGAUACAAGGAAGCGCGCCUGCCAUGCGCGUCCAACAUUUGAAGGAAGCAUAUCCGACACCAAAUAGAAGCACAAUUACAGUCGCAACGAAGCACGACCAACUUCAAAAUAGAGCAUGCCAAGCAUCAGCCUAGUGGUCUUUGAACUGUGCCAAGAUGCUACGUUUAUUUUUUGGAAGCAAAUUCUUAUUUUUUGGAUGCACAUUCUAGUUUCUUUGGAAGUAAUAGUUCAGAUUUGUUUCAAACCGAUGCAGCUUUCCAAUGGUAAAUAAUUCUGCUAGGAUACAAAUAUCCUCGGAAGCAAAUUAAUUAUGCUUCCAUCAUACAAGAUUUUUCUGCACCUGAUAAAGUUGCAAAGAAACAAUAUAUGAAGCCUUCAAAGUAUACUGCAAAUGCUUCAUUGUUGAGACAGAUGUUUGCAUGCUUCUAUAUAUGGAGCUUCCAAAAUAUAACACAUGUAUAGAUAGUUUUUCCUGCAAAUACUUAACUGUACUUAAUUUCUAUUAUACUUGGUAGAAACAUGCAGGUUGAUGGCUACCUUGUUUCAUUCUCGUUUGAAAUCUAUAUGCUUCUAGCACACUGUAAUGCAUCCUACUCAAUAAUUCCCUAUCCGGACCACUCUUUUCAUGCUUCAGGUCUAGAGAAACUUAUUUCAUUUUCAAUGAUCUAUGUUUUCAUUAAAUACUAGUACAAAUGCCCGUGCGUUGCACCAGGAUAUAUAAUCGAUGUGUAUUUAUAUUUAGAUAUAAUUAUAUGGUCAAAACAAAAUGAUAGUUCAUGUAAAAUUUAAUGCUCACCAAAAUCUAUAGACCAAAACAAUACAAGUUAUAUAAUGAUUUCAAAUGGACUUCAAAUUUGUUGGAGCUAUAAUUCAACAUCAUAUUCUAAGUUAAAAUGGAAGUGGUUAUCUUCAAUUCUGGCUUGACAUAUAUUCCAUGACGCUUGGAGAGGUGGUAUUGCCGUGUGUUGGGUUGCUAAUGAGCACGAGUUGUCAUCAAUCCCUGCCGUUGUUACACAAUAUUAAACAAUUUCACUAAACAAAAAUCGUAGGUAGCAAACUCUAGAGGCCCUAAAAACAUGUGUUUCAAUUGUGAAAGGAUGGUACAUUUGUCAUCAACUUGUAAGGAUAAGACAUAGAGACUUUAGUUCACUUAGUAGCAUGAGAUUAAUAUUAAUCAAAACCAUAAAUAAUGAGAUCAUAAGGCUGAUUGACUUAUUAUUAUUACUUAUCGUUUUGGAAGAAGAGAGUGGAUAUACUUUGGGCUCAUUGACUUUAGUUGACUAAGUAACAUGAGAUUUGCUUUUAUUAUUGGGCUUGUUGAGAAUGACAUCACAAUUUGUUGUUAGCGCCGCUCCAAAAGAACGUUUUUAUAAUGUUGUGUGCAUCCUCAACCGUCUAAUAUGCUGGCCAGAGCCUUUUUUAUUCCCUUGAAAAUGUCUAUUGUGUAAAAAAAGUAUUAACUAUUUUUAAAUGAUUAACAUGAUUAACUAUUUUUGUAAUAUAUGAAUAUUUUAAAAAGUAUUUAAUCUGCUAAAAAAGUGUAGAGAAGUUAAACAAAGAAUCCGAACCGAAUUAUUACACUGUGUGAAACAUGUACUCGUUAGAAAAGGAAAAAAACAUAGAAAAGUAAAUAUAAUAAGCAAAGGGUUUUGAACCUGGGUCUUCGGGUUAGAAGAGCAAGGCUCUCUCCAUCCCGCUAGUGUUCGACAGUUGAUAUAGAAUGGCAUAGGUCGCUAUAAGGAAUACGCGCCGGGCGGUGACUUCAGGAAAACUGAAUCGUUUUUUGACUUACGGGUAGCAUGGUGGGUAAGUUAUGCCAAUUUCAGGGGUAGUUUGAUCAAUGUUUGAAUUAUGUACUUUAGCUAUUAUUUAUAUUAGAACUUUGUACUUUCGCUACGAACAAAUAUUAUUUACGCGUGAUAUUCGAUUAUUCAUCUAUAUAAUUUUCGUGCAUGGAUUUAAUGUUUUGAUACAAGAAGUGCAAUUGUACACCCGGACAUUUAAGGGGUCAUCCGGCGGUUGUGUCUCGACAUGUCCAUGACAUUUAAGGGUUAGACAUGUCAAAUUUGACUUGUAAAGAGAUAAAUACACUCAUGGUCAUUAUAUUUGAACCCAAAGCAUGAUACGGUCACUACACUUUGGAAUACACUCAUUAUGAUUAUUAUAUACGUAAAGCGGUGAUUAUAAGGUCACUCACUCACCGUAUAGCAUCGUAUUACACUUGUUGAUCGGACAAAUGGAUAUAUUUACCAGUCCCGAGUCACUGAUGCCGCCUAUCGCCUCCGCCUCGUCGCCUCGCCGCUCGUGCACUGCUCGCCCCGCUCUGCACCACGUCCGCUCCGAGCCGCAGCUGCUAGCUGAAAAAAAACCUGCUCCCCAUGUUUCUCUCUUCCCGCUGUAUGGAGAGCAAGUAUGAGGAGCCGUGGGGUCUCAGUGUGAUGUGGUGGUAGAAGGUGGUCGGGCCAGGUGGGAUAGAGGAGCAGCGAGGCGGCAGGUUUGAAGAGGGCAGGGCGGUGAGGGAAUUGGUGCCGAUGCAGCAGGACGGGAGGCGAUGGCGGGACAAGGUGGUACGGCGCGAGAUGUUCGACGGAGGGGCGGCCUUCCACGCCACGGCGGCUGCGGCUGCGCUAAGCCACCAACAACAGCAGCACGCAUAGUAUGGCGACCCCCGGGGCGGCGCCGGAGGCUCAUUCUAUGAGAGCGAGGCGGGCGGGUCGUCGGAGCCCGAGCCGCAGGGGACCUCCGCCCGCCCACGUGGGAGAGGCGGGUCCGGCAGCAAGCGCACCCGCGUCGCAGAGGUGCACAACCUCUCCCAAAAGGUGCUGGCCCUCCGUCACGAACCCUUCUCCCCUGACUUCGCUCUACUUUUCUGCUCUUUUCCCUUGUGUUCCCCUUCACGCCAGGUAAUUGAGCUUCAGACUAAGACAUCGCUACCCAAUUCAGACUUGGUUGCGACAAUGAUUGCCAAGUAGAGAUGAAAAUCGCAUGAUACCGACCGGCUUGACUUUUUUUGAACCGGGCUUUACCCCUUUCCAUUAUUAAUGAACAAAAAUAUAUAAGUUUCAGAAAAACACAGGGAGGGAAAGGAGAAAAUCAAGUUUGACACAUCACGAAAAGAAACCCAUUGUAACCGCUUGACAUUGAAACGGACACUAUAGGACUAAAACCUAGUGACACAUAGCUCAAACAAACUACUAGCUAACAGUUCAGAUAAGAACGAAACAAGCUUCUAAAAUCCCGUACCAGUCGGCUUCAUAGCUAAUAAAAGUCUCCUCCAUAUCAUUUGGCUAGUGAUUAAGCUCUGCUUUCUGAAUUGAACCUUUUCUAUUCCACUAUUAGCCCUCUGCUGUUGAAUCAGAAACGAAACAAGCUUCUAAAAUCUCGUACCAAUUCAAGCGGUUGUUUGUUGCAGGUUCUAGACAUAACGCGACCUAGCAUAGUUUGUUUCUGAGGGGAAAAUGACUUGAAUGCAGACAAAAACAGAUGGAUACAAUUACAGACUGAUGGACCUUUUUACAUGGGCACUACGUCAAAUUCCACAUGUAUACGUGUAUGCUCAAUGCUCAUGCAAGAAUUAUCUUCAUAGCGAAACAUGCAGUGGGCGAUCUGGCCGGCGAGGUGGUGGAGGUGGGCAGUGGCGUGACCAACUUCAAGCCGGGAGACAAGGUCAUCUCAAUCAGCUUCCCGGUAAGAAGACAACGCACUGACCAACACUAUGGUUCCGUCUCGUCUCUAUCGAACACUGUCAAAAUCCAGUGCUCUCACAGGAUCGGUGACUGCACAGCGGCGGCACGCUCACCGAGUAUGCGGUGGCGCUGGCGUCCCUCGCGGUGAAGAGGCUAUCGGAGGUGUUCGUCGUAGUAGGCGCCUUCCUGUUGGCCGCCGCCAGCAGCUGCUCAAGCUCACCGGGGUCAGCUUCGACGCGACCUUCGGCGCCACCGGUCCGAAGAACGCGCUGGUGACCGCGGCCUCAGGCGGCGUGGGCCACUACGUCGUGUAGCUCGCGAAGCUUGCGGGCUUGCACGUCACGGCCACCUGCGGCACGCGCAACAUGGACUUCGUUCGGGGCCUGGGCGCCGACGAGGUGCUCAACUACAGGACGCCCAAGGGGGCGGCGCUACGGGGCCCGUCGGGCAGGAGGUACAACGCGGUGGCGAACUGCGCGGUGGUGGGUUGGGGCGUGGUCGGCGCUCAAGGCAGUGCUGGCCGAUGUCACACCUGGGGUCGGCGCCGCGCUCACAUCGAUCCUAUAGAAAGUGACCAUCGCCAAGAAGAGGCUUGCGCCGCUGAUGCUGCUCGCCGUGGAGAUCACUGAUGAUGUAGGGACCGCGGGUUAGUUCGGAUUAAAGACAGGGGGGUUUUCAUAAAAAAUGAAAAACGGUUUGACGCGACUUACAGAAGGACUGCGGGUUAAUUACCUGAAACGACAGGGACUUUUUUAUAAAAACGCCGCGGCGGACGACACAAGCAUUCCGUGCUUUAUUAUUAGGGAAGAUGAAUCAUAUGUAUAUGGCUUAUUUUCAUGGUUCCUACAAAAUCGUGCUUCUGAAUCACCCCUCAAUUGCUUCAACCAAUAUUACUUUGUGCUACAACCACGUCAAUUUUUCUUAUUUUGAUAAAAUUAUUGUUCAUGCAUUUUUCUUCUUGCACCAAUUUAUUUUAUUUGAACCAUUACCAAUGUAUGUCUCAUUUUUUUCUCAUUGAUGUUUCAAUUAAAAACAUACAAGAUGCUUCUAAAAUUUUCAUAUAUAUCUUUUCAUGGCAGUGAAUCCCGACUUCAAGCAUUCCCAAUGUGUGCUUCUAUUGUUGUUUAAACAUAUUGGUUCGACCAAGUGUGCUUUAACCAAUUUCUGCGAGUCAUCUUUCAUUCGUAUUAUUGUACAUGUGUUUUGCUUCUUGCAGCGAUAUUUUUGUUUCAACCACUACUGAAGUUAGCUUCAUUGUUUCUUUCUUAUGUUUCCAUGUAUAAAUAUUUUUUCCAGCCGAUUCAGGUGCGUGUCUUAAUUUUCAACACAAACCUAAUAGUGUUGAGUGUGCUGGACCAGGCAUCACUUCUUAUUGGACGCUACCUCGUCGAGGAAAAACUUGUGAAAUGUGCAGAGCUGUCCUAUGAUUAGUUAAUUGAAAACAUACAUCCGAGCUAACUAUUAUGUAUAAGUGAAAUUAGUGUUGUUGUCGCAAACAAAAUUGUAUAUUAUUUCUAUCAUAUGAAUUUCGACGCGGUGUAUAUUCUUAAUUCGUGUUUCCAGACAAUUCAUUUGGCGAAGCCCACAUUUCUACGAAAUGUGAAUACUAUUUUUUGUCACAAAAUAAAAAGAUUUCUGUCAAAAAUAUUAUUGUAUAAAUAAUGCGUCCAUGGAUACAAAAUAAAAAGAUUUUUGUCACAUAAUUGGCUAAUAUUUUUCCAUCUCAAGGUGAAUGGGUGCUUCCGUCAAUAAAAGGUAAUGCUUCUAUGAUUGAAUAAUAUAUGUUUCCAUCCUGUCGUGAAAGGGUGCUUCCGUUUAUCUAUACCUAAUAAUAAAGCGGUUAUUGGUUCCGUCAGAAAACCCACUGCGAUAUUUUUGUAAAAAAGCCCCUGUAAUUUUUGUUAUUCAACCCGCGCUCCAUCAUUUAUCUGCAACGCAAAAGGAAAAAACGAUUCGCAGCAAAAAUUAUACCCGUACACAUCGUCUCCUCCCGUCGACCCUGGGCCACCCUAGCAUGUGCCCAGGCCGCCACCACACCACUCGCCGCCGCGGCCGACCUCAACCGCCACCGCUGCCGAUCUCAACCCAACCGCCUCCGCGGCCGUACCUCUCCCCGCUCACUGCCCCCGUUGCGGCGCUCGAGCGCAUCGCGUCGACCCUGGUCCACCUUGGCCUGUGCCCAGGCCGCUGCAACACCACUCGCCGCCGCGGCCGACCUCAACCACCACUGUUGUCGAUCUCAACCCACCCGCCUCCGCGGUCGUACCUCUGCCCGCUUGCUGUCCCCGUUUCGGCGCUCGAGCACAGCUUCUGGAUACAAUCAACGCGACAGCUACAAUGAGUGGGGAUGAUGCGUCUGCUCGAUGCAGAACGACGGCGGCGCGCGGAUAAGGCGCGGCAGAGCGAAAUACUUGGAGGUGGAGGCGGACCUCCAUGGCUCACACGGGGAACUCCGAGGUUAUGGCGCGGCAACGACGACUCCUUAUGGCCAGAUAGAGGCGUCUAAUCCGGAACUCAUCAUCUGGUGAGAUCCCCUCGCCAUGUCUCCAACCGUGUGUCAAGCACCGGCAAUAAUUUUUGUUUUGUGGGGAUUUGUUUGCUGAUGAAUGAAUGUAUUGAAUGUAAGAUUGUAUUAUUGUAGAGACAGAGAAUGGAACACCACCUUCAAUUUGUCAUCUGAUUCCACAUUCUCUACCCCAUGAGUGAAAUAAGAUAACAGUCCAUUGAUCAAUACACGUAGCAUCUUUGUUUUGCUUUGCUUGUCCCGCUCAAUUUCUCAUCAUGGUGAAAUUAACAAUGGACGGGUUAAUUUCUCAACAAAACAGGAUAGGACUGACUACAUUAGUUAGUUAGCUUAUUAUUUUAAUAAAUCAAAAUGAUUAUAAAAAGAUGUAAAACGUGUGGUAUUUUUUUCCUCAUGUUACAACGCACGGGCCCUUUUGCUAGUAAAAGUAAUGCAAACUUGUCAUAAAAAAUGCAUCUACGAAAAUAAUAUUUUUUAUUUGUUUAUUGGAAACACAUCACAAACUAAAAGAACGAGCUUCCUUGGAAAUAUGAUUCGUGAAAAUAAAAAUAUUUGUUUGUUGGAAGCUAAUCACGAGUGGUUAUUAGGAAAAUUAUUAGACGCAAUUAGUGCAAAAAUGUUGUAAUCAAUGGGAAGCACUUUUAAUUAAGCAAUCCACACACCGGACCUGGGGUUUGUACAUCAAAUCUGAUGGUCAUCCUACCUUUCGUCCAACGGACAUGCACUAGUCUAAUGAGAAGUAAGUAGUCUGAUCCCUGUCGGUUCCCUAAAUUGGUUGAGAGCUAUACUUAUCUAGCUAUACGUGACUUCACUUAAAUAGCAUUGGAGGAGACCAGAAUUGUGCCUUUGUCUGUGCGAAAGGAGGGGAGAGAAGCUUUUCAUGCCUAAAAUAAAAUCUGAGAACACGUUGUCACGUACAACUCGUGAUACUGUCACAAAAAGGUUCACAGGGAUUAUGCAGCGAAAGAGCAGAUAAUAAAACUAUAUAAACAUCAUAUGAAUGAUACAACCCUCGGCAAAACACCGGAGCAGAGUACUGCGACCUUAUAUAGGAGUACGUAGUUUAUUACUGGUAAAAACAGAUUAUAGAAGAUAGUAAUCGUCGUGGUUAACAUUGGACUCGAGAACUCUUCAUCCAAUCCAAACUUUGUAGAGUAUGCCGGCCGUCCUGACUUACUUGGCAACGACGGCCUCCUUGCCGCCGGCAGCUGCGGCCGUAGCCUUGGCGUCGUCCUUCUUCUCGAAGGCGGAGACGGGGAAGGUCCUCCCGAGCCCGGUGGGCGUCUUGAAGGUGAUCUUGGAGGGGUCGUCCUUGUCGAUGAACAUGUCGCAGAGCGUGAUCCAGAUGAGGAGCUCCUUGCUCUUGACCCCGGUCAUGCGCUUCAUCUUGCGGUCCUCGACGAAGGCCGUCACCUCGGUGGCGUACGAGACCUGCCGCCCGAUCUGCUUGAAGGUGUGCGUGAGCGCCUUCUUCUGGCGCAGCCAGACGAAGCCGGUGGCGCGGUUGUAGCCCACCUCCUCCAUGUCCGCCAGCGGCAGCAGGCCCAGCGGCAUGUUGGUCUCGGCCAGCAGCUCCACCGCCUUCUCCGCGCACAGCGCCGCGCCGUGGUACACCUCCGCGCCCUCCCUCUGAGCCUCGAUCGCCUGCGCCAUCUCGACUGGUUGAAUCAAAUCUCGCGAAGUAAACUCAGAUUCAACUCUGGAUGGAGGAGUCGACGCGCCCGAGUUGCUGGGGCCUUUUUUGGUAUUGGGGUAUUUGGUUUGCUGCUGUUGUAUUGGGGGGUGAGGAGGGGCUGAUUUUAUAGGGGGAAAGUAGGUUUGGUGUUUUCCGUUCCGGGAUGGAUACCGUCGCCCCAGCUGGGGAUGAGACGGUUGGGAGAGGGGAUUUAAGGCGAGGGUUAUUAAUGCUUGGGGAGGAAGACGGUUGGGUCUCCGGCUCUCCGACGCACACACGCCGCGCCGUCCAGUUGGUGGUUUCGUUGCUUUUUCUUUGAACUGCCCACCUUGUAUAAUCAAUCAUGCAGAUUUAUGUCGCCUCCGGGGGUUUAAAAACAGAUGGCUAAUUGUGCGUUAACCGCCACAGCCUAUUAACAUAGGCCACCCUUACAAAACAUUCGGAUGAUGUUUGCAAAAAUAUCGUUCACCUCAGGAGCCCUCCGAUUAGAUACACUGAGCCGUUUGAUUGUAGGCUUCACAUUUCUUCUUCCUCCUCUUUCAAGACAUCCAUGACACCAGGACCUCUCUUAACCAUGUGUCUCCUCUAAGGCAAGUACGCAACACCUCCACAGCCCCGACAAUGCUGCAUCACAAAUUUAACGACCACACCGGUGACCGUAUGAAGCACUCGCACAGGUCCAACAUAGCUCUCAUGGCUUCGAUGAAGCUCUAAUGCAACUCCGGCAGAGCUUCAACACAGCAUCGACCGUUCCGAUGAUGAUCCAAUGCAACUCCGGCAGAGCUCCAAUGCAGCACCGAUGGCUCUGGCGCACCGAUGCGCGUGGUACAUUGCAGCGCCGGCGCACCUGAUGACGCCUUGCAACACUUAAAACAUCACUGUCGUCGUUUCAUGGUAGCACCGGGAGCUGCUCCAUGGCAGCAUCACGCGCGAUGAAAAGCUUCAACGCGUCGCCCGCCGCUGGCGGGAUGCCGCGGUUGCGCUUCAACGCGUCGCCCGCCGCUGGCGGGAUGCCGCGGUUGCAGCGCUAGCUAUUGAGGGACAUUGUGUUGCCACAUUGCAGCGCCCGCCGCCGGUGGGAUGCUACGGUUGCAGAGCUGGCUGUUGAGGGACACUUUGUUUCCGCGUUGCAGCGCCAGUCGCCGACGAGAUCUGUAGGGUGCAGCCCGUGGUCUUUGCAAUGACAACAGUGGCGAUGGUGAGUCUCUGCAGCAGCCGGUGGUAGUAGUGCAUGGCAUAGAAAAGCUCUGGUGGUCGUCGGCCUUGCUGCUAGAGAGAGAGCCGAGAGGAAAAGGAGUGGGAUGGGAGGUAGGAGAUGACAAAGACGGAGAAGGAAGAAACGAGUGGCUCGCCUACAAAGAGAUAAGGCUGUGAAUUGUGAUGGCCGGUUGGUUGGUCCCACAGGGACGCGUGGAGUGCACGGGGCACGAUUGAUUUCCUAGGAAAUCAGUCGGUCAAAAAGAAUACUUUUCCAUUAACAUAUGGAUGCGGAUGGUCUCACAACAGGUACAAUAUAAGUUGGGGUGGCAGGAAUUCCCCUCCCCCUUCCUCCCCUUCGGCGAGUGACUUAGGGAAACCAUAGCUUGCCAGCAACCUCCCUCCUCUUCCUUCCCUCUUUCCCCGUCGUCGAGAGGCGUGACCGGGCUUCCCUCUCCCGAACGACGGUGCCAACAAAACUCCCUCCCCUUUCCUUCCCCCUCCAUCGCUGCCGUCGAGAGGCGUUGCGAGGCCAUGCCCGACCGAUGUGAGUGGUGACGGGGCCUUUCUUCUCCCCCACUCGUUCCGAGUGGCUGACACAGGAUGGCCGAUUGUGUGACGAUGUUGCACUCUCGGGGGACAAGGCGACACAACUGCGUGUGCAUCUGGUGGCGGCGCGAUGAUGAAUUGGGCACGUGUAGAUGAUGCGCCGGCUGCGUGAUGUAUCUGAUUCGAGCGGCGACAUGAGGAUGCAUUCCGGUCAGAUCCACCCACAUGUGCCACCUAGGGGAUGGUGAGCAACACAGUGUGGUGGCGGUGGCUCGACUGGGUCGCUGCUAGGGGUGGUCUACGACGGCGAGAUGGCAGCCUCUCGCGAUGUGUGUUAGCAUGUCGACAGCAUGGCUGCCACAAUGGUUCGGCGGGUGAGAUCGUGGCAAUACCUGGACUCUUCUCCACCGUCAGAUUAAUCGGUUGCCGGCACGGGGCGACAGUGUGUGAUUGGUCGAGUACCUCACAUCAUUGGGAGUGUGGUUGAAGCUUGCCACAUCGAAUAAGAAUAGGGAGCUUUGGUGGGGCAUCACAGGGGGUGGCGUGUGGAUAAGUGGCAAAGGGAUGGAUGCCUCCGAUGAGGUCGGGGCACCAGUAGUCCAUGCAGAGGGUGCCAGUUGUGGAUGAGGACCCCUCUUGCACUUUCACCUCUGCCCAACCUAGUUGCUCUUGUUCCCCGGUCAAUAUGACAAAGUCGGUCACUAGCGGCUCUGCCGAUGGUGUGGGUAUGCAGGUUGAUGCUUCAUCUCGUAGCCUUGGAUGGGCUCUAGGGUGCCUUAUCUCUAGGGUGAUAGUCCUGGCAGUGGGAGCUGGGGUGCUCGUGGGCCGAGCCAGCGGCUCAGGUGCGAGCUAGCUACCAUGGACAUGGGGGAAGCAUGGUGGCUAGUAUUUGACGUUCCAUAAUAGUGAUGUGACAUUUGUUUUCAUGACUAGCCACACCUUAGUCGAAGAAGGAUUGAGUUUGUCGGGGUAAAACCAUGUGUGGCUUUCGCAAGGCCAACUGAGAGGCAUCUGUGUGAAGUGUUCACUUCUUGAAGUCUCUCUCAUGGUUGUUCAUUUGACCUCCGUCGUGCUCCAGGUGGAAAUCCCGAUGCUUUCAAUGGGAUGGUGGUAGCACUCUAGUGUCAUGAUCUUCCAAAAGGCACCCCCUUGAAACCCAUGGUUUGUCAACGUUCAAUUUUACCACUUUGCGAUGGGUUUUCAUUGGUGAGGGCUCCAUCCAUCUAUUGUCUACAUGGAGUUGUAUGGAAUGAGCUAGUUGGUCUUUGCCACAUAUGUAUCUUGCUUGGGGAUGGGUGUUGUGUUGGCAUGGUGUAUGGUAGUUUGCGUCAAGUUGCAUGUUGGCAUUGUUUUAAUACAUAGAAGGGCUAAAGUUGCACUUACAACUAUUUUGUUCAAGAAAAUAAUGCCACAAAAAAGUAACAUCGUAGACUUUUGCAUGAUCGCCUUGACCGCUAAUAAGAACAACCCAUGCCUUGACUGUUGUUCUAUGAAUUGCUUAUGCCAAUUCCUUGUCAUUGAGGAACCCUAUGACAAAUAACUCCACAAACACCGAUGCACUUGUUCUAGUGAGAGUGAGGUGUUGAUACGUCUCCAACGUAUCUAUAAUUUUUUAUUGUUCCAUGCUAUUAUAUUAUCAUUCUAGGAUGCUUUUUAGGAACUUACUUGCUAUUUUAUAUUAUUUUUGAACAUUAACCUAUUAACCCAGUGCCAAGUGACAGUUGUUGUUUUUUGCAUGUUUUUGGCCUUUCAAGAAUAUUGUACCAAACAAUGGACAAAAUAAGAACAUGGAAGCUUCAGAAGGAGACCGGAGGCCCCACAGGGUGGCGCCACGGGGUGAUGCCAAGCUAACAGGGGGCGCCCAGGGGGUGGCCGCGCUCAGAUGUCUUGGGGCCACCUCCCUUGGCCUCUGGCGUUCCUCUCUAUCCUAUAAAUUCACAUUAAUCCAGAAAACCCUAAGGAUCCUCCCAAAAUACUUUUUCUAAUGCUUGAUCUAUUUUGUCGUGUGCCAAUCUGGAACCUUGUUCCGGUGCCCUGUUAGUGUGGGGAUCGAGCACGAAGGGCCUCUACAUCAACCUUGGUGCUCCCAUGGUGAUGUUUGAGUAGUUCAUCACAUACAUACGGGUCUGUAGUUAGUACCUAGAUGGCUAUCUAUCUCUCUAUGUUAUUUUUGCCAUGAUCACCGCGAUUCUCGCGGUGAUCUAUCUUAUGUAAUCACUUUGUGCGAUGCGUUUGUUGGGAUCCGAUGAAUUGUGGGUUUAUGUUCAGAUUAUUCUUUAAGUAUAUUUGAGUCCUCUCUGAAUUGUUAUAUGCAUGAUUGUGAUAGCUUCGUAAUUAUCUCCGAUCAAUUGAUUUGGUUUGGACAACUAGGUUGAUCUAUCUUCAGUGAGAGAGGUGCGUUAUAGUGGGUUCAAUCUUGGGGUGCUCUAUAUCCUAGUGACAAAGUAGGGGGACAAGACACGUAUUUGUAUUCUUGCCACUAAUGAUAAAACGAUGGGGUUGAUUCAUAUUAAUUGGAUUUUAUCUGUCUACAUCAUGUCAUUGUUCACCAAGCAUUACUCCGUUUCACUUAAUACUCUAGAUGCAUGUUGGAUAGCGGUCAAUGGGUGGAGGAAUAGUAGUAGAUGUAGGAAGAAGUUGGUCUACUUGCUUAUGGACGUGAUGCCAAUAUGUAAUGAACAUUAUCAUUAAUAAAUAUUCCAUAACUAUGCGCAUUUCUAUCAAUUACCCAACUGUAAUUUGUUUACCCACCGUAUGCUUUCUACGAGAGAGAAGCCUUGUAACGACCAAGAUGCGACACUUUCCAUUUUUGGGGACGAGGACUCAAUAGGGAAAGAAACGCAUCUUAGUGUUUCGCAAGUACAGAAAUCAUCACAAUACAUACAUGAAGAGAUGAGUAUAUGGAAUGACUUGCACUCGCCACUAGUUAAGUUACAAGUCACUCAACAAUUUAUUUCAAAUCAUCCUUAAGACAGCGUCCGACUACGGACAAGAUAAAUGAUAAAAUUGCAAUGAUCUGUCUCGCUCGCCCAUGAGAUGACCAAGGUCCUCUAAUCGUUGGGGUACGUCUUGUACAUGAGGCCACUGCCUUCAUUGAACUCCCAGUGCAACUUCGUAGCAUCAAAAACGUUUGUAUCUGCGGUACCUGGACCUGUGGUGGUGUAGUAAUCUAUGGGCCACAAGGACUCAGCAAUCUUGCUACCAUGAUACCGGAACUAAUCAAGUUAUUGGGUCUAGAAGGUUUAGUGUUUAGGUUGCGACAACACUAAACAUAUAUGGUGACUAACUUAUGAGAACAUAGAGUAAAGUGAGUGGUCUACGCAUGACGUUCGGAACUACAUAAUGAUCACUAAGUGAUCUUGAACACCUACAUGUGUUAGUCAAAACCCCACCAUGUCCUCAGUCGGAGAAGGAUCUCGCGAAACAGACAAUCACAGUUAUGCACAUAGUUGGCAUAUUUUAAUUAAGUUUACUUCAAGUUAUCUAGAACGGGAUGUGAAACAAAGUUUCCAAGUUGCCACAUAACUGCGGGCAUAGCUUUCUGAAAUAUAUUAACCCUGUAGUGGUGCUCCAACUAAUCCAUCACAAAUUACAACAAGCUGCAUAGGAAGCCUCGACCACAGAAAACCGAUGAUCUCCUCAGAUUCCUUAGUGGAAAACCUCAACCUUGAGAUAACCCAAAGUAUCCUCGGAAUCCCGAUGCACAAGACACCUCGAGGAGGUGAAUACACAUCCAGCAAGACCAUCCAACGUGUCAACGAACUCGAUAAGAGCCGCGUAUCUCAGUCUCACGACACGACGGAUGAGCACUACGUACAGUGGCCGGAUAGAAAUCCCCCGAGUUGCCCUGGGUGGCCUCUCAAGUGGCUCUUUUUAGAUGAACACUCAUGGGGAGCACUAUCCCGAGGGUUGAUUAAAUUAUCCUUGGGGUUGCUAUUCCCUAUGCUUUUUAUUAUUAAGUCGUUUAGCCAAUUGAGUACUAAAGUUGGGUCUUGCGAGACAAGUCUUAUCCAAAAUGAGUUAUCAAGGGGGUCCGCAUAACAACCCCAAGCGUGUUAGGAGCACUCAAUAUGGAACACAACACGAGUAGCCGAAACUAAGGUGGGAAAAGCGGAACAAAAUACCCAGCAAAAGGCCAAGCCUUCCGCCUUUUACCAAGUAUAUUAGUGAAUUAAAUUAAAUAAUAGUAAUAAGAUGAUAUUCAAAAGCCCAUGUUAACACAUGGAUCCGCCUGCACCUGCAACUAGCAAUGCUAUAAGAGGGUUGAGAAAGCGCUAACUUAGCCAAACAAUAUUUGCUAGGUUGCGAAGGAGUUAGAGGCUUUCAUGGCAAUGUAUGGAGGCUGAUUUUCAAGUGGUAGGCACCAAUCAAAUAGCGAUGGAAACGAUUCAUCUAAGCACAACAAAAUUAGAGAUGAUAUCCAGGUCACAAUCAUCUUGCCUACUGGUUCUUCUAACGGCUACAACUCUUGCUCUUCAGGAACGUACUGAACGUGACCCUCACACUCGUUCUCAGCUCGCAUUUCUACCAAAAGAAAAUACACAUCCAAUGAACACAUAGCAUGGUGCAAUGCUUCAAACAACAUGAUGCAUGAAUGUGGGUAUGAACGGAGCAUGGCUAUGCUAACUAGUCAAGUUUCUCAUGCAUUUAUUAAGUUGUUAGCAUUCUGGACAGAACCUCAAGUUUAUUAAUUUGAACAUGCAUGAACAUGGAACAAAUGCAUGCAUCAUGGAAAAUGGCACAACAACAUAUAAACAUGGUCGCAAGUCGAGCUACGGAUAUCUCGGAACUUGCAAAACAAGAUACGAAAGGCAACGAUGACUAAACAUCAUUUGUGAGGGGCUAUGCGCAUUUUCUUGUCACUCCAAGUAUGCCACUGGAUGGGUCUCAAAAUUCUAGGUGCAAUAGCCCUUAAAGUCAUGCAAAACAAGUAAGCAUAACUCACACAAAGCACAAAACAGAACACCAUCCAAUUUGUCUACUAACAACAACAUACCACUUUGAACACAAGAAAACGAGUAGCUACAACCACUCAAUGUGUUCAACCAAGACAUGGACAUGAAUCUAUCAAAGAACACAACAAUACCUAAUUAACAUCAACACUGAUAGGUUCAUGAAACAAUGGCAAUCACACUCUCAACAUGACAAGAAAUAUUACAGAUUAGGAUUUUGUGAAAAUCUCAGUUUGCACUUGCAGUUUUUAAUCUGGUGACAUGUUGACAACAACAAAACACAAUUCUACAACAAGUUUCAUGGCAUGAAAUUUAACAGGGUUGUAGAGGGAAACAACUACUACUCCCUCCAUCCCAAAAUUAGUGUCUCAAGCUUAGUACAACUUUGUACUAGAGCUAGUAUAAAGUUAAGGCACUUAUUUUGGGACAGAGGGAGUACAAAAACUGGCACUAAGGAUGAGCUAAAACUGCACACGCCACUUGGUAGCAUCCCCUAAACAUGGCAUAAAAAUCACUACAGUCUCAUAGUUAGUCAAAUUCACAAAGGGGAAAUUGCAGGACUUUAUAAUAUCAUAGCAUCUUUGACAGGAAAUAACUCUAAGAUGCAAAAUCUAUUUGGCAAGGUGAAGGCACCACUUGACAUAGGACAAAAAACACGACAAUUCAUGGCGUUGGACCAAACACAAAGGAACAAUAUAUUCGUGGGAAUCAUCAACACAACAUCGUAAGAAAAUAAUAUAUUCCAACACUUAGACAUAUUUGAGCAAUGAAAACAGUAAUAUUUCCUUUGCAAGUUUAUAGCAAGAAACCCACUAAACUACAACCUCAACAUGGUUAAGAAAAAUACCAGGGCCUAAUACCAUCAAAACACUACCACUUCCAUGUUGACAAGUUCAUCAUAUGGUGCAAGAAUUAAAUCACGUGAAAACGACAAAAUGCCAUCUCAUCACAAAAUAACAUUUUUGCAAAGUUGCUCAAAUGACAGAAACAAUGCCACCAAUGGAUUUACUGGAAUUUUCUAUCCCAAAUCAAUAUAUCACACUACUAUAUUCCUAUGUGCAAAAACACAAAAAAAGAAAUUUACAAAAAUCAUCCUAUGACUUAUAAGUUAAAAUUUCCCAAUUUGGCAAUUGCUAAUUCUGGCGAUACUCUAUUUGGACAUAUUCUAGAAUUAGAAAUUAUCUAAGUGCAACUAAAACAUGAAACAAAGCACACCACAAACAAAAUAAAAAUGCUAGGGCCCACCUGGCAUAGGGAACGGGGGUCAUAGGGGGAUGACAUGUGGGCCGAGGGGUCCAAUUUUAGUGCCUCUACGCUAGGAAAUAAAAAGGGGAGAUAACCGCUCCCGUGGGUGAUCGAACCCAUGACCUCUAGUGUGCAGGCGUGAGGGGUGACCAACUAGGCUAUGCUUCCGGACUUGACACAGGAGGCUACGACGGCGACAACGCGGCUACAGGCGAUCCUAGGUACACGGGGGCUACGCGGGGCUACAUGCGAGGGCGCGUGCGUGUGGCUCCUCGCGGGAAGGCGAAUGCACGCGCGGGGCGAGGGCGAUGCAUGCGGGGACAUGAUACGUAUCCAACGUACCUAUAGUUUUUAAUUGUUCCAUGCUAUUAUAUUAUCUGUUUUGGAUGUUUUAUAUGCAUAAAUAUGCUAUUUUAUAUUAUUUUUGGGACUAACCUAUUAAUCCAGAGCCUAGUGCCAGUUUCUGUUUUUUCCAUGUUUUUGAGUAUUGCAGAUAAGGAAUAUUAAACGGAGUCCAAACGGAAUAAAAUCUCCGGAUUGAUUUUUCUUGGACUAGAAGAAACCUGCCAGACUUGGAGAAGGGGGCAGGAGACCUGCCGGGAGACGACAAGCCUGCAGGGCGCACCCUAGGGGGGGCCCCUGCCUUGUGGCCCCCCUGCAACUCUCGUAACCCUAUCUUUGGCCUAUAAAUUCCCAAAUAUUCCCCCAUUACCAAAAAGAGACACAAAAAAUACUUUUCCGCCUCCGGGAGCCUCUGUUCCCGUGCGAUCCAAUUUGGGAGCCUUUUCCGGUAAUUUGCCGCACAGGGUAUCAAUCACGGAGGGCAUCUACAUCAACUCCAUUGCCCCUUCGAUGAUGUGUGAGUAGUUCACCACAGACCUACGGGUCCAUAGCUAGUAGCUAGAUGGCUUCUUCUCUCUCUUUGUUCUUCAAUACCAUGUUCUUCAUGAUCUUGAGGGAGAUCUAUCCGAUGUCAUACUCUUUUGCGGUGUGUUUGUCGAGAACCGAUGAAUUGUGGGUUUAUGUUCAGGUUAUCUAUGAAUAUUAUUUGAAUCUUCUCUGAGUUCUUAUAUGCAUGAUUUCAUAUCUUAGCAAGUCUCUUCGAGUUAUUGGUUUGGUUUGGCCAACUAGAUUGGUAAUUCUUGGUCGAUAUKKGUACAAUGAGAGAGGUGCAUNUUGGCCUAUAAAUUCCCAAAUAUUCCCCCAUUACCAAAAAGAGACACAAAAAAUACUUUUCCGCCUCCGGGAGCCUCUGUUCCCGUGCGAUCCAAUUUGGGAGCCUUUUCCGGUAAUUUGCCGCACAGGGUAUCAAUCACGGAGGGCAUCUACAUCAACUCCAUUGCCCCUUCGAUGAUGUGUGAGUAGUUCACCACAGACCUACGGGUCCAUAGCUAGUAGCUAGAUGGCUUCUUCUCUCUCUUUGUUCUUCAAUACCAUGUUCUUCAUGAUCUUGAGGGAGAUCUAUCCGAUGUCAUACUCUUUUGCGGUGUGUUUGUCGAGAACCGAUGAAUUGUGGGUUUAUGUUCAGGUUAUCUAUGAAUAUUAUUUGAAUCUUCUCUGAGUUCUUAUAUGCAUGAUUUCAUAUCUUAGCAAGUCUCUUCGAGUUAUUGGUUUGGUUUGGCCAACUAGAUUGGUAAUUCUUGCAAUGGGAGAAGUGCUUAGUUUUGGGUUCAAUCUUGCGGUGUCCUCACCCAGUGACAAAGUAGGGGUAGCGAGGCACGUAUUGCAUUGUUGCAUAGAGGAUAAAAAGAUGGGGUUUUCAUCAUAUUGCUUGAGUUUAUCCCUCUACAUCAUGUCAUCUUACCUAAUGUGUUACUCUGUUCUUCAUGAACUUAAUACUCUAAAAGCACGCAGGAGUCGGUCGAUGUGUGGAGUAAUAGUAGUAGAUGCAAAAUUGUUUCGGUCUACUUAACAAGGACGUGAUGCCUAUAUGCAUAAUCAUUGCCUUGGAUAUCUUCAUUAUUAUUCGUUUUUAUCAAUUUCUCGACAAUAAUUUGUUCACCCACCGUAUUAUUUUCCUUCAUGAGGGAAGCCUCUAGUGAAACCUAUGGCCCCCGGGUCUAUUUUCCAUAUUAUAUUUUUCGGAUAUAUAAACCAAAAAUACAAAAAAUAUAUUGCUGCCAUUUAUUUACUUUUGUUUUACUUUUAGUUCUACCAAUCUUUUAUCUAUCUCUAUCAGAUCUCAUCCUUGCAAAUAACUGUGAAGGGAUUGACAACCCCCUUUUAGCAUUGGGUAUAAGUGUUUGAUUGUUUGUGUAGGUGCUAAGAUUGGGGCCUGGCUUGUUCCUCCUACUGGAUUGAUACCUUGCUUCUCAACAAAUUGAGGGAAAUAGUUAUCUACUCUGCUGCAUCACCCUUUCCUCUUCAAGGGAAAACCAACGCAAGCUCAAGAAGUAGCAAGAAGGAUUUCUAGAGCCGUUGCCGGGGAGGAUACAUAGCAAGAUCAAGCCUACCAAGUACCCAUCACAAACUCAUCUCUUGCAUUUACUUUAUUUUCCAUUUUCCUCUUGUUUUCCUCUCCCCACUUCUAUUUUUUUCAGAAAAUACCAAAAAGAUUUGCCUUUUUAUUCGCCCUUCUUCCGCUUGCCUUUUCGUUUGCUUGGGUAUUAGAUCGCUUAAACUCAUGGCUAGCCUUGCUACUACCGCUAGUAUUCCUGAGAAUGAAGUUCUUAAUUUUAAGCAAAGGGAGAUAGAAAACUUAAGAGAUGCUUGGUAUAGAAUUUUCCAUGCUCAAAAUAGAUCUACUCGUAACCAAUCUAUUACCGUUCCCCUUCGCAAUUUUUAUGUGGGUGUCUCUCCUUGUAAUAGAUAUAUUUUGGAUACCAUUAUGGGAGGAAACUUCUUCGGUAGCCAUACCUUUGAUUCUUAUAAUGUUAUGACGAAUUUGGUAGGUUCACCUGGACUCAUGGUUAAUGAAACAAUCUUAACUUUGGAACAUGUGAUGCGAAUACUUGAUACUAUUGAAAAUAAAGUUGCUACCAUUGAGAUCAUUGAAAACUUGGACAAAAAUAUUCAUAAUCAUAUUAAUCAAUAUGGAUCCAAGGUAGGAGUUACUUAAAAACCUAAGGGAAAAGGAACCCAUAGUUAAUGAAAAACUUGAUCAAAAUUCUUCUAGAAUUGGAAAGCUAGAGGACACCAUUACCAACUUGGGUUCCGCUUUUGCCUCUAUUCAAACUACUCCAAAAUUUCCUCCUCCUAAGAUUUCUAAGUUCGUUUAUGUUCUGAAAAAUAAGGGUAAUUCCUCUAGAAAAGGGGAUGGAGGUCUUAAGAUGAGAACUGAUCACCCUAGCUUUAUCGAUAUUCUUAGGGAACCUAUUACUACAAGUGAAUUUCUAGAUUUAUCGCCUAGGAUAAUGAUUAUUGAUAAAACCAAAGGAUAUACUAGGUUUCACAAGUGUGCAAUUGAGGAGUUUCAUACCAAAGAUGACGAUACCUAGAUCUAUUGUAUUAUGCCUAGAUAGGGGCGUUAAACAAUAGCGCUUGUUGGGAGGCAACCCAAUUUCCUUUUUUUGUUUUUGCUUAUGUUUUUUAGUGCUGCACACAUUAUUACCUCUGUAAUAAUUGUGUUUUCUUGUUUUAAUUAGUAUUUGAUCCAAGUAAGACCUUUGGGAUGGUCUACGGUGUUUGCAAGUUGAUUUUGUUGAAAAAAAGAAACUUUUGCUCUAAGUCUAGGAAUUUUGUAAAUUAACUAGAACGUGAUUUUGAUCUGAAUUUUUUAAAAAAUAUUGAUACAAAAAUUAUCCUGAUUGUUCUAUUUUUUCAGAAGUUUUGGAGUUACAGAAGUAUUCGAAGUUUAUAGAUUGCUACAGACUGUUCUGUUUUUUACAGAUUCUUCUUUCUUUGUGUUGUUUCCUUAUUUUGAUGAAUCUAUGGGUUGUAUCAGGGGGUAUGACCCAUGGAGAAGUUGGAAUAUAGUAAAUAUUACACCAAUAUAAAUAAAUAAUGAGUUCACAACAGUACCUAAAGUGGUCAUUUAUUUUUCUUAUACUGACGGAUCUCAUGAGUUUUCUAUUGAGUUUUGUGUUGUGAAGUUUUCAAGUUUUGGGUAAAGAUUUGAUGGACUAUGGAAUAAGGAGUGGCAAGAGCCUAAGCUUGGGGAUUCCCAAGGCAACCCAAUCCAUAUUCAAGGAUACCAAAGAGCCUAAUCUUGGGGAUGCUCCGGAAGGCAUCCCCUCUUUCGUCUUGAAUUCAUCGGCAAAUUUACUUGAGGCUAUAUUUUUAUUCACCACAUGAUAUGUGUUUUGCUUGGAGCAUCUUGUAUGAUAUGAGUCUUUACUUUUUAAUUUUCCACAAUCAUCCUUGAUGCACACAUAUUUUUAUAGAGACACGCUGAAUCAUGAGUUUACUAGAAUACUCUAUGUGCUUCACUUAUAUCUUUUGAGCUAGGCAAUGUUGUUCUAGUGCUUCACCUAUAUCUUUUUAGAGCACGGUGGUGUUUUAUUUUAUAUAAAUUAUUAAACUCUCUUACCUCACUUAUAUUAAUUUUAGGGCCUUUUAAACAGAAUGGUAAUUGGUUUAGGUUAUUAAUUUAGUCCAUAUAUAAUGGGCAUCCAAGAGGGAUAUAAUAAAAACUUUCAUAUUAAGUGCAUUGAAUAUGAUGAGAAGUUUGAUUCCUUGCAUAUAGUUUUGAGAUAUGAAGAUGGUAAUAUGAGAUUCAUGCUAGUAAGUAAUUGUUAAUUGCAAGAAAUACUUGUGUUAAAGCUUGUGAUUCCCGUAGCAUGCACGUAUGGUGAACCAUUAUGUGAUGACGCCGGAGCAUGAUUUGUUUAAUGAUUGUUAACCUUUGUGUGGAGGUCGGGAUCGUGCGAUGGUUAACUCCUACCAACCCUUCCCCUAGGAGCAUGCGUCUAAUACUUUGCUUUGAUAACUAAUAGUAUUUUCGAAUAAGUAUGUGAUAUCUUUAUGACUAAUGUUGAGUUCAUGGAUUAUACGCACUCUCACCCUUCCACCUUUGCUAGCCUCUCUAGUACCGCGCAACUUCCGUCGGUACAUUAAAGCCACCUUCCUCAAAACAACCACCAUAUACUUUCCUCAAAACAACCACCAUAUCUACCUAUUAUGGCAUUUUCAUAGCCAUUCCGAGAUAUAUUGACAUGCAACACCACUGUCCCGUUUUUUCUAUGACACGCACCAUCACUUCCAUAUUGCUUACACAGUCAUAUUUUGUUCUUGAUAUCGGGUUGUAAUCUUUCAGUUGUAAGUAAAUAAAAGUGUGAUGAUUUGCAUUAUUAGAGCAUUGUCCCGUGUGAGAAAAGGAUGAUGGAAGCUAUGAUUCCCUCACAAGUUGGGAUGAAUAUCCGGACUUUACAAAAAAUAAAAUAGGCCAGCGAAGCCCAUAUAAAAAAACAAAAGAGGCCAAAGAUGCCCACCAAAAAAAUGCGAGAAAGAGAGAAGGGACAAUGCUACUAUAUUUUUCCACACUUGUGCUUCAAACUAGCACCAUGUUCUUCAUAGAGAGUCUCCUAAUUUGUCACUUUCAUAUAACUAGUGGAAUUUCAUCUUUUGUACAACCACUUAGUUUUCUUUUUGAGCUUUCAUACACGUAUAAAUCUAGUGCAUUUGUUGCAUGGAAAUCCCUACUCACUCACAUUGAUAUCUAUUGAUGGGUAUCUCCAUAGCCUGUUGAUACGCCUAGUUGAUGUGAGACUAUCUUCUCCUCCUCCUUAUUUUUACAACCUUCACCAUAUUCUAUUUCACCUAUAGUGUUAUAUCCAUGGCUCACACUCAUGUAUUGCGUGGGAGUUGAAAAGGUUUUAGAACAUAAAAAGUUUGAAACAAGUGCUUGACUUUCAUCGGGGUUGUGCAUGAUUUAGAUACUUUGUGUGGAGAAGAUGGAGCAAAGCGAGACCAUAUGAUUUUAUAGGGAUAACUUUCUAAGACCAUGUUAUUUCGAAAGGACACAAUUGCCUUAUUAGUAUGCUUGAAGUAUUAUUGUUUUUAUGCCAACAUUAGACUUUCGUUUCGAACCCGAUGGAUCUGAAUAUUCAUGCCGCAAUAAACAAUAUUACAUGGAUAAAUAUGUUAGGUAGCUUUCCACAUCAAAAAAUCUAUUUUUAUCAUUUACCUACUCGAGGACGAGGAGGAAUUAAGCUUGGGGAUGCGUGAUAUGUCUCCAACGUAUCUAUAAUUUUUUAUUGUUCCAUGCUAUUAUAUUAUCCGUUUUGGAUGUUUUAUAUGCAUUAAUAUGUUAUUUUAUAUUAUUUUUGGGCCUAACUUAUUAAUCUAGAGCCUUGUGCCAGAUUCUGUUUUUUCCAUGUUUUUUAGUAUUGCAGAUAAGGAAUAUUAAACGGUGUCCAAACGGAAUAAAAUCUCCGGAAUUAUUAUUCUUUGACCAGAAGAAACCUGCGAGACUUGGAGAAGGGGGCAGGAGACCUGCCGAGAGACGACAAGCCAGCAGGGUGCUCCCUAGGUGGCGCCCCUACCUUGUGGCCCCCCUGCAGCUCUCCUAACCCCAAUCCUUGGCCUAUAAAUUCCCAAAUAUUCCCCCAUUACAAGAAAGAGACACAAAAAAUACUUUUCCAACGCCGGGAGCCUCUUUUUUCCAUGAGCUCCAAUCUGGGAGCCUUUUCCGGUAAUUUGCCGCACAGGGUAUCGAUCAUGGAGGGCAUCUACAUCAACUCCAUUGCCCCUUCGAUGAUGCAUGAGUAGUUCACCACAGACCUAUGGGUCCAUAGCUAGUAGCUAGAUGGCUUCUUCUCUCUCUUUAUUCUUCAAUAACAUGUUCUUCAUGAUCUUCACAGAAAUAUAUCCGAUGUCAUACUCUUUUGCGUUGUGUUUGUCGAGAUCCGAUGAAUUGUGGGUUUAUGUUCAGAUUAUCUAUGAAUAUUAUUUGAAUCUUCUCUGAGUUCUUAUAUGCAUGAUUUCAUAUCUUAGCAAGUCUCUUCGAGUUAUUGGUUUGGUUUGGCCAACUAGAUGGGUAAUUCUUGCAAUGGGAGAAGUGCAUAGUUUUGGGUUCAAUAUUGCGGUGUCCUCACCCAGUGACAAAGUAGGGUAGCGAGGUACGUAUUGCAGUGUUGCAUCGAGGAUAAAAUGAUGGGGUUUUCAUCAAAUUGCUUGAGUUUAUCCCUCUACAUCAUGUCAUCUUACCUAAUGCGUUACUGUGUUCUUCAUGAACUUAAUACUCUAUAUGCAGGCAGGAGUCGGUCGAUGUGUGGAGUAAUUGUAGUAGAUGCAGAAUCGUUUCGGUCUACUUGACAUGGACGUGAUGCCUAUAUGCAUAAUCAUUGCCCUGGAUAUCUUCAUAAUUAUUCGCUUUUCUGUCAAUUGAUCGACAGUAAUUGGUUCACCCACCGUAUUAUUUUCCUUCAUGAGAGAAGCCUCUAGUGAAACCUAUGACCCCCAGGUAUAUUUUACAUAUUAUAUUUUUUGAUCUAUAAACCAAAAAUAUAUUGCUGCCAUUUAUUUACUUUUGUUUUACUUUUGGUUCUAACAAUCUUUUAUCUAUCUCUAUCAGAUCUCAUCCUUGCAAAUAACUGUGAAGGGAUUGACAACCCCUUUUUAGCGUUGGGUGCAAGUGUUUGAUUGUUUGUGUAGGUGUUAAGAUUGGGGUCUUAUUUGUUCCUCCUACUGGAUUUAUGCCUUGGUUCUCAACAAACAGAGGCAAAUACUUAUCUACUUUGUUCCAUCACCCUUUCCUCUUCAAGGGAAAACCAAUGCAAGCUCAAGAAGUAGCAGGAUGCACGAUGCGAUGUGCGUCUAUAACCAUUGGCAUGGGCAUGGCAGCAAGCACAGUUAGGUACGGGGCGACGGCGAGCGGCGGGAACACAUGGAGGGAGUAGGACGACGGGGCUCAUAGCGGGAGGGAUAUCGAGGACUGCGUGACACUGCGACGAUGAAGCGAGCAUGACGGUGGCCACCAGCCCGAGCCGGCGGGAAUGAUGGGGACGACGGGGCGGUGACCUCAUCUUGGUUUCUUGGUGAAAACGGCAUCGAUGAGGUGCGGCGGAGCUUCGGGACCGGACGUGGACGAUGGGGGAGCUACUCCGGGGACGAGCUCAUGUCCGAGCCGGCCAUGGCGACAGCGAGACGACGGGGACCUUGCCAUGACGGUGAAGAGGGAGGAGGGGGGUGAAAUGAAGAGGGGUAGGUUUAUAGGGCACCACCGGGGGCUUAAAUAGAGGACGACGGGGACGUUCGAGACAUCAAAUCGUGAGGACGGCGACGUGGCACCGAAGGAUGAGCACCAUACCAUGGAGGACGAAGCCCAUGUCGCUGCUGGGCUGCACCUGGCUGCUCGGCUGGACCGGUGCGAGGGAAGGGGAGAGAGGCCUAGGUGGGCUAGGCCGCGCUAGGCUUGGUCGAGGAGCUCUAUCUCUCUCUCAACUGCUUUUGUUAAGACAAAAACACAAUACGCAGGUCCUUUGCGAAACCGAGAGAUAAAAAUAGGGAGGUGUUUUCAAAUAAACAAAAAUGCUUUUGCACUCACAAAAACAUGCACCAAUUUAUAAAAUAGGUUGGGCAUUUUUAGGAGAAGUAAAAUAAAUGGCCAAAAUCAUUACUAAAUGGGUUGUUUUUGCAAAACCCAUAACAGAAUAAAACUACCACAUGUAACCAAGUAUAUUUUAAAAUUACCUGCUAAAUAUAUGGGGUCUUGACAACAUUUUUAAUAAAUGACUUGAGCAAGUUACAAAAUACACAUAACUCCAAUUGGAAUAAGAGGGGGUUUGCAUAGCUUUGUAGAAAGGGUUUUUGGGUUGGGGAUUCACACCACACACUUGCAAACACACCUCACACACAAACACCAGUCAACCUAACACUACAACCAAGCAAGCACAAGCUUAUGAUGCAACAACAAAUAAAAAGAAAUGAGGAUAUGAUGCCAUGAUGCAGUGAUGAAUGAUGAGAGUCAUGAAGCACAAAUUUUAUUAAGCCCAACACAUGAGGGAAAGCUUGGAUGGUUCAACAUGGAACACAUUAAAAAUAAGGCAAGGGGUGCACAUGGGCUAUUACAACUCUCCCACACUACAAGAGGAUCUCGACCCGAGAUCUAGGGCUGAAAUAAUUCAGGGUAGUUAGAAAGGAGAAGGUCCUCACGUUCUCAAGUGGCUUCCUUAUCAGAAUGGUGUGACCAUUUGACUUUGAGGAAUUUGAUAGACUUGUUGGGAGUCUUGCACUCGGUCUCUUCGAGAAUGGCAACUGGAUGCUCAUGAUAGGAAAGGUUUGGUUGAAGAACAAUGUCUUGGAAGUCAAUUGUGCACUGAGGAGUCUUGAAGCACCUCCGAAGCUGAGAGACGUGAAACACAUCAUGCACAUUUGAGAAAUUGGAUGGAAGCUCUAAUUGAUAAGCAAGGUCACCUCUUUUGCCAAUAAUCUUGAAAGAAACCCAAAAAGCAUGGAGCAAGCUUUCCUUUGAUGACAAAGCGUUGAGUGCCCUUCAUGGGAGACACUUUUAUAUAAGCAAAAUCAUUGAUAUGAAAAGUCAUGUCAUGAUGCUUGGUAUCAUAAUAGCUGUUCUGACUGGAUUGAGCAGUUUUGAGGUUAUCCCGAAUGACACAACACAUUUCUUCUGCUUCAGUGACCAUGGCGUUCCCAAGAAUUUGAUGCUCACCAGUUUCAAACCAAUUGAGUGGGGUAUGACACCUCCUACCAUAUAGAAUCUCAAAAGGGGCCUUGCCUGAACUUGCUUGAAAGUUGUUGUUGUAUGAGAACUCAACAAACAGGAGGCAGUCUUCCCACUUCAUGCAAAAAGAAAUCACACAAGCUCUGAGCAUGUCUUCAAGAAUUUGAUUGACUCUCUCCACUUGACCACUAGUUUGAGGGAGGAUGGAAGGCAUUACUAAAACAGACCCUGGUGCCCAUUGCUGUCUAAAAGGAAUCCCACAACUUGGAAGUGAAGAUGCUUCCACGAUCUGAAGAAAUAAGAUUGGAACACCAUGCAAAGAGACUAUCCUUGAAGUGUACAGCUCUGCCAGCUGAGUUGUCAAUAUAGACUCCUUGACUAGGAGGAAAUGAGAAACUUUAGUCAACUUGUCGAUGACCACAAAGAUCCCCUCUUGGACUUAGGAAACCCAGUUACGAAAUCCAUCUCCACAUGAUUGAAUUUCCACUCGGUUAUAGGGAAAGGAUAAAGGAGACCUACUGGAUGUUGAUGUUCCGCCUUCACUCUGUGACACACAUCACACUCGUUCACGAACUGAGAAAUCUCACGUUUCAGGCGAGUCCACCAAAAGGUUUGCUUUAGAUCCGGAUACAUCUUAGAGCUGCCAGGAUGUAUCGAGAGGAGGGAAUUGUGGGCUUCAUCGAUGAUAACUUUCCUGAGCUCUCCUUUUGGAACCACAAGGCGAUCCUCAAAGAACAAAGUAUCCUUGUCAUCAACACGGAAGCACUUAUACUUUGGAAUGCUCUUUUUAAAGUCUAGCUUCACUUUCUUCACCAUAGCAUCAAUAAGUUGUGCUUGGCGUACUUGGUCUUCUAAGGUAGGAGAAAUCUAGAGAUUUGCAAGAUAUCCCUGAGGCAUUACUUGAAGGUUGAGCUUCCUGAAAGAUUCACAAAGAUUGGGCUGGAAUGGCUUGAGAAUGAGACGGUCGUAGUAAGACUUUCUGCUCAAAGCAUCUGCAAUCACAUUUGCUUUGCUUGGAGUAUAGUCAAUGCUUGGGUUGUAAUCUUGGAUCAUCUCCACCCAACGAGUUUGACGAAGAUUGAGAUUUGGUUUAGUGAAGAUGUAUUUCAAACUCUUGUGAUAAGUGUAGACUUCAACGUGUAUUCCCAACAAGAGGCGUCUCCAAGUCAUCAAAGCAUGGACAACUACUGAUGGGGUUAUAGUCCCAGGGUAGGGUCAUAGGCCUGCCCUAUAGGUCCUACCCAAGGACUACCCUUCAUAAAGGACAAGGCCCUUAGACAGUUUCGACUGAACUAAGGACUCCCCCAUCAUCCAGUCGGUGACGAGCAUUCGGCGCGUAUCUAACGUACCGACUGAAUUCCACUCUGUACAUCGUAACCUCCCAGGACAGCAACGAUCAUACGUUUUCAUACACCAUUAUUUGCAUUUAAGGCAUACGUUACCUGUACCAUAGGCAUUUAUUCGCCACUAUUCCACCCCUGUCCACCGGGCCGUUGUGAAGGGCAGCGCACUCUAUAUAAGCCGCCCUUCCCCACUGGUGCGGGGGUUGGCAUUUACUGCAAUCUGAUAUUCCACUCGACACUAAGCUCCCAAGAGGACUGAGACGUAGGGCUUUUACCUCCACCGUAGAGGGGCCUGAACUCAUACAACCUCGCCGUAGCUAAGGCUCUGCCCAUCCUUUCGUACCCUACACAUCUACUGUCAGACUUAUACCCACGACAGUUGGCGCCCACCGUGGGGCAGGCGUCUAAGCGACUUCCGGCGAGUUUGCAACUUCAUCUUUUCAUCAUGUCGUCUGGCGGAGAUUUAUGCAUGGGUCAUGAGAUCCUCUUCGGCGCACUCUCCUUCAUCGUCGAUGAUUCGGCAUGGCUUCGGGAUGCGCCUCUCGACGUCGAGGCGCUCCCCAGUCGCGGGGCUACACACUUCCGUGCCGGUUCCCGCAACGUCCUUCUUCUCCAGCAAUCGGCCCCGGUGUCGAUCUUCGCCCCCGUCACGCGCCGCAACAAGCGGUCCCGCCGUCCGCGGCUCCAACGUUGGGUGCGACAUGCCCAGGCGCGACAGAACGCGUCCUCUCAAGUGGCGGUCCUCGAGUCGGUUGUGGUCGCGCAGCCGUCCCAGUGCUUGGACUCAGUUCCGACUGAGUUACCUUCCGAGUACUUGGGUCGCCGGCCUGCAGCCGAAGUUCUCAUGGCCGAUUCCCAUGAAAGUCCCCGCCGAACUGGUCGGAACAAGCAUGAGGUCGGCGAAUCAUCCGACGCUCGUUGUCAACACCACCGUUCUACCAGUCGACGCACUCGUCAGAGCAACGUCGAGGUGUUCCGCACACCCAUCCUCAACCUUGCUGCCGCUGCCAAGAUAGCCGAUUCCCUCCAACCGACUAACUCAGAGGCUGGUAGAGGAAUCGAGCAGAUCCGCGCCCUGUUGCAUACGGCGCAGCAACAGAAUUCGGCGGUCUUCCAGUCGCACAACAGGAUCUAUAACAAUUCUGUUCACGCGAACACGCAUCGGUCGGUUUUCAGCCCCAACUCUCAUCAGCGACGCAGAGGGGGCAGCCAUUCCAUGACUCCUGAAGAUCGUUGCCGUUCACGCAAUCCUUCGCGGGGUGGGCCUUACGGGCCCCGACAUCACGAUGACCGGCGUGCAGUCGGUGACGCGUAUGAUCCAAGGCCCGACGCAAGAGGGUACAUCGCCCAGAGGAAGGUCGACAGGAGUCAAGCCCACCAUGAUGGUCACGAUAGAGACCGUCCGAGUGGAAGCAGGACCAUCGUCUCUGGCCCCGAGUGCUUCAGUCAGGCCAUCCGUUCAGCUGACAUCCCUCCCAACUUCCGACUGGCGACGGGGAUCAGCAAGUUCACAGGAGAAUCCAAGCCAGAAACGUGGCUGGAUGACUACCAAGUGGCGGUCCAGAUCGGUGGGGGAGAUGACCAGGUCGCCAUGAAACAUCUCCCCCUGAUGCUCGACGGCUCGGCACGAGCGUGGCUGAACUAGUUGGCUCCAUCAAGCAUCUACGGCUGGACAGAUCUGUCCCGAGUCUUCAUCAGGACCUUCAAGGGCAUGUGCAAACGCCCUGCUGGUCUCGUGGAGCUCCAGCACUGUGUCCAGAAGCAGAAUGAGCCCCUGCGCGAUUUCAUACAGCGCUGGACAACUCUCUACCACACGGUGGAGAACGUCACAUAGCACCAAGCAGUUUGCGCCUUCAAGGCAGGCGUGCGGUAUAGAGAUCUAUACCUGAAGUUCGGUCGGACAGGCGACAUCUCCAUGAGCAAGAUGAUGGAGAUAGCCGCACGCUAUGCAAAUGGCGAAGAAGAGGACCGCAUACGUAGCGGCAAGCAUAAGGCAGUCGCCAACGGAGAUGGGAACAAUAAUCGGAAGCAAAAGCAGAAAGCUCCGUCCACUCCACAGGCAGAGGCAGCAGCCGUUACCAAUGCCAAGUUCAAGGGAAAGGGGAAAGCUCAGUACACCCCCAAGAAGAAACAAUUCGGGAAUUCCAUCCUGGAUCAGCCAUGUCCAAUCCACACGAAGAUGGACGAAGAAGGCAACGCCAUAUUCCUGAAGCACACCACUCGGCAAUGUCGCCUCCUGAUCCAAGGGUUCGGCGAAGGGCAGCCGAGUGAAAAGGACAACGAGCAAGAUGAUGAGGACAAGGAGGAUCCGUUCCCCCAAGUCCAUGCAACGUUGAUGAUUUUUGCUGACGUGGAAAGCAAGAGUCGAUUGAAGCUGGUGAACACGGAGGUGAACAUGGCAACCCCAACCAACCCCACGUUCCUCAAAUGGUCUCAGACUGCGAUCACCUUUGAUCAGUCGGACCAUCCAGCACACGUGCCCACCCCAGGGAGGCAGGCUCUGGUCGUCGACACGGUGGUGGAAGGAGUCCGACUGCGCAAAGUCCUCAUGGACGACGGCAGCGGCUUGAACAUCAUGUACGCCGACACUCUCAAGGGGAUGGGCAAUCGGAUGUCCAAACUUAGCAAGAGGAACAUGUAGUUCCACGGAGUCGUCCCAGGACGAACGGCCAAGUCACUCGGCCAGAUCACGUUGGACGUCGUUUUUGGUUCCGACAAGAACUUCCGCAAGGAAAAGCUGACAUUCGAGGUGGUGGACUUCCAGACUGCAUACCAUGCAAUUCUGGGUCGUCCGGCGUAUGCCCGUUUCAUGGCCCGUCCAUGUUACGUGUAUUUGAAGCUGAAGAUGCUGGGUCCCAAAGGUGUGAUCACGGUCACGGGCAAUCGGCAGCGGGCCGAGGAGUGUCUGCAGCAGGGGUCGAGGAUUGCCGAUCAGAAGAUGGCUAUCCUCGAGUUGGAUGAGUACAAGAAGACAGCCGACCCCGCUGACUUGAUGCGUUCGAAGAAGCCAGCUUCGGAGUCCGCAUUCCAGUCGGCGGGCGACACGAAGAAAGUCAGCAUCCACCCGACGGACGACACCGCUGCCCCGACGACCAUCUCCACCACCCUUGAUCCAAAAUAGGAAGCCGAGCUCAUCCAAUUCCUUCGUGAGAACUGGGACAUUUUCGCAUGGAAGACCACUGACAUGCCAGGUGUACCCAGGGAGUUGGCUGAGCACCGACUGCAUGUGGAUCCUGCUUCUCGGGCCGUCCAAGAACGUCUGCGUCGGUCCGCCGUGCACAAAAGGAAGGCAAUCAGAGAGGAAGUGGCUAAACUAUUGGCAGCCAACUUCAUUCGCGAGGUACACCACUCCGAGUGGCUCGCCAAUGUUGUCAUGGUGCCCAAGAAGGACAAGUCUCUCCGUAUGUGCAUCGACUUCAAGCAUCUCAAUAAGGUCUGCCCGAAAGAUCAUUUCCCGCUCCCCCGCAUUGAUCAAAUUGUUGAUUCGACUGCGGGUUGCGAGCGUUUAGCAUUCCUUGAUGCCUAUUCGGGCUAUCAUCAGAUCCGUCUGUAUGGUCCGGAUGAAUUAAAAACAGCCUUCAUCACCCCAUUCGGGUGUUUCUGCUACAUCACUAUGCCAUUCGGUUUGAAGAAUGCGGGAGCAACUUUUAUGCGCAUGAUCCAAAAAUGCCUCCUUGACCAGAUCGGUCAAAAUGUGGAGGCAUAUAUGGACGAUAUCGUAGUCAAGUCACGCAAAGCUUCCGACCUGCUGACUGACUUGGCAGAAACAUUCGCCAACCUUCGUAGGUACGAUAUCAAGCUCAACCCUGCCAAGUGUUCAUUCGGUGUUCCCAGCGGAAAGUUACUCGGUAUCUUCGUUUCCGAACGAGGGAUCGAUGUCAACCCCGAAAAGAUCGGGACCAUCGUCCGAAUGGAGCGGCCGGUCAGAAUACAUGAUGUUCAAAGGCUCACUGGUUGCCUAGCGGCUUUGAGCAGGUUUAUCGCUCGACUCGGCGAGAAGGCGUUACCUCUGUACCGACUCAUGAAGAAAUCAGAUACUUUCGAGUGGACAGACCAAGCCCAAAUUGCAUUCGACGACCUCAAAGCCCUGCUUUCCACCUAGUUCGUUCUUACUGCCCCGCUCAGUAAAUAACCCCUUCUUCUGUACAUCGCGGCUACAAAUCAAGUCGUCAGCACUGUUCUCACAGUCGAACGCGAAGAUGAAGGCAAAGCGUACAAGGUUCAGCGGCCAGUAUUGUUGGAAUUAUGCCCUAGAGGCAAUAAUAAAUAUAGUUAUUAUUAUAAUUCCUGUAUCAAGAUAAAUGUUUAUUAUCCAUGCUAUAAUUGUAUUGAAUGAAGACUCAUUUACAUGUGUGGAUACAUAGACAAAACACCGUCCCUAGCAAGCCUCUAGUUGGCUAGCCAGUUGAUCAAAGAUAGUCAGUGUCUUCUUAUUAUGAACAAAGUGUUGUUGCUUGAUAACUGGAUCACGUCAUUAGGAGAAUCACGUGAUGGACUAGACCCAAACUAAUAGACGUAGCAUGUUGAUCGUGUCAUUUUGUUGCUACUGUUUUCUGCGUGUCAAGUAUUUAUUCCUAUGACCAUGAGAUCAUAUAACUCACUAACACCGGAGGAAUGCUUUGUGUGUAUCAAACGUCGCAACGUAACUGGGUGACUAUAAAGAUGCUCUACAGGUAUCUCCGAAGGUGUUAGUUGAGUUAGUAUGGAUCAAGACUGGGAUUUGUCACUCCGUGUGACGGAGAGGUAUCUCGGGGCCCACUCGGUAAUACAACAUCACACACAAGCCUUGCAAGCAAUGUGACUUAGUGUAAGUUGCGGGAUCUUGUAUUACGGAACGAGUAAAGAGACUUGCCGGUAAACGAGAUUGAAAUAGGUAUGCGGAUACUGACGAUCGAAUCUCGGGCAAGUAACAUACCGAAGGACAAAGGGAAUGACAUACAGGAUUAUAUGAAUCCUUGGCACUGAGGUUCAAACGAUAAGAUCUUCGUAGAAUAUGUAGGAUCCAAUAUGAGCAUCCAGGUCCCGCUAUUGGAUAUUGACCGAGGAGUCUCUCGGGUCAUGUCUACAUAGUUCUCGAACCCGCAGGGUCUGCACACUUAAGGUUCGACGUUGUUUUAUGCGUAUUUGAGUUAUAUGGUUGGUUACCUAAUGUUGUUCGGAGUCCCGGAUGAGAUCACGGAAGUCACAAGGGUUUCCGGAAUGGUCCGGAAACGAAGAUUGAUAUAUAGGAUGACCUCAUUUGAUUACCGGAAGGUUUUCGGAGUUACCGGGAAUGACGAAUGGGUUCCGGGAGUUCACCGGGGGUUGGGGGGCAACCCACCCCGGGGAAGCCCAUAGGCCUUGAGGGUGGCACACCAGCCCUUAGUGGGCUGGUGGGACAGCCCAAAAGGGCCCUAUGCGCCUAGGAAAGAAAAUCAAAGAGAAAAAAAAGAGGAGGUGGGAAGGGAAGGAAGGACUCCCACCCACCAAACCAAGUCCAACUCGGUUUCGGGGGGGGGAGCCUUCCCCCUUGGACUCGGCCGACCCCCUUGGGGCUCCUUCAGCCCCAAGGCAAGGUCCCCUCCCUCCCACCUAUAUAUACGGAGGUUUUAGGGCUGAUUUGAGAUGACUUUUCCACGGCAGCCCGACCACAUACCUCCACGGUUUUUCCUCUAGAUCGCGUUUCUGCGGAGCUCGGGCGGAGCCCUGCUGAGACAAGGUCAUCACCAACCUCCGGAGCGCCGUCACAAUGCCGGAGAACUCUUCUACCUCUCCGUCUCUCUUGCUGGAUCAAGAAGGCCGAGAUCAUCGUCGAGUUGUACAUGUGCUGAACGCGGAGGUGCCGUCCGUUCGGUACUAGAUCGUGGGACUGAUCGCGGGAUUGCUCGCGGGGCGGAUCGAGGGACGUGAGGAUGUUCCACUACAUCAACCGCGUUCACUAACGCUUCUGCUGUACGAUCUACAAGGGUACGUAGAUCACUCAUCCCCUCUCGUAGAUGGACAUCACCAUGAUAGGUCUUCGUGCGCGUAGGAAAAUUUAUGUUUCCCAUUGGACGUUCCCCAACAGUGGCAUCAUGAGCUAGGUUCAUGCGUAGAUGUCUUCUCGAGUAGAACACAAAAGUUUUUGUGGGCGGUGAUGUGCGUUUUGCUGCCCUCCUUAGUCUUUUCUUGAUUCCGCGAUACUGUUGGAUUGAAGCGGCUUGGACCGACAUUACUCGUACGCUUACGAGAGACUGGUUUCAUCGCUACGAGUAACCCCGUUGCUCAAAGAUGACUCGCAAGUGUCGGUUUCUCCAACUUUAGUUGAAUCGGAUUUGACCGAGGAGGUCCUUGGAUGAGGUUAAAUAGCAACUCAUAUAUCUCCGUUGUGGUGUUUGCGUAAGUAAGAUGCGAUCCUACUAGAUACCCAUGGUCACCACGUAAAACAUGCCACAACAAAAUUAGAGGACGUCUAACUUGUUUUUGCAGGGUAUGCUUGUGAUGUGAUAUGGCCAACGAUGUGAUGUGAUAUAUUGGAUGUAUGAGAUGAUCAUGUUGUAAUAGUAAAUAUCGACUUGCACGUCGAUGGUACGGCAACCGGCAGGAGCCAUAGGGUUGUCUUUAUACUAAUGUUUGUGCUUGCAGAUGCGUUUACUAUUUUGCUAGGAUGUAGCUUUAGUAGUAAUAGCAUGAGUAGCACGACAACCCCAAUGGCAACACGUUGAUGGAGAUCAUGGUGUGGCGCCGGUGACAAGAAGAUUGUGCCGGUGCUUUGGUGAUGGAGAUCAAGAAGCACGUGAUGAUGGCCAUCUCAUGUCACUUAUGAAUUGCAUGUGAUAUUAAUCCUUUUAUGCACCUUAUUUUGCUUAGAACGAUGGAAGCAUUAUGAGGUGAUCUCUCACUAAAAUUUCAAGACGAAAUUGUGUUCUCCCCGACUAUGCACCGUUGCUACAGUUCGUCGUUUCAAGACACCACGUGAUAAUCGGGUGUGAUAGACUCAACGUUCACAUACAACGGGUGCAAAACAGUUGCGCACGCGGAACACUCGGGUUAAGCUUGACGAGCCUAGCAUGUGCAGACAUGGCCUCAGAACACAUGAGACCGAAAGGUCGAUCAUGAAUCAUCUAGAUGAUAUGAUUAGCAUAGGGAUGCUUACCACUGAAACUACACUCAACUCACGUGAUGAUCGGACUUGAGCUAGUAUAAGUGGAUCAUGUACCACUCAAAUGACUAGAGAGAUGUACUUUUUGAGUGGGAGUUUAGCGAAUAAUUUGAUUAAGUUAAACUCUAAUUAUCUUGAACAUAGUCUAAGUCCACUUUGAAUAUAUUUGUGUUGUACAUCAUGGCUCACGCUACAGUCAUCCUGAAUUUUAAUACGUUCCUAGAGAAAGCUAAGUUGAAAGAUGAUGGAAGCAACUUUGUAGACUGGGCUCGUAAUCUUAAGCUAAUCUUACAAGCUGGGAAGAAGGAUCAUGUCCUUAAUGCUGCGCUAGGAGAUGAACCAACCGCUACGGCUGAUCAGGAUGUUAAGAACGCUUGGUUAGCACGUACGGAGGACUACUCAAUAGUUCAAUGUGCAGUCUUGUAUGGCUUAGAACCGGGACUUCAACGUCUCUUUGAGCGUCAUGGAGCAUUUGAGAUGUUCCAGGAGUUGAAGUUUAUCUUUCAGAAGAACGCCCGGAUCGAGAGGUAUGAGACCUCCAAUAAAUUCUAUGCUUGCAAGAUGGAGGAAAACUCGUCUGUCAGUGAACAUGUGCUCAAAAUGUCUGGGUACUCAAACCGUCUAGCUGAGCUGGGGAUUGAUCUCCCGCAAGAGGCUAUCACUGACAGAAUCCUUCAAUCACUGCCGCCAAGCUAUAAAGGCUUUGUGUUGAACUACAACAUUCAAGGGAUGAACAAGUCUCCCGGCGAGUUGUUUGCGAUGCUGAAAGUCGCAGAGUCUGAACUCCGUAAAGAGCAUCAAGUGUUGAUGGUGGAAGACCACUAGUUUCAAGAGAAACAACAAAGGCAAGAAGGGUAAUUCGAAGAAGAGCGGCAAGCCUAUUGCCAAUCCGACGAAGAAACCCAAAGCUGGACCUAAGCCUGAAACGGAGUGUUACUAUUGCAAGGGUAUGGGUCACUGGAAGCGCAAUUGCCCCAAGUAUCUUGCAGAUAAGAAGGCGGCCAAAGAAAAAUCAGGUAUAUUUGAUAUACAUGUUAUUGACGUGUACUUAACCGACUCUCGUAGUAGUGCCUGGGUAUUCGAUACCGGUUCUGUUGCUCAUAUUUGCAACUCGAAACAGGAACUGCGGAAUAGACGAAGGCUGGCGAAAGAUGAAGUGACGAUGCACGUAGGAAAUGGUUCCAAGGUUGAUGCAAUCGCCGUCGGCACGGUUUCACUUCAGUUACCAUCAAGAUUAGUGAUGAACUUAAACCAUUGUUAUUUAGUGCCAGCGUUGAGCAUGAACAUUAUAUCUGGAUCUUGUUUAUUGCGAGACGGUUACUCUUUUAAGUCAGAGAAUAAUGGUUGUUCUAUUUCUAUGAGUAACAUCUUUUAUGGUCAUGCACCUAAUGUGAGAGGAUUGUUCAUAUUGAAUCUUGAUAGCGAUACACAUAUACAUAACAUUGAGACCAAAAGAGUUAGAGUUAACAAUGAUAGCGCCAUAUUUUUGUGGCACUGCCGCUUAGGUCAUAUUGGUGUAAAGCGCAUGAAGAAACUCCAUGCUGAUGGACUUUUGGAGUCACUUGACUUUGAUUCACUUGACACGUGCGAACCAUGCCUCAUGGGCAAGAUGACUAAGACUCCGUUCUCCGGAACAAUGGAGCGUGCAAGUGACUUGUUGGAAAUCAUACAUACCGAUGUGUGUGGUCCGAUGAGCGUGGAGGCACGCGGCGGAUAUCGUUAUUUUCUCACCUUCACUGACGAUUUGAGUAGAUAUGGUUAUGUUUACUUGAUGAAGCACAAGUCUGAAACAUUUGAAAAGUUCUAGCAAUUUUAGAGUGAAGUGGAAAAUCAUCGUAACAAGAAGAUCAAGUUCCUACGGUCUGAUCGUGGGGGUGAAUAUCUGAGUUUCGAGUUUGGUACUCACUUAAGACAAUGUGGAAUUGUUUCACAGUUAACACCGCCUGGAACACCACAGCGUAAUGGUGUGUCCGAACGUCGUAAUCGUACUCUAUUAGAGAUGGUGCGAUCUAUGAUGUCUCUUACUGAUUUGCCGUUAUCGUUUUGGGGUUAUGCAUUAGAAACAGCUGCAUUCACUUUAAAUAGGGCACCAUCAAAAUCCGUUGAGACGACACCAUACGAACUGUGGUAUGGCAAAAGGCCAUAGUUGUCGUUUCUUAAAGUUUGGGGAUGUGAUGCUUAUGUCAAAAAGCUUCAGCCUGAAAAGCUGGAACCCAAAGCGGAAAAGUGCGUCUUCAUAGGUUACCCAAAAGAGACAGUUGGGUACACCUUCUAUCUCAAAUCCGAGGGCAAAGUGUUUGUUGCUAAAAACGGAGCUUUUCUCGAGAAGGAGUUUCUCUCGAGAGAAUUGAGUGGGAGGAAGAUAGAACUUGACGAGGUUGUCGAACCUCUCAUCCCUCUGGAUGGUGGCGCAGGGCAAGGGGAAACCUCUGUCGUUGCGACGCCGGUUGAGGAGGAAGUUAAUGAUGAUGAUCAUGAAACUCCAGUUCAAGUUUCUGUCGAACCACGCAGGCCGACGAGACCAUGUGCUGCUCCAGAGUGGUACGGUAAUCCCGUCUUAUCAAUCAUGUUGUUAGACAACAAUGAACCUGCAAAUUAUGAAGAAGCAAUGGUGGGCCCAGAUUCCAACAAAUGGCUAGAAGCCAUGAAGUCCGAGAUAGGAUCCAUGUAUGAGAACAAAGUGUGGACUUUGGAGGUACUACCUGAGGGCCGCAAGGCUAUUCAGAACAAAUGGAUCUUUAAGAGGAAGACGGACGCUGACGACAAUGUGACCGUUUAUAAAGCUCGACUUGUGGCAAAGGGUUUUUCACAAGUUCAGGGAGUUGACUACGAUGAGACAUUCUCACCCGUAGCGAUGCUUAAAUCCGUCAGAAUCAUGUUAGCAAUAGCUGCAUUUUUCGAUUAUGAAAUCUGACAGAUGGAUGUCAAAACCGCGUUCCUUAACGGUUUCCUUAAGGAAGAGUUGUAUAUGAUACAACCCGAAGGUUUUGUCGAUCCUAAGAAUGCUAACAAGGUGUGCAAGCUCCAGCAAUCCAUUUAUGGACUGGUGCAAGCAUCUCGGAGUUGGAACAAACGCUUUGAUGAGGUGAUCAAAGCAUUUGGGUUUAUACAAGUGGUUGGAGAAUCUUGUAUUUACAAGAAAGUGAGUGGGAGCUCUAUGGCGUUUCUAAUAUUAUAUGUGGAUGACAUAUUGCUGAUUGGAAACAACGUGGAGUUUUUAGAGAGCAUAAAGGAUUACUUGAAUAAGAGUUUAUCUAUGAAGGACCUAGGAGAAGCUGCUUACAUUCUAGGCAUUAAGAUCUAUAGGGAUAGAUCAAAACGCCUGAUAGGACUUUCACAAAGCACAUACCUUGAUAAAGUUUUGAAGAGGUUCAAAAUGGAACAGUCCAAGAAAGGGUUCUUGCCAGUUUUACAAGGUACGAGAUUGAGUAAGACUCAGUGCCCAGCAACUGAUGAAGAUAGAGAGCAUAUGCGCUCCGUCCCCUAUGCUUCAGCCAUAGGUUCUAUCAUGUAUGCAAUGUUGUGCACUAGACCGGAUGUUAGCCUGGCCAUAAGUAUGGCAGGUAGGUUCUAGAGUAAUCUAGGAGUGGAUCACUGGACAGCGGUCAAGAAUAUCCUAAAGUACCUGAAAAGGACUAAGGAGAUGUUUCUCGUGUAUGGAGGUGACGAAGAGCUCGCCGUAAAAGGUUACGUCGAUGCAAGCUUUGACACAGAUCCGGACGACUCUAAGUCACAAACCGGAUACGUAUUUAUUCUUAAUGGGGGUGCGGUAAGCUAGUGCAGUUCCAAGGAAAGCGUCGUAGAAGAUUCUACUUGUGAAGCGGAGUACAUGGCUGCCUCGAAGGCAGCUAAGGAGGGUGUCUGGAUGAAGCAGUUCAUGACGGAUCUUGGAGUGGUGCCAAGCGCACUGAAUCCAAUAACCUUGUUCUGUGACAACACGGGUGCCAUUGCCUUAGCAAAGGAACCACGGUUUCACAAGAAGACCAGACACAUCAAACGACGCUUCAACCUCAUCCGCGACUAUGUCGAGGGAGAGGACGUAAAUAUAUGCAAAGUGCACACGGUUCUGAAUGUAGCAGACCCGCUGACUAAACCUCUUCCACGGCAAAAGCAUGAUCAACACCAGAACUGUAUGGGUGUUAGAUUUAUUACAAUGUAAUUCGCAUGAUGAUGUGAGGGCUAGAUUAUUGACUCUAGUGCAAGUGGGAGAGUGUUGGAAUUAUGCCCUAGAGGCAAUAAUAAAUAUAGUUAUUCUUAUAAUUCCUGUAUCAAGACAAUCGUUUAUUAUCCAUGCUAUAAUUGUAUUGAAUGAAGACUCAUUUACAUGUGUGGAUACAUAGACAAAACACCGUCCCUAGCAAGCCUCUAGUUGGCUAGCCAGUUGAUCAAAGAUAGUCAGUGUCUUCUGAUUAUGAACAAAGUGUUGUUGCUUGAUAACUGGAUCACGUCAUUAGGAGAAUCACGUGAUGGACUAGACCCAAACUAAUAGACGUAGCAUGUUGAUCGUGUCAUUUUGUUGCUACUGUUUUCUGCGUGUCAAGUAUUUAUUCCUAUGACCAUGAGAUCAUAUAACUCACUGACACCGGAGGAAUGCUUUGUGUGUAUCAAACGUUGCAACGUAACUGGGUGACUAUAAAGAUGCUCUACAGGUAUCUCCGAAGGUGUUAGUUGAGUUAGUAUGGAUCAAGACUGGGAUUUGUCACUCCGUGUGACGGAGAGGUAUCUCGGGGCCCACUCGGUAAUACAACAUCACACACAAGCCUUGCAAGCAAUGUGACUUAGUGUAAGUUGCGGGAUCUUGUAUUACGGAACGAGUAAAGAGACUUGCCGGUAAACGAGAUUGAAAUAGGUAUGCGGAUACUGACGAUCGAAUCUCGGGCAAGUAACAUACCGAAGGACAAAGGGAAUGACAUACGGGAUUAUAUGAAUCCUUGGCACUGAGGUUCAAACGAUAAGAUCUUCGUAGAAUAUCUAGGAUCCAAUAUGGGCAUCCAGGUCCCGCUAUUGGAUAUUGACCGAGGAGUCUCUCGGGUCAUGUCUACAUAGUUCUCGAACCCGCAGGGUCUGCACACUUAAGGUUCGACGUUGUUUUAUGCGUAUUUGAGUUAUAUGGUUGGUUACCGAAUGUUGUUCGGAGUCCCGGAUGAGAUCACAGACGUCACGAGGGUUUCCGGAAUGGUCCGGAAACGAAGAUUGAUAUAUAGGAUGACCUCAUUUGAUUACCGGAACGUUUUCGGAGUUACCGGGAAUGACGAAUGGGUUCCGGGAGUUCACCCGGGGGGGGGGGCAACCCACCCCGGGGAAGCCCAUAGGCCUUGAGGGUGGCACACCAGCCCUUAGUGGGCUGGUGGGACAGCCCAAAAGGGCCCUAUGCGCCAAGGAAAGAAAAUCAAAGAGAAAAGAAAAAAAAAGAGGAGGUGGGAAGGGAAGGAAGGACUCCCACCCACCAAACCAAGUCCAACUCGGUUUGGGGGGCGAGCCUUCCCCCUUGGACUCGGCCGACCCCCUUGGGGCUCCUUGAGCCCCAAGGCAAGGUUCCCUCCCUCCCACCUAUAUAUACGGAGGUUUUAGGGCUGAUUUGAGGUGACUUUUCCACGGCAGCCCGACCACAUACCUCCACGGUUUUUCCUCUAGAUCGCGUUUCUGCGGAGCUCGGGCGGAGCCCUGCUGAGACAAGGUCAUCACCAACCUCUGGAGCGCCAUCACGCUGCUAGAGAACUCUUCUACCUCUCUGUCUCUCUUGCUGGAUCAAGAAGGCCGAGAUAAUCGUCGAGCUGUACGUGCGCUGAACGCGGAGGUGCCGUCCGUUCGGUACUAGAUCAUGGGACUGAUCGCGGGAUUGUUCGCGGGGCGGAUCGAGGGACAUGAGGACGUUCCACUACAUCAACCGCGUUCACUAACGCUUCUGCUGUACGAUCUACAAGGGUACCUAGAUCACUCAUCCCCUCUCGUAGAUGGACAUCACCAUGAUAGGUCUUCGUGCGCGUAGGAAAUUUUUUGUUUCCCAUGCGACGUUCCCCAACAAGUAUAUUAUGUCUCCGAAGUCCUGACUCCUUCCAAGCAAAGGUAUCCCCGUUAUCAAAAGAUUAUUUAUGGGAUCUACAUGACUGCAAAGAAGGUGGCUCAUUAUUUCCAAGAGCACUCGGUGUCUGUUAUUUCUGAUGCUCCGUUAUCGGAAAUCCUCCACAAUCGAGACGCAUCAGGCCGAGUGGCGAAGUGGGCAAUGGAGAUGUUAUAGUGCGACAUCAAGUUCGAAGCCAAGAAGGCUAUAAAGUCUCAAGCUCUGGCUGAAUUCAUAGCAGAAUGGGUAGAACAACAGCAACCGACUCACAUCUACUCGGCUCAUUGGACCAUGUUCUUCGAUGGGUCCAAGAUGAUGAAUGGCUCCGGCGCUGGCGUAGUGAUCAUAUCGCCUAAAGGUGAUAAACUUAAGUAUGUGUUGCAGAUACAUUUCGAUUCUUCCAACAAUGAGGCAGAGUACGAAGCUCUCCUUUAUGGAUUACGCAUGGCCAUCACACUCGGCGUCCGUCGCCUGAUGGUCUAUGGCGAUUCAGAUCUGGUGGUUAAUCAAGUGAUGAAGGAGUGGGAUGUAAGAAACCCCACCAUGACUACAUACUGCAACGCAGUAAGGAAGCUCGAGAAGAAGUUUCAAGGUCUGGAACUUCACCAUGUUCCGCGACUGAAAAACCAAGCAGCUGAUGAAUUGGCGAAACUUGGAUCCACUCGGAGACCGGUCCCGAGUGAUGUCUGGCUCGAGCACCUACACCUUCCCUCAGUAAAAGAAGAUCCUUUCACAAAGGAACCAGUACAACCGAAGAGCUCAACAGAUCCGACUGAAGUCGAGGUCCCCGCUGUGGUGGAUUUGAUCAUGGAGAUUCUUGCUCUCAUCCCCGAUUGGACUGUGUCGUUCAUUGCAUACAUCCUGAGGCAAGAAUUACCAGAAGACAAAGUCCAAGCGAGGCAGAUCGUCCGCAGGUCGAAGUCCUUCACCGUCAUUGAUGGCCAGUUGUACAAGGAAAGUGUUUCAGACGUCCUUCAGCGCUGCAUCUCCCCUGAGGAGGGACAGUUAAUCCUGGAAGAAAUUUACUCGGGAACCUGCGGCCAUCAUGCCUCCUCAAGAGCAAUCGUCGCCAAAGCAUUCAGAGCUGGUUUCUUCUGGUUGCAGGUGAAUAAAAUGACAAAAGAUAUGGUCGAACGAUGCGAAGGCUGUCAGUUCUAUUCAAACAAGUCCCACAAGCCAACAUCUGCGCUGAAGACAAUCCCUCUUGUUUGGCCGUUCGCAGUGUGGGGAUUAGAUACAGUCGGACCAUUCAGAACAGGACAAGGGGGAUUCACUCAUCUGUUGGUGGCAGUCGACAAGUUCACCAAGUGGAUUGAAGCCAAGCCCAUCAAGAAGCUUGACGCCCUUAUGGCCAUCAAGUUUGUCACAGACAUCAUCGCCAGAUUCGGGGUUCCGCGCAGCAUAAUCACCAACAAUGGCACAAACUUUGACGCGGACAGAUUCAAGGGUUUUUGCAAAGGCCAAGGUAUCCGAGUGGAUUUUGCAUCUGUGGCGCAUCCCCUAACAAACGGGCAAGCAGAGCAGGCGAAUGGACUUAUUCUUCAAGGGUUGAAGCCUCGACUCCUGUGAGAAGUUGGACAUGCCGCCGACGCAUGGGUCACCGAGCUAUCUUCAGUGUUGUGGGGCCUCCGCACAACUCCAAAAAGAUCUACAGGGUGAUCCCCGUUCUUCCUCGUUUAUGAAGUAGAGGCGGUCCUUCUGAGUGACUUGCUUCACAACUCUCCACGAGUCGAACUCUUCUCCGAAGCCGAAGCAGAGCAAGCCAGGCAAGACGGAGUGGAUCUACUAGAAGAAGAGCGUGAGAUGGCACUGACUCACUCAACAAUUUAUCAACAAGAUUUGCGGCGAUUUCACGCAUGGCACGUCACGAGUCGCACAUUCCAAGCAGGCGACCUAGUGCUCCGAGUGGACCAGCAGAGGCCUCACAAGUUGGCUCCCGCCUGAGAAGGACCCUUCAUCAUCUCUAAGGUGCCGAACGACGGAGCAUAUCGACUCUACAACCUCGACAGAGAAACGGACGAGCCGCGAGCAUGGAACGGAGAUCUCCUGAAGCGCUUCUACACGUGACCGCCGACGGGGGCAAUGUAAAGAACAAGUAUCAUUGAAGUAAUACAAAGUAGAUUGAUUUCUUGCAGGUUCAAAAUUCUUCCGCGUUUGCAGACUCCGGUCUAAAACAUUCGCUCCAAGUGCGCACUCAAAGUCGCACUCGGGGACUUAGCUGCGACCCAGAAUCACCUAAGUACAAACUCGCUCCAAGUGCACACUAAAAGCCGCACUCAGAGACUUAGUUGCGACCCAGAAUCGCCUAAGUACGAACUCACUCCGAGUGUGCACUAAAAGCCGCACUCGGGGACUUAGCUGCGAUCCAGAAUCGCCUAAGUAAAAAGCUUCCUUCGAGUGUAUUCUCGAGAUCCACUCGGAGGCUUAGCAGACCCUCAUUGAGGCUCAUGUGGAUGCAAAGACAACUGACAACUACAUGAGGAACAACUCGCUCCGAGUGCGAGCUUACAGUCGCGCUCGGUGACUUAGCCGCGACCCAGAGUUGCCUAAGUAAAAGCUCGCAACGAGUGCGUACUUCACUUCGCAGACCCUCAUUGAGGCUCAUGUGGAUGUGAAGACAACUGACAAUUACAUGCUCCGCAUGUUUGCCAUUGGCUUCACCAAGAAAUCCAAACAAAAACCACGAGCCAAAAUCGUGUCAAAAAAAAACUUGGCGAAAGAAGAGCAAAAUAUUCGAUUCGAAUUCAAAGUUGGAUCUACGACCAGUCGGCUCGGUGUGGAUCAAGCUUAUCCACACCGAACCACGAAUGUGACGGCCAACAACAGUGGCCAAAGUUUGAUACAGAUACCACUCGACAUACCAAGGUAAAGUUUUUCAAGCGUCACCGGGACUGGCAGGCUCCACAAAGGUGUCAAGGUCGAUCCCGUCUGUGAUGCGAGUGGCUAUGUCGAGGAAGGUCUCCAUGAAAUCUUCGAAUAGAAGCUUCUUGGUGUUGGCGACCUGCAACGCCUUGAGCUUUUCUUCACGAGCUUCCUUGCAAUGCACUCGGACCAGCGAUAGCGCCACGUCAGCACCACAACGAGCGGCAGACUUCUUCCAUGCCCGCACUCUGUUCGGGACGUCCUCCAGCCGAGUCAUCAACCCUUCUAUUUCUUGCCGGGAAUCGUCUUCGGGCCACAGCUCCUUGUCGAUCCGGCCGAUGACUUCUCUCAGGCGGCCAAUGAAAGGUCCCACUCUGCCAAGGCGAAUAUGCGCUCGGAGCAUGUCCCGGUUGGCUUCGUCGUCGAGUGGAACGUUCGGAACAACCGAUCGUUCAAUGUCAGCAGCUUCAGCCUCAGCGUCCAGACAAAAAUCUGCCAAGAAAAGACAAGCAGAAAGUAAGCGCAGAAUAAACUCCAAAGACAAGAAGCACUCGGUAAAAAGCUUACCACCAAGCAGUGCAAUCAUCUUCCUUGCCCAGUCGCUGACGUACUUCUCCUGCGCCAUGCACCGAUUGUUCAUCAACUCCAACUGACCCAUCCGUUCGGUUCUUUGCCUGCCCAUUUUCUCAAUUUCGGCCACCAAUGCCUUGUUGGUCUCCCGGGACUCCUCCAAAGACUUCUCUCGGUCAGCAAGAGCCCCCUUCACACCAUCCAAGUCAUUCACAACCGCCUCCAAUUCCGCGGCAAGCUGAAUCUUUUCAGCCUUCAGAGCAUUGUACGCGGAUCCCAUUUUGCAAGUCUUCUGCCAAAUCAGCGCAAAGGGAAGAUCAGACACAUUGAACAAGGAAAACAAACUAAUCUCAAAGUUCUUCAAACCCCUGCCGAUGCAAGCAAUCGACAGCGGUCUUGGGGACUACACCCAGUGGGUUCACUAAGAGUGACCCCACUGGCAUGAAGCUCGAACAAGCCGGCCCUAUUGAGCUACAUGACAAACAGACAAAUCUAUGACACUUCUAUCACCCGAACUGAGUAACACUACUCUCGGGGACUACACCCAGUGAGUGCACUCGGACUGCCCCCACUGGAGCCAUUUGGGCACAUCAGCUCUGAUCCGCUCAGGUAACGGAAAAUGCAUCUAAAGACAACUGUCGGUGCAAGCACUCGACAGAAGUCUCGGGGACUACACCCACUGGGUUCACUCAGAGUGAACCCACUGCAAAAUCAUCCUACUGUAUCCGGGUCUAUCACUUCAACCCCCAGUGGGUGACAAGAGGAAAGUAAACACGUACUAGCGCACUUACUCGGAUAUCGUCCCGGAGUUCCAAGGUUCUCUUGUACAAAGACGUGAUGGAGUCAUACCCUCCCUUGGCGUCACCCACCAUCAGCUCCACCUGCACCAUGGCCUCCUUGGCGGCCCCCAUUUGGUCUUCCGGGAGGUGUCGGGCGUCAUACUGGACGGUCGACGGACCCGGCACGACAGAAGACUCCUUGGGCAUCCCAAGUUCCGCUACAGUCGGUUCCACCACGAGGGGAGCCGUCACAGUCGGCGGCAUCGUCAAGGUCGGCGGCACAUCCAUGGUGGGAGCAGCAGUAGAUGGGACAACCUUGAGGACAGGCGCCAAAGUUGGCCCUUACCCCCUUUGGUCAUCGUCCUCCAGGUGAAUCACCUCCGAAGGAAGCCCGACUGAACAACAUGAAGUUACAGACAAAGGGCAAGAUUAAAGAUAGCUCUCGCGAAACAAUAAUACAAACUCUCGGAGUCAUGACAGCGUACCUUGCUGGGAUGUGGCAGCGUUAUCCUUGUCCAUGGGAUCAUCGUCUUGGCGCGGCAGAGAGGUGGCGGAGGUAGCAGCUCUGUCGAGUAAAAUCCACUCGACGGAUAAGCAUGAAUUCAACUAGAUACUGAAGGAAGAUGGGAGAACAAGACACUUACGCUGAGGCGACUGGAACAGCGAUCCUCAUCCGAGGCAAAGCUUUCCGAGGCUUGGGCCCACUAGGUUUUGCCACCUUGGACGGCUGGUCUGUGGGCUCGGCAGCAGCGUCCCUAGUCUUGUUCACGCUCCGAGCACUCGGAGCCACGGGAGAGGCUGGCGGAGCACUCGGGGCCGCUGGAGGAGCCGGCGGAGCCGCGGGUUCGUGACGACGCUUAGUUCGAUGCUCUGAUGGUGGAGGUGGCGAGCUCUGCUCCCCAACCUCCCCUCCUCCUCUUAAGUGUCCUCCUCCAUCUCCCCACUGUCGGAGACGUACUCGGCGCUAUCCACGCUGCCCUCCUGGCUGCCCUCCUCCUCCUCAGCUGGAUUCCCGUUCGUGACGGGAGAAUACCAGUUGGUCCAAUCCUGCACAAAACACAGUCGGCAACGUCAGACGUCAGGCGGCGGUACAAGAAAAGCGAUAAAUCUAAGAAGAUUGAAAGCACUCGACAAGAGGUGCUCACCUCAUUGGAAGGAGGAUUAUCGGCGCGGAAGGGCUUCACCCGCCGGGCUCCUCUGGGGUUGUUGCAUGCGCCUGUGAUGCCGCGGACCCACGCUAUCACAACCUCCCCGGUCACGCAUUCUGGAUGAGUCCGAGUGGAAUCCUCAGGCCCCUUGUAGUGCCACAUGGCGUGGUGUCGGGCUUGCAGCGGCUGGAUGCGCCGACCCAGAAAAGUCUCCAGCAAAUCUGUGCCGGUGACUCCCUUGCGGGCGACAGCUAUCAGCGCGUCGACCAGAGGUUGGAUCUAGAUCUUUUCCACCUUUGAGAGCGCAAGCUGCCUGGGAGGGGCCGGACGGUCUAGGCUAAAGGGUGGCAACCCAGUCGCGGCAUUCGGACAUGCGAUGUCCUGGCAAUAGAACCAGGUCGACUGCCAGUUCCUAACUGACUCGGACAACUGGAGAGGGCGGAUAGCUACUCUUCGUUUUCUUCUGGAAGCCUAAGCCCCCGCAGAGCUGGAGGAGAUAGGUUUUAUCGUCCGACUGGCUAAGCUUUUUGAUAGUCUGGGACCUAGCGGAGAAGAUGUACUUAAAGAGCCCCCAAUGGGGGGGGACAUCCAAUAAAGCACUCGCAAAGGGUGACAAAUGCGGCAAGAUGGGCUAUCAUGUUUGGAGGAAAAUGAUGGAGCUGCGCCCCGAAGUGAUUCAUAAUACCUCUAAAGAAGGGGUGGGGAGGCAAGGAGAAGCCCCUGAACACGUGGCUGAGCAGCAGGACGCGCUGCCCCUCUUGCGGCGCCGGCUCCGUCUCGCCCUCCUCCGGCAGCCUCCACGACUUGUUGGCGAUCAUGCCGUGCUCCACUAGCUCCAGCAAGUCGUCUGCCGUCACCGUGGAGGGGAGGAAAUCCCCCUGGAUCCAACCCGCCGACAGUGCCCGCUGUCGCCCCUGAGCAGGGGCCGCCCCCUUCUUCUUCUUCUGUGACUCGAGUUUGCUGGUCUGCCCCUUCGUCAUUGUGAAGGCAACAGAUCCGGCGAGGAGGUGAGGAAGGAGGAGGCUUGGAGCGCGCAGGGAGCUACGGGAGGAGCGAGGUGAAUGCGAGUAACCAGGACAGCGCAACAAGAAACCCCCGCCGAAGAGACUUAAAUAAGCUUCCGACCGAGUCACUAACAGGUGGCCCCGAAAUCUUAUCCCCCGACCGGCUGCUGCGAUGUUAGUGGAGAAGAUAAAGGCGCGGUAAUCGAGGCGGCAGAAACUACUCGAUGGCGAUGUCGUCAUCCGCGUUGAGCGCACGGCAACCGAAAUUUGAGGAAAUCCGCCGCUGUGAGUUCGACUGGUCACAUCGAAAGAUUCCGCGGAAACACUCGGUCCCCGACGGUUCGUUUCACUCGUAUAUUCACUCGGAUCACUGGUUGAAAGGAUAAAAUGGAUCGAGGAAAACAACACGGAAGUCACAUCCAUACCAGUCGGAUCCGUACUCCAGGCAUCACUUCAUCGUUCCAACCCCGAUCCAUUCGGGGACUAAUGAUGGGGUUAUAGUCCCAGGGUAGGGUCAAAGGCCUGCCCUAUAGGUCCUACCCAAGGACUACCCUUCAUAAAGGACAAGGCCCUUAGAUAGUUCCGACUGAACUAAGGACUCCCCCAUCAUCCAGUCAGUGACGAGCAUUCGGAGCGUAUCUAACGUACCGACUGAAUUCCACUCUGUACAUCGUAACCUCCCAGGAGGGCAACGGUCAUACGUUUUCAUACACCAUUAUUAGCAUUUAAGGCAUACGUUACCUAUAACGUAGGCAUUUAUUCGCCACUAUUCCACCCCUGUCCACCGGGCCGUUGUGAAGGGCAGCGCACUCUAUAUAAGCCGCCCUUCCCCACUGGUGCGGGGGUUGGCAUUUACUGUAAUAUGAUAUUCCACUCGACACUAAGCUUCCAAGAGCACUGAGACGUAGGGCUUUUACCUCCACCGUAGAGGGGCCUGAACUCAUACAACUUCGCCGUAGCUAAGGCUCUGCCCAUCCUUUCGUACCCUACACAUCUACUGUCAGACUUAUACCCACGACAACUACCGCUAACUCAAGAUCAUGAGUGGGGUAGUUUUUCUCACUUGGAUUCAACUGCCUAGAGGUAUAAGCUACCACUUUCUUCCAUUUCAUCCGAAUGACACCAAGACCUUGGAUAGAUGCAUGAGAGAACACUUGGAAAGGCUUGUAAUCAUAAGAAAGAGUCAAAACUGGAGCUAAGGUGAGCUUCUCCUUGAGUGUAUUGAAUGCCAAUUCACAAUCUCGAGACUAGACAAAUUUUAUUCUCUUUUGAAGAAGGUUUGACAAAGGCUUAGCAAUCUUGGAGAAGUUCUCAACGAAUCUUCUGCAAUAGCUUGCAAGACCGAGAAAGCUACAAAGUUGUUUCACAUUCUGAGGAGGCUCCCACGAAUCAAUGGCUUGAACCCUCUCACGAUCCACCUUGAUGCCCUCGGCAGAGAUGAUGUGCCCAAGAUACACCACUUCAUUGAGCCAAAACUCACAUUUUGAGAACUUAGCAUAGACCUUAUGCUCUCUUAGCUUAUCAAGCACAAGCCAGAGAUGUUCUUCAUGUUCUCCCUUAGUCUUAGAGAAGACUAGAAUGUCAUCCAGAUAAAUCAAGACGAACUCAUUCUUGAAGAGAGAGAAGACAUAAUUCAUCACACGAGAGAAAGUCGGAGGAGCAUUGGUGAGACCAAACGACAUCAUUGUGUACUCAUAAGAGCCAAAGCUUGUCCUGAAGGUAGUCCUGAGAAUAUCUUCUUCACGAAUGCAGAUCUGGUGAUAGCUCAUCCGAAGAUCAAGAUUAGAGAAAAUCUUGUCCCCUUUCAAUUGCUCAAACAAUUCAUUGAUGUUGGGAAGUGGAUGGUUGUUCUUGAUUGUCUUCUUAUUCAAUGGACGGUAAUCGACACAAAGUCAUUUCAUGCCAUCCUUCUUUUUGACAAAUAGAACACCACAGCCCCAAGGAGAAGAAGUUGGUCUGAUGAGAUCCAGACAUUCUUGUUCAUCAAGUUGUUUCUUCAACUCUUUCAGCUCUUCGGGACCAAGCUUAUAGGGAUGAUUGCAAACAUUUCAAUUCUAGGCUCGAGUUCAAUCACAAACUCAACUGGACGGUGAGGAGGCCUUCCUCACAAUUCUUGUCGAAAGGCAUCUUCAUACUCACAAACACUAGGAACUUGAGAAAUGGCCGAGUUUUCAUCCUUCUCAUUGAGAGGGAAUAGAUGAAUCGUGUCAUCACGAACCAAAAAAUGAUCACGUCCUUUGAAGAUGAGUCAAUUUAACUUCUUUGGCUUCACAACCGACAAAAUCCUUGUUCAUCGCUAGAAAAUCCAUGCCAAGGAUAAGGUCAACAUCGGAAUUGCCAAGAACAAUUGGAGAAGCUAGAAAAGAAUAACUGCCCAUCUUGAUAGAAGCAUCGAGAACAAAUACAUUUGAAGUCAUUUGCAUACCCGGAGAAAUGAUUUUUAAAGGCUUAGGAGUGUCCUGUGUCACUAGAUCAUGCUUAGCAACGAAAGGCCUUGAAAUGAAUGAAUGCGAUGCACUACUUUCAAAUAAAACCUUUCUAGGAAUAGAAUUAACCAAGAGAUUACCCAUAAUCACAUCUGAGGAGUCCUCUGCUUCAGAUACAUUGACCAUGUCCACUCUAGCAGACUUGGGAUUAUGCUUCAGCAAUGCAUUGCCUGGAGGCCUGAUUGGAGGAGGAGGCAGAAGACGCCGCUGGCUGGUUCACUUGUUGGAGUAGUGGCCUUUUUACCGCACUUGUGACAAGUCACCUCUGACAGCGGACGAAAGUGAGCUGGAGGAGCUCCUAACUUGGGCGGGUGAGACUUGUGCUAGAAAGCUGGGUUGGGUCGCUGGGAAGAUCCACGACCAUUGCUACUUGUAAACUGCAUUGGAUUUUUAUCCCCGAAGAGGAGAGGAUGAUGCAGCACAGUAGAGUACGUAUUUCCCUCAGUUAAGAAACCUAGGUUAUCAAUCCAGUAGGAGAACCAAGCAACACAGACACCUGCACACACAAUGCAAACCUUCGCACCCAACACACAUGAGAGGUUGUCAAUCUCUCGACGGCCUAGAAGCGAGAUUAAAUGAUAUAUGAUAGAUUAAUAGAUUGAUAAAUAAAUAAAAGAUAAAAAAGUACAACAAGUAUUUUUGGUAUUUUUGUAUAAGUAAACGAGAUUGAUCUUAUAAUAAAAGUAGAUCCGGGGGCUGUAGGAUUCACUAGUGGCAUCUCUCUCAAGGAAUAGCAUACGGUGGGUAAACAAAUUACUGUUGGGCAAUUGAUACAAUGGCAAAUAAUUAUGACGCUAUCCAAGGCAAUGAUCAUGAUAUAGGCAUCACAUCCAAAUCAAGUAGACCAACUCGUACCUGCAUCUACUACUAUUACUUCACACAUCGACCGCUAUCCAACAUGCAUCUAGUGUGUAAAGUUCAAAAGAACGAUGACAUGACGUAGUCAAGACAAAAACAUAUAAGAAUUCAUCCCAACUUGUUAUCCUUAAUCGAGAGAACACAUGCGUAGCAACUCCCCUUCUAUCACUAGGACUAAACAACGCAAGAUCGAACCCAUUACCAAGCGCUACUUCCCAUUGCAAGAAGAUCUAAUUUAGUUGGCCAAACCAAACCAAAACUUCGGAGAAGGAAUACAAGGCUAUAGUAAUCAUGCAUAAAAGAGAUCAAAAAAUAACUCAAAUCAAACAAGGAUAGAUCUGAUCAUACACUCACAAUUCAUCGGAUCUCAACAAACACACCGCACAAAGUCAUUACAUUGAAUGGAUCUCCAUGAAGAUCAUGGAGACCGUUGUAUUGAGAUACAAAGAGAGAGAGAGCCAUCUAGCUACUACCUAUGGACCCGUAGGUUUGUGGUGAACUAAUCACGCGUCAUCGGAGAGGCGGCAAGGUUGAUGUAGAGCCCCUUCGUGAUGAGUUCAUCCUCCGGCGGAGUACCGAAAAAGGCCUCCAGAUGAGAUUUGGCGAGAACAGAGGCUUGCGACGGCGGAAAAAGUAUUUCAUGGACUCCCUUGAGGGUUUUGGAAUAUUGAUGAAUUCAUAGUGGAGGAGGUACGACAAAUGGAGCAUGGAGGGGCCCACACAACAUCAGACCCCACCUCCCCCCGUGGGGCACGCUCUGGUGUUGUGUAGGGCCCUCCGGCAAGAUCUUCAUUGGCCUCGAAGUUCCAGGUGAUCCUUAUCUUCAAUAAAAAAUGCUCCAAAAGUAUCACAACGAUUUGAUCUGAUGUGAUAUUGAUUUCGUGCAAAACAAAAACAGGGCAAAAAACAUGAACUGACACUUGGCAUUAAGUUAAUAGGUGUAACACCCCGGACACACCCGCCGACGGUCGUUAUUCCUGGCGGGAUCUAGACUAGCCCCACAUAUCAAUACUAGUCUUUUCUGCGCACUUUGUUCUCACUCAUGUGCACCCAGGGUCAACUUCCCGGUCGGUCACCCAUCCUAGAACUACUCCAAGCUGAGCGCGCUUAACCUGGGAGUUCUGUUCGAAUGGGCUCCCGAGAAAAGAAGGAAUUCCUUAUUGAUAUGAGUAGUCUAUCAUCCCUAAWAUGCCAGGCUAUCACAUACACCACCACUCAGAGGAACCGACGUCCUCGUCGGGCCACAGGAACGUUCCCUCUUGGUACAAAAGUCUGUGCAUCCAGUCCAGUACAUGUACCAUGCCGUGUGCCAUGACGGGUCACAAACGACAUGAACAACAUGACCGCACACCUGUCCGCAAACAUCCGUGUAACCGCGAGGGUCGGCUCUGAUACCAAACUUGUAACGCCCCGGACACACCCGCCGACGGUCGUUACUCCUGGCGGGGAUCUAGACUGGCCUCACAUAUCAAUACUAGUCUUUUCUGCGCACUUUGUCCUCAGUCAUGCGCACCCGGGGUCGAACUUACCCUCGUCGGUCGCCCAUCCUAGAACUACUCCAAGCUGAGCACGCUUAACGUGGGAGUUCUGUUCGAAUGGGCUCCCGGAUAAGAAGGAAUUCCUUAUUGAUAUGAGUAGUCUAUCAUCCCUAAAAUGCCAGACUAUCACAAUAGGUUAGGCCCCAAAAAUGAUAUAAAAAGGUAUAGAAUGAUAAUGAAAACAUCCAAUAAUAAUAAUAUCAUAGCAUGGAACAAGAAAAAAUAAUAGAUAUGUUGGAGACGUAUCAAGCAUCCCCAAGCUUAACUCCUGCUCGCCCUCGAGUAGGAAAGUGAUAAAACAUAUUAUUGAUUGUGGAAUGCUACCCAACAUACUUCAAGUUAUUUUCAUAGCAUAGACAUGAGGACUUAGAUGAUUCAAAGCAAUAGUUUAUAUUUGACAUGAAGACAAAUAUACUCAAGUGAUGCUAACAAGCAACCAUGCCUUUCAAAAUAACAAAGCUAAAGUAAAUUAUCCCUAGCCCAUUAUGUUCAAUCAUUGAUCCAUUCAUGAUGCACACUCGAAUAUCAAUCAUACACCAUGCACACACAUGACCACAUGACCCCCUGGUUGGUGCUUUUAAAGAGAAGGAUGAGACUCAACAUAAAAAUUGAAUAGAAAGGCCCUUCGGAGAGGGAAACAUUGAUUUACAAAGGUGCGAGAGCUCAAGUUUUAAAAGAGAUAAAAAUUAUUUUGGGUGGCAUGCUUUUCUCGUCAACGAGAACAACAUAAGGUUCCGAACACUUCUCACAUUGGAUACAUCAUAGGAGGUUCCCAAACAGAAAGUAAAUAUUUUUUGUAUCUCUAUUCCCUCAUCAUUGUUUCAGUGCCAUCAAGACUUUGGUCUUUCCACUGUCACAUCCAAGAGAAUAUUUGUUCUUGUUUCCACCAUUACUUUUCACAAUCCAUGGCUAACCGAAUUCACGAGUGCCUUCCAUACCAUCACAUUCCAUUUAUUUUUGGGACUGGUUAUCCCUUUUACAUCCACACUCUCGUGCAAUGACAAGUGAACAAACACUCAUUGUGAGAAUGACAUAUCCAACACAAAAAAUAUUUGCCACCCCUCACCGCUUCAUGAGCGAUACGGGCAUACAAAAGAGAAAAAAAUGAGAGUUUUUUUAGAGAUGGCACAUGCAAAUUUACUUGGAAUGACACUAAAAUACCGCAUAUAGGUAGGUAUGGUGGGCACAAGUGGAAAAACAAGGUUUAAUGAUAAUGUAUGCACAACCAGUAUUCCCUCUUAGUACAAAUGAAGGCUAGCAAAAAGAUUGAGAAGCGCCCAACUAGAAAAUCAUAAUGAUGCACAUGCAUACAUAAAACAUAACAAACAUCAAACAAUACACCAUAAGUAGGAUAUAAAUUCAUUGCAUAACUAUUGAAUUUUCGUGCUUGCAUAGGGAAUCAUAAACCUUAACAUCAAUAUUCAUACUAGAGCAUAAUUGACUCACUAAGAUAACUCACACAUCAUCAUCUACAUAUCUCAAAACUAUUACAAAGAAUCAAGUUUUUCAUGUCCCAUAUUUUUUUUUGUAUGCUACUUUUCAUUAUUCUACUUGAAUAUUCACCACAAAGGGACCAAACAUCAUAUCUUGUACCAUUUAGCAAGACUAUUUUCACACUCUCAAAAAGAUAUAAGUGAAGCAAGAGAGUGGAUUUCUUCAAAAUUGCCUAACAUUCUCAAAAAGAUAUAAGUGAAGCAAGAGAACAAGUUUCUUCAAAACAUAUAGCAUUCUCAAAAAUAUAUAACUGAAGCAUGAGAACAAGUUUCUUCCAAACAUUUGCACCACCGUGCUCAAAAAGAUAUAAGUGAAGCACUAGAGCAACCGCCUAGCUUAACAAAUUUAAGUGAAGCACAAGAAGCAAUUCAAACAAAUUGUGAUGACGUGAGGCCAUCUCAAGAAAAUGUGUUCAGAGGCGACGAUUGUGAAAAACUAAUAAGUAAAGGCUCAUAUCAUACAAGACACUCCAACCAAAACACAUAUCAUGUGACGAAUAAAAAUAUAGGCUCAAGUGUGUUACCGAUAGUCGUUAGAAGAAAGAGGGGAUACCUUCCGGGGCAUCCCCAAGCUUAGACGCUUGAGUAUCCUUAGAUAUUACCUUGCGGUGCCUUGGGCAUCCCCAAGCUUUUGCUUUUGCAUCUCUUCAUUCCUUCAUCCAUUGACAUCACACCCAAAACUUGAAAACUUCAAUCACACAAAACUCAACAAAAUCUUUGUGAGAUCCGUUAGUAUAACCAAACAAAUUACUACUAUAAGUACUGUUUCAAACCCAUUCAAAUUUUAUAAUUUCAUUAUAGGUACUGUAUUCUAACUUUCCCAUGGCUUGCACCCCCCCGAUACAAUCCAUAGAUUCAUCAAAAUAAGCAAACAAUGCAACGAAAACAGAAUCUGUCAAAAAUAGAACAGUCUCUAGCAAUCUGUCGAAAAGCAAUAAUCCUGAAACUCCAAUUUUUUUUGAACAAUUAGGAAAACAGGGACAAUUUGUAUAUAAAUCACGUGUAAGAAAUUCAUACAAAGUUAACGCUCUGAUGAAUUUAUAAAAUUCUUGGACUGGGCAUGAAAGUUUCUAUUUUUCAUAGAAUUGCAUUCACAAGCAUCCAUAUCAUCCCAAAGGUCUUACUUGGCACAAAGACUAAUUAAAAUAUAUAUAACCAACUCAAAAUAGAAGAAAAUAAAGUAAAAUAGAGAGAACAGAAACAAAAAGAAAAAAUAUUUUAUUCGCUGGGUUGCCUCCCAACAAGCGCUAUCGUUUUACGCCCUUAGCUAGGCUUGAUGAUUUCAAUGAUGCUCGCAUAAAGGUAAAGAAUUGAAACAUAAAGAGAGCAUCAUGAAUCACAUGAAAAGCAUAUUUAAGUCUAACCCACUUCCAAUUCAUAGGGAUUUUUUGAGCAAAAAAUUAUGGGAACAAUAAUCAAUUAACAUAGGAAGGCAAAACAAGUAUAACUUCAAAAUUUCCAACACAUAGAGAAGAAACUUGAUAAUACUGCAAUCUGUAAAAGCAUAUAUUCCUCUCUCAUAGUAACUUUUAGUAGAAUCAUUAAUAAAUUCAACAAUAUAACUAUCACAUAAAGCAUUAUUUUCAUGAUCCACAUGCAUAAAAGUCUUACAAUCUUCCAAGGUACUAGGAUUAACAUUAACUAAAGUCAUGACCUCUCCAAACCCACUUUUAUCAAAAUAUUCAUAAGAUUGAACACUCUCCAAAUAUGUCGGAUUCUUUUUACCUAAAGAUGACACUCUUACAAACCCACUUUCGAUACUAUUUCAAACCUUAUUGUCAAUAAUAUAUUCAUCAUGAGGAUUAAAUAAUUUUUCAAUAUCAUAAGAAGCGUCACCCCAAUCACGAUCGUUACAAUGAGUAGUGGACAUGACAAAAUUAUGAUUCCCAAGCUUGAAGUUUUGCAUAUCAUUAACAUAAUUGACAUUAAUAGAAUUUGUAGUAACGUCAUUGCAAUCAUGCAUACCGUCGCACCAACGCAGACGAGGGGUUCUCAAUCUCUCGGCGGUCAAUAAUCAAGAUUAAAUGAUAUAUGAUAGAUUGAUAGAUUGGUAAAAAAAUAAAAGAUAAAAAAGUGCAGCAAGUAUUUUUGGUAUUUUUGUAUAAGAAAAUGAGAUUGAUCUUAUAAUAAAAGUAGACCUGGGGGCCGUAGGAUUUACUAGUGGCAUCUCUCUCAAGAAAAUAGCAUACGGUGGGUAAACAAAUUACUGUUGGGCAAUUGAUAGAAAAGCAAAUAAUUAUGAAGCUAUCCAAGGAAAUGAUCAUGAUAUAGGCAUCACAUCCAACUCAAGUAGACCGACUCCUGCCUCCAUCUACUACUAUUACUUCACACAUCGACCGCUAUCCAGCAUGCAUGUGGUGUAUUAAGUUGAUAAGAAUGAAGUAAUGCAUUAAGAACGAUGACAUGACGUAGUCCAGACAAAUGCAUAUAAUAAUUCAUCCCAACUUGUUAUCCCUGAUGGCAAAAACACAUGCGUAUCAACUCCCUUUCUGUCACUAGGACUGAACCACACAAGAUCGAAGCCAUUACCGAGCACUUCUUCCCAUUGCAAGAAGAUCUAAUCUACUUGGCCAAACGAAACCAAAACUUCGGAGAAGAAAUACAAGGAUAUAAUAAAUCAUGCAUAAAAGAGAUCAUCAAAGAACUCAAAUAAAGCAAUGAUAGAUCUGAUCAUGAACUCACAAUUCAUUGGAUCCCAACAAACACACCGCACAAAGUCAUUGCAUCAAAUGGAUCUCCAUGAAGAUCAUGGAGACCGUUGUAUUGAGAUACAAAGAGAGAGAGAGAGAUCCAUAUAGCUACUACCUACGGACCCAUAGGUCUAUGGUAAACUACUCACGCAUCAUUGGAGAGGUGGCAAGGUUGAUGUAGAGCCCCUCUGUGAUGAGUUCCCCCUCCGGCAGAGUACCGAAAAAGGCCUCCAGAUGGGAUCUGGCGAUCACAGAGGCUUGCGGCAGAAAAGAAAGUAUUUCGUGGACUCCCUUGAGGGUUUGGAAUAUUUCUGAAUUUAUAGUGGAGGAGGUAGGGCAAAUGGAGCGUGGAGGGGCCCACACAACAUCAGUCCCUCCGGGACGUGCCCUGAUGUUGUGUGGGUCCCUCCGGCAAGAUCUCCCUUGGCCUUCAAGUUCCAUGUGAUCCUUAUCUUCAAUAAAAAAUCCUCAAAAAGUUUCGGGACAAUUUGAUCUUAUGUGAUAUUGAUUUCCUGCGAAACAAAAACAGGGCAGAAAACAGGAACUAGCACUUGGCACUAAAUUAAUAGGUUACUCCCCAAAAAUGAUAUAAAAAGGUAUAAAAUGAUAAUAAAAACAUCCAAGAAUAGUAAUAUCAUAGCAUGGAACAAGAAAAAAUAAUAGAUACGUUGGAGACGUAUCAACCACCAGACUGCUUGAACUACUAUCAUGGACGAAGCGGGGGAGGAACCCAGAACUUCUACUCCUUUGGGACAGUCUGAGCAAAGGAUGAAGAGGAAUUGGAGUCCGUGAAGUGCUUGUUUGAGUUCUCAACCCUGAGCAAACUGACUCAGCCGUGAGAGCUAAGUUAUAGAACUGAUCAAACUUAGGAGGGUCAUGUAGAGCAAGAGAAAGAUGCAAAUGUUCCUUGAGAGCAGCUCGAAACUGAUAGAUCUUGCUCUUCUCAUCCGGAACAUCCUGCUUUGCAUAGCUUGAAAGAUUCUGGAACUCAAUGUUGUAAUUAUACAUAGAUGAGCUACCUUGCUUCAAACACCUGAACUUCUCACGCAUGCCCUCAACAAAGCUUGCCGAAAUAUGAUGAGCCCUGAAAUCACAACAUAUGUCAUCCCAGCUGAUCAGACGGUCACCUCUAGAAUCCUUGAGAUGCUGCCACCAUCCGACUGCGUGACCCUUUAGCUGGAUAGUAGUAAAUUUGACAAAGUCCUCAGACUUGACAUUGUUGUACUCAAAAUUCUUACUCAUGUCAGGCAGCCAAUCAUCCGCAUCAAACGGCUGCUCCCAAGAAGUGAAGGACUUGGUCUGAUUUGCCAAGAAUUGAUUGAGAGACGCAAACUAUUGUUGGUUGUUAAAAUUCCCCUGUUGGCCUUGGUUCCUUUCUUGCAUGAUUUGAAGCAGGGUCUGAUUGUUUGCAUUGAUUGUAGCCAUCAAAGUCUGCCACGCCUCUUGAGGAGGAGGAGGGGGUGGUGGAGGGCUUGACUGCUCUCCACCACGACCCAAGUUCUGGCGAGUUGUUGGAGCCAUCCUGGAGACGAACAACAACAUUAGACCACAGAUGAAAGAUGAAGCCGAUAAGCUGAAUCAAAUGAUUGAAAUAUUGCAACAUGAAUUCUUAGUAAUUUGCACUCAAACUAGAAUUAGUACAAAUGCUUUCACAAAAUUAUUGUCGAGAACAUAUGAUUCGAAAGUCACUUGCAGUUGUCAAGUUUGAGCUAAAGUCGCUCGGAACAAAUGUAUAUCCCAACAUACAUCCGAUGAAAGAAUAUCCUAGGUGACUAAUGGAAUUAGCACCUAAGAACUCCUGAAACUUUGAGUUAUGCAAGCGGGUCCACGGAUAGAAGGAGCAAAACUUCAAACAAUUCCUAACAUGAUAAUACGCUCCAAUAUAACACAUCCGUCAACACAUAACGACAGUCUGAGAAACUCAUUUCUCUCGGACCCUCGAAAACAUAACGAUACUAAGUAUGGCAGUAUAUCCUAACUCUCUCCACCAGUAUUGGGGAUGCCAGACUCCUCUCGCCACUACUAGUAUUGAAGCAAUUUAGAACAUCCUCGGUCUUGAGAUAAUAAGAAAUCUGAAUGAUAACAAUGUGCACAAGAAUCCCCGAGAUCUCAACUCCCCGGAAGAAACAAGUGAGAGAGGAGGCACCAAGACAGAACUCCGUCACAUCGGUAUCAUAGAGAUUCCAAAAUAUCCAUGUGAUCCUAAAAAAAUUGAGCGAGAAGAGGAGUAGAAUUAGAAUUCCUAAGUCAUGAACCUCACCAGAGCAGGGAAGAGGAGUAAAAAACCUACUCUAUGAUAUAACUAAGACUCAAAACAAUUUUUCACUAGACUCGACUCAGCCAAGUUCGAUCAAUCAAAGGCUCCUAUGGGCGAAUGGCUUUGAUUACCAACUUGUAACGACAAAGAUGCGACACUUUCCAUAUUUGGGGACGAGGCCCUAGUAGGGAAAGAGACGCAUCUUAGCGUUUCGAAAGUACAUAAACCAUCGCAAUACAUACAUGAAGAGAUGAGUAUAUGGAAUGGCUUAUACUCGCCACAAGUUAAGUUACAAGUCACUCAACAAUUUAUUUCAAAUCAUCAUUAAGAUAGUGUUCGACUACGGACAAGAUAAACAAUAAAAUUGCAAUGAUAUGUCUCGCUAGCCUAGGAGACGACCAAGGUCCUCUAAUCAUUGGGGUACAUCACGUACAUGCGGCCACUGCCUUUAUCGAACUCCCACUACAACUGUGUAGCAUCAAAAGCCUCUGCAUCUAUGGUACCUGAACUUGUGGUGCUGCAGUAAUCUAUGAGCCACAAGGACUCCACAAUCUUGCAACCAUGAUACCGAAACUAAUCAAGUUAUUGGGUCUGGAAGGUUUAGUGUUUAGGUUACAACAGCACUAAACAUAUAUGGUGGAUAACUUAUGAGAACAUCAAGUAAAGUGAGUGGUCUACUGAUACGUCCAUCUUGCAUCAUGUUUUCAUGUUGAUAUUUAUCGCUUCUUUGGCAGUUAUUUCACUUCACGGUACUAUUCUUAUGCAUUUUGUCUCUUAUUUUGCAAGGUUUACAUGAAGAGGGAGAAUACCAGCAACUGGAAUUCUGGCUUGAAAGUGGAGCAAAUUUGAGAUACAUAUUCUGCACAACUCCAAACACCGUGAAAAUCAACGGGGAUUUUUUUCCCGAUUUAUCAAAAAUACUGGGCCGAAGAAGUGCCAGAGGGGCACCAGGGGGUGCCCACAAGCCUGCACGGCCCGACCACCCCUAGGUCGCGCCAUGGGGGCUUGUGGGCAGUCCACUGGCCCACUGGCCCACCUCUUUUGCUAUAUGGUGGGUUUCGUCGAGGAAAAAAUCAGAGAGGAGCUUUUUUGUGGUUUUGCCGCCGUCACGAGGCGGAACUUGAGCAGAACCAAUCUAGAGCUCCGGCAGGACGAUCCUGCCGCGGAAACUUCCCUCCCGGAGGGGGAAGUCGUCGCCAUCGUCAUCACCAACACUCCUCUCAUCGGAGGGGACUCGUCACCAUCAACAUCUUCAUCAGCACCAUCUCAUCUCCAAACCCUAGUUCAUCUCUUGUAACCAUUCUCCGUCUCACGACUCCGAUUGGUACUUGUAAGGUUGCUAGUAGUGUUGAUUACUCUUUGUAGUUGAUGCUAGUUGGAUUACUUGGUGUAAGAGUUUAUGUUCAGAUGCUUGAUGGUACUCAUUACCUCUCUGGUCAUGAAUAUGAUUAUGCUUUGUGAGUAGUUACUUUUGUUCCUGAGGACAUGGGAUAAGUCAUGCUAAUAGUAGUCAUGUGAAUUUGGUAUUCGUUCGGUAAUUUGAUAUGUUAUAUGUUGUUUGUCCUCUAGUGGUGUUAUGUGAACGUCGACUACAUAACACUUCACCAUUAUUUGGGCCUAGAAGAAGGCAUUUGGAAGUAGUAAGUAGAUGAUGGGUUGCUAGAGUGACAGAAGCUUAAACCCUAGUUUAUGCGUUACUUCGUAAGGGGCUGAUUUGGAUCCACUAGUUUAAUGCUAUGGUUAGACUUUGUCUUAAUUCUUCUUUCGUAGUUGCGGAUGCUUGCGAGAGGGGUUAAUCAUAAGUGAUAUGCUUGUCCAAGUAAGGGUAGUACCCAAGCGCCGGUCCACCCACAUAUCAAACUAUCAAAGUAACGAACGCGAAUCAUAUGAACGUGAUGAAACAAGCAUGACAGAAAUUCCCGUGUGUCCUCGGGAGCGUUUUUCCUCCUAUAAGACUUUGUCCAGGCUUGUCCCUUGCUACAAAAGGGAUUGGGCCACUUUGCUGCACUGUUGCUACUUUUGUUACUUGUUUCUUGCUACGAAUCAUCUCACCACACAGUCACUCGUUAUCGACAAUUUCAGUGCGUGCAGAUUUUUCCUUGCUGAAAACCACUUGUCAGAUCCUUCGGCUCCUCGUUGGGUUCGACACUCUUACUUAUCGAAAGGACUAUGAUUGAUCCCCUAUACUUGUGGGUCAUCAAUACUCUUUUCUGGCACCGUUGGCGGGGAGUGAAGCGCCUUUGGUAAGUGGAACUUGGUAAGGAAACAUUCAUAUUGUGUGCUGAAAUUUAUUGUCACUUGUCACUAUUGAUACUAAUCCUUUGAGGUUCUUGUUCGGGGUAUGUUCGCCUCAAACGGAAGCACAAAGAGUUGCUCCUCAACCUGCUGCACCUACUGAAAUAUUUGCUAUGAAUUUCCUUCGGGUAUGCUUGAGAAACUGAUGGAUAAUCCUUUUACAGGAGAUGGAACAUCACAUCCAGACUUGCAUCUGAUCUAUGUUGAUGAAGUUUGUGGUUUAUUUAAGCUUGCAGGUGUGCCCGAGGAUGAGGUCAAGAAGAAGGUCUUUCCUUUAUCUUUGAAGGAUAAGGCGUUGACAUGGAAUAGGCUAUGUGAUGAUACUGGAUCAUGGGACUACAAUCGAGAAAGCAUCGCUCAAGUUUGGGGGAGGCUUAAAUCAAUGCUAUAUUCAUGCUCCAAUCAUGAGCUCUCGAGAGAAAUUAUCAUCCAGAAGUUCUAUGCUCGGCUUUCUCAUGAUGAUCGCACCAUGCUUGACACUUCUUGUACCGGUUCUUUUAUGAAGAGAGAUAUUGACUUCAAGUUGAAUUUAUUGGAGAGAAUUAAACGCAACUCUGAAGAUUGGGAGCUUGAAGAAGGUAAGGAGUUAGGUAUGAAUUUCACAUUUGAUUGCGUUAAAUCCUUUGUUGAGACAAAUACCUUUGGUGAUUUUAGCGCUAAGUAUGGACUUGACACUGAGAUAGUAGCUUCAUUGUGUGAAUCCUUUGCUGCUCAUAUUGAUCUCCCUAAAGAGAAGUGGUUUAAAUUUCAUCCUCCUUUAGAAGUCAAUGUAGUUAAACCCACUGCAGUUGAAGAGAAAGUCAUUGCCUAUAAUGAUCCUGUGGUUCCCAGUGCUUACAUUGAGAAACCACCUUUCCCUGUUAGGAUAAAGGAUCAUUCUAAAGCUUCAACUAUGAUACGUAGAGGCUAUAUUAGAACACCUACACCCCCUGAGCAAAUUAGAGUUGAACCUAGCAUUGCUAUUAUCAAAGAUCUUCUGUCUAAAGAAGUUGAGGGACAUAAUAUUCACUUCUGUGAAGAUGCUACUAGAAUUGCUAAACCUCACGCUAGAGACAAACAUAGGCCUGUUGUUGGCAUGCCUGUGGUUUCUGUUAAGAUAGGAAAUCAUUGUUAUCAUGGUUUAUGUGACGUGGGUGCUAGUGUUAGUGCAAUACCUCAGUCCUUAUACGAUUAAAUCAAAGAUGAGAUUGCACCUGUUGAGAUAGAACCUAUAGAUGUCACUAUUCAGCUUGCCAAUAGAGAUACUAUCUGCCCUGUGGGAAUUGUUAGGGAUGUUGAAGUUUUGUGUGGUAAAACGAAGUAUCCUGCUGAUUUCCUCGUUCUUGCUACGGCACAAGAUAGCUUCUGUCCCAUCAUAUUUGGUAGACCUUUUCUCAAUACCGUCAAUGCUCAUAUUGAUUAUGAGAAGCAAAUUGUCACUGUUGGCUUUGAAGGUGUGUCACAUGAGUUCAAUUUCUCUAAGUUUGGUAGACAACCUCAUGAAAAGGAGUUGUCUAGUAAGGAUUAAACUAUUGCCUUAGCCUCUAUUGCCGUGCCUCCUACUGAUCCCUUAGAGCAAUACUUGCUUGAGCAUGAAAAUGAUAUGCAUAUGGAUGAAAGGGAUGAGAUAGAUAGAGUUGUCUUAGAACAAUAUCCUAUCCUUAAGAAUAACUUGCAUGUUGAACUACUUGGGGAUCCACCCCCACCAAAGGGUGAUCCUGUGUUCGAGCUUAAACAGUUGCCUGAUACUCUUAAGUAUGCCUAUCUUAAUGAAAAGGAGAUAUAUCCUGUC